rnacentral:lncRNA from 1 species
UCUGACUCUGGCGAACUGAGGGAGAGGAUUGAACCCUCCAGACGGAGACGCUUGAGAUGGCAAGAGCCCACUUUGACUAAUUCAUUACGAAAAUAAUCGACAUCUUGCUCUUGCAAUUCACUUAACUCAAGGUCUUCAAUUCUCUGCAGUUGCACGAUCAGCGAAUCCUUCAAGCAAAUCUCGUUAUUUAGCCAGAGUCUGAAUUCACGACACCAAAUGUUGGUGCUCUCCCAAUAGCCAUGAUCUCCAAUGCGUAUGCCGUACCUUUCCAGCUUCUCCAAGAGCAGGCCUCUGGGCAGAGUGCUGACGUCAUAGACGUGUAAUUCCAAAGAGGUCAAGUUGGGCAAAUGCUUCAACUCCUCAAGGCUUGCAUUCUUAACCCCUUCUACCUCCACCUCCCAUUUAUCAAAGCUUUUAUCUAUAUAUAGUUCUUCUAAAUGGGAUAAUUUUGACAGUAUAUUUGGUGGAAUAACUAUUAGACACCAACAAUCCCUCAAAUCAAGCAGCUUUAGCCAAGUCAAUUCACCUACUUCUACCGGCAACUUCUUAAUUGUAGAACCUCUUAAGCAAAGGAUUUCUAGUUUCUUCAAGGCUCCCACAACACUUAUAUCAACCAAGCUGCAGUCACACAAACUCAGUGUUCGAAGGUUUGACAGGAGACCAAGUGAUGAAGGCAGUGACCGUAGAUUCAUGUCAGUCAAGUUGACAACUCUGACCUGUAUCAUCCUCUCGAAAAAGUUGUUUGGAAUUGUUUCCCACAAAUCAGCACGUAUAAAAAGAAGUUCGAGUUGAGGACAUUCCAGUACUUCAGGAAACAAAUUAGUCUCGAUAUCAUGUAAGACGAUUGAAGUGCAAUGCUUUAUUGCACUUCCGUCUAACCAUUCCCUGCAACCAUCAACCUGCUCAUUUGUAGCAGUAAACACAUUUCGUUCAGUAGAUGCAAUUGAUAUGGCGACAUCGCGAACUACAUCAUGCAUAGAAAACAACUCUUCAUUCUCGCUUUCAUGGUCAAGCAACAUACAAGAAGCUUUGAGUGUGCGCACCAAUGUAUGUACUCGAUUUCGUGCUUCUUCAAUCUUAUUCACACCUUGAAAUAAACCCAAUCCCAUACCACACAUUAACAAGUCAUCAAUAUAUGCUAUGGCUGUAUAUCCUAUUAGCAAAAAGAUGUUCUUGAGAUCAUCCCUUCCUAGUUUAUUGUAGCUCAACUCGAUAGCUUUAAAUGCGGCUGGCUGUACAUCCUUAAAAUUCGAUGAAGGCCUUCUUAGCUGUUCCAAUGCAUCCUUCCAUUCACGUAUGCUCUUGCUCCUUAAUGCCCUUGCAACCGUCACAAUGGAAACUGGUAGACCUGCACAUUCCUUUGCCACAUCCCUUGCUACCUCUUUCAAUUUAUUACCUUCAACAUAAUCACCUGCCAUCUUCGUGAAUAGACUCCAAGCUUCAUCUUCUUUUAAAAAUCCAACUGGGAAAUUUUUUCGAGACUCCAUCUCUCCAGACAAUACUUCUUCACUCCUUGCCGUGAACAGCACUUUACAUCCCAUGUGAUCAUCUCCGUGAGGAAUUCCGACAUCCAACAAAUCAAGAUUUCCCCAAAUAUUAUCCAAGAUUACAAGGAUCCUCUUCUCUUUCUUCAGUCGAUCAUAAAGUCUUCUUGCCCUACCCGAUUCACUCUCCUCAUCAAAUUUUAGACCUAGUUUAUCUGCGAUUUCUCCUUGAAUCUUUCUUACGUCUCGACUCUCAGACACCUCAGAAAAAACCACCUGAUCGAAAAGCUUGUCACACUCUGCUUUUCUAGCAACUUCUUUAGCUAGUGUCGUCUUUCCGAUUCCGCCCAUUCCAUAAAUCAAAAGCAUGUUGACAUUGGGAUUUUUUAAAGCAUCAAUUAUUUCAUUCAGAAUGGACGUUCUUGAUUCAAAGGCCUCGAAGUCUUUGUUAGGCAUAAGCAAGGUAUCCUCCGGAAUGAUGCUGUAGGAAAUACUAUUAACUGGUCUAGCGUCCAGGACUUUGACAACAGCCUCCUUCUGCCUCUCUGCUUCCUUGCUAAGUCGAGGGCGGGUCUUCAAAUUAGGACAUAACCCCUUGAAACAACGCUUAUUUGCAGUGGCUUCAUCUUCUGUAAAUUUAUCUGCCUCUUCAAUGACACUGUUAGCCGUUGCAAGCCAUUUCUCAACGUUCUCUUCAAUCUCUUCUCCUUUUCUUUUAGCCUCAUCAACCCGGUGCUCUAGAGUAACCCUCUCAGACUUCAGAUUGUCAACUUCAGUCUUGAGAUUCUGCAAGUUACUUGUGUACUUACUCUUGCGCAAAUAGCAAAUUCGGCGAUAUGCGGCAGGAGCCACGCACUUUACAACUUCUAAAACAAUAGUAAGAAUGAUUUCAGCCAUCUUCAGUCCUUUGUCCUUGUCUCUCUAUCUCUCUUUUUCUGAAUUUUGGAAAAACAAUUCAACAAGCGACCACAACAAGAUGGAACAAAUAAAAAGGAAAAAAAAUACAAAGAGUGGAUGGAGAAUAAAACAGAGACAGCGGCACAGCUGGACACAACUAGAUAGAGAACAGAGGAAAACCAAAUAACAAGACUUCAGAUUACAACAAACAGAGGCCAAGUAUUAUUGUUGAGAUCAGAAGAUGGAAAAUUCAAAAGAGUUGAUGGCAGAUGCUGAAUAACAGAACAACAAUGAACGCAAUAAACAGAAGCAAAGUGUGUUUGUGAUCGACAGACGGAAGUAAGGAGAGCGGUUGUUGAUUGAAAAUGAAUGAAUGCAAAGAAAGACUGAUGUUGAAAAUUGAUGUCAAUAGCGAAGGAAUAAUUGAACUUUCGCUGAAUUAUUGUUUGUGGCUUCUUUUACUUUUUAUUUGUGGGUCAUGUCUCUUGGAACUAAUCAUCUUAGGUUAUGCCUUAUAGCUUUAAGGCCGGUAAACCGGUGUCCGUUGGAUUAGCAUAUAGAAAUCCAACAGUGGAUAUAUGUACUUGCAGAAUAAAAUUCAAGAGCAAAGGGAGUGCCGGGCUGCAGUUUCUUAAGGAGAUUUAUAUAUCCUCCUCAAAAAUAAAUGUUUUAAGGUAGAUAUUUAGACUAUUUCAUCAUAAAAUAAAUGUAAUUAAUUUUCAAUAAAUAUCUUAUAUAAAUAUUUAUUUAUUUUUUUAAUUACUAAUGACCUUUGAAUAUACAUAUAUACAUAUUACUAAUUCAAAAAAUAAAUUGUGAUUAUUUGUUAAUGCAUGUGAUUACUUGUGAUGGUAAACAAAGUAGAUAUGGUAUAUUUUGAAGUUAAAUUAAAAAAAAAAAAACAGAGCUUUUACCAUUACUUGCCUUAUCAUCUUUUAAAUUAGAGUUAUUAUUCUUUUAUUUUUCAAGUUGCCAACUCAUCGCAUUCUCUUUUAUUGAAUUUGAAGGUUAAUGAUUAUAAAUUUGUGUAAAAAUUUGAAGUCAAAAUUUUAAAUUAAAAUAAUCUUUAAGUUAUUGAAAAAUAAUAACUUAGUAAAACAAAUAUUAUAUCCUAUACUUUAUUGCUACAAAAUUACGAAACCUUUUAGUUUCAAAAAAAAAAUUUAUGAAACCUUAUAUUAUAUUAUGUUUCCAUAUUUCUCCUUUAUAGUGAAGACUCAUACUUCUCUAAUAAAUGCUAAAGAAUUGGCUUAAUUUUUUUAACCAGCAUGGUAGACCCUUAAGCUAUAUAUACUAUAAUGUCCCUCUUCUCUCACAACAGAUUAAACCAAUCUGAUCUCAGAGUGAGUUGAUACCAUGACUUUGCAUCAUUCGUGAUCAAAGGAGCAUCAUUACUAACUAAUACAUGCUCGAUCAAUAGGCAUGAUAAUAAAUUUUUUAUCUACAAACACUAUUUUUCAAAAUAUUAUAUCUUUAGACUUAACUAAAUAUUUUUUAACUAUGUAGAUAUAGUUUGUUUGAUCUCUUUUAAAUAGUGGAGAUUACAAACAAACAGAUGCGAAUUAGUAGUGAUGUUGAGUUCAGAAGAUUGAAGUUAAGAAAAUUAAGGGUUUCUUGAUCUAGAGAAAUUUCAAAUGAGUGAAGCGUCCUCGAAAUCGGAAGACGAAAAUAAGGAAAGGGUAAGGGUGUAUUUUCGAUGUGAUUCUAUUAGGAGAUCUUUGAAGUAGGGGUGGGCAAAUCGGGUUUCGGUUUGGGUUGUUCAGAUUUCGGUUUCGGUUUCAACCAAUCGAGUUGGAGAAUUGAACCCAAUCAGGUUGAAAACGCCAACCCCAACUGAACCGAACUGAAUUUAGUUCAGGUUCAUAAUUCUGAUCGGACUGGGUUGGUAAUUCAGGUUAAAAUUUCGGUUCGGGUUAAUUCGGGUUAGAAUAAUUCAAUCUAAAAUUUUUGGUUAGUUCGGUUUAAAAUGGGUUGGAACAAUUUAAUCCAAAAAUUCUACCAACAACCACUUAAAAUCCAAAAAUCUCAAUUCCAAACAUCCUUAACAACAAAUAUCAACUACAAACCACCCUUAACAACAUUUCAACAAUAACAAUAACAAUAAUAACAACAAUAACAAUAACAAUAACAAUAAUAACAACAACAACAAUAAUAAUAAUAACAACAACUAUGAAUCAGCAAUUCAGCAUAUUGCCAUAUUCUAAAUUUAAAAAAAAAACACAAAUUAAUUAAUUAACAAUCUCCAAUUUAAUUUAUAAUAACAGUAAAAAUCCUCUCCAAUUUAAUUAAUAAUAGUCUCCAAUUGUUCAAUUACCAGUCAACAGCAACAAACCCUCUCCAAUUUGUCACGAACAGCCUCUAAUUGUUCAAUUAUUAGUCAACAACAAAAAAACUCACUCCAAAUAAUUGAACAAUUGUUAAUUAAUUAAUUAAAAAUAUUGAAUUUAAUUAAUAAAAACACCCAGGAGCAAGUUAGCAAUAUUCCCACUCCAAAAUCCAAAUAUCAGUAUAAACUAAAGGCAUAUUUGGUACAUUGUAUUAUAGAGUAUUAAAAUAAUGUUCACAUUAAAAUAAUAACAAACCUAUGUUUGGAACAAAAUUACAAAGUAUUAGGGUGGGAGGCUAAAAUGCGUGAGUUGACGCAUUAGCUUUGCUUUUUUUUUUUUUUUCAUUUUGCUUUUUUGACUUUUCUGUAUGCUUUAUUAUAUUAUAAUGCUAAAAUAAUAAAUAAAUAUAGUUUUUAAUUUAAUAUAAUAUUUUUAUUUUAUUUGUUUUUACAUUAUAAUUAUUAAUAUAAAUUAAUAAAUAAUUUAUCAUUCAAUAAUAGUAUUUUUUAUUUUUACAUUAUAAUUUAUUAAUAAAUUUAUAAUUUAUUAUAACUAAUAAAAAUAUUUAAAUUUGAAUAAUAUUAAUUUAAAAUUAAUAAUAAUAUAAAUAAUAACAUAAAAUAUUAAUGCAAUUUGAAUAUAUUAAAUCAAUAUAAAACAUUAAUAUAAUAUAAUAUUUAAUUUAAAUUAAUUAAAAAAUAUUACAGUACAAUAUAGCACCAAACAUUGUACAACAUUAUUAUAAUAUAGUGUUAAUACAAUACAGCAUAAUACAAUACACCAAUAUUAAAAUAAUGCAAUACAAUAUAAUAUAAUAUAGUGUGCCAAAUUCUAAAACUAUAUUUGAUUGAUGUAUUAAAGCUCUUCAUUACAUUAAAUUUAUACAGGCCCAUGUUUGAUAGAUAAAAGGCUACAACAACACUAUAUUGUUGGGCCAAGAUAAUGAGGCAACUGCUGCUACCUUUUUUUUUUUUUGUCCUUUAACAUUUUUCACUUUUCACGUGCUUUUGCCUUUUGCUUUGACUUUCCUUUGUUUUAACUUUUGUUUUUGUUUAUUAAUAAAAUAAUAAUAAAUAAAUAUAAUUUUUUUAAUUUAAUAAAAUAUUUUUUACAUUAUAAUUAUUAAUAAAUUUAUAAUUUAUUAUAACUAAUAAUAAAUAUUUAAAUAUGAAUAAAUUUCAAUAAAUAAUAUUUAAAAUUAAUAAUAGUAUAAAUAAUAAUAUAAAAUAUUAAUAAAAUUUAAAUAUAUUAAUAUAAUCUUUUAAUUUAAAUUAAUCACAAAAAAAAUUAAUACAGUAUAAUAUAAUAUCCAACAUUGUAUAGUAUUAUUAUAAUACAGUGUUAAUGCAAUACAUCAUAAUACAAUACACCAACAUUAAAAUAAUGUAAUACAACAUAAUACAAUACAAUAUGCCAAACGCACCCUAAGUGUCAAACCUUGAUCGGUGGGAAGCUACAGCGUCGGCAAAGCGUGACCGUGUGGGACUGAGUGAGACCGUCGAUCGAGGGUGUGAGAAGGGAGAAGAGGGAGCAAGGAGGUGUAACGUGGUGUGUGUGAGUUUAUAUAUAUAUAUAAUUUUUAAAAGCUAAAACUUAAAAAAAAAAAUUUAACCCAAUCCAAACGCCCACCUCAGAUUACUUCCGUGUUAAGAGCUGGAUCCCACACUCUUGAGCCUUUUUCGUCCCAGCAAUUAUAAAAAUAAGGGUCCGCCUAUGUUGCCACUGUUGUACCUAGGGAUGGCAAUUUUCGGGUCCGAGUCCGGGUUUGGCUGUUCCGGAUUCGGACCCAGACACAAAAUUCUCAUAACUGGACCCGCAUUAAACCCGGAUUUUUUUAAUCCGGGUCCGGUCCGGGUUCAACCCGAAAAAAUCCGGGUUUACGGAUUCCGGGUUUUGAACCCAGAUUGCUUUAUUAUUUUUUUUUUUUGAGAGAUCAUAUGGCUUAAUUUAACAGGGCACAAGGGAUGGUGGUUUAAUGUUUUAAUGUUUUCCCCAACAACACAUUACAUAAUUCUUCCUAGAAUUGGUUCAACAAAAUUUGAUGGAUAAAAGGCAAAAAAAGAACAUAUAACACAUCCAAAACCACCAGACUACUAGAACCAAAUUGUUUAACUUUGGUUCAUCAAAAUUUGCUGGACACAGGGCAAAAAAACAGAACAUAUAACACAUCCAGGUUCUAAAACAAAUACAACACAAAUACACAAUAUAAAAUCUAAAAUUCAAAGUUUUAAAGUAAUAAACAUCCACAAAUACAAAUCCAUAACAUAAUUCUACAACUUAAAACUCAAAUUUUCAGCCACUAGUGCUAAAGACUAAACUCUGAAUCAUCCAUUUCAUUAGACUGUUGCUCACUCAUCCAACUUUCAUUAAUCAAAUGCUCUGCAGAAAGUAUUGCUUCCUCUGGAAUUCCAUCUACAAAAAAUGUGUAAAUCAUAAACAUAAUGAACAAGACAACCAAUUAGUGAUAAAUUAUUAAUAAGAACAAUACAACAAAUAAUUUGAUUCUAAUAAAUAAAAUUUUCAUACCUUUUAAGUUUUGUUCAAGCCAAAACUAAUUUUGAGUGCACACCAAUGCCUCUACUGUGGAUGGGUGAAGUCUACUGCGAUGAGGGCUCAAAUGUCUACCUCCAGUGCUAAAAGCGGACUCCGAAGCAACUGUUGAUACAGGAAUGGCCAAAAAGUCCCUUGCAAUCUUUGCAAGUAUAGGAUAUUUGCCUUGAUUAUUCUUCCACCAUGAUAAAAUGUCAAAUUGACUAGUUGAAGGCAAAGUACUCUCCUCAAGAUAAAACUCUAAUUCUGAUUUGGAAUGAGUAUUUUGUGUGUUUUCAUUUCUAAAUAAUGCCCACUCAUCAGCCAUUUCAUCCAAAUCUAAAUCUAACAUAUUAGAGUCCCCUCCUGCAGCAGCUUGAGAAUUGGCACCAUUAACCCCCCACUUGAAUUUGAUAGAUGAUUUACUUCAUACUCAUGUACUAAAUCAACAAAUAGCUUACGCACUCUUUCAACUUCGGAUUCAGCUCUUUCCCCAUAUAUUUUAGGAAAUAAAAAGUUAAUCAGUAACAUUUUACGCCUAAGAUCUAACAUAGUCCCCACUGCAAGAACUCCAUGAAUAACAUCCCAAUACUUUUCAUACUUUGCAAUCAUCCUAGUAGCCAUAUUUUUUAUCCCCUCAAUUGGUGAUUGCAACCAUGCAUUCAUUGACAAUCUAAUUUCACAAAUCUUGGCAAAAAAUAAAUUAGAUGUCAGAUAUCGUGUCCCCGAAAAAAGUUCUGUCAACUUAUAAAAGCUUUUUAGAUACUCACACAUAAGCUUUGACAAAUUCCACUCUGACUCACUAGGUAAAGAUGUAUAAUUUCUCUCACGUUCCUUUAAACGAUCAAAUACAUCUUUAUACAGCAAUGCAGUACUAAGCAUCAAGUAAGUAGAGUUCCAUCUAGUUUUACAAUCAAGUACUAAGUUUUUGGUUUCCUUAAUACCUAAUUGUUUUUUUGCAUUCUCAAAAUUUUCAACUCUAGCUGGUGUUGCUGUCCAAUAAUGAACACUAUCUCUAAUUUUCUCAACUCCCUUUUGUAUCACUGAAAAACCAUCUCUAACUAUCAAGUUCAAUAUAUGAACACAACAACGCAUGUGAAAGAAUUUGCCACCCAUAAUCAUUGAACUAGUAGAAAAUUUCCCCAACAACAAGGCAAUCACAGAAUCAUUUGCAGCACAAUUAUCAGCAGUUACAGAGGACAAUUUUCUAUCUAUAUUCCAAUCUAUCAAACAAUCAUAUAACUCAUUACACAUUACCUCAGCACUAUGUGGAGCUGGCACAUAUAUAAACCUAACAAUGUGAAAAAAUAGUUAAAAUAUUAGACAGGACAUUAAUUUAUGCUUAAACCAAAAAAAAGGUUUCAAGAAUAUUACCUCAUAAUACGACUUCGCAACACCCAUGAGCUAUCAAUGUAAUGUGCCGUAAUAACCAUGUAUCCUUUUUUUUUUUGUUACUAGCAGUCCACAUAUCAGUAGUAAUUGCGAUUAUACUCUCACAAGCUUCCAAAAUACCCAUUGUCUUUUUCUUUUCAACAUCAUAAAUUCUCAAAAUUUCAGCUUUGAUGGUGUUUAUACUAAUAGUCUCAAUAGAAGGUUGGAGUAGCUUCAACAAGUCAUAAAACCCAACAUACUCAACAAAUGCCAAGGGGAGCUCAUGUAGUACAAUCAUUCUAGCUACAAAAAGCUUUACUGUAGUCAUAUCCCAUUUUGAUUCGGAACUAAAAUUACUAAGUGAAGUGCUUCCAUCAACUUUAGAAGAAAAAGAUAGGUGCAUUUGUUGUACAUUCUUAAAUGACCUUCUAGGACAGCGUUUAGCAUGGUUUAUUAAGUGAUUAGUACCCCUCGAAUAAUGUCCUUGCAUAACUAACCCACAGUAAUUGCAAAUUGCCUGAACUUCCUCACCCAACUUAACUUUUUUGAAAUGAUUCCAAGCAUCAGAGACUAUUCUACCACCACCAUCUCAUUUUUGUGAAGUGACAUGAUUAGUAUUACCCCUACGGCCACGGCCACUCCCCUGAACUGCUGCUGUUGAAUUUGGUUAUAAUUCAAUAGCUGUAUCAUUAUUAUUUUCUGAUUCUGUCCUAACUCUCACACAAACACUUUCAUCACUUUUUUCAGAGGCAUCCAAGUCGAUUCUUUGUUCAUUUUCCAUAUCAAUUUUUCACUUUACAAAAAUUAUGUCAAGAUAUAAUUAAUUCCAACAACUUCUUCCAAUUUAUAUGCUAUGUUUAACCGUAAAAGCUAUAAAUAAUAUUUUAGAGAUACCAUUUCUAUUCUUUAACAGCAACAAUAAAAAAUAAUUCAAAAAAUAAACUAUAAAUAAUAAAAUUGAAGCAUAACAAAGUAUAGAUUCUAAAAAUCACAGAGUUUAGCUAUUAAAGUCACAAAGUAUAGAUAUUAAAAUUACAAACAAAGCAAAACAACACAUAGAGCACAGAACACGGUCUAAUUAAAUUGUGAAGACAGUCACAGUGAGUAUCCUAACCGAAUUUCGUUAAUCUAUAUGAAGAGAACAGUUAAUGCCACAAGAUGACUUCUUCUAUCGCUGUUUGGGCCAGCCAAGAACCCACAACCAGUUAAAGCCUUAAGCUGUGCUAGACUGCUAGGUGGCUAAGCAAAAGAACUAGGAUAAAAUAAGGGUCUGCCUAGCGCAAGUCAGCGGUAGAAAUGUUAUUUAUGCAAAUUUCUUAAAUUUGACGUUAUAUCUCCUAAACAAUUCUUAGACCGGGAGUGAAGAUAUUUGCACAUAUUUGCAGAUAUCCUAAAAAUUUCUUACUGCAUUGGCAAAUUAUUCUAAAUUUCUAAUCGAGGAAAAAGAUCAGGAGUGUACAAUACUAACUGGAAAGAGUCAUUAAACUUCAAGCAACUCAAUAUACACAAGUAGUAAAAGCACAGGACAAGGUCGAACCCGAUUUCAGUGAGAGAAAGCAAAAGCAAGCCAAACAAAGUAUUAAUGCUAGUCAGGCUCAGAACUACCAUUCAUGCAGCUAGCCAUAGGCAGCAGCCCUUUGGCUAGUUAUACUUCAAAUUCAAUUCUAAGCUUACUCACUAACCAACUCUUAAUGCACAAAACCAACAAUACGCUUUAGCAGAAAAAAUGGAAACUGUUCUGUUUUAGACAAUAGUUUCUCCUUGUGCUAGAAAAACAAAGAACAAAAAAAGGCAAAUAAUUCAGAAAAACAAAAAGUUUAUAAUUAGCCAAGUGCUCUCAUAUGUCAUAUACAAAGAAAACCAUGUCUGAGGGAAAAUCAUGAAAUACUAGUUAUACAACCCAAGAGGGGGGUGAAUUAGAAUUCUAAAAAAUUAUUCAAUUUUUAAUUUAAAGCUCAAUGUAGAUAUGAAACAAAUUCAAAGCAAUAACAAAUAAGUUAACCACAAUAAAAAGGAUAAAGGAAGAGAGAUUCAAACACUGAGAUUUUUACGUGGUUCAGCCAACCUUGCCUACGUCCACGCCUCCAAGCUUUCCGAGCUUGAGGAUUCCACUAAGCAAGCCUCCAAGGUUUCAAAUGCUUACACUUGACUUCGAAGGUGUCAAUGACCUUUACAACAAGAGAUUAUCCCAAUCUCUUAACCCAAAUGUAUCCCAACACUUACAAUCACUCAAAGAUAAAAUAUUAUAAACUUGUUUUGCCUCUCACAAUAUUUAAGAUUACAAAAUAAUACCCAAUAUGUGAAUAGAUGAAGCAAGAAUGUAUUUAAAGCUUAAUGAAGAUUUUAUUCUCAAGUAUAAGCUCAGUAGUAGUGUUGUGAUCAAUCCUUGUUUAAGUUUGAAUGAGCUCAUUUAUAGCUGCAGCUGAAAACUAGCCGUUAUUGACUUCCUGCACACUGUCGGAUCGCCAUUAGCUAGAUGUCGGAUCGCCGUUUGACUGGUCAAUAUGACCGUUGAGCUGAUUUUUCAAAUUAUCGGAUCGCCGUUAUCUAGAUGUCGGAUCACCGUUUAGGUCUAGAGGCUAACCUUCAGUUCUGUUUGAUCUCAGCGAGCCGUUUAUUAAACUUGUCGGAUCACUGUUUAGGUCCAGAGACUAAUCUUUAUUUCUGUUUGAUAUCGGCGAGCCGUUUAUUAAACUUGUCGAAUCGCCGUUUUCCACAAAAACUGCUGCAGUGAACUAUUUUGCAAGACAACUGUUUUGUUUCUAAAUCUUUAUAAAAAUACUUUAUGAAUCAAUCUUAAUCAUGUUUGUUGAGCUUUUAAAAGAUUAAUCAAUCUUAAUCAUGUUUGUUAUCAUCAAAAUCAAUAGGGAAUUAUUUAUGUUAACAAUCUCCCCCUUUUUUAUGAUGACAAACUUUUCAAGAAAAUACUUGUGUAAUUUUGCUCCCCCUAAGUGAGAUUUUGAAAGACUUGUUAACUUCCCUUAAAUAAGUGUUCAUUUAAUUUUAAUCUCAAACAAAAUUUUAAACAAGACAGACAGAUUGAUUGGAUAAAUAAUUUAUGCCAAUACCAAUUACCAAUUACCAAUUAUCUCCCCUUUCAUCAUAAAAAAAAAAUAAGCUUGAGGAAUGACUUAUGUUUGGAAAAAUUUUGGCAGAAUCUCCCCUGAAAUAUGAGCAUAUCCUCAACAAUACAUAGAGUUAAAAAGAAAAACACUUCUAUAUAAAUAUGCCACCAUAUCAACCAACCUCCAUACCAACAAUUAAACACUUCCAUAAUUAGUAAGACAAACAAUAUAGUACCAAAACCAACUCAACCAGAAAUCAGGUGCACAUGUCCAAUAAAAAAUGUCAUAAAAACAUCAUAAGCAUAAGCAAAAGACAAAUGACAUCAUAAGCAGAAACAAAAGACAUGCAAUGAGAAAUGUCUGUGCGAAGAUCAGAGGAGCAUAAAAACUAAGAUGGGGGCUGUGAAGAGGAGCUGCCGGGGUCAUAACCAAAGUAGCCGAGAAUACGACGCUGGCCCGCAAGUAACUCCAUCUGCUGAUCUGAAAUUUGUUCCCGAAAGGUUGCAAAAUCCGAUUGAAGUUGCUGCUGCUGCUGGGACAGAGCAUCCACUCUGUCGAGAAGCUAUUGAAAGCGAUCCUCAGGAACAGCCGAUGCUGUAGGAGGGACGGCAGUCUUGGCAGGCUCGUCAUCCUGAGAUGAAGCUGCUGCUGGUGCAGUAGGUGCUACUGGUGCUGCUGCUCUGCGAGGGACACGCGGUCUAGCCCCAAGGCGAAAAUCAGGUAACUCAUCCUCGGAGUAGACGUCAUUUAACAUACGAUCAUCCUCUGGUGCAAGCAGUGUGUCUUCGUUCUUAGAGGAUAUGGUCUUUUCUAAUUUCCCACGCUUCUUAAAGAAUCCGAUUGAAGAAAUAAUUUCUCGUCCGAGCUUACGUGUCUCGAGAUAAACAGGCUCGACGAUAGGAACUCGAAAGUGUUUCAAGAUCCUAGUAAUGAUGCUACCAUAAGGAAGGGAUCGGUUGGAGACUUUAGGAGUGGACAACAUAUGACACAGGAUAGUGUAUGAUAAACUCACAUGCCGUCUACGGAUGAGGGAAUCUAAUAGACCAAUAUCAAGUCUAGUUACCUCAUCAGUGUGACCCUGUCUAGGAGUGACCAUGUGUUGGAGAAUGAUAUGAAGUAUUCGAACCUGAAAAAGGAGAAGUUGAGACCUAAAGAACAAAGAACAGAUGUCAUCGAAAAGAUCCCGACAACGACAAAUGUUCCGUACACCAUCCACAUGAUGGAAUUCACUAAAUGAGAUUUCUUUCCUAGCGGUGUACAGAUCUAACCCUCCAUAAGAGAUUCCUAGAAUACUACACAAUUCGGAUUCAUUAAAGGCAAUGCGAAUUCCUCCUACAGAUGUAUAAAGCUCGACACGACGAGUAGAAGAGAAUUCUAUGUUUGAAUAAAAGACACGGACUAGAUUUUCAUAAAUCGGUUCUUCGAUACUUAAUGCUUGCUUCUAAUGACUAAGCAUUUGAGUAAUGGAAUGACCACAAAUAGUAAUAUCCGAAAACUCUGAAAUGUUAAGAGAAAAAGAGGGAGUUACGGGUUUACCCAUGAAUUUUUCACGAAAUUGUUGAGCAGAGGUGUCAUCGGAAAAAUGGAGACUCUCGAAGUCUUGAGGGGGAGACCUGGGGGGACUAGAACGUCGCGGAGCAGUGUGCUUGGUUCGAGCACGCCUUUGUGGUCGUUCCGCCAUGGAUGAGUUGGGAGGAAAAUAGAUUGGUGGAAAUGAAGUUUGAGAGAUGAGACAGUGAUUGUGGGUGGAAAUGUAGUUGGAAAAGGAAGAAAUUUGGGUCAAAUUGAACAAAUGAGGUUCGGCUGGUUCUAAGGUUUCAAGAUGAGAUUUUUCAAAUUUUGAAGAAAAAGAAGGAUUUUAAUCGGUUAAAAAGUGGUAGAGAUGAUAAAGAUGGUUUGUAAUGCUGCAAUUUGGUGAAAAAUGACAAGAAAAAUGAUGGAUUUGAGAGGGGAGAACGGGUGCAGUCGCGGGUUGGAGUGAGAGAGAAAGAGAGAGAGAAAACGAAAUGAGGAGGAAGACGAAGGACUGUUCAAUUAAUGCGUCAUAACGGUGAGCCGUUAUAGAGAAAACGGCGAGCCGACAGAGUCCAGAGAGUUCUCUAAAAAUUUUCAUCAUACCGGCGAGCCGUUUAUAGACAUAACGGCAAGCCGAUAAGGUCCAGAGUGUCCCCUCAAAAUUUUGUAUCAGGACGGCGAACCGAUAGUUAGUUAUCGGCGAACCGAUAGCGUCCAGAAUACUUCCCAUUGUUUCUACCCCAAAACGGUUAGCCGUUUAUUGAAAUAACGGCAAUAUGUUUUCUAUAACUUAUGAUUUCGCACAUUUAUUUUGAUAUUUCGCUACUAUUAAUACAUUUCAAGAUCAUUUUAUUGAUCCAAAAUGAUUUAAGUGCCAGUUCAAUGCAUAAUUCGUGAACAUAUAUAUGUAUUGUAACAAUUAAUUCAUACAUUUUCAAAUAUACAUACACACCACAUGUAUAUUACGAUUGAGCAUUUCAUAGAUAGUAAAGUAUCAAGUCAUAAAUCAAUCAAUGAUAAUAGACUCAAUAGCAUGAAUAAAGAUGUUAAUGUGAAAAUUUCAUCAUCCCAAGUUCAUGUCGAAUUUUUGAAAAUUGUUCUUCGCAAAGAGGUUUUGUAAAAAUAUCGGCAAGUUGUUUUUCCGUAGAAAUAAACUCUAAUGCAAUAUCUCUCUUUUGAACAUGAUCUCUCAAGAAAUGAUGUCUUAUUUCUAUAUGCUUGGUUAGAGAGUGUUGAAUGUGAUUCUUUGAAAGAUUUAUAUCACUAGUAUUAUCACACUUAAUAUGAAUUUAUUCUAGGUUAAUACCAUAGUCUUUAAGUGUUUGUUUCAUCCAAAGAGCUUGUGCACAAUAGCUUCCUGCAGCUAUAUAUUCAGCCUCGGUAGUUGAGAGUGCAACAGAAUUUUGUUUCUUUCUAAACCAUGAAACAAGUGAGUGACCUAGGAUAUGGCAAGUUCCACUAGUGCUUUUUCUAUCAACUUUAUAACCAGCAAAGUCCGCAUCUAAAUAGCAUGUUAAAUCUAUAUGAGUUCCUCUAGGAUACCAAAAGCCAAUAUCUAUGGUUCCACUCAAAUAACGAAAUUUUUUUUUAACAGCAAGCAAAUGAGAUUCUUGGGACAUGAUUGAAAUCUUGCACACAAACAUACACUAAACAUGAUAUCGGGUCUACUUGUAGUCAAAUAAAGUAAAGAUCCGAUCAUACCUCGAUACAUUUUGAUAUCCACUUCUUUGUCCUUUUCAUCUUUGUCGAGCUUGGUUGUUGUACUCAUUGGUGUAUUUUUGGUCUUUGAGUCGUCAAUGCCGAAUCGUUUGAGUAGAUCUCUUACAUACUUGGCUUGAUUUAUGAAUAUUCCUUCCUCAUUUUGUUUUAUUUGCAGCCCAAUGAAGUACUUUAGCUCUCCCAUCAUACUCAUUUCAAAUUCAUUGCUCAUACGAGACGAAAACUCUUUGUACAACAAUUCAUUAGUAGAACAAAAAAUAAUAUCAUCAACAUAAAUUUGAACAACAAGUCUGUCUUUGUUCUUAUGUUUAACAAAGAGAGUGGUAUCCGCUUUACCCAUGGAAAAAUCAUUUUCUAACAGGAAAUUUUUAAGCCUAUCGUACCAUGCUCUAGGUGCUUGUUUUAAUCCAUACAAAGCUUUAAACAACUUAUACACAUGAUUUGGAAAUUUUUCAUUUUCAAAACCAGGGGGUUGUUUUACAUACACUUCUUCCAUAAUAUAACCAUUUAAGAAAGCACUUUUCACAUCCAUUUGAAAUCAAAUGAAAUCUUUAUGACAAGCAAAUGCCAACAACAUUCUAAUUGAUUCUAGUCUAGCUACGGGUGCAAAAGUUUCAUUAAAAUCAAUUCAUUCUUCUUGGUUGUAACCUUGAGCCACUAAUCUAGCUUUAUUUCUUACAACCACACCGGAUUCAUCCAUCUUAUUUCUAAAUACCAUUUAGUACCUAUGACAGAUUGAUGUUCCGGUUUAGGAACUAAUUCUCACACAUUAUUUCUUUCAAAUUGAUUUAACUCCUCUUGUAUUGCCAUAAUCCAAGAUUCAUCAUUUUCCGCAUCCGCAAAGGAUUUGGAUUCAAUUUGAGAGAUAAAUGCAUUAUGCUCACAAGUAUUCUUAAGAGAUGAUAUAGUUGUAACACCUCGUGAGAGAUCUCCUAAAAUUACAUCUUUAUGAUGAGAAGAGACAUACCUCCACUCCUUGGGGAGUGUUUGAGAAAUACCUUCUUGUUGUUCUAGCUCCGUAUUUGUUUGUUCUUCUUGUCUAUCCUCUUGAUUUUCUUGUGGUGCAUUCUCUUGAUUCUCUUUUGAUGAUUCUUUUUGUAACUCUCCAUCAGCAUCAUCAUUAGCAACUCCUUUCUCCGCAGAGGAGGGGUUAGAUUCAUCAAACGUAACAUGUAUGGAUUCUUCCACAACUAAAGUUCUUUUAUUAUAAAUUCUAUAAACUUUGCUUGAGUUUGAAUACCCGAGAAAGAUGCCAACAUCAGAUUUUGGAUCAAAUUUACUAAGAUUAUCUUUUGUGUUUAAAAUAAAACAUUUGCAUCCAAAAACUUUGAAAUAACCAAUGUUGGGUUUUCUAUCUUUCCAAAGCUCAUAGGGAGUUUUAUUGAGAUGAGGUCUAAUCAACACCUGAUUUAAAACAUAGCAAGCGGUGUUGACGGCUUCGGCUAAAAAAUAUUUAGGUAAUGCAUUUUCAUUUAACAUGGUCCUAUCCAUUUCUUGAAUAGACCGAUUCUUUCUCUCAACAACUUCAUUUUGUUGUGGAGUCCUAGGUGAUGAAAAUUGAUGCUCAAUGCCAAGAUUAUUGCAAAAAUUCUCAAAUGUAUAAUUUUCAAAUUCUCCUCCAUGAUCACUCCUAAUUCAUAUAAUACCAUACCCUUUUUUCAUUUUGUAAUUUCUUAUAAAGUACUUUAAAAGCAUCAAGAGCAUCAUCCUUAUUGGAUAAGAAUAGUACCCAUGUAUAUCUAGAAUAAUCAUCCACUAUCACAAAUGCAUAAUAUUUGCCAUUUAGACUAGCAUAUCUAGAUGGCCCAAAUAGAUCUAUGUGAAGGAGUUCAAGUGGUUUUGAAGUAGAAAUAUGGUUUUUAUUUUUGAAAGAAGUUUUGAUUUGUUUUCCAAAUUGACAAGCUUCACAAAUCUUAUCCUUUUGAAAAAUAAUUUUCGGAAGACCUUUAACUAAAUCAUUUUUCGAAAUUUUUGAAAUCAAAUCCAUACUUGCAUGUCCUAACCUUCUAUGCCAUAGCCAACUAUCAUCAUGUAAUGCGGAAAAACAUUUAUCAAUAGUAGAUGCACAUUCUAUGUCAACGAUAUAAACAUUACCACAUCUAUUACCAAUAAAAAAAAUUUUGCCAUCACAUGAGUUCUCAAUAACACAACUAAAUUUAUCAAAGAUAAUUUUAUAACCUUUGUCACAUAAUUGACUAAUGCUAAUUAAGUUGUGUUUCAAGUUCUCAACCAAACAUACAUUCUCAAUUAGAGUUGAAGAGACUUUACCAACAUUUCCAAUUCCAAGAAUUUUUCAUUUUGAGUUGUCUCCAAAUGAUACGUCUCCACCAUCUUCAAUUUUGGUGAAGCUUGAGAACCAUGCAUAGUUUCCGGUCAUGUGCCUUGAACAACCGCUGUCCAAAUACCAUUUAUUUUUCUUCUUCUUUAAGCCCUACAAAGAAAAUCUUAAGUUUUAGGUACCCAAAACUUUUUGGGUCCUUGAGAGUUAGCAACGGUUCCUUUUGGAACCCAAAUACAUUUGACACCAUAAUAUGCAUUCCUUUUCACGGGAUAUCUAUAUUUCAUGUGACCAUUUUGAUUACAAUAAUGACAGACAAUCUUAUGAUCACUUAUGGAGGUAGCUUUAACAAAAUAAUUCUUAUAAUACUUUUGCUUCAAGUUAGGCUUAUAUCCAAGUCCUCCUUUAUCAAAAACACAUUUUUGUGAGUUAAGCAUAUUAUCCAACAUCUUUUGCCCAUUUGUAAAUUUCAAAACAAUUUUAUUCAACUCAUUGCUCUUUUUCUUGAGCAUUUCGUUUUCAUUUUUCAAAUCAUCUAUGUGUGAUUCUAAAUGCUCAUGUAAGAUACUAGGUUUCUCAUUUGAUAAUACAAUUUCAUUAUGCAAUGUUUUGUUCUCUACUUCUAGGCAUGCAAUUUUUGCAUUUAAAGAUUCAUUUUCAUUUUUAACUUUUGCCAUUUCCUUUUUAAGACAUACAUUCUUUUUACCAAUCUUCAUCAACUCAUUAUGCAAUUCUUUAAAAGCAUCAUACAAUUCAUCAUAGGUGGGAUCACUUACCUCAUUGAGAUUAUCAUCCUCUCCUAUUGCCAUAAGCGCUAGGUUUGAUACUUCUUGCAAUCCUUCGUCAUCACUUGAAUCUUCCUCGCUGUCAUCAUACGUUGCAACCAUGGCUUUCUUCUUGAGUUUGUUGAUAAGUGGGCACUCCGAUCUUAUAUGGCCAGACUUCUUGCACUCAUAGCAUGUGAUCAUCUCUUUCUUCUCCCUUUGGUUCUUGAAGUUUCUGAAUUUUCUUCGCUCUCCAGUUUUCUUAAAAAACUUUCUGAAUCUCCUUGCUAGCAUGACUAACUCUUCAUCAUCCGGUUCACUACCUCCAUCACUCUCAUAUUUUGAAGUUUUGAGAGCAAUGCUUUUCUUCUUCUCCUCAUCACAUUUUUCUGCUGCCAAGUCUUCUUCAUAUGAAAUAAGAGAACCAAUUAAAUCAUCAAGAGGUAAAGUAUUUAAAUUUUUGGCCUCUUCAAUGGCAGUUCUUUUAGGUCUCCAUUCUUUUGGAAGUGACCUAAUGAUUUUCUUAACUUUCUCAUUAUUUUAGAAGGUCUUCCCUGAGGCACCUAGAGUGUUCACUAUGUCCGUGAAUCUAGUAUACAUAUAAUACACAUUUUCAUUUUGUUCCAUUUGGAACAACUCAUAUUGACGAGUGUAUCUACUAAUUUUAGACUCUUUAACUUGAUUUGUCCCUUCAUAAACAACUUCAAGUUUAUUCCAUAUUUCUUGUGCACUUUCACAACUAGAUACUCUAUGGAAUUCUUUCUUAUCAAGGGCACAAAAUAAAGCAUUCAAAGCCUUGGAGUUUAGAGACAUUUUUCUCUUUUCUAACUCACUCCAUUGACUUGAUGGUUUAUGAAUAUCAUCUCCUACUUCAUCUUUAAACAUAGGCAUGAAUGGACCAUCAUAAACAACUUCCUAAAAUUCAUAAUCUAAGGCUUGCAAAUAGAUUCUCAUCCUAGUUUUCCAAUAAGCAUAGUCAUUACCAUCAAAGAACGGUGGUCUAGUUGUAGAUUGCCCUUCUCUAAAGGUUGAGUCAUUUAGGGUUGCCAUGGAUCUUUUGCUCUAGACGAUUAAGUCCUAACAAGAGAACAAGGCUCUGAUACCAAAUGAAAUACUAGUUAUGCAACCCAAGAGGGGGGUGAAUUGGAAUUCUAAAAAAUUAUUCAAUUUUUAAUUUAAAGCUUAAUGUAGAUAUGAAACAAAUUCAAAGCAAUAACAAAUAAGUUAACCACAAUAAAAAGGAUAAAGGAAGAGAGAUUCAAACACUGAGAUUUUUACGCGGUUCGGCCAACCUUGCCUACGUCCACGCCUCCAAGCUUUCCGAGCUUGAGGAUUCCACUAAGCAAGCCUCCAAGGCUUCAAAUGCUUACACUUGACUUCGAAGGUGUCAAUGACCUUUACAACAAGAGAUUAUCCCAAUCUCUUAACCCAAGUGUAUCCCAACACUUACAAUCACUCAAAGAUAAAAGAUUAAAAACUUGUUUUGCCUCUCACAAUAUUUAAGAUGACAAAAUAAUACCCAAUAUGUGAAUAGAUGAAGUAAGAAUGUAUUUAAAGCUUAAUGAAGAUUGUAUUAUCAAGUAUAAGCUCAGUAGUCGUGUUGUGAUUAAUCCUUGUUUAAGUUUGAAUGAGCUCAUUUAUAGCUGCAGCUGAAAACUAGCCAUUAUUGACUUUCUGCACACUGUCGGAUCGCCGUUAGCUAGAUGUCAGAUCGUCGUUUGACUGGUUAAUAUGACCGUUGGGCUAAUUUUUCAAAUUGUCGGAUUACCGUUAUCUAGAUGUCGGAUCACCGUUUAGGUCCAGAGGCUAACCUUCAGUUCUGUUUGAUCUCGGCGAGCCGUUUAUUAAACUUGUCGGAUCACCGUUUAGGUCCAGAGGCUAACCUUUAAUUCUGAUUGAUCUCGGCGAGCCGUUUAUCAAAAUUUUUGGUUCGCCGUUUAGGUCCAGAGACUAAUCUUUAUUUCUGUUUGGUAUCGGUGAGCCGUUUAUUAAACUUGUCGGAUCGCCGUUUUCCACAAAAACUGCUGCAUUGAACUAUUUUGCAAGACAAUUGUUUUGUAUGUAAAUCUUUAUAAAAAUACUUUAUGAAACUUGUCAAAAUAGAUGAAAAUUAUGUUGAGCUUUUAAAAGAUUAAUCAAUCUUAAUCAUGUUUGUUAUCAUCAAAAUCAAUAAGGAAUUAUUUAUGUUAACAAAUCACAUUGUGCCAGAAGCAAUACAAGCUCAAAGCAUAACAGCACGAAAAUUGCAAAGAGGGAAAAUCAAAGUGUAAUAGAGCAUAAAUUGUAAAGAGAAAAGCCGAGACUCACAAAUAUUCACAGUGGCAGCUGAAGUAUAUGCUGAUGAACACAGAACACAGCCGCGACGGAGUGAGAGAUCAGACGAGUGAUGCUGAUGAGUGAUGAAACGAACAAAGCCUCACCGUGAAGGUGAUGACAAGCCACGCCGCAAAGGAUCUGAUCUGAUCUGAAGAAGAGAUUACAUGAGAGUUGCAGAGAGAGUGAGAGAGAUUAAGUGACGAUGGAGGACUGAGGAAUGAGUCACGGCUCACGGGUGAGAGAGAUUGAGAGAGGAACAAAUUACGGAUGAGACUUGAGAGAUUGAGAGGAGAAAUUACAGAUUUACAGUAAUUGUUUUUAAGUUAAAAGAGAAAUUUCGAGAGAGGAUCAGAGGAACGAGAGAGAUCUAUGGUUCACUUUUGUUUUUUUUUUAAUUUUUCUAUUUAUAUUUACGGAUUUACGGAUCAAAAUUAAUAUUAAAAUAAAUAAUAUUCGAGUCUGGGUUCCGAAUUUGGGGGUUCACCUGAAGCUAGAUCCGGACCCGAAAAAUGCGGGUUGUCAAAAACUGAUCCGGAUUCGGAUAAAAACUAUUUCGGUGCGGGUCGAACCUGGACCAGAAUUUUUGGAUUCAAUCCGAGUCCGAUCCGGGUUCGGGUUUGGUUGCCAUCCCUAGUUGUACCUUACCACAACCCUUGUCUUUUAUCAAAUAGUUAAUGUAAAAUUUCAUUGAACCCUUUAUACUUUAUUUUAUUUAUAAUUAUUUUGUAAGUAUUGAAAAGAAAAAAUUAUCCUCAAAUUUUAUCUUCAAUAUAUUUUUUUCCCGUUUCUUCUUCUGCUCUCUCACUUUCUCUCUGUAAUGGGUUUAAUGAUGGCUUCAAUAUUGGUCAAGAUUGCUGACCGAUUUGUGGAUAAUUAGUUGUAGGUCAUUGAUUGUUUGUGUGAUGGUUCUCGUGGUGGAAAAUAUAGGCAUCAAAACAAAAUCCUCAAUUUGAUCUGAGAAGCCGAAGUGAGAGUGAGAGAAAGCGAAAUGGCGAUGGCAAGGUGAGCUCAAGCCUUGCUUAUCCAGAGUGAUUAUGUGUUGCAGCUUCAAAUUGUGGCUUCGAUGGAUCUCCGAUUUCCUCUGUCUGUCAUGGUGGGGUUGUGGUGCAGCUGACGUGAUGUUGUUUCGAGAGAGGAAAGAUAAGGCUGACAUGGGUCAAAGUUGUCGGUCGUGGUGCGACUGUGCUAUCUUGCCGACGUGGAGCAGUGUGGUGGCAACCGGUAACAGGUAGCUUCACAAUAUGGGUAUUUGGGUUGAGAGCAGACUGGAGAGAUGAAGCCAUAAUGGUUUCUUUUGAAUUUGAUUUUGGAUUGAUUUUGUUUGGAUGUCACGUGUGUGGGUAUUUGGGUUAUUUUCAUUUAGUGUUGGUUUUUUUUUAAUUAUAAGUUAUGAAUAGAUCGAUUUUGUAAUUAACCACUAGAAUCCCUACUCGUAUUGUUGAAAAUUUUGUUGAUGAUGAGUUUUUUUUUUUAAACCAACAAAUACUUCAAUUCCAUUCAAGAUGGAAACUCUACUCAGUAUCAGUAACUGGGCACAAAAUGGAAAAUCUCAAAAAAAAGGGAUAAGAUUUUAAUAUUCCACAAGCUAAAACAAAGGUACCAAAAUCAGUUGCAUAUCUUCUUUCAAAUCAUUAAUGACCCAAUUCCCAGGUAAUUCAGAGGUAGAAUAUCUACUUGCUGCGCUUGGCUGCACGCUUCCCUUGGCCUUUCUCGGGAGGUCCCUUUCCACAACGUUUCAACAUUUCAAGCUUGGGUAAGCGCUCUUGUUCUUGGCGGGCCAUGACGAGAACUUACCAUCAAUGAGCUUCUUCCACAAAAUCUUGUUGGGUGAUCUCUGGCCAGUGGGAUUAAGUACAUACCCAAAUAUCUUAGCCCUCACCUCAGUUAGCCUUGUGGUCACUAUUGUGGCCAAAAUGUUCUUAAGCCUCUCUCAUGUAGCCAUCAUCACUCGCAACUCUACCUGAUUAGCUCUGUUGAUAAUGAGUUAACUUUGUCAAUGAUCAGUGAUGAGAGAUGAGUUAAUCUUAAUUUCUACAAAAUUUUUUAAUGCUAAUCUAAGGAUAUUUUUGUCUUUUCAUUAAUAUUAAUGUGUUAUGAUUAUUAAUGUAGCGUGGUUGAAAAUAAAAACUCAUUUAAUACUUAUAAAUAAAUAAAUAAAUAAAGUGUAAGGUGAUAAAUUAAAUUUUGAUAAUGUAGGUAAGUAUAAAGUAUUAUAAUAUUUUAUGAUAAAUUAUAAAUAAAAUAGAGUGUAAGGGAUUCAAUGAAAUUUUACAUUAAUUAAUUCACAAAAGACAAAGACUGUGGUAAGGUACAACCGUGGCAACAUAGGCAGACCCUAAAAACAAAUCAUUAUUUUUUUUUUUGAAAGGAAACUUCCAUUAAAUCGAAGAGGAAAAUAGAUACAUCAAUUGUGAAGGGUAAGAACCCAUCCAAACAACAUUUUCACAUUUCUCUAAUGCUAACUUAGCUAGAAAGUGGGCAAUGACAUUACGAGAUCUAUGAGUAUAAUUAAUGCUAACUAGCUCAAAGUUCCUCAUUAAGUUUUGAAUCUCCGAAAUUAUCCAAAAGAUCUCAGACUUGCCGCCUUGCUUGUUGUUAACUAACUUGACUACGCUUUGAGCGUCUGAUUCAACAAUUAAAGCCUUUGCACUUGCAUUCCUAGCAAUCUGUAAUCCCCAUUCCAAGGCUUCUGCUUCAGCAAAGGAAACAUCUCCAUAAAAUUUCGAAAUCUUGAUUGCAGCUGCUAUGACAUUCCCCCGAUCAUCUCGGAUUAUAGCUCCCAGCCCUGCAAGAUGCUUUUCUGAGCUUGUAGCAGCAUCCACAUUGACUUUAACAGAUCCACUUUGGGGGGGAUUCCAAAUCUGCUGAGUCUGCACCUGCUGACUUUCCUUUCGAGCUUGCUCUGGUUUUUGAACUCUUUUGUAAGCCUCCAUUACUGCUUCAGCUUUAGCAACCAGAGUCUAGGGGUUCUCUCUUUUUCCUUUAAAAAGCAUCUCAUUUCUUGCAUUCCACACCAUCCAACAAAUCAUAACCAUUAGUUCUAAAUCAGCUUUGUUUCUUCUGCUGUACAUUUCAUGCAGCAAACUCAAAAAAUCCUGCCCAGCAGUUUGCAUGAUGUCAUUCUCUAAUAGAGUGAGUCUCCAUAUUUUCCUUGCAGCUUUACACUCUACCAAUGCAUGAAACACAUUCUCCACUCCGAGCUUGCAUACUUGGCAGGUAGGCUCUUGGAUAACUUUUCUCUUCCAUAAAUUUUCAGCAGAUGAGAGAAUAUUCUUGGCUGCCCUCCAAGCAAAAAUUCUGAUUUUCUCAGGUAAAGCAAGAGUCCAUAUGAUAUUCCAUUGAUUUUUUCCUGACAUUGAACUUGAAGGCAUGGCUGGAAGUUUAAGACUAAGGGCUGUUUGAUUGCCACUCUUGACCGAGUAGAGACCUUUCUUGUCAUAAUGACAGGUGAUUGUAUCUUCUUUUGGGCUUCAAGGCAAAGGGAUUUCAAUAAUUUUAUCAGCAUCCAUUCUAUUGAAAUGCCUGUAUAUCAGGCUCUCAUUCCACUGGUUUUCUUCAUUUAUCAGCUCAGCAACCAAUGUAUCUUCUGGCAAAGAUGGCCUAACUAUUGGCUUGAAGGUUGACAGCUUCAGGAUCCAGUUAUCUUUGUGAAUUUGGAUUUUUUGGCCAUCUCCAAUUCUCCACCUUGCACCAGAACUGAGAUUCUGUCUUCCUCAUAGGAUGCUUCUCCAUACAAAUGAUAGUGUGGACCCGAGCUUAGCCUUCAUGAAGUCUUUAUUUUGGAAAUACCUAGCUUGUAGAACCUUUGCCACUAAUGAAUCCGAGAAUUGUAAUAUCAUCCACCCUUGCUUAGCCACUAGAGCUUGGUUGAAACUUGAAAAGUCUCGGAAACCCAUGCCUCUUUUACAUUUGGCCUGACUCAGCUUCUCCCACUUCGACCAGUGGAUGCUUCUUUUGUCGCUCUUUGAUCCCCACUAAAAGUCAGCCACAGUUUUUUGGAUAUCAUUGCAAACACUCAUUGGGAUCUUGAAUACACUCAUGGCAUAGGCUGGAAUGGCUUGCGCUGCAGCUUUGAUUAAAACGUCUUUGCCCCCACAUGAGAAGAAUUUGUGCUGCCAGCUGGAGAUUUUGUUAAAGACUUUCAGUUUGAUGUCAUUAAAGAAGUUGCUCAUUUUUCUUCCUAUCAUAGCUGGUAAGUCUAGAUACUUCUCGUGCCUUGAGCCAAUAUUAAGCUGAAAAAUCUGUCCAAUUACAGUGGCUCGAUCAUGCUGGACAUUGCCACUCAGGAACAGAGAUGAUUUCUCAAAAUUAAAAAUUUGCCCGAAAGCUGCUGAGUAGCAAUCAAGUAUCUUUUUCAGGUUCCCACAAUCGGCCAUUGAAGCUCGGCUAAAUAUAAGGCUAUCAUCAACGAACAAGAGGUGGGAAAUGUUCAACUCCUUUCUAAAAGACAGCCCAUGGAUGAGUUUCUGUUGUUCGGCCUGCAGCAACAAAGAGGAAAAGACCUCUGCACAAGUAAUAAACAAGUAAGGGGACAGGGGGCACCCUUGCCGUAAACCUCUCUGGGGCUUUAUUAAUCCUCUGACCGAGCCAUUUAUAAUCAAAGAGAAAGAAACAUAGCUUAUACACUUCAUGACCAAGCAAAUCCAGUUUUGAGAAAACCUCAUACAUUUCAUAGUUUGCUCAAUAAAACUCCAUUCCAAUCUGUCGUAAGCCUUACUAACAUCAAGUUUCAAUGCCACUAACCCAUUUUUUCUCCCUUUGCAGUGCCUUAUUUUAUGUAAACAUUCAUAUCCUACAAUAACAUUGUCGGUUAUCAAUCUAUCAGGUAUAAAAGCACUUUGAAUUGGAGAGAUGAUUUGGUGCAGAAUUUGUUUGAAUCUGUUGGCAACUGACUUAGCCAUUAUCCUAUAGAUAACAUUGCAAAGGCUGAUAAGCCUAAAGUCUGUAACUUUUCUAGGUUUCCCCUUCUUAGGAAUCAUGGCUAUGUAAUUAUAAUUAAGGGGGGCUAGAGUACCUUGAUUGUUUAAGAUGUGAAGACAGGUAGUAAGAACUCCCUCUUUGACCUCAUUCCAGUGCUUUUGGUAAAAAGCUGUUGGUAGCCCAUCGGGCCCCGGUGCCUUGGUUGGGCACAUUUGAUUUAAGGCUUCAGUCACUUCCUCCGCUUUAAAAGGUUUCUCUAACGACUCAUUCAUGUCCUCGGAUACUCUCGGGGUGAUACCUUUUAGCGCUGCUUUCAUCUGGUUUUGACUUGGCUUGGUUGUUGUAAAUAGCUUUGUGAAAUAGUUGCAGAAUUCAGCCUCCACAUCUCUGGCUUUCUUUAACCAAUCCCCUGAGCUAUUUUCAAUCCCCCAAAUUCUGUUCUUUUUCUUUCUAUUCGACACUUUAUGAUGGAAGAACUUUGUGUUCUUGUCCCCUUCCUUGAGCCAAUCUGCUCUUGAGCGUUGCUUCUAGUAAAUCUCCUCAUCAAUGAUGAUAUUUAUAAUCUGAUUUUCCACCAUUUUAAUCUUUUCUCCAGAUUCGUACUGCACCCCUCUCUGCUUCCAUCCUUGAAGCUGCUUUUGUAACUGCUCUAGCUGUUUUUCCCUUCCUUUGAAUUCCCUCUUGCUCUAGUUUAGAAGUCUAGCCAUUGAUUCUUUAGCAAUCUUUCGAAACAAAUAAACUGGAUUGCCACUCUGCCAAUUGCUAUUCAAGCUCCAUUCCUCGUUAACUAUCUCCUUACAAGCCUCAUACGGACUCCACAUAUCCUCAUAAUGAAUUCGUGAGGAUUGUCUCCUACUCGCAGCCAUUUCCUCUCCCCUCUCUUGAACCAUCAUCAGCACUGGACAAUGGUCUGAGGUCCAUGUGUUCAGGUUGAUUACUGCAUCAUUGACAAAAAUAUCACACCAGGCUCUGUUGCAAACAAAACGGUCCAACCUUUCCUCUAUAAAUCUCUGUCCAAACCUCCCAUUACUCCAAGUAAAAGGGUAACCCUUAUACCCUACAUAUGCUAAUUCACAAUCUCUCAAAGCCUGCCUGAAGCUAUUAAUUAAGUUGACAUUUCUCUCAUUGCCUCCGCUCUUCUCAUGAGGAUGCAGAAUUUCAUUGAAGUCUUCGAAACAUAACCAAGGACUAGGAGACAAACCUACCAACCUUCUCAAAAGUGACCAUGUAUGUUGUUUCUGCCCCAUUUCCGGAUGCCCGUACACCCCUGUGCAUCACAUUUGCCUCCCAUUGGCCAUCUGAACUUCAGCAUCUAUGUGAUGCUUGCUGAACGAUUUAAUUUGUACACAAGUUUCUUCAUUCAAAGCAAAGAUAAACCCCCUCCCCUUCCACUACAGCUCACGGCAAAACAAUUAUCAAAUUUUAACUUUUUUCCAGUCACAUUCAUUUGCGUGGUUGACAGCUUGGUUUCACACAAAAAUACCAGUUGAUGACCAUGCAUAUGGAGGAUUUGUUUAAGUACUAGAAACGCUCGGGGAUUCCCCAAACCCCAAACGUUCCAUGAGAUGAUCUUCAUGGCUUUCGGCGGGGCUGGCUUCCAGCCUCCGCCGAUAUCUCUGCUAUGGUUGAAUCCAUGUCCACCAUAUUUUCCAACAUCAAUGGUUCCCAGCUCAAUUUAACUUUUGCCGCUGGAGAAUGGUGCCCCUGCUUCUUUGUUUCUGAUUUAAUUGGACUAGAGAGCUUUGCUUUCUUUUUCGGGCUUUGUCCCAUUGCCUCUCUACUUGUUCGUUUAUGAGCUCCCAGCCCCAUUUUGGAUUCUCUUCCAUUUGGCUCUCUAGCUCGUCUCUUCCAUUUUCUUUUUGUGGGCCUUGCUUGAGUAAUUUCCGGCCCAUUAUCUAUUUUAGCUUCCUCCAUUUCUUUCAAAUUUGUCUUGAACUUUUCCCUCUCUUUCUCCAUCCCAUCUCCUGCCAAUAUUCCCCCUUCUCUAGGAAUUAUUUCAUUGCUGAUAUUCCCACCUUGCUUUUUGCCGCCCAUUUGCUUUUCUUUCAUCGAUUCUACCACUCCUUUCAUUAAAUUCUGCUCACCUACUCCUUCCACCUCAUCAAUCUUGGUAGUCUCCAUGGUUUGACCCGUUUUUUCGCUUAUGGGUUCUGACCCACUUGUUCUAAUCGGGUUGUCCUGGCUUUGUUGUUGUUGUUGCCGGUGGAUUCUGUUAUGCUCUGAACUUUCUUAUUUUUCUUUUGAUCUACUCCCUUCAUAAUUCCAUCUCUCAUUGUUGCGAUUCUUCCUUGAACGACCUCCUACGAUAAUUGCUUUCAUCCACCCACCGUAUGGUAGUUGCUCUUUUUGCUGUCCCUGAAAUUUGGCACACUCUUUGUAUUGAUGCCCAAUGAUGCCACAACAAUAACAGAAAUCUAGUAGUCGCUCAUAGACCACUAGCAUUGGAAUGUCUGAUUCACCUUCUUGUUUAAGGAAGAGUAUUUUCUUCAACGGCAGUGUUAUAUUGAUUAAUACCCUUAUUCUCGCAAAUUCGCCAAGGCAUUCUCCAUUUUCAUCUGUCUCAAUCUCCUCCACUGCCCUAAUCAUUCCUCCCAAUUCUUGGAGCAAUUCUUUCUCCAUGCAUACAAUCGGGACGUUGCGAAUCUGUAUCCAAAAGGUUGUGUGGAUAAAGUAUUGCUUUGUCAGCUCCCCUAUUCCUUUUGGUUCAGUAAGAACAAUUAAUGCUCUAUCAAAAUGCCAAGGACCUCCUGUUAAUACUCUUUUUUUAUCCGCUUCUUCUGUAAAUUUAAACAUAAAGCAAUUGUUCCCUAAGCUUUCAAUUUUAACCUCUUUUACAGUUCGCCACACUUGCUGCAAUGCACUCUUAAAUCCCUCCUUGUUGACUGCUCUUGUGAGGAGGACUUUGCCCACUAAGCAUCUUGCCAACAUUUUCCCCCUUGUGGCUUUCAUGUUCACCUCUAGUGACAUAUUGGUUUUGUCUUCCUCUCUUAUAGUUAUUGCGUUGCAUUUACGGAUUAGCUCGUCUGUAUCCAUGGCACCACAGGCUACAUGAUAUGGAUACAAUAGUGCCCCAUGUAUGACCCCUUGCCUUCUCUGCUCUCCCCAACUCUGAUUAGUAUAAUACUCAAACAAUCACCGAGAAUAAGGAAACGCUAAAGCUAAAAGAAAAACUUAACCCUGAAAGCACUCACUUCGGAGUGACCAUUGAGUCAUUAAGACCCUUUAAAGCUUCCAUUCCAGCUUCUCUGUCAUAGAGAGAGCGUUUGAAAGAAUAUUGUGCAAUUUAGUAACAAAAACAAAUCAUUAUUGAGUGUGAACAGACUUAUUGAUCACCCAAUUUUCAAACUUGUCAUCCUUAUUGAAUAUGCAUUCCCUUUUAAAAAAUUUUAAAAAAGGUACAAAUAAUGAAACAAAGUUUUGUUCCUUCAACAGUUGAUAGAGUUACGCAGCUUCAACUUGCAAGUGCUGUCGGCAUUUUCAAACUUGUAAGACCCUUCAACUUGCUUUCCUAGAUAGCUAUAAUUAAUAAUGACAACAGUCUCCCUUAUAGUGGCUAGUGAGCAACUUGUUUCGUGAAAUUAACGGUAUCUUCUCUCACAUUUUUUAAAAAAUUGAAUUAUAUAACCCACCAAAACUAUAAAGAAUUGUUAGUUUUUCUUCAUUAAAAUUAAUAUAUUGCUCCUCAUAUUGCAAAAUCAAAAUUCAGAAUAAGAAUGAUUGAUACUGUUUAUUUAUUAAAAUGAAAAUAAAAUAUAUGAAGCCUACAUAUUUUUGAAAUUAGAAAACAAGAACUUUAUUUUCCAUGGGGAGUGUUGGGAAUCAAGUUCUCAUUAUUUAAACUCUCAAUUGUACCUCACCGAAAUUUCAUAAUUUCACUUUUGUUCGCAAUUAAAAUAUUAUUAUAGUUAUUAUUCUUAUUUUUAUAGUUGUUGUUGUUGAUGAUGAUGAUGAUGAUGAUGAUGAUACAAGAUAAUAAAAUUAAUGAUAAUUAAACCAAUUUGAAUUUAGAGUGAGUGAGUACUAGGGGUGUUCAGAAUCCAAUCCGAUUCGCUCAAUCCGUCCGAUCUGCUCAAUCUGAUUCGUAUAAAUCCAAUCCGUGGAUUGGUGGAUUGGAUAUGGAUUGAAAAUUUAAAAAUCCGCAGUCGAUGGAUUGGAUAUGGAUUUACUUAUGUAAAUCCGCAGAAACCGUGAAUCCGCAAAAUAUAUAUAUAUAUAUAUAUAAUUAAAAAAUUAUUAUAAAUUUAAUUUUAAAAAAAUUAUAAAUGUGACAUUACAUAGUUACAUAAGCACUAUAACAUAUCUUAGCCAUUACUCAAUAAUAAUAUAAAAUGAAAAAUAAUUAAAUAAUCAAAUAUACAAAUAUAACUUGUAAAAAUUAUAAAACAAAAUAAAAGUAAAGUCACACGCACUAGCAAAAGCAAAGUAACAUAACGCCAAGUCACCAACAAUUUACAAAGUCACUCAAAAGCAAAGUAACAUGACGUUAAGUCACCAAUAAUUUGCAAACAAAAAACCCUAAGCUUCCCCGCCGUCACACACACUAGCAACACUCAAUACUGGUUGGAUACACUCUCGACACGGAUUUGAAGGACAUCGGCCGCGCGAUUCCGGCGAGAGCAAUCCAAUUUCUUUCCCAAGUCCAUUGAGCCACUUCACAUUCACUGGUUCCAGCUGAAUAAUUUCACUAUCACAACCUUCAAGAUCGCCACCCGUACAGCUUCUCCUGGUUCCCAUCGUGGACGGCUCCGUAAUCACCACUUUUCGACAGGCGCAACAGCCCUGGUGAAGGAUCAGACUGUGUUUGGUUUCCGAAACUUCACCAUUUCAAUUAAUUGUGGCUCUAUUUGAACAAUUAAUUUCGGUGUUAUAUUAACGUAUUAUUGUAACUUUAUUUGAACAAUUAAAUUUGGUGUGUUAUAUUUUGAAACUUUGAACGUAUUAUUAUAGCUUUAUUUGAAUAAUUAGUCUCGAUGUGUUAUAUUUUCAAACUUUAAAUGUAUUAUUUUAGCUUUAUUUAAAUAAUUUAUUUAUUUAAAUUUUAUUCAAUUUUAAAUUUAAUUGGUAGCAAAAUUAUUUUUAUAUUAUAUAUUUUUUUAUUUCAUUAGUUGGAGAGAACUAAAAAUUUUUAAUUCGAAAACUAAUGCGCAAAAUGGUGGAUUGGAUAUGGAUUUAGUCAAAUCCGCAUUCGAUCCGCAGACGUAUGGAUUGGAUAUGGAUUAAGUCAAAUCCGCAUCCGAUCCGCAGAUGUAUGGAUUGGAUUUGGAUUGAAUUUUAUCAAUCUGUGGAUUGGAUUGGAUUGGAUUGGAUUGAAAAAUUAUAAUCCGCAAAAUCAUGGAUCGGAUAUGGAUUGAUGUCCAAUCCGUUAAAUCCGAUCCGCGAACACCCCUAGUGAGUACCAUGAGUUCGCAUCAUUUGAUAUCAAAUGAGCAUCAUUACUAACUAAUAUAGGUUCGAUCGAAUUCAUCAUACGAAGUAUAUUAUCGGCUGUAGGUAUGGAAAUAAUUUUGUAUCCACAAACACUAUUUUUCAAAAUAUUUUAAGACUUAACUUAGCAUUUUUUAACCAUACAUGUAUAGGUUGUUUGACCUAUUUUAAAUAAUGGAGAUUACAACAAAUGAACAGAUGUGGAUUAGUAGUGUUGUUGAGUUCAAAAGAUUGAAGUUAAGAAAAGGGUUUCUUGAUCCAGAGAAAAUUCAAAAGAGCGAAGUGUCUUCGAGAUCAGAAGACGAAAUAAGGAAAGGGUAAGGUUUAUACUUUCAAAAUGAAUAUGUUGACAGAUCUUUGAAGAUUAUUUUCAUUAACAGUUGGAUCCCACACUUGAGUCUUUGUAGUCUCAGUCAGUCAGCUAUAAAGAUAAAUUAAUUUUGAGCGUGAAAGGGCUCAAUUGAUCACCAAAUUUUCGAACUUAUGAUCCUUAUUGAAUCUGCAUUCCCAUUUGAAAAACAAAAAAAAGAUUAACAUUAAUUUAACUUCAUCUAGAUUCCCAUUUGAAUCUGCAUUCUCAUUCCGUUCUUUGGGAAUGCGCAUAAUCAAACAAAAUCAUGUCCGCAUUUUCAAACUUGUGACCCUUCAAGCUUUCUAUAACAGCUAUAAUGAAUAAUUACAACAGUGCUACGUAAUAGUGAGCAACUUGUUUGAUGAAAUUAACAGCUUCUGUUCUCUCAUGUAUUUUUAAAAAAUUGAAUUAUCAAAGUUUUUAUUUCAAAAUUAGUGCUAUAGUUCAUUAACUUUUCAAAUUUUCUUUUUUCUUUCCACACAACAAAUUGAUUUUCCCUCCAAAAAAUGUAUUAAAUUGUUUAAUAUUGUAACUUCAAAAACUUAUAAUGAAUUUUUAAAGAGAUAAAUAGAGAAUGUCAAUCUCCCAUCUACUCAAAAUUAAUAUAUAUCAUUAACUCCUGAUUAUUUUUAUAACAACUAAUAACUUUCUGGGUAGCAUAAUUUUACAGUAUCAUCCUUGUUUGUAAGUAUAUUUUUAUUCACAUUUAUUAUAAAUUAAUUAAAUCAUAUCAAUGAAAAUUGAAAUAAAAAUUGAAGUACUAAAAAAAAUGUUUUGGUGUGAAUAAAAAAUUGAAAAUAAAAAUAUUUUUCUUAUAUUUUUUAUUUUUAAAUGUUUUUCUUUUAAUAAAUAUAUAUUUUAUAUUCUCAAAUUGAAUUAUUGAGUAAAUGACUCAUUUAUUCACUUUUUCUUUUAAUUUUUGUUAUUAGGAGGAUUUUUAGAUAUAAUGAAAAUUGUAAGGUAGUAAGUAAUAUAUAAUAAUUUUAAUAGAGAAAAAUAAAAAAUCUGUUAUUUUAAAAUAUAAAGAGAAAAAUAAUUAAUUUCAAAACAUUUUAGAAGAUAUUUCAAUAUGCGGUGGACCACAAACUCGAGUCUUUGUCAUCUCAGUCAACUAAAAGGACAUAUGCUAUAAUGUCCCUCUUCCCUCACAUAUUAAACCAAUGUGAUCUCAGAGUGAGUUUGCAUCGAAGGAGUAUCCUUACUAACUAAUAUAGGCUCGAUCAAUAGAGAUGACAAUAAUUUUUUUUAUCUACGAACAUUAUUUUUUCAAAAUAUUAUAUCUUUAGACUUAACUAAAUAUUUUUUUCACCAUGUAUGUAUAGUUUGUUUGAUCUCUUUUAAAUAGUGGAGAUCACAACAAAACAAAUGCGAAUUAGUAGUGAUGGUGAGUUCAGAAGAUUGAAGUUAAGAAAAUUAAGGGUUUCUUGAUCCGGAGAAAUUUCAAAAGAAUGAAGCGUCUUCGAAAUCAAAAGACAAAAAUAAAGAAAGGGUAAUGGUGUAAUUUUGAAAGUGAAUUUAUUGAGAGAUCUUUGAAGAUUUACUUCCGUUAAGACUUAGAUCCCGCACUCCUAAGCCUUUGUCGGCCCAAUCACUCAACUGUAAAGACAUUUUCUUGUUGAGUGUGAACAGACAUAUUGAUCACUAAAUUUUCAAACUUGUGAUCCUCGUUGAAUCUGAUUCCCCUUUGAAAAAUUAAAAAAAAGUGCAAAUAAUGAAACAAAAUUUUGUUCCUUAACAGCAAGUGUUGUCGGCAUUUUCAGACUUGUAACAAGGGAAUGCGGUCCUCUCCUGAACCCGAAUCUCAUUCCCUGUGACAAGACCCUUGUUACCCUUCAACUCGCUUUCUAAGAUAGCUAUAAUUAAUCGUGACAACAUUACUCUCAGUGAGCAAAAGUUAACAGCAUCUUCUCCCCAUUUUUUAAAAAAUGUAUUAUAUAACCCACCAAAACUAUAAAGAGUCUUUUCUUAUUAAAAUUAAUAAAUUACUCUUUAUAUUAAAUAAUUAAAAUUAAAAUUAAAAUUUAAAAUGAAAAUGAUUUAUUUAUUAAAAUAUAAAUAAAAUAUAUAAAGUUCAUAUGUUUUUUAAAUUAAAAAAUAAGAACUUAAUUUCAUUCCUUAAAUUCUCAAAUUUACCUCACAAAAAUUUCGUAAGCUCACUUUUGUCCUUAAUUAAAAUAUGAUUAUGUUAUUAUUAUGGUUAUUAUUCUUAUUUUUGUAAUAGUUGAUGUUGUUGUUGAUGAUGAUGAUAAUACAUAUAAUAAAAUUAAUAAUAAUAAAAAUAAUAACUAUAAUUUUAACAACAGCAAUAAUAAUCAUUAAUAUUAUUGUUGUUGUUGUUGUUGUUCUUCUUCUUCUUCUUCUUCUUCUUCUUCUUCUUCUUCUUCUUCUUCUUCUUCUUCUUCUUCUUCUUCUUCUUCUUCUUCUUCUUCUUCUUCUUGUUAUUAUUAUUAUUAUUAUUAUUAUUAUUAUUACUAUCCUAUUAUAAUAAUAUUAUUAAAUAAUUAUUUUGAAUAAUAAUAAUCACAAUUAUUAUAACAAACGACAAAAAUCAACUAAAGUAAUUUUAAUAACUUGUAAGAAUUCAUUUUUAUUCAUGGAUAUGUGAUUAUUUGUUAAUGUAUGCAAUUAAUUGUGAUGGUAAACAAAGAAUAUAUGGUAUAUUUUCAAGUUAAAAAAGAAAAACAAAACAAAGUUUUUACCAUUUCUUGCCUUAUCAUCUUUUAAAUUAGAGUUAUUAUUCUUUUUAUUUUUCAAGUUGCCAACUCAUCCGCAUUCUCUUUUAUUGAAUUUGAAGAUCGAUGAUCAUAAAUUUGUGUAAAAAUUUUAAGUAAAAAUUUUAAAUUAAAAUAAUCUUUUAAGUUAUUGGGAAAUAAUAACUUAGUAUAACAAAUAUUAUAUCCUAUACUUUAUUGCUACAAAACUACAAAACCAUAUAUUAUAUUAUGUUUCCAUAUUUCUCUUUUAUAGUGAAGACUCAUACUUCUUCUCUACUAAAUGCUAAAGUAUUGGCUUAAACUUUUUAAUCAGCACAAUAGACCCUAAGCUAUAUAUGUUAUAAUGUCCCUCUUCGCUCACGGAUUAAACCAAUCAGUAGCCUUCUCUCAUAUAGAAAAACUUUUUGCAUAAGACAAAUUAUUAUGUUAUCGGAAAAAUUACAGUAGACGUAAGCUAUAUAUGUUAUAAUGUUCAGAAGAUUGAAGUUAAGAAAAUUAAGGAAAGGGUAAGGAUGUAUUUUCAAAGUGAAUUAUUAAGAGAUCUUUGAAGAUUACUUCCGUCAAGAGUUGGGUCCCAUAGUUUUACCUUUUGCUCGUUCACGUGAAAGUCAGUUUAGAAUUUUUAUCUUAUUUCACAAAGCUAAUUUUUUUUAUCACAAGCAGGAGAGAAACGGCAUUUCUUAGCAGUAGUUCAUCACUGUAGUAGCGAGCGAGUGAGGAACAAAAUUACCAACAAUUAUCAAAAAUAAUUAUACAAAAAAGAUCACAUGCUAUAAUUAAUCAUGACAAUUGACAACAUUACUCCCACCGAGCAAAAGUUAACAGCAUCUUCUCCCACAUUUUUUUAAAAAAAAUUGUAUUAUAUAACCCACCAAAAGUAUAAGGAGUCUUUCCUUAUUAAAAUUAAUAAAUUACUCUUUAUACAGAGAAAUUAAAAUUUAAAAUGAGAAUGAUUGAUGAUGUUCAUUUAUUAAAAUAAAAAUAAAAUUUAUGAAGUCUAUAUAUUUUUAGAAUUAAAGAAUAACAACUUAAUUUUUUAGGGGGAGUGUUGAAAAUCAAAUUCUUAUUCCUUAAAUUCUCAAUUUUACCUUAAAAAAAUUAUAAGUUCACUUUUAUCCUUAAUUAAAAUAUUAUUAUGAUUAUUAUUCUUAUUUUUGUAACAGUUGCAGUUGUUGUUGUUGAUGAUGAUGAUAAUAGUUGAUAAUAAAAUUAAUAAUAAUAAUGAAAAUAAUAACUAUAAUUUUAACAGCUACAAUAAUAAUCAUUAAUAUUAUCGUUGUUGUUGUUGUUGUUAUUAUUAUUAUUAUUAUUAUUAUUAUUAUUAUUAUUAUUAUUAUUUUAAAUAAUAAUAAUCACAAUUAUUAUAACAAACAACGACAAUAAUUAACUAAUGUCAUUUUACUAACUUAUAACAAUUCAUUUUUUUAUUCCAAGACAAACUAACCAUAUCAAUAAUAAUACAGGUCAUUUCAAUUCUAAUUCUUACAGGUAAAGUAAAUAAUUUAUUCUGAUUCUCAUUUUUCAUUUUGAUUUUAUUCUAUUCCGAUUCCAUUUGAUUCUGAUUCCAGCCAAUUCUAAUUACCGAUUAGAAAAUGCAUUGUUACUACUUUAACAAUAACUAAUGAUUCUCCUCACAAUUCUUAUAGGGUUAUCCUUAUUUUAAAAUAUUUUUUAUUCGUAUUUAUUAUUAAUUAAUUAAAUUAUAUCAAUGAAAAUCAAAUAAAAAUUUAAGUAAUAAAAAUGAGAAAAUAUAUGUUUCGGUUUGAAUAAAAAAUUAUAAUAAAAUAUUUUUCUUACAUAUUUUAAAUAUUUUUAUUAUAAUAAAUAUUUUUUUUAUUCUCAAAAUAAAUUAUCAAGUAAACGAUUCAUUAACUCAUUUUUUUCCUUUAAAUUUUUGUUAUUAAGAAGAUUUUUGGGUAUUGACCGUGAAGGGCUCAACUGAUCGCUAAUUUUGCAGCAAUUGCCUUUUCUUUUUCUUUUUUUUAAUUGUUUUGAAAAAAUAUCCAGACUCAUUCUGCAAAGUAUCUGAGGCCAAAGCGCCGAAAGUUAGCAGUUAGUACACCCACAUGUGCUUUUCUUUACAAAAUCUAAAGUUAGCGUGGGUGUCUAUAACUUAAAUUUAAUAUAAUUUAUAAUUAGUAAAAUUCUUUGAUUGACCCAUUAAAUUUUAUUAUUCUAUUACUUAUUUUUAUAUUAAAAAUUUAGUAAUGUAGAAAAAUUCUUAAAAGUUAGAGCGCUGCUAUUCACCCCGAUUUUUAACCCCGAAAAGCGCCCCGAAUUUAAAACGCACCGUUUUGAUUAAAUUGAAAACGGUGCGUUUAACCCAUGUUUCUUCCUUUCCUUUCUUUUGCCAAACCACAGAAACGGACCUUUGCUUCCUUUUCGUUUAAUCCUAUCAUCUUGUGGUCACUGCCGCUGCUGCUUUCUUCAAGACCGAGCUCUCUGCCGCUGCUGCUUCCUUCAAAACCUAACGGCCCGUCCGCAGAGCCCAAUUCAAAGCCGUUCGAUCAAUCGACGAUCCGACACCGAGGCCCAUCAACUGGCGCGUCUGCCUCAGCUUCUUCUUCGUCCUCUCCGGCGUACACGGAAGAGCAAAUCGCGAUCGUGAGACAAAUUAAGAAACGAAAGAUUAUUGCGUGCGUUGAUGGCUCUGAUGGGUUUAAUUUACGUGCGUUGAUUCAGUUGUUGCUUGUGAUUUUGAUAAUUCUCUUGCAGUUUUUGCGUCUUCUAAUCCAAUUUAUGCCAUGUCGAGGUCUUACCCUUAUGAGUACAAGUUUACAACAGAAAGAGGGGUGAAUUUUUAUAUGAAGUCUAGCAAAUUUGAGUAGGACUAUCCGGUGGGUAGUGUUCAGAGAGUAAGGCUCGAAAAGCAAGUUGAAAAGGAUUACUUUACUAUUCUUGCACAGAAUUGCCGGUUAGAGAUUCAACGGCAGCAGUGGGGUUUUAUAAAGGAGACUCCCCAUUGUGACAUGUGGCAGACGUUUCAAUAUUCACCAGCUUGGUAAAUCUGACAAUAAUUUUGUAGUAAUCUACAUAAAGGUUGCUUGAUUGUGCUGCUAUGAUAUUCAUUAUUCAGAUAGGAGUAGCAAUCGUGUUACUGAAAUCUGGUUCAAUGAAACAAGCUGAAGCAAAACUGAAGUAAUUUUCUCCCACAUUCAAUUAAUGCAUCUUCAAAUCUUUCAUAAAGUUGAUCAUUUCCUCGGGAAAUGGAACAUUGCUCUUGUGUAAUGAAGUUUUAAGCAUUGCUGUAAAUGGUUUGUAUAUGAGAAAUUAUUUGUUUUAAUGCCAUAAUUUAUGUGCUGAUUGAUCUUUGAAGAAAUUUUGAGCGCGAUUAACUGUCUCUAGGGUCUGUUGUUGCCCAUGAUGCUCCAACAGCUGGAUGUCUAAUUAUGCAUUAUGAACCUUAACUAUCAGUUUCUAGAGCUGAUGUUCAACUAGCUAUUUGAUGAUGUUUUAGGAAGAUGUAUUUUGGCUGUUUGAGUUUCUAGAGCUGAUGUUAUGUUAGAAAUUAUAUUUAUUUUAAUUGUUGCUGCAGCAACAUAAAUAUAAACUGUUGAUUAACUUGAAUAUCCCAUUUGGAACCAAACAAUGACAAAAAUAAAAUAAUACAUCAAAACACAAGUUAGCAGAUGUUGAUUAACUUGAUACAAAUGCUCACGGUUGAGUAAUUUUAGAUACAAAUACUGAUGGUUCAGCUUACAAAUUAAAAUGAAACAACUCAAGAUUUAUAAAUUUAAAAUCAAACUGCUCAUGAUUCAGCUUACAAUCAUUAAAUAUAGGAACAAUAAUAUACAAACAAAUACUUACGGGUUUUGCAAUGUAGGAAUUCAGCACUCUAACUUUCACGAAUAAGUUGGCGUUUUGCAGUUUGGAAGCUCUGUACUUGGAGUUUUUACAUUUGCAGUUUACAGUUUGCAGUUUCAGUCUGCAAAGCGGAGUGUUGUGGUUCAAGCUUGUGCAAAUAGAAGAAGAAAGAAAAUGUUCACGUGCUGCACGGGUGGAACUAAAUGGGAAAGCAAUCAAAGCAAAAAAGCAAAAAAGCAAAAAAGCAAAGAAGCAAUCAACGCAAAAGGAAAACAGUCAAAGCAAAAAAGAAAUCAAAGCAAAACGCACCGUUUUGACAAUAUUUGGGGUACGGUUUCGGGGUUUAAAAUCGGGGUAAGUAGCUUGCUCUUUCCCUAAAAGUUAAGGAAAAUGAUGUUUGCCCCGGGUCAAACCCCGAAAAUGAAACGCACCGUUUUUAUUAACCCGCAAAACGCACCGUUUUGCCAAGCCCAUUUUCUUUAUCGAUUAAGUGCAGCACAGCCAUUCGAAGUCCUCAAUCCACAAUCAGUAAUAAAUUAUGAUUCUUUUCAAAUCGGAAGGGAGCCCUCCAGAAGGUCAAUUCCAUGAUAUAAUUAGAUGGAUGGAAGAUAUGACAAAGCGGCAAAAAAAUGUGGAGAAGGAAUCAGUUGCAGCUCUACUUUGGGUGAUAUGGAACGCUAGGAAUAAGUGGCUUUUUGAAGGGAAACAAGAGGCUCCAGCCAGAUUAGUAGCAAGAGCUGAAUCAGUUGUGGAGUCUUUUAAAAAUGCCAGCCAGUAUGAUGGGUUAAGGCCAAAUCAGAAAAGGGAGGGUAAGGAAAACCACAGGCAUUCUCUUCCAAAUGGGUGGCUAAAGGUAAAUGUAGAUGCUGCAGUGAACGUUGAGAAACAUGUAGCUGGGCUGGGGGUGGUAAUAACAGACGGGAACCAAAAUUGUAUAAUUGCUGCCAUUAACACUUCUAGAUACUUUGGCAACGUGGCAAUGGCCGAAGCUGCAGCUGUGAAAUGGGGAUUGCAGGUUGCUUUGAGAGUGGGGGGAACCUCUGUGUUGCUUGAAUCGGACUGUCAUGAAGUAGUAGAGAUUAUAAAUAACAGAGACAGUAGUAUGAUGGAAAUCUUUUGGGUGAUCUCUGAAAUUCUGGAAAUUAAGAAGAGUUUUCAGAAUUUCAAGGCUCAACACACACAUAGAUCUUGAGGGGUUUUGCAGUUGGGGUUAUGUAGUUGGGUUGUGUGGUGAAGUGAAAAAUCGAAAGCGAAAGAUGAUUUUUCUGUUUCUUUAUUACAGGAGAAAGAUGAGUUUGAUAAAGAGCUGGAAUGCUCAAGCAAAACGACGUUGUUUUAAGAAAAAUUGAAACGACCCAAAAAACUAAUAAAACGGCGUCGUUUUAUUAAAGCUUCGGGGCUUGACCCGGGGUUUGACCCGGGGCAUCUAUCAGCGCCCAAAAGUUAAUGGAGAAGGAAAAGAAAAAGAAAAAGUGUAAAUGAACUGUAUUCACCUAAGUUUCAAACAUGUGGUUCAAUCUGAAUUUGCUUUUUUCAAAAGUAAAUACAAAAGAAAAUAUAAAGAAAAAGAAAUUAAACGAGACAAAAAUUUGUGGCGUGGGUCAUUCAUAUCUUUUGCCAUUUCUUUUGUAGAGGUACAUAGGGUAGAUAUUUUGAAGUGAAAAGCAGAGCUUUUAUUGUUAUUUGCCUUAUCAUCUUUUAAAAUUAGAGUUAUUAUUCUUUUAUUUUUAAGUAGCCAACGGAUGGUAGCCAACUCAUCCGUGUUCUCUAUUAUUGAAUUUAAAGAUCAAUAAUUUAUGUUAAUAAAUAUUUUGUUAACUAUCAAAGUUUUUAUUUCAAAAUUACUGUUAUAAUUCAUUAAAAUUUCAAUUUUUCCUUUUUCUAUUCACACAACAGAUUGAUUUGCCCUCCAAAAAAAUGUAUUAGAUCGUUUAAUAUUGUAACAUCAAGAAACUUAUAAUAAAUUUUUAAAGAGAUAAAUAGAGAAUGUCAGUCUCGCAUCUACUUAAAAUUAAUAAAUAUACCACUAACUCCUUAUUAUUUUUAUAAUAACUAAUAACUUUCUUAACAAUAUAUUUUUAUAGUAUUAUCCUUGUUUGUAAGUACAUUUUUAUUCAUAUUUAUUAUAAAUUAAUUAAAUCAUAUCAAUAAAAAUUAAAAUAACACAAUAUGUUUUGGAGUGAAUAAAAGAUUGAAAAUAAAAAUAUUUUUCUUAUAUUUUUUGUUAUUUUUAAAUGUUUUUCUUAUAAUAAAUGUACAUUUUAUAUUCUUAAGAUGAAUUUUGAGUAAAUGACUCAUUUACUCACUUUUUCUUUAAAUUUUUUUGUUACUAGGAGGAUUUUUAGAUAUAAUGAAAAUUGUAAGGUAGUAAGUAAUAUGGCCAAAACUACAUUGCGUCAGGGGUUUGGUGCCCCACUCGUUUGUCUGUUAGCAAGGUCAGCGUUGGAUUUGAUCUGACGGCUGCAGAAGAGACACAAAUAUAAAGGGUAGUAACCUGAGGCAAAGGUAACAAGCCAGUCACCUGCAGAAAAUAAGUGUAUGAUAAAAUAACACAUGCAAUGAAUUUUGUAUUUUUUUUUUUUAGAAGACACAUGUAAUGAACUUGCUGGAAGCGUACAUGCAAGUAAUGGUUGGAAACAACCUACUGAAACCGUGCAAGUAUUGGUUGGGCUAAGAUUGACAUGAAAUUUCCCAAAUAGUGUCCGAAACAUUUGCAAAUAGUUAAUUCAAAGCGUCAAUAAAUGCUGGAAAAAAUACAUAUUUUUUAUUUUUUUUAUUAAGAAUACAUUUUUUUUGAUAAAAAAAUAAAUUAUUAAUGGUACAUAGCAACAAAUAUACCCAAAACAAUUAUCCAUAUAUUUGAAAAACAUUUGUUAACAAUACAUAUUUUUAGUAGUACACAUAUUAUAACAUAAACAAAUUGAGUUGUAUCAUGGACAGCCAUAAACUAUGAACAAAGAUUACGAUCUAAACUCCACAUGCAUGUUUAAUUUGUAGAUUCCAUUUUUUUCAUAAUGUGUUUCCCACCAUGGGAUAACAAGGGUUAUUCAGGCAAAACACUACGGCAAUUCAUUAUCAUAGACAGGAAAAAGACAAUGGCAAAGAUCAAUGAUUUAACACACAAGAAUGAGUGAAUAACAACAGCAAGUGAGAACCAUGCAGAAUCCUUUUUAUUAGAGAUCCUUUCUUAAAUCUUAAAUAAGAACAUUAAAUAAGCUUGAAAAAUAUUGGUAACUGGCCCAAUACACAUCCAUCUAACGGAAAACAGCGGACAGUUUGACGCAUGUGUGGAGCACUUGAGGAAACAGAGCAUCCACGGAAUGCCUAAAUUUGAAAAAAAAAAAAAUUGCAUUUGACGAAAAGGACUUUGAGCGUUCAAAUACAAAGUGUCGAUUAACCUUACAAGAUACAUCAACCAUCACAUAUGCUCAACAUGCAAUACCAAAUUAAAUUACCCAUCUCCAGGGUUGGAUUUGUCUUCAAUCAGAUGAAUGCUGGAGAGAAUAUAAUUGAAAGAAUGGCAUCAUCUACCAUGCAAGCUAAGGCUCCUUACAGAUGCUCAACAUGACACCACAAAAGAAAAUACAAUAUCAAAGACACAUCACCAACAUAUAUGCAAACUACCAAUUCUCACAGCAUGCAGUGCAACAACUCAUAAAAUAUGAAAUUUAACAUCAUCUAAGCAUUUUCUCAAGCUUAUUUCUCAUUAAAGAACUUAACUGAAAGUAGUAAACAUAGAGACAUAUAACAGCUUUAUAAGUACAGACCACAAAGUAGAACUUUGUUCGAAUGAUAAUGAUCAUAAUCCACAUUAUAAACGCAGUGAAAUCAUCAAAUGAAAUAAGAACACAGUACACAAUUACACAAAUAUUAGGCUUAAUUAAUUAUUUAGAUUAAAACACCAACUCACACAACUUCCUUGUUGGAAUCUUCUCAUAUCCCAUCUUCUUAGGGCUCAGAUCAUCAUCGUGAUCAUCAACAUCAGUGAAUUCCUCAUACGAAUUGCGAGAAUCGUGACGAUUAGCAAAGAGGCUCCACACCAAAUACAUGGUAACGGCAGUAAGCGAAUCACACCCAACGCCGAAAAGCAAAGCGACUGGUCCGGUCGCAUAGAGAGGAGAAGUCGUGCUCGAAGGGCAAAACACGACGUUUUGGCUCAUGGAUGAGGUGCUGCUCCCGAUCAUCGAUUGAAGGGAGAAUUGGACAAUCGAAGAAGAUUAAGGGACGGUGGGGACUGAAUUGGCGAAUUUCGGUGAAGAUUGUGACGAAUCCAACGGGGUUCUCGGAGUUUGGGUUAGGGUUACGGGGAUUGAAAUGGAUCGAGUAAGAGGAAAUGAAGAGGGUUUUGCAUGGCCUUCCGGAGGCUGAAAUUGAGAGGACACCAUGAAUAUUGUGAGAGCUAAGAGGAGAUGCUGAGUCGAUGACGCCAUUGAUUCGUACCACAUAGCUUCGAUUGGAAAUGAAGCCUCUAAUAGCUUUAGCCGGUUACCCAUUUUUCAAGUGUUAAAUCUCAACCGUUGACUGCCUUUCUUUAUGAUUUCAAGGGUCAUUCACAAAAGGACAAAGGUCAAUAUGCGGUGGACCACACCCUUGAGUUUUCCUCGUCGUCUCAGUCAACUAAAAGGACAAAAUAUUGAGUCUUUAAGGACUCAACUGAUUGUUAAUUUCACAGCAAUUACCUUUUUUCUUUCUUUUUUUUCUAAUUAUUUUGAAAUGGUAGGUAGCAAUUGCUUACAUCAAAAUAUCUAAACUCACUCGGCAAAGUAUCCGAGGCCAAAAUGCCAAAAGAUGGGACACCCACAUGUGCAUCUAAUUACAAAGUCUAAAGUUAAUGAAAAGAAAAAGAAAAAGAAAAAGUAUAAAUGAACGGUAUUCACCUCACUUUCAAACAUCUAGUUCAACAUGAAUUUCCUUUUACCAAAAGUAAAUUUCCUCUCGAAUUGUCCUCAUUACAUCAAACGAAUGAUGACGACGCUCUGUCCGUUUCUGGCUCUCUGCUUUUCUCUCUCACAUCACGAGACACCUCGUUUCUAACUGGGGUACCACCAUCAUAUUUAACUGUUAGGUCUUCCUACUAUGCACCUGAUGUAUGCAUGAUUCCUUAUGACAUGACAUACAGCCAAUUAAAUUCUGACAUGUUUGCAAUAAAGACUGUUAAACCGGUUGAAUUCACAAGAUCUCUUGUUUGUGUGUUUAUGUUCCAAGUUGUGUACUCUGUGUUAUGAGUUCUCUAAUUAGUCUGAUAUUAUCGCAACUGUUGCUCAAUAAUGUUAUAGGUUUUAUAAUAUAUGUCACCGGUACGAUCGCUGUCUCAAGUGGUAAACUUUGAGGCACAAAUUUAGAACGAAAAGUUCCUAAUAAAAUAAAUUAUUUAAUUAAUUAAAUAAGAAUAAAAUGAAUUUGUGAAAAAAAUUUAAAUUUAAUUUUGAAUUAUUUUGACCAAAAUUUAAGUUUUUUUUUAAUUUGUUUAAGAAAAUGCGUUGUAAUUGUCUUGUUUUAAUUGGAAAAUCAAUGAAAAAAUUAUGUAAAAGAAAAAAAAAAAAAAGCAAAACGGUUUGUUUUGGAUGGAGGCCAUAGAUUCCAAUAUUUCCUUCACGAAAACUACAAAAAAUUAUCAAAGGCAUCAAUUUCUACACUCUCACGGAGCAAUACUCUUAACCCAGAAGAAAGUGUAUAAACCAACCCCAAUUAGUCCAUCAAUGUCGUCAACCUCAUACAGCAUAAAAAAAAUCUGUGUCCAUUAAACCGCCAUUUAAACCGUCUUGAUUGAGCCAUUAGACUAUUCGUGUCAUCUUCCCAUCUCGUUGUAGUAUUUUGCCGUUCAAAUCUAGCUAUCAAUUGGGGAAAAUGGGGACCAAUCUGCAAGUCUUUAAAAUAGAAAGAAACUUUUAUUGGGCACUAUGUUCACGGUGGACCCAGCAGCAUUAAUAUUUAAGAUGGAGUUAUUUGUAUUUUAAAAAUUAUUUUAAACAUUCUAAUUUUAAUAAGAAUAUAUAUUAUAAAAAUAUUUAUCAUAUAAGUUAUUGGACAAUAUAUUAUAAGUCAACAUUAUAUAAUUACUUUGAACACUUAUAUAGCACAAUCCUAAUUCAAUUUAUUAUUCUCAUGACUUAAAUAUAAAAAUUUUUAUUUCCAACAUCUUAAUUAAUAUGUAGAUGAAUAAUAAGGAAAUUAACUUUGAGAAAAAAUUAAAUACAAAAUAUGUGUAAAGCUUUUAAAAAAUAAAAUAAAACAAAAGUAUUGCACAAGAUUUUGGGGGGGGGGGGGGGGGGGGGUUUGGCCAUUCUUCUUCUCCUCCUCUCUCUCUCUUUUGUUUGGGUAGUAUUUAUGGAACAUUUUCUAUUGUUAUGUUCUCAUCGCAAGUUAUUUUAGGUGUAAAAUUCAAUAUUGAAAAUAAAUUAAAUAAAAAAAUAGUAACUAAAAUUAUGUUAAAUUAUUUUUUUAUAAAUUAAUUUUUAAUUAUAUUAUUGUGAGUAUAUGCUAAAUCUCUUAAAAAUAGAGUGUUGAAUAAUUUUAUUAGUUUUUUAAAUAAAUAAAGUUAAGUAACUUAAAAAGUUUAAGUAAGGAUAUUUUUAAAUUUUAAACAGUAUACAAAGUAAAAUUUAAUUUUUUUAUAAUUAAGCUAUGAGCGUGCAAAGUAAUAUUUAGAAUACUAAUAAUCCUACCUUAAUCUUUAUCAUCACAUUAUUUUCCAUAAAAAGUUUACAAUUACCUCUUUAUUGGAUAAUUUUGUUCCCUCUCUUACCUUAUGUUCCCUUACAUUCUCAUUUCUGCAUCACCAUUUAAAUUAUAAUCAUAACGUUAAUCUUUAUCUAUCACAUAUUUUGCCAAAUUUAUUCGCACCGCAAAGCUCUUUCCUUUUUUUUUCCCCGUUAAGUUUGCUAUAAUGUACGUGAAGAAUUUAAAGAGAUCUUUCGUGUCCUUACCCUUUUUUUCGGGUGCACUUUUGCUGCUUUUUUACGUUUCUCCAGAAUUCACUUCAACAUGACUGGCGCAUUUUCUUCUUUCUCGCUGCAACAUCAACUAGGCCACCACCUCUUGCCUCUCCCGGUUCCCCUCAAUUUUCGUAUUCAAUGUCCACCGUUGAUUGUACAUUUAUUAAAAUUCUGUGGUUAUUAUUUUUUUGCAUAUAUUUAAUUCCACACGGUCUAUCGAUAGAGCAGGUGCAUCGUAGUUGUGGCCUUAACCCUGUUAUUGGUAACUCAAUAGCUAAUUCUAAUGUUUCAUCAAGCAGUUUAGAGAUAACCUCUCUCGCUGAACACCCUGGAGUAACGCAAUCCAGUUUUCCAGUGCAAUCAUCAGACAGUUGAACAGCUUCUGAAUUCCCUUUGCUUUUCUUGUUUUCUUUUCCAUGAAAAGGGAGCUCAGGCUUCAAUAUAUCUGGGGAUUGAGUACUAAUGAUAAAGACAACAUACGGUAGAGGACACAAAUUGUUAUCAAAGAAUGAUGCACUUUUCAACUGAGUACAGUAAAGCAGUACAGUAAAGCGAGAAUGGGUAAUUAGUUUUACCUGCUAAGCGAAAAUCUAGACUCCUGAAGGUAACCGAUCUUGGGUGAAGCAAAUAAAGAAGAAGGCGAAGUAAAAUUCACUGAGUUGAAUGAGCGAUCAUUGCGUAUGGACUUGAUUUGUUCAAUGGGUGAAAGACCGCUGAUAUAAUUAAAGACUGGAGAAUCCUGUACGUUGACAAGCAUCAUUUUUAAUCGAACAGAGAGUCUUAAAAACCUUGUCAGUGGCAAAUGAUCACGACAAGAAAUCUGAAGUAGAAACAGCAUAGCUCAACAAAUCACUAAGAGAAUAAGACCAAUAACCAAGCAGAUAAAAGAAAAGCAAAAUAACCCAUCUCAAAAUCACCACAUGCACAAUUUAAGGGGUUUGUGACAUGGGUUUAAACAUGAUUUAACAAGUGCCACCUGUGAAUUGUCAGAGAUUGUAUUUUCAUACACGUGUCAAAUUUUCAAAUCCAACAAAUUGUUAUCUUUCUAAAGAGGCUAAUAUUAUUAUUAUCUAUGCAUAGCAUGCUAUAAACAAUUCAUAUUACUAGGGCCUUUGUUUUCUGUGCACAACAUAUGGACAGAGGAACAAAUCCCUGAGCUAAAAUCAUCAUAUUCCAAAAUAUUCUAUUAAAUCAACACCACAAAACGCGAACGCUAAACAGAAUUGGAGCAAUUUACCAAAGCUAUUUGUCACGCAAAGCACUAGUACCUCAGAACCCAAUUUGCAAAAAAGCACCAAAAAUGAAAAAUAACAAAUGCCCAGAUGAAAAAUCAGGAAAAAAAAAUGCUCAAAUCCAAAUUACAACCCCAUAAGUUGAGUCGUUCUCUUCGAACUGAAUUAAAAAAGAUUAAAAAAAUAAAAUAGGGAGAUUGACCUCAAACUUUGGAAACAGAAGCGACAGCGAUCUGUUUCUUGUCUGGAGUGUCCAUUUCUAUAAUCUACUUUGUCCGUUUUCAGUCGCUCUGCUACAGAGCUUCUUCCCUCUGAAGCUGAAGCUCACACACUCUGCAAAACGAAAGCAUUUCUUUUUGAUUGAGAGGCGGGAAGGCGGGAAAAUGAGAGAAAUUUGCAUUUGUUUUCUCUUGGUUUGGUCAUACCUGUGCGGGCCCCAGCUUGACAAGCGGUAUUUUUACUAUUUGUAUAAUUUGCAUGACGCGUGUCACGCAAUGACGAUAAAAUAUAUAUAUAUAUAUAUAUAUUGUUAAUUUUUCACUUAACAUUGAAAUAUCAUAUAAUUUUUCCAAUUUUAUGGUUAUUUUCUCGCCCUUAUGCCACAUUCUUUUGAUCAAAUAAUACAGUAAAACUUUUCUAUAAUCGUAAUAUUAGAGCCAAAUUAACUUUGUUUCUGUAAAGAGGCUAUAGCUUAAUAAAGGUAAAAUUAUAAAAAUUAUUAUUUUGACUCAGUUAUCUUUAGUGCAAGUGAUAUAAAGUACAAAUAUAUGAUAAUUAAUUAAUGAACUAUGUCAAAUACAAUAUGCUGACAAUUAGGGGUGGGCAAAAUCGGGUUCGGGUCGGGUUCGGGUCAACCCGAUCGGGUUUCGGGUUGUUCGGGUUAGACAAGGAGCAAUCCGAACAUAACCCGAAUUAAUGAUCCGACCCGAACCGACCCGAACUAUCUUCGGGUCGGUUCGGGUCGGGUCAUUAAUUCGGGUUAUGUUCGGGUUGGAUUUAAAAUGGGUAGGAUUGAGUUCGGGUCAAUUUGGGUCAGUUCGGGUCAAUUCGGGUCGGUUGAAAUCGGGUCAGUUCGGGUCAAUUCGGGUCAGUUCGGGUCAGUUCGGGUCAAUUCGGGUCGGUUGAAAUCAGGUCAGUUCGGGUCAAUUCGGGUCAGUACGUUUUUUUUUUUUUUUUUUUUUAAGAACCCGAUCGGGUAUUCGGAUCGGGUCGGGUUUGACCCGAACCGAUCACAACCCGAUCGGGUUUGUAAAUUUCAAACCGAUCGGGUUUCGAUCCCGACCCGAUCCGACCCGAACCCGAAAUUUAUCGGGUCUGGUUGGGUCGGGUCGGGUCGGGUCGGAUCGGGUAAAAUGCCCACCCCUACUGACAAUGAUAAAAAAGAUAGAUAAUUUCAAGAAACUAAUGCAUAUAUUUAUGUAGUGUUGGGAUUAUACAAAAUUAUCUUAAAAGUGUAAAGAGUAAAGUAAUAUUCUGAUUAAUUUAAAAAAAAUUAUUUUAUCUUAAUCUUUAAUGCAACAUAGCUUUUUUUUUUUUUUUCUUAGCAACAAAGCAUUGUUCCAAAUAAUUAUUAUUGGAUUCAAAUCAUGUCCUAGGCAUUUUUUCUUCUAGUCGUCUUAAACUUUUAAGGAUUUAUUGGCAUGUGUCAAUCAUUAAUGAAAUUAAAUAACUAAGACUUUGUUUUAAUUAACGUUUACAUAAAUAGACAUCAAAACUCACGUGUGAUUCUUAUCAAAUUUUUUCCUGCAAAUUCUUUUCCUCUCAACUAUUCAUAUUUUGACAUUAAUUUCCAGCAAAUUAUUAAAAAAAAGAAGCGUAAAAUGGAGAAAAGUGAUUGACAACAAGGUUUGCAUCUUAAUUUCAAAAUUUCCCUUUCUUUGCUAUUUUUGUGGGUUCUACAAUUGUUGUUUUCACUCUCAGACAUGGCAAGUCCUUUGACAAAUGUUUCCCCGUUAGCAGAUUUAUCAUAAUGCAUCUCUCUGCAUCCCCACCUAAGAUGGAACCUGUUCUCACAAGAACAGACUCCAAGGUUGGGAAAAUCAAUUGAUCAUCGGAGAAAACAAACAGGAUUAACAAAUCACUACAAUGGUGUGAACCCGUAUAUACAAACGUACCUGCCCCCUUUGUCUGUGAUAUAUUUUCUUAUUGGCCCACUCAAAUAAACAUCCGGAGAAUCCUUGAGCAUCUGCAAUAGGGAAGCCUCGGUCUUAGUUGCAAACAGUGCAAAUAUAGUAUGCAUACAACGAGCAAUGAUGUUAUCACAAUCAAUAAACCCAAGGGCAAACGCAACAGGAUCUUACAUUCUUUGGAUACUCAUCCAUGUACCACCCUUGGACAAAAACCAAUCAGAGAAGCUUAUCUGUAAGAAGAAAUGAAGUUUGAGGUAAAAUAAAAAUUUGUAGGAACAGGGAUUGAAAUUCAACAAACAAGAAAAUAUGUUGUUUGUUGAAAUUCAACAAACAACAAACAAGGCUCCAUCAGGAUCAAGAAGUGCCUUUACAACAGGACUCACCGCAAGAGCAAUAGCAUUUCUUGAUUUAUCAUAAGUCUGCACUUGAGCAAUAUACGAGGCAAAGUACAUCAAAAGAGAAUCCAAAAGAGGCAAGAAGCUUCAACAUGAAAAAAGGGAGUACUGCCUCGUCAUACUGCUUUGCAAUCACAGUGCAAAAGAUAACAUCAACAAAAUCAAAAUCGAGCAUAAAUCUGUAUGCACUACCUUAAGCUGAUUUGUAGACAAAAAUGCACGAAUCCCAUGUAAUGGAGCUCCAAUCGGAAACCGGAAAUCAAGUUCUGGAGUUGAAAAUCAAAAUCAUGAAUCAAAUCAGAGUUAUUAUUGAAUUAGACAAUCCAUAAACCAAUAGAAGGUGAUGUCAAACCAUCAAGCAUAACUAUUAGUUGUUUUAAGUGAUCAAGAAAUAACUAUACCACCAAUUUCCCCACCCUUAUUUACAAAUUUAUGAGUAUGAUCCUUCAUGAGUAAAUUUUCGUCCGCACCGACCUGUCGACAUCCAUGAAAAACUAUCAGAUCAUAAACACAGGUUCCAGUUAAAGAGGAUCUAUGAUUCUGAUCCAUCAUGUUAUUUGAACAACAUUUUCGGAUUUUCUUACAACCCUAAGCUAUUAUCAGUUAUCAUCGCUACAAAUGAUAUGGUCAAGAGGAAUGAUAGUUCUUGUUUCAAGAAUCUCAAAUCGUAAUUCUUUUGCAUGGCUUCUGUGCUUUUAUAAUCAUUCAAACACGCAUAUCCACAACUAAGCAAGCUUUACCUUUUUUGUCAAUCGGAACAGAUUAUUGUAGCAUCCAAAGAAAACGUGCAGGCUGAUUUCAAUAUGGUUUCCACGUUUACGGACAAAUGAAGCCACUUUACCACCAAUAAAAGACCUCAACUCAUAUAUAUCCACCUGGAAGAAAGGAAAAGUUAAAAAAAAAGGAAUAAAAAUUCUUCUAAUUUCUUUCACCAUCAACAAAAUCAGAAAAACACAUACUAAUUCAAAAUGAAAUAAAGUUUGUGAAUUGAAAUAAUGCCAACUCCUAAGAAAAAUUAUGACUGCUGAUAUUUUUUCCAAAAUGCUGAUAAAAGCUUCUGCUAUUUACUUUGAAAAAAUUGAGGUUAGAAGCCUAUUUACUUGAAAUUUUGAGUUUAGGCAAGAGGAUGAAUGGUAAAAGUGAAACAUUUUAGGGAAAAAUGUACGUCAGAGGCCAAUGAAAGCAUUCAGAAGAUUGAAAUCUAAAUGAGCAAAACCCCGUGGCCUUGAUCCAACAAAUCCACUGCUGUUGACAUGCCUGCAAGCCCAGCUCCAAUAAUAGCGACUUUCAGCUUUGGUCCUCUAUAAUGUUCCGGUUCUGGUAGAAACAAACCCUUGGGAGCUGCCAAGUAUACCAUCCAAUUAUCCACAGCGAUCAUGGAAAUAUAUAUGUGUUUAAAGGUACUAAAUUCCUAAACAUGAAAUGUAUCCAAAGAGAGACACAAAGCAGAAUUGUGAAAGCAUUUCAAUUCCCAAUAAAUUUUAAGAAUACAAAAUACUCGGUCUGUUCCUCAAUUCCUUUAAUAAAAUUUCCACUAGAGGCUACGGAAGCCACUCAAUAACACUCCAAAGCCAGAUUUUAAACGUUAUCUUUAUCUUUAACUCCAAUCCAUAAACAAUUCUGCCACAAAUUCAAUCCAAAAUUGUUCAAGUGCACCGCCAAUUCUCCGUCAAUUCCCUCAAAAAUUCAUAAUUGGCAAACACUACAAACCAAAAAGAGCUUCCAGCAAUAAACGCAUAAAAAUCCACCAAGCAACAGAAAACAAAAUACCCAGAAACCAGAAAAGCCAAAAGAUCAAUGCUUGGCAAACAAGCAAAUCAAAUAAAACAAAAAGAAGAGGAAUUUACCCUUAACGCUCAUAUCAGAAACAUUAGUGUCCAAAGAAGCCCGUACACGGAAUCUUGGACCCUUCACUUGAACCCGAGACCAUGUAACGCCAGUAACUGAAGUUGCAGGAAACAGAACUGGAGAACCCAUAUUGCAAAUCCUGAGCUGAAAUCAAAGAAAUUCAAUUGGAACUCAAUUCAGCUCAACCGAGCGGAGCUCUCUUUUGCUUCAAUAACAAAGUGUUUUUCUUUCAUAUCAACAAAGAUUUGUCAACAUCAACAAAAUUUAACUAAGAAACUAAAAUAAUGCGGUAUCUUUGAGUUUAAGAAUCUAACAAGAUGCUAAGGAAGAGAGUUUUGUCAGGGAACUGUUUCGGAGAGGUUGGCCAAGUGCUUCUUUGUUAUUUUUUUUUUUUCUUUUUUUGCCCUUUUCAUUAAUACACAACAGUAGUACUCGCGAAGAGCACAAAAUGUUGGUGACUUUGUCACUAAGGAUACGAAAGUGGAGUGACCAGAGCAACCAACUAAAUUUUCUUUGGGUGAUUAAUUAAUUUAUUAUCAAAUAAUUUUAUUUAUUUAUUUAAACGACAUCCUUAUCUUUGUACAAGGCUGAUGAAAGACGACGAUGUUGCGUUGUCACAUAUUUUUGGGCCGACCGUUUCUUGUUUCGGCUUAAAUGAGGCUUUUGUAAUUUUGUGCUGUUUUUUUACUGAGUAUUUUGUGCUAAAUUACGCCAAAGAAAAAGUGUAAUUGUUAAAAGAUCUGCUGACACUCAUAACCUCUUAAGCGGAAUUUAUAAUGUGACAGUAUUGAUAUCUAAGUUCAUAAUAUCUAUAGGAGUGAUAAAACGAAUAAAUGAAUCGAACCGUAAAUGAAUUUAGUCAAAAUUUAAUGGAUUCGAAUUCGAUGUAUUAUCAAGCGAAUCAUAAUUUAAUAUUCAAAUUCAAUUCAUUUAUUAAAUGGAUAUCCAUUUAAUUCGUUUAUUGUAAAAAAUUUAAACAAAUUGAAUUAAAUUUGGAUUCGUUUACAAUUUGUUUAAUUUAUUUAUGCAAAAUUAAUAAUAAAUCAAUCAAAUGUGGAUUUGUUUAAAUAAUAAUAAUAAUAAUUAAUAACAAAAAUAAAGUAAAAUAAAAUAUAAAAAAUCAUAAAAUUAACAACCUACAAAAUACAAACGAAUUAGUGACCCCAAACUCGGAUUCGAUUCAUUUAUUAAUGAAUUGAAUUGAAUUCACCUAUUUGUUAAUGAAUUAUUUUUUUUUAAAUUCAGACCUAUUUAAUUUGAAUCUAAUAAACAAAUCCUAACCUAAAUUGCCACCUCUAAAUAUGAUGGACCUACUUAAAAUAUAUGAAUACCAAAAUGUGUGGGCUAAAAAGUGGUUUACCAUGCAGCAAUAUGAAUUUUAAGCUCUCUUUUCUUAUGUCACCCAAGGCAUUGGCUGGAUGGCCAAACAGCAGAGUUCAAGUCUACAAUAGAGAAUCGAAAUUUUCCUUUGUAAAUGUUCAUAAGUAUUUGCCAUAGAUUUUUAAGUUAUUCUUGAUAGAUCCCCUACCACAUACGCUAUAAUAUUUCUCUGCUUUUAAUUUAAAAAGUAAAUCAUGCAUAAUAACGGACUUGUAAGGAAAUGAAAUUUCUGGUAAUUAACUAACAAAAUAAAAAAAAGAUGGAUUAUGCCAAAGAAGUUAAUAUAGAGUAAGUCGAGUACUUGACAAUCAAAGUAAUUUUACUCGAGGUUGAUUAAGGAUAGUAUGAUACUUUCUCAAGUUUUAUGAGGACAUUCAUGUAACAUUGGACUAUUGACUAUAGUUAGAGAGAAGUCCAAGGAUGUAAGUGAUGAUGAUAGAUUCACAAUUCUUUUGAAGAAAAUAUUUUAUAUAAACUUAAUUAUAUGGUAUAAAAUGAUUGGCCUUAAUAAAAUUAAAAAAUAAUACACGCCUGGGUCAUGCAAUAUUUUCAACCAACUAAUUUACACGCAAAAUUAAACCUCAUGAGUGAGAACAUUAUGGUACAUUUAUUUGCUAGCAAAAUUAAACCUUAUGAGUGAGAACAUUAUCACGGCACAAAAUGCCUGUGAUAAUGAAACAAUGUGCCAUUCUUAAACUAAUAUUAUUAGAAACUAUAAGUGAAAGUUUUCAGAAAACAUGUGAUAAGUUUUUCUCGGAAUUUAUUUUCUCCUUUGUUUUGAUUUACGCGAGAGAUAAUUGUAAAGAUUGUUUUGAUAAGUUUUCAGAAAACAUGUGACGAAUCGUAGUAAAAAAAAUAUAUAUAAUAAUUGAAUGAGAUCCACGGUUCACAAUUGCAAAUUAAAGGUUGGUUUUAUAAUAAAAUCGUUUUGUGCAUACCAAAUUAGAAAAGAUUAUAAGUAAAUUAAGAUUUUCAAAAUUUGACUAGUAUUAUAUUACGUACAUCAAUAUAAUAUAAAUUUCUUAUAUAUAUAUUUUACUCUGUAACCAAUGCUUUCAAAAACUUUGUACUUGUAUGUUUGAACAACUUUUUUCGCUUUCUAUUUAUAUACGAUCUCAUUUAUGUUUACAUAAAUUUUCAUAUGUACCCAAAUUAAGCACUAAAUAAACACACUUUGGUAAGACACAUUAAUUUCUAGUAUCAGACAAUGAUAUUAUAUUGAAUGUAAUGCUUCCAUGAAUUUUAUUACUAUAUACUAAAAUACUCAACGAUCUCCAUUAAAAAAAAAUAUGCAUGAUUAGAAUUAUUAAAGAUCAUUUGAUGAGGAGUUUCAUCAUUAACUGUGUCGAAACACAGCAGCAAUCCACAAUACACUUAACACGAGAGGGGCACACAAGCAUGCAUGAAUCUUCCACCAUUAAACCUGAAAUCGCAAAUAAAAGAAACAAGAUGAGUGUUGUUUUACGGUCUGAAAGCCGAUUCCAAAUAAUAAUAAUAAUAAUAGUAAUAGUAAUAGACCUUUGUUAAUAAUUACUACUAGUUGUCUCUGCCUUUUACAUCUUCCUCCUCUGUAUCAUCGCCCUCUUCCAAUCACACGGCUAGACCAGUAUGUCUCGAGAAUCUCUACUGCCUUCUCAGAGAUCCCGUUGUCGUCAUGACUUCGUAGAUUUUCAAUCUUUUCUAAUCCCUCAGCCUCCUCAACCAACUGGGCAUAUUGAUUAAAAUCUCCAACGGCGGUACCCGUAUUCAUUUCAGCUACCCCGACCUUCAAAAUGUCCUCUAAUCCUUCUAAGCAAACAGUGACGAUCUUUGGAUCAGCGCAUAGAAGCAGAUCACACAAUGGUUUUACACACCCCUCUCUCACAAGGUGCUUGAUUUGCUCAUGAGUGCCAAACUUGGUGGCAUUUGAAAUUGCCCAAGCGGCCUCCUUCUUUGCAUCAAAUUCAGCAUUUUGAAGUAGAUUGACAAUGGGACCAAUUAAGCCGGAAUCAAUUACCGCCUGAAUCUGCUCCCCGUUUCCAGCUGUAAUAUUUGAAAUAGUCCGGCAUGCAUCCUUCUUAAGGCUCUCUUCAUGAUCAUGGAUCAACAGGCCCAAAAAGUAUGGCAGUGGAUCACAGUUAAUUAUAUACUGAGUCUGGAAAUCAUCUCCCAUCACAAUAUUUCCAACAGUCCGCAGGGCAGGGGCAAGCACUGAGGAUGAUGGAUGGCCAAGGAGCUCAACAAGUCGUGGACAGACACCUGCCUCGAUCACAGCUUGAAUUUUGUCAUUCGUACCAUCAGAAAGAUAGGAGAGUGUCCAACAGGCGUCACUCAACACCUCUUCAUCAUCUAAAUGAAUAAGCUGUGCAAGUGCCGGAAGAGCUGCCCUUACCUGAUCAAAUGGUGGUCCUGGCUUGCCCUUGCAUAAAUUAUACAAUGUCCUUGCGGCAAUUCUCAGCAUUGAAAGCUUGGCAUGCUCAUUUAACUCUGCCAGCAAUGGAAUCAAAGCUCCUUCACUAAGCACAAGAUCACGGCAUCCAGAUGAGUCACCAGCAACAUUUCCCAAUGCCCAAACAGCCUGCUCGCGGACAUCAUCACUUGGGGAAGCAAGCAGCUUCACAAAUAUUGGAACGGCACCGUGGUCAAUCACCACCUUAAUGUUCUCUGAAGUUCCAGAAGCAAUGUUUGAAAGAGCCCAAGCAGCCUCAUACUGAAGUUGCGGAUAGUCUUCCCUCAUAAGAAACUCAACAAAGCGCUGGACAACGCCAGAUUGUAUGACUUUAUCAAUUUGUGGACUCCUCGCAAUCGAAAGCAGUUUGCUGAACUGAGUAGUUGCUUCCAGCUGUAGGCCGCUGUCAUCUGACCAAACCCCAGCAACCAUCCCGGGUAAACUCGCCUACUUAUUUAUUUUAGGAGCAGGAGCAAGAGGAGGAAAUUAAGUUAGGGAUUUGGAGUGAGAGUGAAAGUGGAGAAAAAGCAAGAGAGGGAAAAAGCUGAUUGUUGAGAAAUAUAUACCUUUCGUAUGGUUGUGUUAAGGUCGUCCUUCCAAGCCCAACAUGCUUUACCCCGCCCCUGCACUUUGUGUAAUUUGGGCGUACUUAAUUUUCCUUCAGAGAAAAUCUUCAUAUCGGGGCAAUCAUCCACCACUAAUCUUUCCAAAGAUGGGAACUUGAAAGCACAAUUGCCAGAGCAGAAGCUUGUUAGUCCUUGUAAGCCUAAAAGCUUCAACUUCUUCAAUUCUCUGAAAGUAAUAACCUCAUCUUUUGCUACAACAUCAUCCACCAGUACUAUUUCUGUUAUCCUAUCGCAUGAUUGUAUCUCCAUAUAUCUAAGUCGCACCAGAGUCUUUGCAAUUGAGGAUGUUAAUACGAUUUUCAAUCGUUUACAACACGAUACCACCAGAUUUGUAAGAUUCUGAAAGGAUGUCGACGGUGGCACUAGAUCGACCAAAUGGUCACACCACUUUACAUGUAGAAUAACCAAGUUGUUCGUAACAGAGGACUCCUGUAUCAAAAUGUGCUCCAGAUGAUAACAAUCAUUUGCUUCUCUCACAUUAACCCCCAUCCCAUUUUCAACCUUCUCUUUCGGCAACCAAGUAUAAGAUCCUCCUCCUAUUUGCAGGACUUUCAUUGUGUGAAGUCUCUGGAGGAAGUCACCAAGUGAUAAAAUAGUCCGCUCAUCAACCAACUCCACGUAAAGAUAUUUUAGUUUGCAAAGCAAGUCUUCAGAAAAUAGAUAUUUAUUUGUUCCUAUGUACUUUGCAUCAACUUUCAACUCUUCCAACAUAGGGAAUACCUGGGAGAUCGAUCAGAACCCAAAAAAGAAAAAAAAUAAAUACAAGAUGAAUCAGUUGAUGAGAAUUAUAAGUUACCACUAAUUUAUAAAAUAUAUUUUAUUCAAUAAAUCUUAACCUUUAAAAAAAUUAGUAAUAAUAGUACGCCUAACAUCUAGAAUAAUUAUGAAUGAAUACUAUACACUAAUCUGUAAGAGAGUUACGUUGCUGACAAUUUGAGUUUUAGUAAGAAACCAAGCGAUGAAGGCAAAGGCAAUAUAACUCUAAACUCUAUGAUAUAAACUCUCACAGUACAUACAUAAGAAUUGAAAAAUUGAUUAUAAAAUUCUUGUACGUACCCUUUCCGUGAAGAUACUAGUAGUUCUUUUGUAUCUCAUCAUGAAUUCAGGACAAUGGAAUAUCCUUAAUUCUUUCAAGGAUGGAAAUUCAAGAAUAUCAAGAUCUCCAGUGCAGAAGCUUGUGAACUUUUUAAGAUCAUACAUCUUCAGAUAUUGCAACUGGGGAAACGUUACAAUAUUAUUCUUCAUUUCUUCUUGGUUGUCCACGACUAUUAACUCUUCCAGGACAGGACAUACACUUAUAUCAAUGCGUUGGAGUCGAACAAAGCUACUAACGGUAGAAGAUGAAAAUAGACAUCUUAAAUUCAUACAGCCGAACAGGGUCAAGUGCGUUAAAUUCUGAAUACCACAAGACUUGACUGUAACUUGGUUCAGCCAAAUCCUCUCAACAUUUAUUGAACCCAACGUCAACUUCUCUAACUCUGGUAAUCGAACCUGCUCGAUCAAAAAAUCAACUCGUUAAUUACAAGCAACAAUGAUUUCUGUUGAUGGACAAAUCAAUAAAAUUACUCUUUCUCUGUUUAUAGUUCUUUUCAGUUUUUCAUACAAACAACCGUUAAUCAAGUUUUCCAAAUUAUUCCUUACUAAAUGUAUAGAUUUAGAGGGCGGCUAAUAUAAUUCAUAUUGCAAAUAUUCUUUGAUUGUAACGAAUUUUGUAAUAUUAAAUUUUGUUUGAUUCGCAAUAGGACCUACCAUCCAGCGCGAGCAGUUCUCGGGGAUUUAACUACUGGCACCUCGAUUAUAUAAAAAUUUGGAAUAUUUUCAAAGGAAAUCAAAUAAUUCCCCCUUGCCAAUAGUAAUUAUCAUUAAUUGCCGCGGGUUCACAUAUAAUUCUAAGAAAUUAGGCGAGAAGAGUCUCAUCAACAAUCAAUCAGCAGAUAUCACGUUCGGCAGAUCAUCAUGAUUUCCUCAGAUGCUAGAGAAUCAACGUGAUUUCCGCUCAUGCAGGAGUGGACACAUUAUCUUAGAGCAUCCCUUACUGAGAUCUUUUAAAAAAUUUAUAUUAUAAAGUGAACAACAUAUUUAGUAUAGAUUUAGACGGCGGCUAGUAUAAUUUAUCUGUAUUCUAAUGACGUAUAUUAAAGAAAAUGACUAACCAUAAUUUCAAUCAACUUAUUAGUCUAUAUAUAUAUAUAUAUAUAUAAAAUAUUCAGUGAUUACAACAUAUUUAGUAUUCCAUAACAUGAUGUUUAUAAUAAUAAUUAUUAUUAAUUCACUUAUUGUGUCAAGAACCUUUUCUUUCUCUAAGAAUGAAUUUGUUACACCCUACUAUACUACGGAUGAAAAAUUUAGAAUCAUUGUGAAAUGUGAUUAUUAAUCACUCUUUGCCAUAUUUGCUACCAAACAAGAAUGCAACAAAGAAAAAAAAAACAAAAAUUAUAGAGCAUUAAUAAGACCAUUGACUUAUCAAUAACUGACCUUCUCAGCGAAAAGUGUAUUAGAAAUUUGGACAUUGUCCUCCAAAAUGAUUUCAUGUGACCGCAAAUUAUUUGUUGAUUCCUCCUGUCUCUGCUAACAUUGCAGGUGUAUUGAUUUUAGAGUGUAAGCUUAAUUGUGAGCACAACCUUAAUGCAUAGAUACAAGAUCUUUAAAAAUUAGUACAAUAAACUUAGCACUAAAUCUAAAUUUGAUAUUUUGGAUUCCAUGAUUAAGAUUUUUUUUAAAUGAAAAUUUAAUAGGGUUAAUUUAAAAAUAAAAAUUAAAUAUGAAAAAUUAGACUUGCAAUUAUGGAUUUAAUUUUGAUAAAUAAUGAAUGUUCUCUUAAUAUUUUUUUUAAAAGGUAAAAGUGCGUGCAAAGCCCAAAUUCAUUUUUUUAGUCCCUUACUCUCCCAUGAUUCAAACUUGGGUGGUUGUGGGAGGACUGAAAAUAUAUAAGACCGUUAACUUCACUUUUUUUUUCUUUUUUUUUUUUUUUGUUGAGAGAAAAGAGAAGAAGGAUAUUACAAAGCAUGAAGCUCGUGCAAUAUAAGGACAAUUAUGGUUUUUUCUUUAAAUUAAAAUGGUAAGAUUUUGAAGCUAAAAGAUUAAAAUAUUAAUUAAAUUGCAACCAUUAAAGAUUUUUUUUUUCAAAUGGUUGCUUUGAAAAUGAGAAUAAUAUAAUAUUUGAAGACUUUUCAAAAUUAAUUACUGUGAUAGAUGCACUAGAAAUUUCUAGCUUUAGUCUAAUGUAUAAAUUGACAAAACGAUAUUAGAAUUCCAGGUGAAAAGAACCCUCUCAUACCAUUUUCUUAAAUUAGGAAUGAUCAUACCUCUGACUCUGCCGGACUGAGGGUGAGGUCUGAACCCCACAUCUCGAGACGCUUGAGAUGGGAAGAGCCCACAUUACGAAAAUAAUCGACAUCUUGCUCUUGCAAUCCACGUAAUUCAAGGUCUUCAAUUCUCUGCAGUUGCACGAUCAGCGAAUCCUUCAAGCAAAUGUUGUUAUUUAGCUGGAGACUGAAUUCACGAUACCAAAUGCCGGUGCUCUCCCAAUAGCCAACAUCUCCAAUGCGUAUGAUGUACCUUUCCAGCUUCUCCAAGAGCAGGCCUCUGGGCAGAGUGCUGACGUCAUAGACGUGUAAUUCCAAAGAGGUCAAGUUGGGCAAAUGCUUCAACUCCUCAAGGCUUGCAUUCUUAACCCCUUCUUCCACCUCCACCUCCCAUUUAUCAAAGCUUUCACCUAUAUAUAGUUCUUCUAAACGGGAUAAUUUUGACAGUAUAUUUGGUGGAAUAACUUCUAGUUCCUCACAAUCUCUCAAAUCAAGCAAAUUUAGCCAAGUCAAUUCACCUACUUCUGUUGGCAUCUGCUUAAUAUCGGAGCCUCUUAAGCAAAGGAUUUCUAGAUUCUUCUUCAAGUCUACUACAAAACUUAUAUCAGGCAAGCUGCAGCGACACAAACUCAGUGUUCGAAGGUUUGACAGGAGACCAAGUGAUGAAGGCAGUACCAUGUCAGUCAAGUUUACAACUCUGACCUCGAUCAUGCUCUUGAAAAAGUUGUCUGGAAUUGUUACUCGUGAAGAUUCCCAAGGAUCAUUACUUAGAAAAAGAAGUUCGAGUUGAGGACAUUCCAGUACUUCAGGAAGCAAAUUAGGCUUGAUAUCAUGUAAGACGAUUGAAGUGCAAUGCUUUAUUGCACUUCCGUCUGACCAUUCCCUGCAACCAUCAACCUGCUCAUUUGUAGCAGUAAACACAUUUCGUUCAGUAGAUGCAAUUGAUACGGCGACAUCGCGAACUACAUCAUGCAUAGAAAACAACUCUUUCUCCUGGCUUAUAUGGUCAAGCAACAUACAAGAAGCUUUGAGUGUGCGCACCAAUGUAUGUACUCGAUUUCGUGCUACUUCAAUCUUAUUCACACCUUGAAAUAAACCCAAUCCCAUACCACACAUUAACAAGUCAUCAAUAGAUGAUAUGGCUGUAUAUCCUAUUAGCAAAAAGAUGUUCUUGAGAUCAUCCCUUCCUAGUUUAUUGUAGCUCAACUCGAUAGCUUUAAAUGCGGCUGGCUGUACAUCCUUAAAAUUCGAUGAAGAAGGCCUUCUUAGCUGUUCCAAUGCAUCCUUCCAUUCACGUAUGCUGUUGCUCCUUAAUGCCCUUGCAACCGUCACAAUGGAAACUGGUAGACCUGCACAUUCCUCUGCCACAUUCCUUGCCACCUCUUCCAAUUCACUACCUUCAACAUAAUCACCUGCCAUCUUCUUGAAUAGACUCCAAGCUUCUUCUUCGUUUAAAACACCAACUGGGAAAUUUGUUCGACAAUCCAUCUUCUCAGACAAUACAUUUAGACUUCUGGCCGUCAACAAUACUUUACAACCAUCUCCAAGAGGAAUUCGGACAUUCCCCAAAUUAAGAUUCUCCCAAAUGUUGUCUAAAACUAUCAGGAUCUUCUUCACUUUUUUUAUACCUUCACAUAACCUGCCUGCCCUUCCUUCAUCACUUUCCUCAUGCAACUUCAGGCCUAAUUUAUCUGCAAUUACUCCUUGAAUCUUUCGUAUGUCUUGAUUCUGAGACACCUCAACAAAAACCACCUGAUCAAAGAGUUUGUCACUCUUGACUUUCCUAGCAACUUCUUCGGCCAGCGUCGUCUUUCCGAUUCCGCCCAUUCCAUAGAUCCCAAGCAUGUUGACAUCGCGAUCUUCUAGUGCACUGAGUAUACUCAUCAAAGUGGACAUUCUUGAUUCAAAGGGCUCGUAGUCUUUGCUAGGGAUAAGCCGAAUAUCCUCUGGAGCAGUACGGUAGGAAAUUCUAUCAAAUCUUCGAUCUUCUCGGACUUUGACAACAGCCUCCUUCUUCCUCUCUGCUUCCUUGCUAAGUCGACGGCGGGUCUUCAAAUUAGGACACAACCCCUUGAAACAACGUUUAGUUGCAGCGGCUUCAUCUUCUGUAAAUUUAUCUGCCUCUUCAAUGACUUUGUUGGCCCCUUCAAGCCAACUCCUAACGUUCUCUUCAAUUUCUUCCCCGUUUCGUUCAGCCUCAUCAACCUGGUGCUCUGUACGCACCCUCUCAGACUUUAGUUUCUCAACUUCAGUCUUGAGAUUCUGUAAGUUGCUCGUGUACUUACUCUCACGCAAAUAGCUAAUUUGGCGAUAUGCGGGAGGAGCCAAGCACUUCACAACUUCUACAACAAUAGUAAGAAUGAAAUCAGCCAUCUUCAGUCCUUUGUCCCUGUCUCUCGAUCUCUCUUUUUCUGAAUUUUUGAAAAACAAUUGACUAUUUAGGAAGCACACUGAGUGAUUGAACACAAGUGACUACAACAAGAUGGAACAAAAUAAAAAGGAAAAAAAUACAAAGAGUGGAUGGAGAAUAAAACAGAGACAGCGGCACAGCUGGACACAACUAGAUAGAGAACAGAGGAAAACCAAAUAACAAGACUGAAGAUUACAACAAACAGAGGCCAAGUAUUGUUGAGAUCAGAAGAUGGAAAAUUCAAAAGAGUUGAUGGCAGAUGCUGAAUAACAGAACAACAAUGAACGCAAUAAACAGAAGCAAAGUGUGUUUGCGAUCGACAGACGGAAGUAAGGAAAGCGGUUGUUGAUUGAAAAUGAAUGAAUGCAAAGAAAGACUGAUGUUGAAAAUUGAUGUCAAUAGCGAAGGAAUAAUUGAACUUUCGCUGAAUUAUUGUUUGUGGCCUUCUUUUACUUUUUAUUUGUGGGUCAUGUCUUUUGGAACUAAUCAUCUUAGCUUAUGCCUUACAGCUUUAAGGCCAGUAACCGGUGUCCGUUGGAUAAGCAUAUAGAAAUCCAACGGUGGAUAUAUAUCCUUGCAGAACAAAAUUCAACAGCAACACCCCAACUUUAAAUAUGAUUAUCUGUUGGGGAGUGCUGGGCUGCAGUUUCUUAAGGAGAUUUAUAUAUCCUCCUCAAAAAUAAAUGUUUUAAGAUAGAUAUUUAGACUAUUUCAUCAUAAAAUAAAUGUAAUUAAUUUUUUUUAUAAAUAUUUAUUUAUUUUUUUAAUUACUAAUGACCUUUGAAUAUACAUAUCACUAAUUCAAAAAAUAAAUUGUGAUUAUUUGUUAAUGUAUGCGAUUACUUGUGAUGGUAAACUUUUGAAGUUAAAUUAAAAAAAAAAAACAGAGCUUUUACCAUUACUUGCUUUAUCAUCUUUUAAAUUAGAAUUAUUAUUCUUUUAUUUUUUUCAAGUUGCCAACUCAUCCGCAUUCUUUUUUAUUGAAUUUGAAGAUCAAUGAUUAUAAAUUUGUGUAAAAAUUUUAAGCCAAAAUUUUAAAUUAAAAUAAUCAUUAACUUAUUGGAAAAUAAUAACUUGGUAUAACAAAUAUUAUAUCCUAUACUUUAUUGCUACAAGAUUACAAAACCUUAUAUUAUAUUAUGUUUCCAUAUUUCUCCUUUAUAGUAAAGACUCAUACUUCUUCUCUAGUAGAUGUUAAAGUAUUGGCUUAAACUUUUUAACCAGCACAGUAGACUAUUAAGCUAUAUAUGCUAUAAUGUCCCUCUUUCCUCACAGAUUAAACCAAUCUAAUCUCAGAGUGAGUUGAUACCAUGAGUUUGCAUUUGUCAUCAAAGGAGCAUCAUUAUUAAUUAAUAUAGGUUCGAUCAAUAGGUAUGAUAAUAAAUUUUUUUAUCUACAAAUACUAUUUUUCAAAAUAUUAUAUCUUUAGACUUAACUAAAUAUCUUCUAACCAUAUAUGUACAGUUUGUUUGAUCUCUUUUAAAUAUUGGAGAUUACAACAGAACAGAUGCGAAUUAGCAGUGACGCUGAGUUUAGAAGAUUGAAAUUAAGAAAAUUAAGGAAAGGAUAAGGAUGUAUUUUCAAAGUGAAUUAUUGAGAGAUCUUUGAAGAUUACUUCCGUCAAGAGCUGGGUCCCAUACUCUUUCGCCUUUGUCCUCCAGUCAACCAUAAGACAAAUUAUUAUUGAGUGUAAACGGACUUAUUAACCACCAAAUUUUCAAACUUGUGAUCCUUAUUGAAUCUGCAUUCCCCUUUACAAAAGUAAAAAAAAAAAAGUGCAAAUAACGAAAAAAAAUUUUGUUCCUUGACUGCAAGUGCUGUCGACAUUUUCAGACUUGUAAGACCCUUCUACUUGCAAGAUGCCACUGAAUUUGUCUUUUUUUUUUUUUAAAUUACACUAUACUAUUUUAUAUUUUAUAAAAAAAUUUAAUAGAUAUUAUAAGUUACAAAUUUUUAUAUUUAAUAUUCUCAAAAUAAAUUAUUAAAUAAAUGAUUCAUUUACUAUUUUUUCCUUUAAAUUUUUGUUAUUAAAAAGAUUUUUGGAUAUUGAACGUGAAGGGCUCAACUGAUCGCUAAUUUUGCAGCAAUUGCCCUUUUCUUUCUCCCCCAAUUGUUUUGAAAAAUAUCCAGACUCAUUCAGCGAAGUAUCCGAGGCCAAAGGGCUAAAAGAUGGGACACCCGCAUGUGCUUCUAAUUACAAAAUCUAAAGUUAGGGGGACCAUAACUUACAUUUAAUAUAAUUUAUGAUAGGGGUCCGCCUAUGUUACCACUGUACAAUAAGUUUGGUCUUUUCUGACUCAGUUGUGAUGAGCCCCUUGUACUCGAUAUUAUUUACUAUUUAUUUAUAAGUAUUAUAAAAAUUUUUGCUUACUUAUUAUAUAAAAAUUUAAUUGGUUCCCUUACACUCUUAUUCAUUUACUAUUUUUUUGUAGUAUCAAAAGAAUUUAUAUUUACAACCACGAUACAUUAAUUAUCAUAACACUCUAAUAUUAAUAAAAAGACAAAGACAUCCUUAAAUUAAAACAAAAAAAAUACUUUCUUCUUUUGAGGAAUUACGGUAUCUCAUUUUCCACCACUCAUUAUCAACAAAAUUUUUAAGGAUAUAACCAUUCAUCUUCUUUAUAAUAUCAUCUCGCAAUAAUUAAUACUUUCAUGAAAAAAUAAUUAACAAAAUAAAAAAAUAAAUUCCCAUUGAAUACAUCCCUCUCCACUAUUAAUUUCUCUUCAUCAAUAACCUUUAUCGACAAUUAAAACCACCAUUAGACUCAUCAUAAAGAGAGAGUAAGAGAAAGAAAGAAGAAACGAGAAAAAAUAUAUGAACCUUUUAUAAUUUUAUAGUGCGUUCACUAAACGAGAAUCGAAAUGAGGUGAAAUCAAAACGAGAAAUUAAGGGCCCGUUUGGUAUUGUUUUUGAAUCUGUAUUUUCUGAGAAUAAAAAUGAAAAUGAAAAUGGUGUUUUGCAGUUGCUGUAUUUUGAAUUUAAGUAUGCGUCUGGUAUUAUUUUCUGUAUCCUGUAUUUUAAAACUGAAAACAGUAACAUGCGUUCGGUAGACACAGUCGAAAAUGAUAAAAACAGAGAAUAUGCGUUCGGUAAUACUUUUUUCAAAAACAGUUUUUACUAUUAACCAUUUACAUCAUAUUUAUAGUUAUAAAAUAAUUAUUUAGCUAAUACAUACACAAAUACAACAUAAUAAUUUAAAACAAAAUUAUUAUAAAAAAUUUACAUGAUGAUAAAGUUUUAGAAUUAACAUUAAUUAAAAAAAAUUACAUUGUCAUUGUUUUUACAUCAUAAUUAAGAUAUAUAUUACAACACAUGAUUUAAACAAAAUAAUUAUAAAAAAAAUACAUGAUAGACAUUAUACAUUACGUAUGUAAUUAUGCCACAUAGAAGUUGCAAUUCUAUCUCUUGUAGCACUCAUCUCGGCGACACUUGCUGGAGAUAAAUCAAUAUUAGUAAGUGGCCUACUAGUGUCUCCUUCUUCGAUGGUAACCAAAUCUUGUACAUCAAAGUCCCCAAAUAACCUAUCACUUGCAUUUUCUCGUCGAAUAAAGUUAUGUAAAGCGCAACAUGCAAUUGGAAUUAGACGUUGCUUACGUAAACUAUAAUUAUGCAUAUCCCUUAAAAUUGAAAAUCGCGCUUUUAAAACACCAAAGCAUCGCUCAAUUACAUUACGCAAUGAUGAAUGUCUGUAAUUAAACAAUUCUUGGGGACCUCUAGGUGCUCGACCUGAUCCUCUAUAAUCACGUAAAUGAUAUCUCUCACCUCUAUAUGGUGUCAAAAAUCCUUUCAUAUUUAUGUAUCCAGAAUCCACAACGUAGUAAUAUCCUAAAAUAUAGAAACAAUAAAACAUAACUUAAUUAAAAAAUAAAGGCCAAAGAUAUUAACACACACACACACACACACACAAACAUAUAUAUAUAUAUCUCAAUAUUCUUACCUUCUUCCGGACGUGGAAACCCAGAUUCUGGUCUAUUUAAGGCAUCCAUAAACACCCUUGAGUCAUUGGCGGUACCUUCCCAACCCGUAUAUACAAAUGUGAACAUCAUGUCAAAAGAACAUGCACACAUGAUAUUUUGAGUCACCUGAGUCUUUCUAUCUCGAUAUGAUAUCUGUUUAUGUGCAGGUGACCAUGCAGCAAUGUGGGUUCCAUCAAUUGCACCGAUACACUUCUGUGAAAAUAUGUCAAAAUUAUUAAUUUAUUAACCAAAUGUUAAUGUCACAUAAACUUUGAAGUAACAUGUAUUGAAUUUCUUACCUCAAAAUAUGGAAAAAAAUUUGGAUUGUUACUAAUCUCUGAUGGCGUUUCCCCUUGAGGUUUUGGUUUUAUAAUGUGAUUUGCCAAUUGACAAAGUGCUUUUAAAACACGCUUAAAGUGUGAAAAAACAGUAUCCCCUGAACGUUGAAAACGCUCAGAUACAACCCUCACAACAGCACCAUGGGACAAUACAUACAAGCACAUUGCUACAGCCUCCUUGAUACAAACAUGUCUAUCAUUCUCUAAUAACUGUAGAUGUUCAAGUGUAUAACAUAAUCAAAUAAGUGUAUAAAUAAAACCAAAAAAUAUUAUUUUAAUUUAAUACGAAACUAUUUAAUAUACUACAAAUAUAGUUUUACCUUAAUAUAUUCAGCCCAAACAGCUUCCGAUGCUGUGACCGUAUUUGAAACAUGAUCCCAACCAAACCCGGUAUGAGCUACUAAGUCAGAAAACUCUCGAUGUUUUUUGCGCAACCUAUUAAACUUGGACUUAAGUUGCCCUACAUUGAAUCUUUUUUGGCAUUGUUCUAACAUCUCAUCACUUAUAGUGUUCCAAAUUUUCUUAGUGAAAGUUGAUGUUUGUAAAUCACCCUUUUUAACAUGGUCAUGUACAAUACGAAUAAAAACGGUUUCGGUCCGGCUAGACCAAUCAGCCUUAUCCUCAACAUCAACAUCAUGUGAAUCCAUAUCUUGAAAAAUUAGAAAAAAUAACACAUAUCAAAUAAUGAUCAAAUUCAACAUAACAUAUACAUAUUUCAGCAACAUGUCAUACAUUAAAAACUGAAUGGUACCAAAAAAAAAUAAAAAAUAAAACAUAUAUCAAAUAUUAAUCAAAUUAAAAACACUGCUAUUAAAUUUUUAGAUAUAAACAUACAAUUUUCAGUACAUGCUAUUAAUCCCCCACUAAAUUUCAGUAAUGUAAUCAACAUAAAGGUUGCAUUGCUAUGACUUUUUGCAUUAAUAUUGAUAACUAAAAGCCUUAACUUGCUUUUUGAACUUGGUUAUUUGUUACUCAAUGCAGACAGCUUACAACUUGAAGAUUUGGGAAUCAUUUACCACGGAAAUACCCACCCAGGUAUUUGGUAUGCUAGUGUAGUGUUUUUGGGAACAAUUUAGUCAUCAAGAUGUCUGGUUAUGGUGUAGCUAAUACCAAAAUUUGUAGAAGUAUCUAAAUAAAAAUAAAAUGUGCUCUUUAUUUUGCUAAUAUUUUUUGUUCUAGUAAUUUCAUAGAAUUUAUAUUGGUACAGAGAUAGCUAUGUCUCAAGCCUAUAGUAAUUGCAAUUUUCUAAAUGGCUCAGCGUCUUUCCUUGGUCUGAGGAACAAACAUGGGGAUGAAACAAAAAUCUGGCAUCAGAAUCCAUAUGCUGGCUAUUUUUAACAUUGCUUUUUUGGGUUUCAGCUAUCAUAGUCUAGAGUACUUUUGCACGGUUAAUUAAGUUAAUAACAGUGGAAAGUUUUCCAAUCAGCAUAAAGGAAUUCCCACAAGAAAUUGUUUGUUUUAAUAGAUUUAAUCUCUAAAAUAAAUGAGGAAAAAUUUCAGCUCAUAAAUAAACAAUUUGUCACUACAUAUGAACAACCUCAGAAAUUUCCAGAAUUAAAAAUCACUCAAAUCAUCUCUAAAAAUUUUCAGUUCAUAAACAAAAUAAAUACCAGCAAGUGACAGAUCCGGGAGAGCAACAAUGGUUGGGCAAGUGCAGAUCCGAGAGAGCAAGUGCACCGAGAGAGCAAGUGCAGAUCCGAGAGAGCAAAGACGAAGUAGCAGCAGCUGGACGGAGUCGGAGUAGCAGCAGCUGGACGGAGUCGGAGCAGCAGCGGUUACAGCGGAGAAAGAGCAGCGGCAGUGGCUAGCACACCAAGAGCGACCAAGAGAGAGAUUUGCUGCAACUGGAUUGAGAAAAUUGAGGGGAAAGAGGGUGCUGCAGUGAACUGGAUUGAGAGUGAGGGUUGCAGUGAAGAGAAAAGUGAGGGCUGCAGGGUCACGAUUUUUUUGUUGUUUUUUAAUUCAUUUUUAGGUUUAGUUUGUAAAAUUUGGAAAACAUGUUUAACUUGUUUUCAGUUGUAUAGUUAUAAUAAUGAAUCCGGAUUUUAUGUUUUGUAAUUUAUUUUGUGAAACAAAUCUACCGAACAUGUUUUAUGUGUGUAUUAUAAAAAUGAAAACGAAAACAUGGCUUGCAAAACGGUACCGAACGGGCCCUAAGUUAUCUGACAUCAGAUGACCGCUGUCAUCUGACCAAACCCCAGCAACCAUGGGAAAAAUCACCUACUUGUUUUAGGAGCAGGAGCAGGAGCAGGAGGAGGAAAUUAAGUUAGGGAUUUGGAGUGAUAGGGAAAAAGCUGAUUGUUGAGAAAUAUAUAUACCUUUUGUAUGGUUGUGUUAAGGUCGCCCUUCCAAGCCCAACUUGCUUCACUCCGCCGCUGCACUUCGUGUAAUUUGGGUGUACUUAAAUUUCCUUCAGAGAAAAUCUUCAUAUCGGGGCAAUCAUCCACCACUAAUCUUUCCAAAGAUGGGAACUUGAAAGCACAAUUGCCAGAGCAGAAGCUUGUCAAACUUUUUAAGUCUAAAAGCUUCAACUCCUUCAAUUCUCUGAAAGUAAUAACCUCAUCUUUUGCCACAACAUCAUCCACCAGUACUAUUUCUGUUAUCAUAACGCAUGAUUUUAUCUUCAUAUAUCUAAGUCGCACCAGAGACUUUGCAAUUGAGGAUGUUAAUACGAUUUUCAAUCUUUCGCAACUGAAUACCACCAGAUUUGUAAGAUUCUGAAAGGAUGUCGACGAUGGCACUAGAUUGACCAAACGGUCACACCCCUUUACACGUAGAAUAACCAAGUUGUUCGUAACAGAGGACUCCCUUAUCAAAAUGUUCUCCAGAUGAUAACAAUUAUUUGCUUCACUUAUUUCUACUGCCAUACCAUUUUCAACCUUCUCUUUCGGCGACCGGCCACCAUAUCCUUGUAUUUGGAGGACUUUCAUUGUGUGAAGUCUCUGGAGGAAGUCAUCAAGUGAUACAAUAGUCGGCUCAUCAACCAACUCCACAAAAAGAUAUUUUAGUUUGCAAAGCAAGUCUUCAAAAAAUAGAUAUUUAUUUGUUCCUAUGUACUUUGCAUCAACUUUCAACUCUUCCAAAUUAGGGAAUACCUGGGAGAUCGAUCAGAACCAAAAAAAAAAAAAAUACAAGAUGAAUCAGUUGAUGAGAAUUAUAAGUUACCACUAAUUUAUACAAUAUAUUUUAUUCAAUAAAUCAAUAAAUACAAGAUAAACUUUCACAGUACGUACAUAAGAAUUGAAAAUUUGAUUAUAAAAUUCUUGUACGUACCCUUUCUGUCGAGAUAUUAGUAGUUUUUUCGUAUCUCACCAUGAAUUCAGGACAUGCAGAUAUCCAUAAUUCUUCCAAGGAUGGAAAUUCAAGAAUAUCAAGAUCUCCAGUGCAGAAGCUUGUGAACUUUUCAAGAUCAGACAUCCUCAGAGAUUGCAACUGGGGAAACGUUACAAUAUUAUUCUUCAUUUCUUCUUGGUUGUCCACGACUAUUAACUCUUCCAGGACAGGACAUUUGACUAUCAUAACGUGUUGGAGUCGAACAAAGCUACUAACUGUAGAAGAUGAAAAUAGACAUCUUAAAUUCAUACAGCUGUACAGGGUCAAGCGCGUUAAAUUUUGAAUACCACAAGACAUGACUGCAACUUGGUUCAGCCAAAUCCUCUCAACAUUUAUUGAAUACAACAUCAACUCCUCCAAAUUUGGUAAUGCAACCUGCACGAUCAAAAAAUUAACUUGUUAAUUACAAGCAACAAUUAUUAAUCACUCUUUGCCAUAUUUGUUACCAAACAGGAAUAUAACAAAGAAAAAAAAACAAAAAUUAUAGAGAAUUAAUAAGACGAUUGACUUAUUAAUAACUGACCUUCUCAGGGAAAAGCGUAUUAUAAAUUUGGACAUUGUCCUCCAAAAUGAUUUCAUGUGACUGCAAAUCAUUAUCUGAUUCCUGUUGUCUCUGUUGACGUUGCAGGUGUCUUGAUUUUAGAGCGUAAGCCUAAUUGUGAGCACAAUCUUAAUGCAUAGAUACAAGAUCUUUAAAAAUUAGUAUAAUAAACUUAGCACUAAAUUCAAAUUUCAUAUUUCGGAUUCCAUGAUUAAGAUUUUUUAAAUAAAAAUUUAAUAGAGUUAAUUUAAAAAUAAAAAUUAAAUAUGAAAAAUAAACUUGCAAUUAUGGAUUUAAUUUUGAUAAAUAAUGAAUGUUCUCUUUAUAUUUUUUUUAAAAGGUAAAAGAGCAUACAAAGCCCAAAUUCAUUUUUUUAGUCCCUUACUCUCCCUUGAUUCAAACUUGGGUGGUUGUAGGAGGACUGAAAAUAUAUAAGACAGUUAACUUCACUUUUUUUUUUCUUUUUUUUUUGUUGAGAGAAAAGAGAAGAAGGAUAUUACAAAGCAUGAAGCUCGUGCAAUAUAAGGGCAAUUGUGGUUUUUUCUUUAAAUUAAAAUGGUAAGAUUCUGAAGCUAAAAGAUUAAAAUAUUAAUUAAAUUGCAAACAUUAAAGAUUUUUUUUUUCCAAAAUUGGUUGCUUUGAAAAUGAGAAUAAUAUAAUAUUUGAAGACUUUUCAAAAUUAAUUACUGUGAUGCACUAGAAAUUUCUAGCUUUAGUCUAAUGUAUAAAUUGACAAAACGAUAUUAGAAUCCCAGGUGAAAAGAACCCUCUCAUACCAAUUAUUUAAAUUAGGAAUGAUCAUACCUCUGACUCUGCCGGAUUGAGGGCGAGCCAGAGACGCUUGAGAUGGGAAGAGCCCACUUUGACUAAUUCAUUACGAAAAUAAUCGACAUCUUGCUCUUGCAAUCCACAUAAUUGAAGGUCUUCAAUUCUCUGCAGUUGCACGAUCAGCGAAUCCUUCAAGCAAAUCUUGUUAUUUAGCUCGAGACUGAAUUCACGACACCCAAUGCCGGUGCUCUCCCAAUAGCCAUCAUCUCCAAUGCGUAUGCUGUACCUUUCCAGCUUCUCCAAGAGCAGGCCUCUGGGCAGAGUGCUGACGUCACGGGCGCGUAAUUCCAAAGAGGUCAAGUUGGGCAAAUGCUUCGACUCCUCAAGGCUUGCAUUCUUAAUCCCUUCUUCCACCUCCACCUCCCAUUUAUCAAAGCUUAUACGACCUAUAUAUAGUUCUUCUAAACGGGAUAAUUUUGACAGUAUAUUUGGUGGAAUAACUUCUAGGUCCUCACAAUCUCUCAAAUCAAGCAACUUUAGCCAAGUCAAUUCACCUACUUCUACCGGCAACUUCUUAAUAUCAGAAUCUCUUAGGCAAAGGAUUUCUAGUUUCUUCAAGUCUCCUACAACACUUAGAUCAGGCAGGUAGCACCAACACAAACUCAGUGUUCGAAGGUUUGACAGGAGACCAAGUGAUGAAGGCAGUGACCGUAGAUCCAUGUCAGUCAAGUUUACAACUCUGACCUGUAUCAUCCUCUCGAAAAAGUUGCUUGGAAUUGUUAAUGAUGAAGAUUCCCAACGACCAGCACUUAGAAACAGAAGUUCGAGUUGAGGACAUUCCAGUACUUCAGGAAGCAAAUUAGUCUUGAUACCAUGCAAGACGAUUGAAGUGCAAUGCUUUAUUGCACUUCCGUCCGACCAUUCCCUGCAACCAUCAACCUGCUCAUUUGUAGCAGUAAACACAUUUCGUUCAGUAGAUGCAAUUGAUAUGGCGACAUCGCGAACUACAUCAUGCAUAGAAAACAACUCUUCAUCCUUGCUUUCAUGGUCAAGCAACAUACAAGAAGCUUUGAGUGUGCGCACCAAUGUAUGUACUCGAUUUCGUGCUUCUUCAAUCUUAUUCACGCCUUGAAAUAAACCCAAUCCCAUACCACACAUUAACAAGUCAUCAAUAGAUGCUAUGGCUGUAUAUCCUAUUAGCAAAAAGAUGUUCUUGAGAUCAUCCCUUCCUAGUUUAUUGUAGCUCAACUCGAUAGCUUUAAAUGCGGCUGGCUGAACAUCCUUAAAAUUCGAUGAAGAAGGCCUUCUUAGCUGUUCCAAUGCAUCCUUCCAUUCACGUAUGCUGUUGCUCCUUAAUGCCCUUGCAACCGUCACAAUGGAAACUGGUAGACCUGCACAUUCCUUUGCCACAUCCCUUGCUACCUCUUUCAAUUCAUUACCUUCAACAUAAUCACCUGCCAUCUUCGUGAAUAGACUCCAAGCUUCAUCUUCUUUUAAAAAUCCAACUGGGAAAUUUUUUCGAGACUCCAUCUCUCCAGACAAUGCUUGUUCACUCCUUGCCGUGAACAGCACUUUAAUUCCAACAUCCAACAAAUCAAGAUUUUCCCAAAUAUUAUCCAAGAUUACAAGGAUCCUCUUCUCUUUCUUCAGUCGAUCAUAGAGUCUUCUUGCCCUACCCGAUUCACUCUCCUCAUCAAAUUUUAGACCUAGUUUAUCCGCGAUUUCUCCUUGAAUCUUUCUUACGUCUCGACUCUCAGACACCUCAGAAAAAACCACCUGAUCGAAAAGCUUGUCACACUCUGCUUUUCUGGCAACUUCUUUAGCUAGCGUCGUCUUUCCGAUUCCGCCCAUUCCAUAAAUCAAAAGCAUGUUGACAUUGGGAUUUUUUAAUGCAUCAAUUAUUUCAUUCAGAAUGGACGUUCUUGAUUCAAAGGCCUCGAAGUCUUUGUUAGGCAUAAGCAAGGUAUCCUCCGGAAUGAUGCUGUAGGAAAUACUAUUAACUGGUCUAGCGUCCAGGACUUUGACAACAGCCUCCUUCUGCCUCUCUGCUUCCUUGCUAAGUCGAGGGCGGGUCUUCAAAUUAGGACAUAACCCCUUGAAACAACGCUUAUUUGCAGUGGCUUCAUCUUCUGUAAAUUUAUCUGCCUCUUCAAUGACACUGUUGGCCGUUGCAAGCCAAUUCUCAACGUUCUCUUCAAUCUCUUCUCCUUUUCUUUUAGCCUCAUCAACCUGGUGCUCUGUACUCACCCUCUCAGACUUUAGUUUCGCAACUUCAGUGUUGAGAUUCUGUAAGUUGCUCGUGUACUUACUCUCACGCAAAUAGCUAAUUUGGCGAUAUGCGGGAGGAGCCAAGCACUUUACAACUUCUAAAACAAUAGUAAGAAUGAUUUCAGCCAUCUUCAGUCCUUUGUCCUUGUCUCUCUAUCUCUUUUUUUCUGAAUUUUGGAAAAACAAUUCAACAAGUGACCACAACAAGAUGGAACAAAAUAAAAAGGAAAAAAAAUACAAAGAGUGGAUGGAGAAUAAAACAGAGACAGCGGCACAGCUAGACGCAACUAGAUAGAGAACAGAGGAAAACCAAAUAACAAGACUUAAGAUUACAACAAACAGAGGCCAAGUAUUGUUGAGAUCAGAAGAUGGAAAAUUCAAAAGAGUUGAUGGCAGAUGCUGAAUAACAAAACAACAAUGAACGCAACAAACUGAAGCAAAGUGUGUUUGUGAUCGACAGACGAAAGUAAGGAAAGUGGUUGUUGAUUGAAAAUGAAUGAAUGCAAAGAAAGACUGAUAUUGAAAAUUGAUGUCCAUAGCGAAGGAAUAAUUGAACUUUCGCUGAAUUAUUGUUUGUGCCUUCUUUUACUGUUUAUUUGUGGGUCAUGUCUUUUGGAACUAAUCAUCUUAGGUUAUGCCUUAUAGCUUUAAGGCCGGUAAACCGGUGUCCGUUGGAUUAGCAUAUAGAAAUCCAACGGUGGAUAUAUAUACUUGGAGAAUAAAAUUCAAGAGCAAAGGGAGUGCUGGGCUGCAGUUUCUUAAGGAGAUUUAUAUAUCCUCCUCAAAAAUAAAUAUUUUAAGGUAGGUAUUUAGACUAUUUCAUCAUAAAAUAAAUGUAAUUAAUUUUCAUAAAUAUUUGAUAUCAAUAUUUAUUUAUUUUUUUAAUUACUGAUGACCUUUGAAUAUUCGAUACAUAUUAUUAAUUCAAAAAAAAAAUUGUGAUUAUUUAUUAAUGUUUGCGAUUACUUGUGAUGGUAAACAAAGUAGAUAUGGUAUAUUUUGAAGUUAAAUUAAAAAAAACAGAGCUUUUACCAUUACUUGCCUUAUCAUCUUUUAAAUUAGAAUUAUUAUUCUUCUAUUUUUCAAGUUGCCAACUCAUUGUCUUUUAUUGAAUUUAACGAUCAAUGAUCAUAAAAUUGUGUAAAAAUUUUAAGUCAAAACUUUAAAUUAAAAUAAUCUUUAAGUUAUUGAGAAAUAAUAACUUAAUAUAACAAAUAUUAUAUCCUAUACUUUAUUGCUACAAAAUUACGAAACUUUAUAUUAUGUUUUCAUAUUUCACCUUUAUAGUGACGACUCAUGCUUCUUCUCUAAUAAAUGCUAAAGUAUUGGCUUGAAUUUUUUAAUUAGUACAGUAGAACCUUAAGCUAUAUAUACUAUAAUGUCCCUCUUCUCUCACAGAUUAAACCAAUCAGAUCUCAGAGUGAGUUGAUACCAUGACUUUGCAUCAUUCAUGAUCAAAGGAGCAUCAUUACUAACUAAUAUAGGCUCGAACAAUAGGCAUGAUAAUAAUUUUGUUUAUCUACAAACACUAUUUAACUCUAUCUCUUUUCUCUCCCCCACGCGAAGACUACUCCUUUCUCUUUGGCUAAUUUUUAAAAACCUCCCCUGAGGUUUGGACUUGUUGCAAGUAGAUGGCGAGAAUUUGUUUAUUUGUAAAAAACCCCCUACCGUCAAUUAACUUUAACAUUGACCGUUAGUUGACUGUGCAAAGAUAAUAUUACCCUUAACAAUAGUUUGUAGACGGAAAUAACUAAAAAAAAAUUUAAAAUUAUUGGCUAUUUUAUCCUCUUUAAAUUAUUGAUAUUUUCUUAAAGUUCCUACAAGAAAGAUAAAAUUUAAAAUUUAAAAUUUAAAAAAUCCUCUUUAAAUUAUUGAUAUUUUCUUAAAGUUCCUACAAAAAAGAUAAAAUUAAAAACUUGAAAAUGAAAUAGUUAUAAUCUUUACCCAUAAUAUUGUAAAUCUUUAGAAUUGACAAAGAUAAAAUUGUCAAAAAAUAGGGUUUGUGCUUUUCGCGCCAAUAAUUUUAAUUUUUUUUUAGUUAUUUCCGUCUAUAAACUGUUGUUAAGGGUAAUAUUAUCUUUACACAGUCAACUAACGGUCAAUAUUAAAGUUAACUGACGAUAGAGGGUUUUUUUAUAAAUAAAUAAAUUUUCGCCAUCUACUUGCAACAAGCCCAAACCUAAAGGACGUUUUUAAAAAUUACCCUUUCUCUUUUGACAUUUUUUACGCGUUUCUCUUUUCUCUUCCCCCACGUGAACACUUUUGCCUUUUGCUCGUUCACGUGAAAGUCGGUUUAGAAUUUUGAUCUUAUUUCACAAAGCUAAUUUUUUAUCACAAGCAGGAGAGAAACGGCAUUUCUUAGCAGUAGUUCAUCACUGUAGUGGCGAGCUAGUGAGGAACAAAAUUACCAACAAUUAUAAAAAAAUAAUUAUAAAAAAAGAUCACAUGCUAUAAUUAAUCAUGACCAUUGACAACAUUACUCCCACCGAGCAAAAGUUAACAGCAUCUUCUCCCACAUUUAAAAAAAAAAUAGUAUUAUAUAACCCACCAAAAGUAUAAAGAGUCUUUCUUUAUUAAAAUUAAUAAAUUACUCUUUAUAUUGAGAAAUUAAAAUUUAAAAUAAAAAUAAUUGAUAUGUUUAUUAUUUAAAAUAAAAAUAAAAAUAAAAUUUACAAAAUCAUAUAUUUUUAAAAUUAAAGAAUAAGAAUUUAAUUUCUUAUGGAGAGUGUUGGAAAUCAAGUUCUUAUUGCUUAAACUCCUAAUUUUACCUCACAAAAAUUUUAUAAGUUCACUUUUAUCCUUAAUUAAAAUAUUAUUAUGUUAUUAUUAUGGUUAUUAUUCUUAUUUUUGUAGUAGUUGCUGCUGUUGUUGUUGAUGAUGAUAAUAGUUGAUAAUAAAAUUAAUAAUAAUAAUGAAAAUAAUAACUAUAAUUUUAACAGCUACAAUAAUAAUCAUUAAUAUUAUUGUUGUCGUUCUUAUUAUUAUUAAUAAAAAAUAAUUAUUUUGAAUAAUAAUAAUCACAAUUAUUAUAACAAACAACGACAAUAAUCAACUAAUGUCAUUGUAAUAACUUGUAACAAUUCAUUUUUUAUUUCAAGACAAAGUAACCAUAUCAAUAAUAAUAUAGGUUAUUUCGAUUCUAAUUCUUACAAGUAAAAUAAAUAAUUUAUUCUGAUUCUCAUUUUUCAUUUUGAUUUUAUUCUAUUCUGAUUCCAGUUGAUUCUGAUUCCAGCCAAUUCAAAUUACCAACUAGAAAAUGCAUUGUUACUACUUUAAUAAUAACUAAUGAUUCUCCUCACAAUUCUUAUAGGAUUAUCCUUAUUUUAAAAUAAUUUUUUAUUCAUAUUUAUCAUAAAUUAAUUAAAUUAUACCAAUGAAAAUUAAAAAAAAAAGAGAAAACAUAUGUUUCGGUUUGAAUAAAAAAUUAAUAAUAAAAUAUUUUCCUUAUAUAUUUUUAAUAUUUUUAUUAUAAUAAAUAUUUAUUUUAUAUUCUUAAAAUAAAUUAUUAAGUAAACGAUUCAUUAACUCAUUUUUUUCCUUUAAAUUUUUGUUAUUAAGAAGAUUUUUGGGUAUUGACCGUGAAGGGCUCAACUGAUCGCUAAUUUUGCAGCAAUUGUCUUUUCUUUUUCUUUUUUUUAAUUGUUUUGAAAAAAAUAUUCAGACUCAUUCUGCAAAGUACCUAAGGCCAAAGCGCCGAAAGUUAGGACACCCACAUGUGCUUUUAUUCACAAAUUCUAAAAUUAGGUGGGGUGUCCAUAACGUACGUUUAAUAUAAGAGAAAUGCUAAAGGUCGGGAAUGCUGAGAGAACACUGAGAGAAACGGCAGCUUGGGCUGCCGUUUCGUGUUCUCUCACCUCCCUACUAAGAAAACGAGCCUCCACGUGUUCUCUCAGCUCCCCACUACUUCAGCUCAAGUUACUUUUGUCAAAAGUUGGCGUUUGGCCCCACACUCAAAACACUUUUGCCAAGUGAAUUGUGCCCCCCACGUGAAAGUUUGAGUUAUUUCUUUGCUCAUGACCAAGUAAAGCUAAGUUAAGUUUGAGUUCUCUCCUUACUCCUUCACUCGUUCACUUCUCCUUCGUUUCUCGUUCACUUUUUUGCUCAUCAAAAACCAUUACUUCAGCUCAUCCAAUCAGUGAAUUAGUGGCCAUUACUUCAGCUAAUUCAUUUUCCGAUCUAGAUCUUGAAGCAACACCCAAUUGGUAAUUAUCUCAGCUUAAAGAAUAAUUUUUUAUGUGUUUAUUAUUUUUUUGUUAUAUCAUAAUAAUAGAAAUGUCCUUGCAUUUACUGAUUAAAUGAUAAUGUGUUUAAUUUAUAAUUUUUUAGAAAUCUUUUUAUUUAAAUGAUAUGUUUGAUUUAUAAUUUUUUAAUUUAAAUUUUGUUUGAACAUAGAAUUAUUUUUAAUUUAAAUUGUGUUCGAUUUAUAAUUUAUUUAAUUUAAAUUUUUAGAACUUUAAUGGAUUAAAUUAUUACUGGAAAAAUGUAUAAUAAUUUAUUCUUAAUUUAAAUGUUGUUUCCACAUUGAAUUUUUUAUUUAAAUUGUGUUCGAUUUAUCAUUUUUUAAUUUAAAUUGUUAGAACUUUAAUGGAUUAAAUUAUUGCUGAAAAAAUUUAUAAUAAUUUAUUCUUAAUUUAAAUUUUGUUUCCACAUUGAAUUUUUUUAUUUAAAUUGUGAUUUAUCAUUUUUAUUUAAAUUGUGUUCGAUUUAUUUAUUUUUAUUUAAAUUGUGUUCGAUUUAUCAUUUUUUAUUUAAAUUUUUAGAAUUUUAAUGGAUUAAAUUAUUACUGGAUGGUGUUUGUAUAAAUUGAUCUUACAUUUUGCUUAAUACGAAUAUUAAUUAUUUUGUUGAAAUUGAUAAUUUGAAACAUGAAGAUGGAGUCAAAGAUGCGCAAUCGGAAAAAUAUGAGCCGACUCUUGGGAUGUUAUUUGAUAGCCAUAAGAAAAUGUGGUAAUUUUCAAUAUACUUAAGUAUCGUCAUCAUAUACUUAAUUCUUUCAUUUUCAAUCUUUAUUAUUAUUAUUUUUAAUAUUGGGUUCCAUGAGGAUAUUAUAUGCAAUUUUCCAUGACAUAAAUCAAUACAAUAAUGGCAAUAAAAAACUUAUAACAAUAACUUGAAUCUUAUAUUUAGAGGGACAGUACAAUCAUAUAUGUCUACAAACCAUACAAAAUAAAUAAUUGUACAAAUUAAAACAACUUAUAAAUAAAACUUUAAUAUAAAGCAUAACACAAUAAUCAUCAAGGGAACGGUGAACAUGGAGGAACGCAAAUGGAUGUUUACACUGUGGGCAUGUUGGAUUCCUAACAUACGAGGCCCAUCGAAGGAUGCAAGCUGCACUGCACAGAACAAAGAAAGAACGUCCAUUAAUGCUACCAUAAACGUCCAUUAAUCAUACAAGAGAUGGUAAGCUGAAAACCCCACAUAUUAACUCAUAGUCCUACAUAGAACUCUAACCUAUAAUAUGAAGAUGAUCAACGAGCCUUCAUAUAUGUCACAGUUCCAAAACCAACAAGUCAUGAGGCUGAUUAUAUUAAGGAAACCUCUAACUAUGUGACAACACAAAUAGAUUAAUUCUUGCAACAACAUUUUUAAGUUUUUCAAAAUUUUCUCCUUUUUUACCAAAACAAAUGCCUAAGAAAACCAAAAAAUAAACAAGCAGAUUGUCUCUGUAAAUUGAAUUAACAAGUUCUAUUACUAAAAAAAGGGUAACAAGGAAAGAAAAAUCCAAAAAAUAAACAUAUUGAAAGUCCAUUUCAAUUGCAUGGCACAACAUUAAAUUGAAGAAUUGACUGUACAAAAAAGAUCCAACAAUAUUUAGGUAUGAAAAGGAAAUUGAAUCCAAACCACAAAACUAAAAGCAUACUUCACUCGUGUGUACAAACUACAUGCUGAUACUCAUUUACCAUAAAAUAUUGCAGCAUCGAUUACCGAAGAAGAAAACAAUUCAAAGAAUGCCCCCAAGGCAAGCUCUAUCAAAGUUACAUAUGCAACAGACAUAGUAUUAUAGCAGAGAAACUCCAAUAAACACUCAUCAUGAUGCUUGACAAGAGAAUUAUUCAACAACUAACAACUACAGGGCCUAAGCUCAACUUAAACAUAUACUUGCAUCAAAGCCAAGUCCACACUCCAUAUAUGCUUACAUAAACCAUAUUUUCUCAAUUCUAACUGCAUUUAACUUAAUUUAUUUUGAUUUAUUUAUUCACUGGAAAUUUAUUUUGAUUGCAAAUUCUUCUAUCAUCCACUAAAAUGAUUUAAAUACUAGAUACAUAAAUACACACAUAUGACGAGUACGAAGGGUGAGAGAGAGAGAGAAGAGCUGCAGUAACAGCAAGAAAGUUAAGAUUUGUGACCUCGAAUCCAAGGCCUAUUUCAGAUGUCCCUAAACACUCUUAACUUAUGAAAGGCGCUAAUAAGUAAUCUGCACAGGAAGAUAGGGGAUAAUAACAGAAUUCGUGAUGCAUAAAUUCCAUUCCGAAUAACAUAGCAAAAAGAUGAGAGAUUUGAUUAGAACAAACCAGUAAGCGUGCUCGCAACCUUUUACAAGAGCUGUUGCCUAAAGAACUGUCUUAACCAGAGAAACUAAAAGAUCAAGAGAAAGUAAAACGGCUGGAACGAAGCGAGUUGCUGCUGGAGUGAACAAAAGGAAAGGAGUUGGAGUUAAUGUGGGAGUGCUGGAGAAGGAGUUGAAAAUAGAAAGAAAAAGGAGUUGAAAGGGAGUGCUGGAACAGAUCUGUUCUGUUGAAAGCGAAGAAGGAAGUGGAAGAAGGAGGAAAAUGAUUUGAAAAGGAGCACUUUUUCUUUUUCACAUGAGACAGAUAUCUGUUACUCACGUGGAAGGGGGGGGGGGGGGACGAAACGGCAGCACAAGCUACCGUUCUCUCAGCGUUCUUUCAGGAUUCCCGAUGUUUAGCAGCGCUCUUAAUAUAAUUGAUGGUUAGGUAAAAGUCCUUCAUUAACCCAUUAAAUUUUAAUAUUAUAUUAUUUAUUUUUAUAUUAAAAAAUAAUUAAUGUAGGAAAAUUCUUAAAAGUUAACGGAGAAGGAAGAGAAAAAGAAAAAGUGAAAACAAAAGAAAAUAUAAAGAAAAAAAAUUAAACGAGACAAAAAUCUGUGGCGUGGAUCAUUCAUAUCUUUUGCCUUUUCUUUUGUAGAGGUACAUAACAUGGACUUCCCUGCGGUGCCACAGUGACAUGGUGCCACAGUUUUUUGUCUUUAUUCUGUGAAGCCGUUGGAUGGUUAAUCAUUCAAUCCAACGGUUUAAAUUAAUUAUUGGAGGAAGGCCGCCAGAACUGACAACCUUUGUAGCCGGUUUUGGGUGAGUGUAAUACCAUCUAAUAGUGAGCGUGCAUUUCAAGAUCUUUUGAACUACGAAAUUUCGUUUCAGCGAUUUCAUUUGAAAAUCAAUCUGUAGACAGAAAGUGAACGCACGAAAUUGGUAUUACUGGAUCGCAAUUAUUGGUGGAAUAAUAUCAAACGGUUGAUGUGUACAUGAAUAUGUCCGCGCAGUCCGCGCAGUUGUAGGGAGGUGAUGGUGAAAUAAAAAAUAAAAUUCCCGGCAUGUGCAUUCGAAGGAAUUUAUGAUGCUGAAAGUCUGGGCAUAUCGAAUGAUCCGACGUAGUAGGUAAUUCGAUAUAAACUUGCAAUUUGUUUUAGUUGGAAUAUUUAUAAAAGUCGUGUUUAGGGUUAGUUGAAUAGUUGGUGGAAGAGUUCAGUAAACAAGUAGUAAUGGGGAAAAUUUUCGAUUAAGUAUGUAAACAGGGGUCGUCAAAGAAUGUGAGGUUACUAGGGAGGACUGAUUUGAGGAAUCUCACUGCACUAAUUGUCGGAUUGAAGCCACAAGAGGGACUUAAAAGUGUUCGACGAUGAAAUGAAAUUUGUUAGUAAGUAAAUAUCUUUUGUAAGUAUCAAUUAGUUAUAUGGGUAAUUGAUGAGGACAUACUUUUAUGGCAUGUUCUUAUAAUGAAAUUGUUAACUUUGUUUUAUCUUCUGGUGACCAAUAAUGUAUGGAUGAGAUGUUAGUGUUCAAUUGUUAAUUUGACUGUUGGAAUCAAUUAGGUGGUUGAUGUAGACAUGAAUGUGUUUCUUAGAAAAUCGAGAAUGUUGAUGAGCAUUUAUUGUGUGAACCCCCUCGAAAUGAGUCUAUGAAAAUGAUUGAUUAACAUUGUAGGCGGUGGCAUGGUUGUUACAGAUGAGUCUAUUUAUAGAUUGUGAUCUUAUUGUUGUGGUUUUACUAUGCCCUGUAAUUAAAUUCUGUAAAAUCAGAAUGGUGCAGUUCGUUAGAAGCACUCAUUUAUAAUUUCACUGCAGCAAUGAAGGUAGGGGAGGUUCGCAAGCGAAAAUGUAGGGACGUAAACAGCUUGAACGAAGAUAUGGAAGGCAAUCGAACAAUAGAACGUAUUAGCCAUUACGGAUUCAUCAGUUAUUUGUAAGUAUUUUUACUAUCUGAAUAAAUAAAUUUUAACAAUGACGAGUGGAUUGGAAAUGACUUGAGUUACUUUCAGUGGUGCAACUGUGCGUAGAAUGAAGGCAACAGAUGCAAACACCAGCAUUACAAGAGAGGUGCGUUAAAUGGAAAUAAAAUUUAGUGUACUGCAACACCUUUUUAAUUGGCAAUAAGGUGUAUGUCCGUGUGUUUCUAUUAACUGCUUUGCAGGUUCGAAGGGAAAUUGCGACGUCAUUUAAAAAUUUACCACCAAAGACGAAAUGGAAGUACAAAGUCCGAGUCGAACAAGCAGUGAAAGGGGAAGCAACUAACACAUAUUUUACGCGAUGUGCACCAGACAGAUUGGCAUCAGCUCUUACAAAUCUAUCUGAUGAACAAAGAGAAGCUGUAUGUGAAAUGGGUAUGGGGAGCAUGCUUGAGUUGAAUAAUGGUAGGCUGAAAAGGAAGCUUUGUGGUUGGUUGGUAGAUAGGAUUGAUGUAUGUAGGCGCGUACUAGUUUUGAAUGGUAAUGAGGUAGAGCUCAAUGCUAAUAGCUUUGGUCAUGUCAUGGGAUUAAUAGAUGGGGGCAUGCCUUUAAGAUUAGAGGGUGACAUCAAAGAAGUUGAAUCAUAUGUACAGAUGUUCAGUGCAUCAUCUAGAGGAAUCAACAUCAAGAAAUUGGCAGAAAUGUUGAGUAAUUCGACGGCAGCCAAUGAUAGAUUCAAAGUCACAUUUAUGUUGUUUACUCUAUAUACUGUUCUAUGUCCCCCUGGUGGAGUACACAUAAGUUGUAAUUUCUUAUUUUCUUUGAAAGAUGUGAACUGUAUCCAGAAGAGGAAUUGGGCCACAUUUUGUUUUCAUAAAUUUCUUGAAGGCAUUACUAGGUACAAGGAAGAGAAAUUUGCAUACAUAGGUGGCUGUCUUUUGUACUUAGAGGUGAUAUCGCAUCUUGGAAUGAUAUAGUGUCAAUAUUUUCCUUCACUUUGUUCAGUUGAGUAACUAACUAUAAUUUGCAUUGUUGUUUUUGUUAAUUCCAGAUGCUUUAUUUUAAUUCUAUAGUGUAUGGAAAAGUACAAAGAGACAGGUCUAUGUGUCCCCUGGCCUUGUGGAACGUAGAUGAGAUAAAGCGGUUGAUGAAAUGGAUAGAGAAUAAAGGUGGUUAUAGUAGCGAUGAGGUCAUCUCAAAAAGGAAUUGUAAAUUUGUGGGAUUCUAUGAAAGCAAAUAAUAUACUUACGAUGAAAAACAUGCGAUCCGUGAAUACUGCUUUUCAAUAUGUCCUUGCUUUACAUUUAUUGUAGUUGGAUGUUACGUAUAAAUUUGGUUCAACACUUUACUUAUAACUUCGUACUUGUAAAAUUGUUUUACUAGAUACGAGUCUGUGCUGCAUCUCUAAUAAAGGCCAACUCAAGGUCAGAUGGAUGCAGUAUGCCUGUGGAAAAAGAUUUUAGAGACUCGGAUGUUAGACAGAUGACAACAGCCCCGGGAAUGACGAAGAUAAAGUCAUUUAGUCAAUUGGAUAAGGCAGUAGUGAUAUCAAGUAGGCCAUCAGGAUAUAUUGAAAAAUUAAAGACAUAUGGAUCGUGCCGCAACAACCAUGGCAAUAAUGCUAAGGGGAAGCACUGGAGUGAUGCAACCAAAGGAGAGGGAGUUUGCACCAACUAUGAGAGUAAGCAAUUGUACAAAAGUGCAGCAAGUGGCAGUAUAUACCAGAAUAAUGAAAUCAAGGAAAAAGAAGUUUGUGAAGAUGCACAACAUAUGGAUUUAAUUGACGUAGCAGAUUUUGUCAUGGAGACUCAGACGUCCCCACCAUGCAGUGAAAGCUUGCAUAGUAACAUAAGGAUUGAGGUUAUCUGUAACUAAUAAAAGUUAAAUCUGAAAUUUUCAUCUUCGUUUAGUUGUUUUUUGUUAACCGAAUGUAAUUUAUGUUUUAUAAUUUUGUAAUUAUUAUGAGGAAAAUAUGUUGCAGGAGCCUGCUAUGGUGCAGAAGUGUUCAGAACCGAAUAAAAAGAUUGGGAAUGUAGUCCAUCCAAAGUCACCACUUAAUCAGAUAGGUGCUGGCAGAGCACGUUAUCAGGUUGGACCAUAUGUGAUGCAAAGACCUUUGAGUACUGAUGACGAGAUAUUGAUUAACUUAUGCAUGGAUGAAAAUUUGAAUAAGGGGUAACGUAUUACUUAUGUCGUUGAAUUAGUACUGGCAUUCAUAUAAAAAGUUACUUGAUUGUGUUUGAGCUUCGAAUAAACGGACUUAAUUGUAGGAAAUCAAUAAUUAUGGAAAAAAAUGUCUGCAUGAUAGAUUUUCCGUUGCAGGGAAAUGGUUUUUAAGACGAACUUCAAUUGCAUCGGCAGAAAUGAUAUUAUGUCUCUAUCUCCUAGAAGUACAAUCAAUGUGAAGGUACAACCACCUUCUGUUAAGUGAUGUACUUGUAUGAAUAAUACAUACACAUGUUAUACUGAUUGCUCUUGGAAUUUAAUAGGGCUUGAUGUUUUUGUUAUUUGUUUAUAUGUUGAAUUAAGUCAAUACCCCUUACAUGAAAUUGUUAAUACUCGUAAUUUUCAGAUUGUUUCUGCUGUCUCAUAAUUGUUAUCUGCGAAAGCGAGUGUAAAUGUUGGAAAUAGUAAUUUCAGCCUUUUUCUGCCAGCGUAUUCUGCUGUAAGGACUUUGUGUUAUAUUGCAAUAUUGGAAUUUUAUCCCCUAAGGGGCAGUUUAACAUAAAAUUUCGUGUGUUCAUUCAAUAAGGUGCAUUUGUUUACUAUGCAUGUAAGUUGAGAUAUUGUUCUUGCAAUUACAUUUAACUAGAGCAUUACAAAUAUUUGUUAUUCGAGUUUGGCAACCCACUAUUUCCAUUGCCUAUAAUUUUUGUUUCGGUUGUGAUAGCGUUGAUGUUCUAUAAACUAUACAGUUGCACGAUAACAUCAGUGGGGACCCCACAGACCUUACUUUUGGUAUUAAACAAUUUAUCAGUGGUGAUUUAUACCUGGCGAAUAUUGGUUCGUGUAAACAAGUAAGCAUUUUUUACUUAAGCCAUCAGCAAACCUCGUUUUUAGUUAAUUUUGAUGUUAUCUGUCAGUUUAUUUCACCCUGGUAUUGCAAUCAUCAAUAAAUUUUUGUCCCGGUGAACCAUGGUUUUACACACUGGUACUUAUUGGUUGUAUUAAUAUACAAAAUGCUGGUGGAGAUAUGGGAUCCACUGCCCACUGUAAUGAAGUCACAAAUGUUCGUUGUUGAAUGCAAACGAGCGGUGAGUUACCAUUGUAGAUGCCAAUCGAGUGUACUUUGUUGGCAAAAAAAAAAAUACUUAUAAAUGAACCAUUGUUGUUGUAAAUAAUCCUCCUUUGUUUUAAAAGGAAGUGUCAAAUAUUACUAUUGUUAUUACUGCAAUCUAUCGAUUGACGGAUGUUCCUGCAGCUAAAAUUCAUUGAGAUGGCGUUGCAACAUUGUGGCUCAAAUUGUUUAUCGGGAAGGUUAAACAUGAGCGAGUUCGUAAUCCAGCUUUGUACCAGACAGGCCAGUAUACGUAACGAAUCUGAUUGUGCACUAUAUGUUAUGUUGAUGAUGGAGAGACAUAAAAUGUGGUCGUGCCUUUCUGAGGCAGAGGUGCGUAACAUUUUUAACUGUUCAAUGCUAUAACCCAGGCCGUUAAUAUUAUUUAUGUAUCGAUUCAAUUUUUGCUGCCUUGUACUUAUUGUGUUUGUUCAUUUCAUUUAGAUAAAAUUUGAUUCAGAUAGUGAGAGGGCACGCAUUCUGAUAGAUCUCAUGACAUACAGUUUCAACUGUUUGAAGGACAAAGUUCGUUUGAAGGCUGAGAAGCAUCGAUGGCGUGUUGACGAUGAAGCCCAUUCAAUUUAUGAAGCGAUUAAAAAGAAGCGCGUACGACAGCUUCGGAGUGCGAACCAAAUAGGGCAUGGUCGCCGCCAUUAGCUGCAUUUUCUUUGACGUUCUAUUGUAUAAGUGCAUCCAUGCUUUUCGGAAAGAAAAAAUUGCUAGGUUUGACAGUUGCAGUUCAUCAUUCCAAAAAGCACAAUCAACCACUGACAAUUGUGAGUGAUAAACAACUUAUGUUUUGUUGUUGGCAUAUAACAAUAAAGUUUCCAUCGUGGAUGCCACAGUGUCUCAGUACUGAACUUAAUCAUUUAUGAGUUUACAUUGCUGUUAAUUUUUAAUUUGUCAAGACGGUUGUUCCUAGAGUAUUAUAUCAGUACAUGCUGUUAGCUGAAAUAACAUAUUCUCUGAAUUCUGCAUUUUAUAUGAUACUGAUACUUUGGCCUAGACAAGUUACUGAAAUAUUCAUUUUAUGUUGUAGUCUUGAGGAAGAUGCUUUUUGUACUAAUUGAACUCAACGAUGGAUUGAAUUAAGUUACGCAAGUUGUGCUUAUUUAAGCCUGGCAUAGGUAUAAAAAUUAUUUCUCAACUGCCUCUUAAAAUUUUUUUUUUCCAAAAUUAACGGAUAUAGUGGGAGCAAAAAAAUAGUUGUAUUAAAUCCCCAACCUCUAGAUCUUUUUGGAGUAACGCCAAUAUUCUUUUACAGAUUCCAAAUGUGGGCGUAGUUAGUUGGUGUAAAAGAUGAGGUUGCAAUGCAGUUGGAUUCACUUGCAAAGGCACUUGUGUUUAGAGUUUGGUCGGUUGAUUGACUUACUGUACUGGCUGAAAAUUGCUAGAACCAUGACUCUGAUGUAGGAGAAAAUGGUCUACCAUUUUCUCCUAUUUGGUACCGCGACAAAAUGUUCAUGUAUCGUGUGGGUUGUUGCGGCACGUGGUUUGUGUCUGCUGCAUCUGUCGCAUUUGGUCCCAUUACAUUACUACCACAAAAAAAUUCCAUGCAAUGGCUUGAACAGUCAUCCAGCUGUUGUCUUGUCCCUCCUCUUUUUUUGCACUUUCUAACAUUGUGGCCUCGCUGACCACAUCUGCUACAUUUUCGUUGUUGUGGUUGUCCCAUCUUCGUUUUUUUUUUAUUGAACCUUUGGUAAGAACAACUUCCGGAUCUUGUACCACUGUCUCUCUCCUCUCUAAAGGUUGCCUUGCUGGUUCUUUGGUCUGAGACAUUGCCUGCAACUUCAAAGUCAACUGGUGAAUAUAAGUAAUUGCCACAUUGUAUGCGGCCAAACUUGAUCCAACGAAUCUUAGCAAACUUCGACAUGCUGCAUAUAUUUGGCCAAUACGAGCCUGCUCUGUCAUGUAAUGUGAUUUAUUACAACUUAUAUCAGACAAAGUGUGAGCUUUUAUCUUUGCAGUUUUACUCCAUCGAGAAAGAAUCAUCGAACUUGGAAUUUCUGUCAUAUUCUGAGCCUUGAACACAACAAAUGAAUGCGAGCAUGGAAUUCCAAUUGUCUCAAGCAACUUGCAGGUGCAGGAUAAGGUUUUGCUAGUCUCAUUAAUCACUACUUUCACCUAUUUCCCAACCGAUCCAAACCGCCUAACCCUGUACGUUGUUGACAUUAUAUCCCGAUCACACAUUUCUGCAGUUAACAACGCUUCCUUGUCGAUUUCUUCUUGUACGAGGCGAAACAUGGCCCUUGUGAACUUUUCAGCUGCUUGCUGCUCAUACAUCUUUAAAUGUGUAACCAAAACAGGACGUCCAUCAGAACUGUUAAAGUCAUCCUUCCCCUUUGCUUCCUUUUGUCAAUCCAUUAGUCGGUCCAUCUGUUUAACAAAUUCUAUCAAUCGGAGCCUUCUAUUCACGUAAUGGUUUAGAUACGCAUUCAUUCCUUCCGACCUUUGAGUGCUUCUCAUUCCCCCAAAAAACUUUCCCCGCAAAUAAGCCUCAGCCCACAUAUGUCUAUCUUCAAACAUCUUAACAACCCAUUCAUUUGCGGCAACAUCAUGGUUAUCGACCAUCAAUUUCCAUUUUCGGUCAAAUUCUUCUUUUGUGUAAGCGUUCAUCAUGCAGCGGCGGAAUUCUGUUGUAAAUUCAGGGUUUUGAAUAUUUGUUUGAGCAUUUCGGACCAAAUGCCAGCAACACAACCUGUGUGAAGCUUCUGGAAAUGUCUUGCUUAUUGCAUUUCGCAUUGCUUUGUCCCCGUCGGUUACAACUGUCCUCAGAUCCUUGUUGUUCAUGGUUGUCAUCAAUGUCUCUAACAACCAUGUGUACGUGUGUUCUGUCUCAUCUGACAAUAGAGCAAACCCGAAUACAAUUGUUCGCUGAUGGUGAUUUAUCCCCAAAGUAACCACGAGAGGCUUCCGAUAUGCAUUGGUCUUGUAAGUUUGAUAUUUUUUUUAAGAUUUUAAAGAAAUAUCAAUAAUUGAUCCUGGUCAAAAUAUUUGUUUUAAUUACUUAUGAAAUUGUAAAUAUUUGGAAUUGUAAAGGGCGAAAAUGUCAAAUAAAUAGAGUCAGUUCCCCUUACGCAUCAUAAGUUUCAGCCCUUGUACUUUAGUUGUGUCAGUCUAUAAAUUAUUAUUGGGGGUAAUAUUAUCUUUUGAAAGUCAACAGUUAGUCAAUAAAAAAUUUUAACUUACGAUACGGGAUCUUUUACAAAUAAAAUAAUUUGAACCCAUGUACUUGCAACAGCCUCCAACCUCAGGGGAGGUUUUAAAAAUUACCGUUAAUAAACUUUAGCAUUUUAGGGUGACCCUUAAACCUUUUGGAUCCGACUGUCGUGCAAUAGUUGCACGCUACCCCAAAUUUUGUAUUUUUUCAACUCAGCGAACGGAUCAAUGGGUAAAGGGUUCAACGGCUACAAUGUGUUUAACUGGUUCUAUUAACACUUAAGUCCCUACUGUUUAUUACAAAUUCAUAAAAGCUUUACGUUUUUAAAUAUUCACAUACAUAACUUGUGUUAACAUUUUUAAAGUUUGAUCCAUUGACUUAAUUUGGUAAAAAAAAUGAUUGAUGCCUUGAUCGUGUAAAUAUAAUAAUGUAAUAUCGCAUAAAAUGUUUAAACACCUUUUAUAUUAACCUUCAUAGUUUAUAAAAUUAUAAAAUAAAAAAUGGAUUGGGCCACAUUGCAACAGUAGUACCGUGCCACAGUUGUACCUGUCGUUGGAUCUAUUUAAAUGAGUAGGGUGUGUUUGGUACAUUAUAUCAUAUUAUAUUGUAUUGUAUUAUGUAAUGCACAUGUAUUAAAUUAUAUUAUAUUCUAUUACAUUAAUAGUAUAUUAUAAUAAUUAUAAUUAUAUUAUACAACGUUUGGUAAAUGGUAUUAUCAUGUAUUGCAUUAAUCUUAAGAAUUUAGUCAACUUAUAUUAUUCUAUAUUCAUUAUUAAUUAUAUAAAAUUUUAUUUUCAUAUAAAUUAUUGUUAAAUAAAUAUAAUAUCAUAUAGAAUAAUAUUAUAUUAUAAUAUUUUAAUCUUUUAAUUUAUUAUAAUAAAAUAAUCAAAAUGAUUAAAAUAUAUUCAAUGCUUAAUUAAGGUUAAAUAAUAAAAUUAACAAAAUAUAUUGAUGACGACGACAACGACAUUAAUAUUAAUAUAAUAAUAAAUAUAAUAAAAAUAAAGAAAUUUAUUAAUAUUAAAAUUAUUCAUAUAAUAUAAACAAUAAAAUCAUAAUAAAUUCAAUAUUAUUAAUAUAAUAAUAAUGACAUUAAUAAAUAGUAAUAAAAACAGGAGGAAACAGUUAAUGUUUUACUCAAAAGACAUUUUAUGAUUUUAUCCAGAGAAAAUUACCUAUAUCUACAAAUUUGUAACUUAUGGUAUGUAUUCAGUUUUCUUAUAAAGUGAAAGGUAAUAUUGUGUAAUUUUUGGAAAAAGACAAAAUUCAGUGAUACCGUUAAACUGUUACACGGUAGGCGGACCCUUGUCAUGUGCCUUAAUAUGACACCAACUUCAAGUGGUGCAUUACUAAUCCAAGGCGUCACAUUAAUACUUGCUUGCCACUUAUUAUUUGAUGCCAUUUGGUAUAAUGUGUACUUGGUAACAGAUGUUUAAUGCUUCAUCAACAUUUUGCACGUUGUGAUGACACCAUGUUCAAUUCACUUGUUGUAACACCACCCGUUUUUUGUUUCAUCUACUCUUGUGCAUUCCUGAUUUGCAACUCCUUUUGUUCCUUAUAAAACCACAACUAUUCAUGGACACUCCAUAUUUUUUACGUGAGUCACAUACAACGUUUUACACUUACUUACUGUUACGGUUUGAGGUUGUCAAUAAGUAAUAUUACAUUUUCGUUACAGCAUCGAUUACCAAACGGGCAGGUCGCAUAAGUGGCUUUCUGUUUCAGCUAUCAUCAAUCAUUCAGGUGCAUCAACAAAGGAUAUGGGUCAUUACAUAAUAUAAAUCAGUCUGUCCAAGGGAAUUCAAGGAAACCAGUUGCAAAUGUGUUUGUUCGAAGUUACAAAAGCACAUAAAUAUAUCACAGAAAACAUAUCCAAUGGAAAUAUUACACAUUAAUUCCAGCUCCAAUGGAAGUCCCGCAGCAUAUCGAACUCUAAUGACAUGAAUCGGCCCCAAUAACACCAAACACAUCUAGUUGACUGUUUCCCUAGUAACCCGAAUGUUAACAGUAGGAGACUGUAUUCGAAAGUUGAGAAUUUUGCGACAGAGUGUUUGCAAUCUGGCGCCUUGAACACUUCCGUGGCAGUGGUAUAUGAACUUGUCCAACACUUUACUAUGCCACAGGAAGUACUCCACCAGGCGUACGUCAUCUUUUCCGUCAGUAAAUGCUUUCAUCUUUAUUUUUUUGACGCAUUCACUCAAGCAAUGGGGCACAUUUUCUGUCUCCAGCCACCCAAGUUCGUGGUCGUUUACGUCGAACCAAUCUCCCUGAUAAGUUAAAACAGGCAAACCCAUGGUUAACAUAUUGAACCUAGUUCCUGAUGACUGCACAUGACUAUUGUCUUACUGACCUUCGUUAAUAUACAAGUACGCAAGUUGUAGGUGGCAGUGAGGAUAGUAUGUAGACCUUUCCAGCCACUUCGUCGAACUUCAACAUCCAAAAAGGUGAGGUUGUCAAACCAAAUCAGGGACUGCCUUUCGCAUGCCCGCUUAAGUGCUUGUGGUUUAAUUGGUUAUUACACAAACAACAACAAUAACAACGUUCUGUCACUUUCAAGUAACAAAUAAUUAACCAACUUAAGCCCUUUUGUUGAAAUGCAAAAUUUGGCCUGAUUGUCCAAGGCUUGCUGACAUUCCUUAACAGUUCAAGCAAAACAAUACAUCUCAGCCUUAUGAUCAAUACAAAAACCUAACAGUCAUAACAGAUGAAAAAAUUGUAUAUCAAUCUCUGUCUACCUUUCUCCCUGCAGCGCCGCUCUGUCAAAAUAAUACUAUGUACAUAUCACAUUCGGAUUGAGGACAGCGGCGCAGGGAGAGUUUCAUAAAUUAUAUAAAUUUAUGACAGUACAUGUCGUCAUUCAUCAUCCAUAUGUAACAUAGGUUAACAAUAUAUAAUUCAUUUCACAUCACCAAGUUCAAACAACACACAAACCUUUAUAUCAUCUUUUUGUGGUAAUUGUUUUGCUACUCUACAAGGACUCAACCACCACCAUUGUUUUUUGUUGGUGAAAUUUAGGAUCAUGUUUCUGACAUUUGCAAUUUGACAGUGGAAAUAAUGACAAUUUAAACUACUAUAUAAUCCAUUUACAUGCAAUUACUUACUUGGCCAAUUUAAAUGUCAAACCAAUCUUAAACUAAACUUUAUACUAAUUGCAUGUGUGUGAUCACGUUGUUACAUUGAUACAAUAUGUCACAUUGCAAAUGUUACCCCUUAUAUGCUAGUUUACAACCUAAAAUUACCCGGUACUUUUUUUAAAUGAAUAUUUAGAUGCUGGUAUAGUAUGGGAAUGCUUACCAAAAGAACACCACCGGAUAGGAUCAGACGAGCUGUUUUUGCGACACCCUCAAUGAGGUUGCGAGCACGUUGUGGAUCAACUGUAUCCGAUUCCCAAUGUUGAAGAUCUAAAGUUGCUUACUGGAUGGAUUGCAUCUCAUGUACCUCAUAUUCCAUCAACAUGUUAUCAACAAUAUGGAUUAGUUGGAGAUUUGGCGCCAUAAUGACAGCACAAUGGUGGUAUGACAUCCCUCGCAACGAGGUGAAGAGAACAACAAACGUCAGUGUGUUAAGAGUUGCCGACUGAAUGAUGAAGUUCGCUGGAGGAUCAUCUGGUUGUAUCAAAAUUGUCAGACAGAGUUCCGUCAGUGAAGGGCAACUACAAAACAGCUUCUCUUUAACUCGGUUUUCAAGAUGGGUAAUACAUAUUUGAAGAAUCUUCAGUUGGGGAAAACACACACCAUCCGGAGGAUCUUAUAAGCGAAAUGCAGUGUGUAGUCGAAGAACUUCAAGCGUCAUCGAGCUGUACACAUAUGCAGGCAACUGCAUGGGUGCGUACUGGAUAAUAUCGAUUUCCAUCUCCCGAACAUUCCGCAUUAUUACCUGAGAUACCCACAAAGGAAACCGAUCACUACGUAUAGCGUUGACACUCUGAAGAGAGAACGUAUGUAUUGAUACGGGGUCCGUUCCAGCCAUCACUGAUUCUAUGAAGUUGUUAAAUUCAUCCACCAGGUCAGGAUUGUCAGCAGCAGCCCCCAUGGGACCCCCAUCAUCAAAGCAGAGGUUGCGAACUGAGGUCCAUACAUGCCUCCAUCUUCGCGAAAGACUUGAAGUGGCCACUGCAUCUUCGAGUGGCAGAAAAUUUAGGAUAUUGGACAUCACAGAAUCAGGCAAUGCACUAAUCCUGUCUUCGGGUACUUUUUUUAGCACUCUUCCCCGUCGGAUCCGCGGAACCGAACCAGUUGAUCUCCUCAUCCUUAAGGCAACUCACCUUGGCCUGUGGGACCAUUAAAUACAUUUAAAUUCAUAAUAAUCUGCUACAAAAAUCAAACCAUUUACACAGACGUUAUUUAGAUGUACAAUGUAGGUUGUUAAAUUCACUUCCACACACAUGGUCAUAGUUAACAUUUAUAAAUAAUUUAAAGGUUUAAUUAAGCAGUUACAGUAUGAAUUGCAUUCAAGCAUAGAUUUUUUAAAAAUGAAAAUUUUAUUGACUCAUCCUGAAAAUUAUAUAAUCUAUUGAGGUCGUUGAUUAAUCAAUUAGAAUCAGGUGUACAGAGAUAAAAUAAUACACACAAAAGUCCAGACAUUUCACCAAUUAGCUAAUCCUUUUAGUAUUAUUCCCCAACUUAAAACGAUAUAUCCUAAAACCUUAUCCUUUGUAAGCAUCGCGAUGAAUUUCCCUAACAUAUAUCCAACACAAGCAUUCAAUGUUUAGGUUCAGACUCAUUAACAAAGAUCCACCAUUGCUAACUUAUCGUCGUCAAAAUAAAACAAAUAUGGCACAUUCGCGAAUGAACCAAACAAUUCACCAAAAGGAUAGAAAGUAGAAGGGUUCAGCUGUCUAACGAAAUAUUAGGGGCAAUAAUGGGGAAAAAACAAAAAAAAAAUUGAUGCAUUUGUUCUGGGAACUGUCGUCGUUAUGUAGUGAGUUAAUGCUUGUUUUGUUUGGUGGUUAUGUUAUUGGCCACUGGGCUGUACAUUCCCGGGAUGUGUGACUACAUUGAUCAUUGUCACUCUCGAGAUUGCGGCUUCAGUUCAAUCCGUUAUGAAUCCUUGUGCCAUUGUGGCAACUGGCAACUGCCAUGUGAAAUUGAAAUAUUUGCUUCAGACAAUUACUCGGUGCUUCAAACAAUAAUAUUGUGGGCCCAUUGUUUAGGUCAGUCGCUUUCUCACUUCCCUUGUCUUUCUGGAUUGAACACGUUUGGAUGGUCUUUCAGUUCAACCUUUUUCAUUGCCUCAUUUGUCUCUUGUGGUGCUUGUCAACUUUAGAUCCUUCCAUACUUGGCCGGACACACAAAUUUAAUUUUUUAGAUUGCAUGGGGCCAUGGAAGUAUGAUGACUUCAUUCGGCAUGUGCGCAAUGUGACAACAAGUUUUUUCAUUUUUCAAUUAUGUCCUUUUUUAUUUAAUAUUAUUUAACCAUAAGCUUAUUAUUAUAUUUGUUCUUUUAUAAUUAAAUAAUAAAUAAAAAUAAAAUAAACAUAUUCAGUAGUUAGCAUUACAAAUUGAGACAUUUUUAUUAUUAUUUAUUUUUGUUAUUUAAUAUUAUGUACACAUACAGUUAUUAUUUAAACUAAUGCUUUCAUCAAACAAAAUAAUGCAAAAUAAUAAACAAAUCAUUAGUAACAAGUGUUAACAAAUAAAAUUAUUCUUUUAAUUUACCCAUAGGCUUACAAUUAUAAAUAAGCUUAUUUGAAAACUAAAUAAUAAACAAUUUUAAUAGUGUGUUACAUAUUAUAUAUAUAUAUAUAUAUAUAUAUAUAUAUUAUAUAAAAAACCUCAUUUUAUUUUAAUUUAGUCAUGUAGGUGCAAUGGCCAAGUCCGAAUGUUCAUAUUUGACCUUUUUUUUUUGCUGCGAGUUUAUACGUGUUAAUAUAUAUGCGAAUUAUUAUUUAUAUUAAACUAUAUGUUUCUCUUUGUACAUAUUUAUUGAUAUAUAAAUUUUAUAUGUUUCUCUUUGUACAUUUGUCCCUGCUUUAAUUUAAUCUUUAUCUGAAGGUAUUAUUAUGAAGAUUCUAUUUAACUUAAUUUUGAUUCGUGUUUUUUUUUAAUUUAUAAAUAAUACCCAAUUAAUUAUUAACUACUUGUCCUUCAGCGGAUUAUGUAGACAGACAAAAGAAGAAAAGGAAUUUAGAGAAAUUAAUGUGCAUUGAGAUAACCGCUAAUGUAGGGACGAAAGAAUUAUGCACAUGACCUUCUUAAUGCAAGUAUGAACUUGGUGAAAAUUGAGAAACUUUUUUUAUGUUAUUAUUACUUAACUUUUUGAACGUGGUUUCUAAUAAUUCGCACAUUUGCUUUUGAUCUUCUUUUGUUUUUAUAGAUCUUUAACAAUAUAAUUUUACUUCUUAUUUUCAUGACUUCUUAUUUGAUUUAUUUUAUUUUUGCAGCAUACUUCUUUAGGGUCUGCCUACCGUGCAACAGUUACACGGUACCAUUGAAUUUUGUCUUUUUCCAACAAUCAUACUACACUACCCUAUAUUUAUAAGAAAACUGAAUAUAUACUAUAAGUUACAAAUCUUUAUAUAUAGGUCCUUAUCUCUGGAUAAAAUUAUAAAAUGACUUUUGAAAAAAAAUUUAAUUGUUAUUAUUAUUAUUUAUUAAUGUCAUUCUUAUUAUUAUUAUUAUUAUUAUUAAAAUUUAUUAUUUUAAUUGUUAUGAUUUUUUUAAUUGUUAUCAUUAUUAUUAUUUAAUAAUUUUAUUACCGUCACUAUUUUUAAAAUAUAUUAAAUUUAUUACUGAAUUAUUAUUGAAUUAUUAUUUUAUUAAUAUUAAUAAAUUUAUUAAUCUUAUUAUUGUAAUUAUUAUAUUUAUAUUAAUGUUGUUGUCGUCAUCGUCGUCAUCAUCAUUAAAUUUUAUAUAUUUUUUUUGUUUUGACUAUUAAAUAAUACCACUGUCAUUAUUAUUAUUUUACCUUAAUUAAGCAUUACAUAUAUUUUAAUUAUUUUUUAUUUUUAUUAUAAUAAAUAAAAAAUAUAAAAAUAAAUUAUAAUAUAAUAUUAUUUUAUUAUAUCAUAUAAUAUUUAUUUAAAAAUAAUUAAUAUGAAAACAAUUAUUUAAUAUCAUUAAUAAUAAAUUUAAAUAUUUUUAGUUAAAUAUUAGUACAAAAUUAAUGCAGUACAGGAUAAUACCAAUUACUAAAUGUUGCAUAAUUUUAUUAUAAUUAUUAUAAUAUACUGCUUAUAUAAUAUAAUAUAAUAUAAUAUAAUAUAAUAUAAUAUAAUAUAAUAUAAUAUAAUAUAAUAUAAUAUAAUAUAAUAUAAUAUAAUAUAAUAUAAUAUAAUAUAAUAUAAUAUAAUAUAAUAUAAUAAUAAUAUAAUAUAAUAUAAUAUAAUAUAAUAUAAUACAUGUGCAUUACAUAAUACAAUAUAAUAUAGUGUGUCAAACGGACCUUUAACUUUUUGAGUGAUGAUGGUCUAGAGGGAUGUAGAGAAAGUAAAAAUAAUCCUAGUAGAUCUUUUACAAUGGUUGAUUAGCUAUCAUCACAAAGUUUAGGCUAAUACAAUAAAAGUUAACGAACUACCUUAUAUUUAAAAGAGCAUUUGGAAAUCAAUAAAUUUACUAUUCAAUUAUUUUUAAUCAAGAAUAAAUAAUAAAUGAUCAUUACAACAAGAUUCACAAGCUCAAAUAUCUUAAAAAAUGAUAAUUCUCAAGAAAUAUGAAACUCAAAUGCUUUUGAAAUAUUCUUCAAAAAAUAAACUAACUUCCUUUUAUGUUAUUCUUUAUUUAUCUUUCUAUAACUUUGUUGGGCUAUGUAUAUAUUGAUAUUUUAUAGGUAAAUUAACAUAUUGUAUGUAUAAAUAAACUAACAUGUCAACUAAUGUUAAAAACAAAAAUGUAAUAAAAAAGUAAAGUUUUGUAAUAUUAAAAUAAUAAAAUUUUACAACCUAAGACUUUUUACAUGUUUUCUUAUUUUGAAAUUUCACCUUUUUUUAUUUUAUAAUUUUCUAAAGUAUAAAGGUUAAUAACCUAUAUUCUUAAAACAUAUUCAAUUUAUUUAUUUUACAGUAAAUAUAGAUUAUAUAACAAAAAAUAUUAUUUACAUUUAUCAAAUUUUCAUGUGUUUAAAAAUUUUAUGUGAUAUUACAUUAUUAUAUUUACACCAUCAAUUAUUUUUAUGAUCAAAUUAAGUCAAUGGAUCAAACUUUAAAAAUUUUAAAACAACAAAAAUUAUGUAAGUGAAUAUUUAAAACCUUUUAGCUUUUAUGAUUUUGUAAUAAACAGUAAGGACUUAAGUGUUAAUAACUAAUUGAACACAUCCUGUCUGUUGAACACUUUAACCAUUGAUCUUUUACAAUGGCUGAGUUGAAAAAAGACAAAAAAAUGGGAUACCGUGCAACUGUUGCACGGUAGGCAGACCCACUUCUUUAUGUUAUUUUGAGGACACUACACAAUACAGCUUUGAACUUAUGAAGAGUUUAGAUGAAGUUGUUGGCAUUUUGUUUAUUUUGUAUUGUAAAAAAUAAAUUAUAUGUAAUACUAUUAUGUUAUGGACUUCAAUCACUGAAGUGGAUUUAUUUUAAUUAUAUGUUACCUGUUUUGUAGUUUGUAAUUUAUGCAUUUGUUUGAGAGCUUCCAAAUUAAUUUAAAAAUAUAUUAUGUUACAAAAUUUUAAUUACUUACAAAAACCUAAUUCACAACAUACAUCUGCAAUUUUUUAAAAGAUAUGUAAUAAAAUAGUAGAAGACAACAUUUACGGCUUGUGGUUAAAAACUUUUCAGCAACAUGCAAAUAACUCAUGUCUAAAACUGUUUUCGUAUGAAUGGUUCCACCAAUUACCUAACCAUGAAAUACUACGAUACUUUUGAUAGUAAUAUUAUGAUUAAGGUGCAUGAUACGAUUAUAUAUAGCAAAAGCCACGCAUCCCGAAAGACAAAUCGAUGCACACAUUGAACAAUUGACAAAUUUGUAAGUGGACCAAUGUACUUAACGCAAAUAACGUGAUAUUUAACACAACACAAGAACUUGUUCUAAUGAUUACAAAAACAAUAGUGGCAACAUCCAAGGGAUAUCUUGUACGUACGCUUCAUUCGUCUACCAAAAAAGACUACAAUAAAGUACAAUAUAUAUAAGUCCACAUUUUCCCUACGUUCACAUAUACUACCAACGAAAGAGGCACACCCCAAAUGUUGAUUAAUGUAACGCUUCCCUAUGAAGCAAAAUCGGGUGAUGAACUCAAGUGGCGCAUUAGGCAGUUCCAUCAGCAGUCUCCACCGUUGUUCCAACGCCGUUAGAUUGGGAUCCAUGGCAAUGAUCGCCUCCCUGCUAGAAGUCAAUAGCGUUUAUACAGACAAAAAUGAAAAGAUCAAUGCCACUAUACAUUUUAAAAAACGAUGAAUUGAUUACCCCAACACGUGGAUAAAAUAAACCUAUGCUAGUUAACGAUAAUAACGACAUCCAAUUAAUUGAAAGCUUUGCAAUCACAGAAAUGCUUCGAAGAAAUUUUUUACCGUGGCCGGAGUUGGAUUUACUAGCUUGCAUGUGCGCUUCCCAUGUCCGUCGGCCUUACACACCGUACACCUGUACUUUUGCUUCACGCCCACAACUUGGGCACGUGGUAUAAUGGGUUGUACAGCCGUGGUUGCUGCAGGGUUUUGGUCAGAAUGGGCCACCGCAUCCUUGACCACCGGGACAUCCUCUCUGGUAUGGCACAACGUCGAGGGGGGCCCAAGUGUUGGAGAGUGAGCAGCGUUAACGGAAAACCGAACUAGAACAUGGAGACUGCAACUUCCCUUUAUCAUGGACAAGUGGAUAAUGUUUUUCAACGCAUCGUCCGUGUUGACGUCCACCAUCCGACCAUCCCACGGGAGAACGACUUUAGGAUGGAAAUAAUGAACCGCAGGAGAAUCUCUAGUCUGCAGCACGAGAGCUGCAAUAUUGCAAAAUCUGAGAAGAGUGUAGUGCAUGGGCCUGAUGGAUUUAAUCAUCAUGGCUGACCCCAUGUACUCCAAGACAAAGAUGAAUGGUGGAGGCAUUAUUGGCGUUACCGUCGCCAUGUAUUAGGGAAACUGAGAUGUAGGUGCGAACUAAAAAAAAUGAUGAUCAACUGCGAUGUUCGUACUAUGUGGUUAUGUAAAGGUCAUUCGUGAAUGGUGGCAAUAUACACAUUCGUUGAUAAUAAUACGCAUUACAGAUAAAAAAUUCAUCCAACUAUUUUGAAUUUAGUGGGAAUUCUUAACCAACGUAAGUAGUCCAUAAAUAUAUGGGUAUUUUAUAUGGCCAAUGAGACAUUAGAAGGUAAUUAUUUCUGUGUUUCGUUUAAAAAUUCCAACCUUAAAUUAACUCCCGCCUUUGAAAGAGGCUGGUUAUAGGCGACAAAAAUACUUCCUACUAUUUACAUACCUUGCCGUUGAAGAUUUUGCACUGACAAACUAACAGUGACAACUACUAUACUGUUUGCAGUGCUUUUAUGGUAACUCACGAUAACGAAGCUUCCUGUGGGGUCAAAUGCGCUGAAUGUUAUUAAUUGCCAAUAUUCACAGCAGUUGCAUUCUGUCAGGGAUAUAUUUUCCAGUCAGUGUCUUCUUGAUAAAGGAACAUGAGGCGGCGGGUUGUUUCCUGUGGAUGGCCAUGCAUUUAUGUAGUGGCCGCCGCUAAGCGAGGCCGUCUGUUGCACCGGUGAAAGGACACGACACAAAGAACAUCGCUUCACCCACGUGGCCACGUUUUCACAGAGGAUGACCGUGUUAUUAGCCUUUUUUAGUUCACUUUUGGAGUGCAUUGAAUCGACUUGACUAGCUAAGUGAUAAUCUGUAAGCUACUGACUGCAGCAUCAGCCGUUGGAUACGGUUGGAUGUGAAGUGAGAAACUAAACUAUAAAAUGGGAUGGUGGGAUGAGGGGAUACGUUUGUUAUGGAAUCUGUACCAUAGACAGGUCCACAUUGAAUAUGUUCGUGCCUCUUUCUUCGAUACCCCCAACACGUGGUAUGACUUAAAUCCACACACGUUCAAAAGUUAUCACGGCAUUUACAUCUACAGCCAAAAGUUCAAACUGGUUUAUGGGAAGUAAUCUGUCAAUUGGGAAGCUUCCUGUGGCCUUGCACACAUCGGGUUCAUUGACUACAGCAGUGGAAAACGAGAAGGGUAUUGACGGAAUAUAGAAUUUAUUUGAAUUAUUUGUGAUGAGACAGAAGCAUUUGCUUAUUAGUUAAAGUGACCGUUGAUAUCUUCCCGUUGUGAACCAUUACGUGGAAAUGUCCCAGCAAUGAAUGAGAGUUUAAAUACCGCCUUCUAUCGUUUUGCAUCUAUGAGGGUGCACAAUAUUCUUCCAAGAAAACCAUUUUUCGCAUGUCUUCGUCGACCAAUAGCACCAAUAACAUGAGUAACAACCACGACGGUGGAGAUCGUCGUAGGUGGAUUAAGUUGAAAAAUUGAUAUUGCAACUGUUAUAAUGGCCGGCGAGCUGUAAUACGGAUUUCUAAAUCGUCAAAGAACCCAUGACGUCUUUUAUUUUACUGCGACACCUGCAAGUUUUUGCAUUGGUGGACUCCGGAUAACGAUGAAUGACACAGUCUUCGUGAGUAUGUGCAGGAACGGACAGGAGCCUACCGUCUCAGUCGCUUACAUGUAGUGGCUUGCUUUGUUGGGAUCAUUAUCUCGAAUAUACUGGCAAGAGCGUUGGUUGUGCUAUACUUAUGGUGGUUUUCGGUGAGGACCUCGGCCGAUCCAGGAGUGACGAGCCAGUGGUUUUAGUUUCAGCAUGGGUAGCAGUAUGGUGGGUGUUAAAGUAUAAAUAGUUUCCAUGUAUAUGUUUUAAUUUAGAGCUGAUCCAGCAAUAAACAAGUGUCACCAGUAAAUUUACAUCGUUUUUUUCCAAGUAUAUAGUCAUUGUUUUUGUGCAUCGUGGCUUGAAAGUGGGGCUACAGUGUUUGUUUUAUUCACGUUAGGCGCAAAUCAUGCUAAUCAUCGUGUUUGCUAUGAUUAGUAAGGGGAUUGUUAGGGCUAAGAAAAAUGAAAUUAUUGACCUCCCUGUCAAAUAUUGUUACUAGCUCCCAUGCACUAUAUCGUUGAAGGCAUCUAUUUUAUUGUGCAUUAAGGUAUUGAAUGUGUUGAGAAACAUACACUGUUAAUUCAAGUCAGUUCCCCUUAGUUAGGAUAGAACGAAGCAUGGUUGCAAAUUGAAAAUAUGGUCGAAAAAGACGUCCUUUUAUUAAUCCACCAGGUGACAACAUUCUGGGCGAAGGGUCAUAUUUGUAAAAACCAAGCUGACAAAACAGGAAAACGCUAUUGAUGCAAGUCUGCAACACCAACAACUCAUUUUUUAACAAUCUAGAUGCUACCCCUUAUAUGCGAUUACGAGGACAAAAAGAAAUAAAUAAUAAGACCUUCGCUACCAUUAACGAGAAAAGGAAAAUGAGUUCGCUAUGUGAGCAUUUUUGAAAUAAGUGGCAGCAUUUAGAAUUGUGCAUCUUCAGUGUGGACGUUAAUGGUAGCGCAUGCGAUUGUAGACCAACCAUGCCAAGCCGAACAUUAUGGAUGCCUCAUCAGCCUCGAUGUGAAAAGUGAAAUUUGAAAGAAAGCCGUCCCAAGUGAGAAACACAUCAACGAAUGACGACGUAAACAGCACCUGGCACGUCCGCGAUUCAAGAUUGACCGCUAUGUGGAAGUUCAUGAUCAGGUGAGAAAUCUGUUCCACCUUGAGGAAAGGCAUCGUAAAAAACAAUGUCAUUUUACAGAAAAAAAAAUAUUUGAAUAACAGGAAAAAAAAUCCACACUUCCUAAUUGGAUGUGCCCUAGAGUUUGGAAGCCGUAAAUCGCGACAAAAUUGCCGCAAUUCAGCCCUUUUAAACUGAAACAACUACCGCCGGAUAACAGAUAUCCGUAUCGAAGAUGCACGUUAUAAAUGACCCACAAAAGAGGAAUGAGGUACUGAUUUAGAAAGCGAUAAUGGAGGUGCUGGGAUGAGAAACGACUGUUUGUACACCCAAAUGAAGCUGGGUCCCUCAAAAGAUACAUUUUGUGAACUAUAAUUAAUCGUGGACCAUGAUCAAACGGUGGUGCGACUGAUAGUAUAACCCCCUAAACCGAAGCUUCACCAUAAGUACAAUAACAUGGGGGGAACUGAAAUAAUAUGUUAAUAGUCCUCAUUAACAAAGUUGAACCAUGGAGAUGUAUAUUAAGUAUAUAACAAACGUUCAAAAGUUGUAUACUCAAGUGAACAGGUUGUACAAGUUUGGAAGAGGGUCACGCGGACGAUUGGAGGGACGUUAACGCAUGUAAGAGAAGUGGACCGGCCAUGGGAUCAUAAUAUCAGCACUGAAACAUUUUACCAUAUUUCCCAAUACAUUUAUCACAGUUGUAAAAAAACUAAGCAUCAAAGCAGGAAAGCAUCGAACUGAAAAGAUCAUGUGCAUAGAGAGACGCGUCGAACCUGUGAAUGCUCCUGUUAGUUGGAGUCCCGACCGGAGACGCGACGUGCUGUACACAGCAACAACUCCGGGAAGAUGACUUCGAACUAACAGAAGGAAAAGUGAGGCGAACUUGUCAAAAGCAAUGACAAUCUUGUCACUGACUAAAAUUAUAUGUGGACGAUAACCAGCGAGUGCUAGCAUCUUAGGCCGUGUUUGGACGUGUGCAAAAAGAGGGAAAUAACUUUUGUGUAAGUUUUAAUUAAUAGUAAACACAACCGUACAUAAAUACCGUAAUUUAUCAACCGGGCAAAGCUUACCUUACAUAUAAUGUAACAAAAAACCAAUGAAUAUAAGUCAUUGAUUUUGAUAUUCCUUAAAUCCAAUGGAAAAAAUUAAUUUUAACAUAAAACAAAAUACAGGUGAAAUAUAUAUUGAUAAAAGCUUUUAUUUAUAAUCAUAUAUUUACGUAAUUUUUCAAAUACGUCCUCAUUGAGUUUUUAUAAUGAAAUGGUUUUUUCAUUAAUCUUUUCUACAUUUAUUUUUAAACUGUAAACAUUUUUUACAAUAUUUUUAUAAAGAUUUAUAUGAUUAUUAUAUUCAUAAAGAUCCACAAAUUUUGAAUAUAUUUUUGCGCUUACAUUUAUAAUUUCUUGUCUCUCUGGAGACAUAAACUAAAAUUUUCUUCUAACACAUACACACAUUCAAUCUAUUUUCGUUCUUAAAUACAUAGCAUCAAUGCCAUCACACAUAUUUUGUAAUCUAUAUUUAGUAUCAUGAAUUAUAAUAGACAUUAUAUGUAAUGAAUAUCUUAUAAAUCUAAUGAAUUAUUAAAAAGAUGGUACAAUGAAUAAAUUACCAAAACCUCUAAUAAAAAGAUUACAAUUCUUUGAUCUUAUCAAUGAUUCAAACAUGUGGAGAAAUAAUCAAUUAAAUUGAAUGUUACUAUUUUUAUUAAAUAAAUUAGAAAAUAUAAAUAUUUCUAUAAAUGAUAUAGAAAUGGUAAACAAAAUAUUAGAAAUUCAUAAUUUCAAUGAAGGAAUAUAAAAUAAAAUAAAAAGUUAAGAGAUCAAGUGAUCAACUUAGUAAAGAAUUUAAUAAAGUUAAACAAUUCAUAAAAGACUUCAACAUUAAAAAUCAUGAUAUAUUAAACCAAGAGAUUAAUAAUAUAAUGAAUAAAAAUUCAAUAGAUAUAAAAUUUAACAAGUUAUAGAUUCAAUGAAAUAAAAUAAAUAAAAUCGUUGAGCAGUUUCAUACUAACUUUGCUAUAAAUAUAAAUGAAGAACUUCAAAAAAACUUCAAAUAUUGCUGCUUGGGUGCAAACAACCUGGAGUAUAAACAAUCUGGGGUAUAAUGUAAAACAUUAAAACUUAUUGACUUUUUUAAUAAUUAUUAUCUUUUCUAAGGGUUUAAGAAUUUAUAACUGUAACAUACAACUAAUGUAACAUGAGCUUUGCCUAUCAACCGUAUUAAACAUCCAUGGAAAUGUAUUGAAUGUUAUUAGUAAUCGUGAAUUAGUUGUAGACGAUGCGUGCAUGUAGGGAAUUAUGCACAUGGCUGGAUCUAGUAGUGGUAUGAUACCAGUGAGCUACCAUAGUUUUCUCCGUAAAGAUGUAAUAAUUAGAAUAGUUUGAAAGGAAUAUUUUUUUUUUCCCAUUAUAUGAUGUAGGUCCCCCACAUCUUAUAUUUGUAUGUAAACAUAGGGCAAAACGAUAACAUCACUUCAAGCAGCCAGUUUCAUAGAUUGAUAUUUCCAAUUUUUCUUUUAAGUUGACCUUAUAUUCGCACAGUAAUACACACAAUUACGAAUCUAAUUUUUGUGAUCAUAGUAUAAAUAAGUACCCGCGAGAAAUAUGUCUUGUACAGUAAAAUUACUGUUACAAAUAACAGACAAAUUUGUCACUUCAUUAUAGGUAUAACAUAGUACACUCAAUUUAUUUCGCCCAAACUAAUUUAAUUAUAGUGAGACAUUCUUAACUGUUGCAGAAUAAAGUAAUUUCAAUUUUCAACAAAAAUGUGUAUUUUUUAUUGAAUGUAAUGUAAUAUCUAUUUCCAAUAUUAAUCUCAUGUAAUAGUUUAAAAAUUAUGACAAUUUACCAUGAAAUAUAUUAGUUAUCACAAGUUUCUCUAUUACUUGUCAUCGUAUCAUUAAAUUAAAUAGGCAACAUUAUAUUAUUUAUUAAUUAAAUCCCAAAAUAGUUAUGGUGGUUUGAUGAAUAAAUUGUAAGGAUUGUUUACUUUUCUUGUUUUGUUUAAUUGAUGCACUGCUUUCUUUCUAAUUAUUUAACUAUCGAAUGUCAUGCUAUCUAAAGUCUAUAUGUAUUCAAAUGACGGGAAUCAAGACCUCUCAACAAAUUUCGAAUAUAUAAGAUUGAAACAGCACAAUGUGAAAUACUAAUGUUCAUUUUAUCCUGUAACAAUAUGAAGAAGUUGUACAAUUUAUUAGGAAUUGACCAUAGUUGUGGAACGAAUUGUAAAGCAUAAUCUGGGAAUAGUAAGGAGAUUGUUGUGACCAAUACAACAAAAAACAAAUCAAAUACUUAGUAAAAUGUUGUUACAAAAUAAUUACGUCCACUGUUAACUUGGAAUUCACAUGAUAUUCCCCUAAGUGUAUUGAUGGUAACAUAUGUUGCACGGCUUAUAAAACCCCCGAAGUUCACAAAUUACACUGCAUAGGCGUGAGACUGGGGCCUGACAUUUUGUAUUAUUGAUACGGGCUGGGAUAAACGUCCAUGUGACAAUUACGUCGUUGGUCCUUGAAGAUUAGGAUAUUUACUGACGAAGUGAUAUCAUGGUUUCCACCCAGUAGUAGGGAUUAGUUGGUUAGAACAGGGGAGCUAUUUGCCAUGAUGGUAGGUUUUUUCAGAACGCGAGGGAGUGUUGGUAAAAGUCUGGGAAAAAGGAUAGCUCAUCGAAGCUUCGUAGCGGACAAAAGCGGCGGCCAAGUACAGUUUCCCACGCAACCACUGACAAUGAAAGGAAAGAAAUUGCAAACUUCCGGCAUUUUAAUUUAUUUUUGUGGCAGUCGUUGCUUUGGAAGGUUAAUCCAUAAAAAUAAGGUGAAAUGAUGAACGACAUUUGCGCAGGAGAGGAAAUUUCUUUCCAAAAAUUUCAUCAUAGGGAGUUUCAUAAAUCUGUGCAUGAACAGGAUCCUGUAAAGACUACAUGUGAAACCCAUAUAUCGAUUCGAAGGAAUAACUUAGGAGUGGGAGCCAACAACACCACAGAGAAGGAGAGUAUGCUAAAUACAUACUUCACAGAGUGACACCAGGUAAACAUCAAAAUUAUAUCGUGCUCAUGUUUAUUAAUGACAAGUCUGUCUCACAUAUGUUCAUUCCGCUGGGCAAUGAAAUUGCAUGUGACGGAAAUGUAAUAAUCACUUUAAAACUGCUGUAUGGGUAGUUUAUUGUAGCACGAAUCAGGUUUGCAAUCGUACGGUAGACGCAUGUUUACAUUACAAAAAAUUGUUACGUUAGCUAUUACUUACAACUUCUCUGUUGAAUAACAAUGUGCAUUUCGUUUAAAUUUGUCAUAUUAAACUUGCAUUUAAAAUGUAUAUUUGGCCACACCAUUAAUUACUUGGGAAGAUGGCCAGUUAUGUGCAUUAUUUGAAGAAACUAUCCCGCAUUUCACAGUUUAGGCCGUCAUGGAAGAGCAUCAGCAUAUCAAAUUUUUCAUUUGCUCAUGCUUGUGGUGAUUUAAUAAACAGAUAAACCAAAUUCAAAGCAAGUCAUGGAAGAGGAUCAGCAGUCUGUUGUCAAAGGUAUAAAAGAGCCAAAGAAGCGCAGGCUUAUUAGUUCUACGAAUCACGCUGACCUCUUGAACUGUUCGCCAGAAUAUGUUCGUUCCUGUAGCUCAACAAAUAGACGAACGGCUAUAUUGGAUACUGACAUGGCCAAAUUGCAAAAGGCAUUAUAGUUUAAGAAUGAAAAAUAUAAUAGAAAAAUGUCCAAGGAGUUAUUUCCCAGUACAAAAGGCAAGGACGAACUGGUAGAUCAACAAUGUCGGGUGCUUGGCAAGGGUAACCCAAGUUGCACGGAACAUCUAAAAGGGAAUAAACAAACCCCUGUGUUUCUUAAAACACGUUGGCCAACAGGGUGGUACUCGGAUGAUGAACGAGACACGUUGGCAGACGUAAACGAUGAUCAACAACAAUUAGAAGGAUACUCGUCAGAAAAAGAGAAGGACAAUUUGUACGGAUUGGUAGAAAACCAAUUAGAUGAAGAUGUGGGUGACUGGUUCAUAUUUGAUGACAGUGUACAUCAUAGACUAGUAUUAUAUCACGGCCAGCGAUUUAAAGAUGUGACCCAGUUUAGGAACACUAUUCAAGUGUAUGCAAUUCGUGAACGGUUCAAGUUGUGCAUUAUGGAAAAUCGAUCUCACAUUGUCAGUUGCGAGUGUUCUGAUCUUUCUUGCGACUGGCAGGUUAAAGCAAUCAGAGAUGUCCGUGGUAAGGGUUUUGUUAUAACAGAAUUCUCACUAAAACACAAUUGCCCUCGACUUGACCACGCAUUCCACCCUGCAUCAAAGUGGAUUUCAGCAAUGUUUCUUCAUCGAUGGAAAGAACAGACAAGUAUCACCACAACAGAGGUCAAAAAUGAUAUUGAAUCCAUGUAUAGGAUUAAAUGCCCUGAGUGGAAGGUGUUUUGUGCAGCAAACAGAGCAAAACAGAUUUUGGGCCUGGAUUAUGACGAUGGUUAUGCAAUGCUGCAUCAGUUCAAAGAAGAAAUGAAAAGGAUCGAUAGGGACAACAUCGUGCUUCUAGAAACUGAGAGCCAUGAAUCACGAAAAGAAGAAAGGUUCAAGAGGGUGUUUGUAUGCUGUGAACGUACAUCCUAUGCAUUCAAGGUGCAUUGCCGAGGUAUCCUAGCUGUUGAUGGUUGGGAAAUUAACAAUCCGUGCAAUAGUGUCAUGCUGGUGGAAGCUGGACUUGAUGGGAAUAAUGGGAUCUUAACAGUUGCCUUCUGCGAAGUUCAAGUCGAAGACUUGGAUUCUUGGGUUUUUGUUUUAAAGAAUAUCAACAGCGCGCUGCGUUUGGAGAAUGGCAAAGGUCUAUGCAUAUUGGGUGAUGGAGACAACGGUGUUGAAUACGCUGUUGAAGAAUACCUUCCUAGAGCUGUGUACCGACAGUGCUGCCACAAGAUUUUCAACGAAAUGGUCCGGAGAUUCCCCACAGCACCUAAACAGCACUUGUUCUGGUCCGCUUGCCGCACCACGAGUGCUACAAGGUUCUAUAACUAUAUGGAAUUGAUAUAUCUUGGAAGUCAACAAUGCCAUGACUGGUUGAAGAAUUCAAAUUGAGAAAGGUGGGCACUAUUUUGUAUGCCUCAUUAGGUUAAGUGUACCUGUGUCACAUUAACGAUUACUGAGAAACUUCGCACUUCCUUUGACCACUAUUUGGAGAUGAGCAUUACUAGAAGAUUUGCGGCCAUUGCACGCUCAACGGCUGAAAUUUUCGAACGUAGAAGGAUGGCUGUCUGGAAAUAGUAUAGGGAGAAAAUAACGCCCACAGUUCAGGAUAUCAUUCACAACCGUUGUAUUGAUGGUCGGUGCUUCAUCGUGCGUAAGCAGACUGGCACAAUAUUGGAACUGACUGAUAGUUGUUCAUUAUGUUAUGAGCUAAACAUGGAUGCGAUGCCAUGUAGUUGCGGAUUAUGGCAGAUCUCAGGAAUUCCAUGUGCUCAUGCUUGUAGGGGAAUCAAAUAUAUGAGGCGCAAGAUUGAAGACUAUGUGGACAACACGAUGUCUAUACAAAAUUAUAUAUCCACUUAUGCGACAUGCAUGAUGCAAUUACCUCAAGAAUAUGCUUGGAAGUGGGACGCAGGUCACACCCUGCUUCCACCCAUCAGUUUGCCUCUCAAACCAAUUUCGGCCAAAGGCACCGAUGACUUGACAUCCAACAAACAUUUACUACACACGGCUGAUCAGUACCUCACACCUACACGUAACCUUCAGGUGCAUCUUUUCCUUAUACAACUUCUAUGUAUAUUUGCACUGCACAUCCUUAAACUAAUGUCACCUUUGCGAAAACUUAUAUUAACUCCUUCACUACAGUGGACACAGGAUAAGAAUUCGAGCAACUCUUCUGAACAUUCCAGCCUCCUCAGGCUCAUAUCCACCACCAGCUCUAAUACUAUUAGUAAGGAUCCGUUACUUUUUACUAUAUUUUGCAACAAACUCAUAAGUCAUUCACAAUUCCUUAGUGUCCAUGCUUAUGACAACUGCUCUUAACUCACUAAAUGAUUUUUACCUCAACAUUCUACCAAAUUCACAACUACCAUAUGUAUAUAAUGUGCUUAAUUGCAACUAAACUAUUUUCUGUUCGGCUGGUUCUUCUUUUAUCUAUGCCUAUGCAAAUAUUGUGACAGUGACAGAACCAAUGCUGCUCCUGACAUAAACAACUUUUCAUAUUCGCAUACUGCAAUGUAUCUGUUGCUAUUACUGCCAUCUUUAACUAAUGACCAAGAGCUUCAAGCAUGUGAGGGUGAAAUAAAACUUUUGCACAUUCGACUGACACCAUCCUUGUUGGAUGGUAGUGGUAUCCAAUUACUGUUAUAAAUGUGUCGAAUAUGAUUGUGCCAUGCUGAGAAUGACGUCAAUGUGAACUUUAUAAUUGCACUGUUUCUUAAUGACUAUUACUGCCUAUUACUUAAUUUUUUAUUUUUCCUUGGUUGUUUCAACUGGGAGCCCAAUACUUAAAAUUUGUGCUCUAUAAAAAUCGUUGCACACCAGUGCAAUUUCUUUUCCUUUAAAUAUAGAAAUUGUUUAUCUACAAAAGUUUCCAUAUUUUCACACAAUAUGAUCAAUUUAUUGUAUUGCAGGCCUCUGAUAACGGUUUCAAUUGGAUGGAGGACUUGCACUUCAACUUUUGGCCUGCAGACCACCAUUUUUGGAGAAUGGCGCCAAUGGUGUAUUAUAUAUGUAUUGGUUUGUAGUGGGAUGGUGCAUGUUUUGUAUUUGGCUUCUGGGAAGAUGGUUACUGGUACAUAAAAACUUUAACUCUCAUAUAACCAACUUUUGAUAUCCACCAUAACCAACGUUUUUUGUUUGUGAAUGCCGUUUAAUUAACUACGACCAGUUUAAUCUGCAUCUAUUCCCUGUAUGCUUUUGCACUCUUUGUUUGUUUGCUUGUGUCUAAUAACUGUAAUGUCUCAACUUUUGAUGCCGUAGCGUGUUCUAAAACAUCUAAAAUGUCAGCACUAUAGCCAUUAUUCUCUUCUUACUACCGUUACCUAUAAAAUAAAUCCCGAUUUUGCAUUGUCCAUCUCCAUAAUUCCUCCAACCCUUAGAAUGGUUGUUUUGUUUUUCAGAACUAAUUGCCGUUUUUCUUCCCUUACAAACUUUCUCUCUUCCCCUAUUGAGGACCACCUACACAAAUCUGUAGUUUGGAGACAACCAUUUCCUAUUAUCUACACAAUUGUCCUGAAUAAUUAUAACUGUCACUAAAUCGCCUCCUCUAUCAAUUUCCACGGUUCUAACAUAGUAGGAUCCUAGUGAUUAUGUUCAUAUUCUUUUCAUAUGUAAUCUUCUCCAGCUUUUAUAAUUCAUACUCAUUGUAUGUGCUUCACCCAACAUUGUCGUCGCUCUUGCUUUGCAAAUUCAACGUCAACUAUUGGAGAAUAGUAAUAGGCACUGGGGACAUACCCAUUCGGUGGAGCAUAUUAUGCUUCCAUUCAGUGAACCUCUUCCACGACCUUAACAUAACCCAAACACAAUCUUGUGAAAAUCCCCCAAACCAUCCCACUCUGGAACAAUUUCAGUCGGGGUAGUUUAGAUAUAUCCCCGCCAAUCACUGAAUUGCUCGGUAAUUAAAAUGCUGACAUGAUACCCUCUUAUAUUUGGAAUAAAUAGAUAUAUAUAUUAUGCAUAUUUAGGUACCUAAUCAAUUUCGAUGCCACCAACAAAUAGGAUACGGGAAAAUAAAAAAAUAACUAUAACGAUAGAUCAUCCAAUUUUACGACUCAGUUGUGGUGGCCAAAUGUUACCAUCCUCCAAAUAUCUCAAUAGAACUGCAAAUACAUCAAACAUGCUUAUUACAGUUUUACAAGGCCAAAAAUAAAAUUUCUAGGCCUUCAACACCCCCUUCCAGUGCCUUCUCUAGAACCAUUACGAAACUUCCAAUACCUUGUCAGCAACCAUCACCAGUGAUUACAUACCUCAUUCUUCUAAAUCCUAACACAACAUAAACAAACAAAAUACAAACAUGUUUAACCAUUGUAAACGUAAUAACUAACUUAUAUAACAAUAAAAAUUUACGCUAUAUAACUAUACAGCCUCCACAUCUGUUUCAAUCUAUGAUUCCUCGUCCACAAUCUUCACUUCUGCUGUACAGGUAGAUGCCACAGGUAUUAAAUAAAUACUAAUGAGACCACAAUUAAGUCAGUAGUACUUGCGUUUAACAAAUGAAUAUUUUAUAUUACAGUGUAAACCAUAUACCUCCACAACGAGCACACAUCCAUUAUUCAACUUUCACUACACAUCAUAGCCUCAACAUGCCUUGAUGAAUACACUACUUAUUGGACUCAAUGAAUUUAAAUAAUGUUGGUAUCAAUAACACCUCCACUAAUCAAUACAUAAACCAUAACUCACUUUACUAUCUUUUACUAACCAAAGCUCCAAUGCAAUAGUCCGCGUGUAUAUACCUAUAAACAAAUGAAUGCCCCCCAUCAAUUUUCGUUUCUUCAUCGAUUAUAAAGGCAUCCUACAGAAAAUUCGAACAAUUCACUUUUCUAACUUUUCCAUGCAAUCUCUUUCAAACCAAUCCUCUAUCUAACCAUAACUUUAAAUUUAUGCAAGUCUUUUCAUCUUAAAGCCGAUAAAUGUAUUAUGCGUGGCAAACAAAGACAAUUAUAUUAUACAUAUACUUAAAGUGAAUGACCAACCAAAGCACACGCCUCACUAACAAAGUGGUUACAGAUCGAACCACUAAUAUUAUGCCAUUUUUUCCAUUUGUUCUUCGGUGACUCUGUAUGUAUGUAAUUAACCAUUAUUUUUAUGCACCCACUGUCGAUAUUUACUAAUAUACAAUAAAAAAAUUACAUCUACACAAAGUAUGAGCCACCGAAAAUCAAAAGCAUCCAUUGAAACUAUGUUUCUUUCCUUAACAAUUAACCCAUAAAUAAGGUUUAACAUGUCAAUGAUUACCCCACUGCUCAAACCCCUUUACUGUAUUUAUUUCAACCCCUAUACUAUAUUUAUUUCAACCUGAGCAAACCCAGCCAUUCACCUCUUCGCAACCUAGGCAUUUCGAACACCACAUCUUCGAAAUCAACUACAAAAACGCAUUCACAAACAUGAAGCCUACCUAUGCAUGCGAAACGACUCUUCCAGUGCCUGCAAAAAUGCCAGAUUCAUAAUACCAACAAGGCCAUCUUCAAUAAUACAGACAUCAAUAGAAUAUAAUUUCAUAAAUCGGCAGCAACAUUUUUCUUACGGCAAAAUCAAAAUCACGACCACCAAAAAACACACAUUCAUUUACGAUUUAAGGAAAGAAUCUUUACCCUUCCUUGCCUAACGAAAUUUCCGGUUAUUCCCCUCUCUCGCAAAUGUCAGAUUUGAGAUUCAAAUUUGUUUCACAUCCUAUUCUUGUAUUUUUUUUUUUUCCAUGGACUUCAAGACCUUCAUUAGACAACCGGUUUAAACGGUUGUUGUUACUACCUGCGUCCGCUCUCCAAACUUUUAUUUAAACCGUUGGAUUGAACAUACUUAUAUCCAACGGCUUAACAGAAUAAAGACAAACCACAGUGGCACGGUGCCACUGUGGCACCACAGGAUGACCCACAUAACAUAGAGUAGAUAUUUUGAAGUGAAAAGCAGAGCCUUUACUGUUGCUUGCCUUAUCAUCUUUUAAAACUAGAGUUAUUAUUCUUAUAUUUUUAAGUAGCCAACGGAUAGUAGCCAACUCAUCUGUGUUCUCUAUUAUUGAAUUUAAAGAUCAAUGAUUUGGGUCUGCCUACCGUGCAACAGUUGCACGGUAUCCCAUUUUUUGUCUUUUUUCAACUCAGCCAAUGGAUCAAUGGUUAAAGUGUUUAACGGCCAGGAUGUGUUCAAUUGGUUAUUAACACUUAAAUCCUUACUGUUUAUUACAAAAUCAUAAAAGCUAAAAGUUUUUAAAUAUUCACUUACAUAAUUUUUUUUGUUUUAAAUUUUUUAAAGUUUGAUCCAUUGACUUAAUUUGAUCAUAAAAAUAAUUGAUGGUGUAAAUAUAAUAAUGUAAUAUCACAUAAAAUUUUUAAACACAUGAAAAUUUGAUAAAUGUAAAUAAUAUUUUUUGUUAUAUAAUAUAUAUUUAAUGUAAAAUAAAUAAAUUGAAUAUGUUUUAAGAAUAUAGGUUAUUAACCUUUAUACUUUAGAAAAUUAUAAAAUAAAAAAGGUGAAAUUUCAAAAUAAGAAACAUGUAAAAAGUCUUAGGUUGUAAAAUUUUAUUAUUUUAAUAUUACAAAACUUUACUUUUUUAUUACAUUUUUGUUUUUAGCAUUAGUUGACAUGUUAGUUUAUUUAUACAUACAAUAUGUUAAUUUACCUAUAAAAUAUCAAUAUAUAUAUAGCUCAACAAAGUUAUAGAAAGAUAAAUAAAGAAUAAUAUAAAAGGAAGUUAGUUUAUUUUUGAAGAAUAUUUCAAAAGCAUUUGAGCUUCAUAUUUCUUGAGAAUUAUCAUUUUUUAAGAUAUUUGAGCUUGUGAAUCUUGUUGUAAUGAUAAUUUAUUAUUUAUUCUUGAUUAAAAAUAAUUGAAUAGUAAAUUUAUUGAUUUCCAAAUGCUCUUUUAAAUAUAGGGUAGUUGGUUCAUUUUUAUUGUAUUAGCUUAAACUUUGUGUGAUAGCUAAUCAACCAUUGUAAAAGAUCUACUAGGAUUAUUUUUACUUUCUCUACAUCCCUCUAGACCAUCACCACUCAAAAAGUUAAAGGUCCAUUUGGCACACUAUAUUAUAUUGUAUUAUGUAAUACACAUGUAUUAUAUUAUAUUAUAUUACAUUAGUAGUAUAUUAUAAUAAUUAUAAUAAAAUUAUGCAACAUUUGGUAAUUGGUAUUAUCCUGUACUACAUUAAUUUUGUACUAAUAUUAAACUAAAAUUAUUUAAAUUUAUUAUUAAUUAUAUUAAAUUAUUAUUUUCAUAUUAAUUAUUUUUAAAUAAAUAUAAUAUAAUAUAAUAUAAUAAUAUUAUAGUAUAAUUUAUUUUUAUAUUUUUUAUUUAUUAUAAUAAAAAUAAAAAAUAAUUAAAAUAUAUGUAAUGCUUAAUUAAGGCAAAAUAAUAAUAAUGACAGUGGUAUUAUUUAAUAAUCAAAACAAAAAAAUUGUAAAGUUUAAUGAUGAUGACGAUGACGACGACGACAACAUUAAUAUAAAUAUAAUAAUUAGAAUAAUAAGAUUAAUAAAUUUAUUAAUAUUAAUAAAAUAAUAAUUCAGUAAUAAUUCAGUAAUAAAUUUAAUAUAUUUUAAAAAUAGUGAUGGUAAUAAAAUCAAUAAAUAAUAAUGUAAUGAUAACUAAUUAAAGUAAUCAUAACAAUUAAAAUAAUAAAUUUUAAUAAUAACAAUAGUAAUAAUGACAUUAAUAAAUAAUAAUAAUAACAAUUAAAUUUUUUUUCAAAAGUCAUUUUAUAAUUUUAUCCAGAGAAAAGGACCUAUAUAUAAAGAUUUGUAACUUAUAGUAUCUAUUCAGUUUUCUUAUAAAUAUAGGGUAGUGUAGUGUAAUUGUUGGAAAAAGACAAAAUUCAGUGAUACCGUAUAACUGUUGCACGGUAGGUAGACCCCAAUGAUUUAUGUUAAUAAAUAUUUUGUUAACUAUCAAAGUUUUUAUUUCAAAAUUACUGCUAUAAUUCAUUAAAUUUUCAAUUUUUCCUUUUUCUAUUCACACAACAGAUUGAUUUGCCCUCCAAAAAAAUGUAUUAGAUUGUUUAAUAUUGUAACAUUAAGAAACUUAUAAUAAAUUUUUUAAGAGAUAAAUAGAGAAUGUCAGUCUCGCAUCUACUCAAAAUUAAUAAAUAUACCACUAACUCCUUAUUAUUUUUAUAAUAAUUAAUAAUUUUCUUAGCAGUAUAAUUUUAUAGUAUUAUCCUUAUUUGUAAGUACAUUUUUAUUCAUUUUUAUUAUAAAUUAAGUAAAUCAUAUCAAUAAAAAUUAAAAGAACACAAUAUGGUUUGGUGUGAAUAAAAGAUUGAAAAUAAAAAUAUUUUUCUUAUUUUUUUUGUUAUUUUUAAAUGCUUUUCUUGUAAUAAAUGUACAUUUUAUAUUCUUAAGAUGAAUUUUGAGUAAAUGACUCAUUUACUCACUUUUUCUUUAAAUUUGUGUUAGUAGGAGGAUUUUUAGAUAUAUUGAAAAUUGUAAGGUAGUAAGUAAUAAUAUAAUAAUUUUAAUAGAGAAAAAUAAUUAAUUUUAAGACAUUUCAGAAGAUAUUUCAAUAUGCGGUGGACCACAUCCUUGAGUUUUCAUUGUCUCACUCAACUAAAAGGACAAAAUAUUGAGUCAUGAAGGACUCAAUUGAUUGUUAAUUUUACAGCAAUUACCUUUUUUUUUUCUUCUUUCUUUUUUGUUCUUAAUUAUUUUGAAAUGGUAGGUAGCAAUUGCUUACAUCAAAAUAUUUAGCCUCACUCGACAAAGUAUCUGAGGCCAAAAUGCCAAAAGAUGGGACACCCACAUGUGCAUCUAAUUACAAAAUCCAAAGUUAAUGAAAAAGAAAAAAAGAAAAAGUAUAAAUGAACGGUAUUCGCCUCACUUUCAAACAUGUUCAACAUGAAUUUCCUUUUACCAAAAGUAAAUUUCCUCUCGGAUUGUCCUUAUUACAUCAAACGAAUGAUGACGACAUUCUCUGUCCGUUUCUGACUCUUUGCUUUUCUCUCUCACAUCACGAGACACCUCGUUUCUAACUAGGGUACCACCAUCAUAUUUAACUGUUGGGUCUUCCUACUAUGCAGCUGGUGUAUGCAUGAUUCCUUGUGACAUGACAUACAGUCAAUUAAAUUCUGACAUGCUUGCAAUAAAGACUAUUAAAGUGACCGGUUAUUCCGGUUGAAUUCACAAGAUCUCUUGUUUGUGCGUUUAUGUUCCAAGUUGCUUACUAUGUGUUACAAGUUCUCUAAUUAGUCUGAUAUUAUCGCAACUGUUGCUCAAUAAUGUUACAUGUUUUAUAAUAUGUCACUGGUACGAUCGCUGUCACAAAUUUAGAACAAAAAGUUUCCAAUAAAAUAAGUUAUUUAAUUAAUAAAAUAAGAAUAAAAUGAAUUUGUAAAAAAAAUUUAAAUUAAAUUUUGAAUUAUUUUGACCAAAAUUUAAUUUUUUUAAUUUGUUUAAGAAAAUGCGUUGUAAUUGUCUUGUUUUAAUUGGAAAAUCAAUGAAAAAAUUAUGUAACAGACAAAAAAAAAAAAAAGCAAAACGGUUUGUUUUGUACGGAGGCCAUAGAUUCCAAUAUUUCCUUCACGAAAACUACAAAUAAUUAUCAAAGGCAUCAAUUUCUACACUCUCACCGAGCAAUACUUUUAGGUAGCGUUUAUUUUUUGGAUUGGAGUGGGAAUCCUGAGGAGUGGGAAUCAUAGGAUUGGGAGUGUGGAGUGGGAGUGUGGAGUGGGAGUGGGAGAAUGUUGUUUACUUACACUAGAAUGGAAGUAUAUAAUGGAGAUCAGAAUUCAAUUUAUGUGUUUACUUUAUCUUAGGUUGGGAAUAAAUAGUUUCAAAUUACAAUUUUAUCUUUAUUUAAAGAAUUAUAGUUUUUAAUUACAAAGCUAAUAAAAAAUAUAUUUAAUGAAUAAAUAUUUAUUUUAUUAUAUUUGUAAAUUUAUAAUAAUUAUUAAUAUUCUUAAUUAUGAACAUCACAUUUUUUUUAUUAAUUUUAAUUCUAAUAUAAAAUGAAAUGUUAUUUUAUUUAAUAUAAUUAUAUUAAAUUUAUUAUUAUAUAAACUAAUAAUAUAAUUUUAUUUAGUACAAAAUUAAUAUUUUCUUAGAAUAACCUAUUUAUUAUUAUUAAUAUUAAAUAAAUAUAAUACUAUUAUUUUUAAAAUAAAUACAAUAAUAUUAUAUUUAUUAAUUCUCUAUUAAUAUAAUAAUAUUAUUUUAAAAUAAUUUUAACUUAGAAUCAAUGCAAAUUAUUAUUUAGUUAAAUAUAAUAAUAUUAUUCAAAUAAAUAUAAUAUUAUUUAUUUUAUUUUAUUAAUUAUAAAUAUUAAAUUGAAUUAAAAUUUAAAAAAAAAUGUAGAAAAGGGAGAGGUGGGAGUGGAUUCCCACUCCCACUUCUCACUCCAAAAAUGGAUAGGGCCACAGAGUGGGAUUCUCAAUCCUUCACUAAAUAAGUGAAAUAAACACUAAAGUGUGAGAAAUUCACACUCCUCACUCCCACUUCAAAAAAUAAACACAACAUUAACCCAGAAGAAAGUGUAUAAACCAACCCCAAUCUGUCCAUCAAUGUCGUCAACCUCAUACAGCAUAAAGAAAAUCUGUCCAUUAAACCGCCAUUUAAACCGUCUUUAUUGAGCCAUUAGACUAUUCGUGUCAUCUUCCCAUCUCGUUGUAGUAUUUUGCCUUUCAAAUCUAGUUAUCCAUUGGGGAAAAUGGGGACCAAUCUGCAAGUCUUUAAAAUAAAAAAGAAACUUUAAUUGGGCACUAUGUUCACGGUGGUGGACCUAGCAUUAGCUAUUUGUAUUUUAAAAAUUAUUUUACACACUCUAAUUUUAAUAAGAAUAUAUAUUACAAAAUUACUUAUCAUAUAAGUUACUGGACAAUAUAUUAUAAGUCAACAUUAUAUAAUUACUUUGAACAUUUAUAUAGCCCAAUCCUAAUUCAAUUUAUUACUCUCAUGAUUAAAUAUAAAAAUUUUUAUUUCCAACUUCUUAAUUAAUAUGUAGAUGAAUAAUAAGGAAAUUAACUUUGAGAAAAAAUUAAAUACAAAAUAUGUGUAAUACUUUAAAAAAAAUAAACAAAAGUAUUGCACAAGAUUUUUUUUGGGGGGGGGGGGGCUUGGCCAUUCUUCUUCUUCUCCUUCUAUCUCUCUUUUUUUGUAGUAUUUAUGGAACAUUUUCUAUUGUUAUAUUCUCAUUGCAAGUUAUUUUGGGUGUAAAAUUCAAUAUUGAAAAUAAAUUAAAUAAAAAAUUAGUAACUAAAAUUAUGUUAAAUUAUUUUUUAACUUAAUUUUUAGUUAUAUUAUUAGUAUAUGUUAGAUCUCUUAAAAAUCGAGUGUUGAAUAAUUUUAUUAGUUUUUUAAACAAAUAAAGUUAAAUAACUUAAAAAAUUUAAGUAAGGAUAUUUUUAAAUUUUUAAACAGUAUACAAAGUAAAGUUUAUUUUCUUGUCAGUGGCAAAUGAUCACGACAAGAAAUCUGAAGUAGAAACAGCAGAGCUCAACAAAUCACUAAGAGAAAAUAAGACCAAUAACCAAGCAGAUAAAAGAAAAGCAAAAUAACCCAUCUCAAAAUCACCACAUGCACAAUUUAAGGGGUUUGUGACAUGGGUUUAAGCAUGAUUUAACAAGUGCCACCUGUGAAUUGUCAGAGAUUGUAUUUUCAUACACAUGUCAAAUUUUCAAGUCCAACAAAUUGUUAUCUUUCUAAAGAGGCUAAUAUAUUAUUAUCUAUGCAUAGCAUGCUAUAAACAAUUCAUAUUACUGGGCCUUUGUUUUGUGUACACAACAUAUGGACAGAGGAACAAAUGCCUGAGCUAAAAUCAUCAUAUUCCAAAAUAUUCUAUUAAAUCAGCACCACAAAACGCGAACGCUAAACAGAAUUGGAGCAAUUUACCAAAGCUAUUUGUCACGCAAAGCACUAGUACCUCAGAACCCAAUUUGCAAAAAAGCACCAAAAAUGAAAAAUAACAAAUGCCCAGAUGAAAAAUCAGGAAAAAAAAAAGCUCAAAUCCAAAUUACAACCCCAUAAGCUGAGUCGUUCUCUUCGAACUGAAUUAAAAAAAUUAAAAAAAAUUAAAUAGGGAGAUUGACCUCAAACUUUGGAAACAGAAGCGACAUCGAUCUGUUUCUUGUCUGGAGUGUCCAUUUCUAUAAUCUACUUUGUCCGUUUUCAGUCGCUCUGCCACAGAACUUCUUCCCUCUGAAGCUGCAGCUCACACACACUUGCAAAACGAAAGCAUUUUUUAUUGAUUGAGAGGCGGGAAGGCGGGAAAAUGAGAGAAAUUUGCAUUUGUUUUCUCUUGGUUUGGUCACACCUGUGCGGGCCCCAGCUCGACAAGCGGUAUUAUUACUAUUUGUAUAAUUUACAUGACGCGUGUCACGCAAUGACGAUAAAAAUAUAUAUAUAUAUAUUGUUAAUUUUUCACUUAACAUUGAAAUAUCAUAUAAUUUUUCUAAUUUUAUGGUUAUUUUCUCGCCCUUAUGCCACAUUCUUUUGAUCAAAUAAUACAGUAAAAUUUUUCUAUAAUCAUAAUAUUAGAGCCAAAUUAACUUUAUUUCUGUAAAGAGGCUAUAGCUUAAUAAAGGUAAAACUAUAAAAAAUAUUAUUUUGACUCAGUUAUCUUUAGUGCAAGUGAUAUAAAGUACAAAUAUAUGAUAAUUAAUUAAUGAACUAUGUCAAAUACAAUAUGCUGACAAUGAUAAAAAAGAUAGACAUAAUUUCAAGAAACUAAUACAUAUAUUUAUGUAGUGCUGGGAUUAUACAAAAUUAUCUUAAAAGUGUAAAUAGUAAAGUACUAUUCUGAUUAAUUUAAAAAAAAUAUUUUAUCUUAAUCUUUAAUGCAACAUAGCUUUUUUUUUUUUCUUAGCAACAAAGCAUUGUUCCAAAUAAUUAUUAUUGGAUUCAAAUCAUGUCCUAGGCAUUUUUUCUUCUAGUCGUCUUUAACUUUUAAUGAUUUAUUGGCAUGUGUCAAUCAUUAAUGAAAUUAAAUAACUAAGACUUUGUUUUAAUUAACGUUUACAUAAAUAGACAUCAAAACUCACAUGUGAUUCUUAUCAAAUUUUUUCCUGCAAAUUCUUUUCCUCUCAACUAUUCAUAUUUUGAUAUUAAUUUCCAGCAAAUUAUUAAAAAAAAGAAGAAGCGUAAAAUGGAGAAAAGUGAUUGACAAUAAGAUUUGCAUCUUUAUUUCAAAAUUUUCCUUUCUUUGCUAUUUUUGUGGGUUCUACAAUUGUUGUUUUCACUCUCAGCUGCAGUUCAAUGAACUCUAUUAAAUAAUUAGUUUUUAAACUACAAGUAGCUUUGGAACAGCUCUUAAAUUGAUAUAACUUCUAUUAUUAUGUAACUUAGCAAGGUCAGAUAUUUUAAUAAUAGCACAUCACUAUUGUUUCAUGUGAAUGAUGCAAUUGGAUUAGCCAAUACAUACCGUCAUCCCCGGGAGAUGCUAUGGCAAUAGCUUACUCUACCGUGCCAAUGUCAUUAGUAUUAAUCUGUCGAACCUAAGACCAGAUCUAAGUUGAUCUAGAUUCCCCAAGAUUGCACACCACACAGUGAUUAAUGAAUCAAGAACAAUAAACCAUCAAAGAAUCGCAAACUUACAUGUCGGGUUACAUGUAAUAAAUGUUUUAAUUAUUAGAUGAUUCAUAAUGUUAGACCAUUUUUUGUAUGUUUUGUAAUCUACGUUUGAUAAUUUAAUUAGCUGAUAAACACUUGAAUAAUAUUAUUUCAUUAACUAUGUCAUUGAUCCCCAGGAAAAAAAAAAAAAAAAAACCCAAUUUGGGAUGUUAUACAUUACUUUUUCAUUACUUCCCAUUUUAGAUUAAUAUUUAUCACAUAUAUUCUUAGCAACUUGUAACCCUUUUUGCUAAGGGUGAAAUGUGUUUGUUACCCCUUCUAUUUCUGAGAUUGUCCUUACAAUAAGGAUGCCGGCCACAAUGUCAAAAACUGCUAUCUCUAGGUGUAAAUUCCUUAUAAAAUUCUUUUUUAAUUGAAAUUACUUAAAUAAUUGAAGAUAAAUUAAUUUUUUAUUUCAUUCAAAUAAAAAAAAUCAAUUAAACACUUCAAUAAGCUAUCCUUUUAAUUUUUUUUUACACCCAUCCAGUUUCAUAAUUUAUAUUUAUAAUUUAAAUUUUAAUGGGAAUAUUUUUUUGAAAAAUUUUAAGAAUUAAGAAUUAUGGGGAUAAAAAUUAUGUAAUAAGACCAAAAUAAUUUAAAAUUUUAAAAUUUGCAUGUAUUAUAAACAAAAACUUGAAAGAAAUACUCUUUUCAGGGUGAAAUUUAAUGAGAAAAAGAUUAAUUUUAAUUUAUGAAUUAGUAUUUUAUAAGUUAAACUGAGGUAUUUCAAGAAAUAGAAUUCAAAAGGCAUGGGAACGAGGGCCUUGGGUUUCAUUUUGUUUUGUAUGAAUUGGGAAAAAUACACGGACAGACAAAGGGAGCAGUCAUUAUAAUGCUGUGGAGCUUGUCGGAGAUUCCCUGCCCAUUUGUAGCUUAGAAUCCUGGGGUUUUGUUCAUGUCUUUUCUCUUUCCCACUUUCUCAUAUUGCUGUCUCAUAAGAGAAAUAGUCAUACAUAGUUGGUUAGGCCUCCAGUCCAUUAACUUAAUAAUGAAUUUUAUGAAAAUUGAUUAUCUCAUUGGAAUUACAUAGAUAUUGGAAAACAUUACUCCAGCCCCACCAUCCCAACCAUUUACUUAGUUCAUCAGUAAAAGCUGGAUUUUCCAUUUGUUCUUGAGAUUCAAAUUAAGGCAGCAAGUUGCUCAUUCAAUAUUAUCUAUGUAAUCCUGUAAAAGUGAAGGGCGUUUAGAUGUGGAAAAACCUUACUCCUGCCGCAACACCUCAAACAGAUUGUGAUCAGACAAGACUUAGUUCAUCAUUAGCGGUAGUUGGAGCUUCCAUUUGUUCUAGAGAUUCAAAGGCAGCAAGCUGCUUCCUCAGUGCUACUAAUUCUUCCCCGGCAUUGCAUAUGUAGCCUGAGGCUUGUCUGCCAGACAAAGUUGCUCCUUCCAUACUAUCUAUGUAAUCCUGUGAGAGUGAAACCAUUUAGAAGACAUAUCUCUUUUUUUUUUUCAAUAUUUGGAAUGAAACAAUUAUAUACAGUUACCUGUUUUGUAUAUGAGCUGGCGAGGAAGAAGUUCUUCACUGGUAUCUUUUGAUCAGGUCUGAAGGGGUCUUUACCAGGUCCCUCACCUCACAAAGAUUGCCGGAUUUUGACGACAGAUAACCAAAUAACUUCUAAACCUUGGGAUGAUGGAAAUAGAGCUCAAACCUAAUAAAAGGAACCGUGAAUGGAUAGUAUGGACUCAUGUAUAUUAUCCAGAAAGUUGCAUGACCUUUUUUGGUACUCAGGUCACUAAAAAAUGUGAGAUAAACAUCUAGGAUAAGAAAAGCAAAAAAGCAUAACCUAAUACGUAUUAUAUGAAUUGAAGGUGUCACUGAACGCUACCAACCUGCUUUGCCACUCUCCUUCUGAUUUCAUCAUUUGGUAAGGGCAUAUAAGGAUCUCCAGGCGUCAAAAUGCAUCUGAAAUAUAAUAUGGCUAUAGUAAGUAACACAGAAUACAAAGACACUUAGCAAAAGGAAGUCAAUCAGAUUCCAUGCACAAAAAAUAACUAAUAAUGACGAGGAUAAGAAAUUUUUCUUGCUGGAGCAACGAACCUUGCCCUUCUCUGUAGUAGUCUUCUGGUGAAGUGAGUGCUAGAUCUGCAAAGCAAGAUAAAUCUGCAUCUGGAGUAUAUGAAAGGUUAUCUAACCCCACAGCUUGCCUCAAUUGUCUACAUGUUCAAAACAAGGAUCUGUUAAAAAAUGGAAAUUUCUUCAAUGCAUUAGUAAAGGGAAGUGAAGUGAAAGCUGAUUUCUUAGGCCUUCACAGAGCAUCAUGUGUUUGAAUUCCGGUAACCUCACAAAAAAUUAGAGCAUCACCUUGACCGUUCUAGGUCUUGCAACUCAGUAACCCAACCAUUGCAUCUAAGCUGCACUGUGACAACAGGAACUCCAACUAGCUCAUAAAUAUUGUUGAAAAUUUUCAUUUCCCUCCACGAUGAUGGAGGCAAACUUUUAAUUCCAGGGACAUCACAUGCAGCCAUUAAAUAAGAAGUUGAAUAAAGAAAAAUCGUUCAACUAAAUGAUUCAGGAGUUAAAAAAAAAAAUGUAGAAGUAGAAAUAAAUAACGAAGAUUUAACCAUAAACCUGCAACAUAUGCAUCAGCUUGCACAACCUUCUUGUCAGUGGCCUGAAAUAGAAUGAGAAAUUGAAAGACAGUAAGCAUUAAAGAAUAAACUCAAAGAAGCUGCUUCUAACAGAUGAUAUAAACAGUAAAUUUACAAAUGUCAGAUCAUUGCAUUAGCUCUAUGCCUCCAUCAGAGGGAAUAUUAAUAGAUGCAUAAAAAAAUAAUUAGAGCCACAUGUUAAACAAUUUACCUUAGAAGUAGCAAGUGCUUUGACAAAUUUUUCCCCGUUAGCAGAUUUAUCAUAAAGUAUCUCUCUGCAUCCCCACCUAAGAUGGAACCUGUUCUCACAAGAACAGAUCCCAAGGUUGGGAAAAUCAGUUCAUCAUAGGAGAAAACAAAGAAGAUUAACAAAUCACUACAAUGGUGUGAACCCGUAAAUACAAACGUACCUGCCCCCUUUAUCUGUGAUAUAUUUUCUUAUGGGCCCACUCAAAUAAACAUCCGGAGAACCCUUGAGCAUCAGCAAUAGGGAAGCCUCGGUCUUAGUCGCAAACAGUGCAAAUAUAGUGAGCAUACAACGAGCACUGAUGUUAUCACAAUCAAUAAACCCAAGGGCAUACGCAACAGGAUCCCACAUUCUUUGGAACCCUUGGACAAAAACCAAUCAGAGAAGCUUAUCUGUAAGAAGAAAUGAAGUUUUAGGUAAAAUGACAAUCUGUAAGAACAGGGAUUGAAAUUCAACAAACAAGAAAAUAUGAUGUCAUUCUUACACUAUCCAAAUCUCAUAUGUCCUUCAAGGCUCCAUCAGGAUCAACAAGUGCCUUUACAACAGCACUCAGAGCAAGAGCAAGAGCAUUUCUUGCUUUAUCAUAAGUCUGCACUUGAGCAAUUUAUGAGGCAAAGUACAUCAAAAGAGAAUCCAAAAGAGGCAAGAAGCUUCAACAUGAAAAAAGGAGUACUGCCUCAUCAUACUGCUUUGCAAUCACAGUGCAAAAGAUAACAUCAACAAAAUCAAAUUCUAGCAUAAAUCCAUAUGCACUACCUUAAGCUGAUUUGUAGACAAAAGACCCGUUUGGGGCAGCUGCGCGGUUGCAGCGCAGCUGUCCCAAACGGGUCCAAUCAGAAACCCAAAAUCAAGUUCUGGAGUUGAAAAUCAAAAUCAUGAACCAAAUCAGAGUUAUUAUUGAAUUAGACAAUCCAUAAACCAAUAGAAGGUAAAACAAAAAGGAAUAAAAAUUCUUCUAAAUUCUUUCACCAUCAACAAAAUCAGUAAAACACAUACUAAUUCAAAAUGACAUAAAGUUUGUGAAUUGAAAUAAUGCCAACUCCUAAGAAAAAUUAUGACUGCUGAUAUUUUUUCCGAAAUGCUGAUAAAAGCUUCUGCUAUUUACUUUGAAAAAAUAGAGGUUAGAAGCCAAUUUACUUGAAAUUUUGAGUUUAGGCAAGAGGAUGAAUGGCAAAAGUGAAACAAUUUAGGGAAAAAUGUACUUCAGAGGCCAAUGAAAGCAUUCAGAAGAUUGAAAUCUAAAUAAGCAAAACCCCGUGGCCUUGAUCCAACAAAUCCACUGCUGUUGACAUGCCUGCAAGCCCAGCUCCAAUAAUAGCCACUUUCAGCUUUGGUCCUCUAUAAUGUUCCGGUUCUGGUAGAAACAAACCCUUGGGAGCUGCCAAGUAUACCAUCCAAUUAUCCACAGCGAUAAUGGAAAUAUAUAUGUGUUUAAAGGUACUAAAUUCCUAAACAUGAAAUGUAUCCAAAGAGAGACACAAAGCAGAAUUGUGAAACCCAAUAAAUUUUAAGAAUACAAAAUACUCGGUCUGUUCCUCAAUUCCUUUAAUAAAAUUUCCACUAGAGGCUCCGGAAGCCACUCAAUAACACUCCAAAGCCAGAUUUUAAACGUUCUCUUUAUCUUUAACUACAAUCCACAAACAAUUCUGCCACAAAUUCAAUUCAAAAUUGUUCAAGUGCACCGCCACUUCUCCAUCAAUUCCCUCAAAAAUUCAUAAUUGGCAAACACUACAAACCAAAAAGAGCUUCCAGCAAUAAACGCAUAAAAAUCCACCAAGCAACAUAAAACAAAAUACCCAGAAACCAGAAAAGCCAAAAGAUCAAUGCUUGGCAAACAAGCCAAUCAAAUAAAACAAAAAGAAGAGAAAUUUACCAUUAACGCUCAUAUCAGAAACAUUAGUGUCCAAAGAAGCCCGUACACGGAAUCUUGGAUCCUUCACUUGAACCCGAGACCAUGUAACGCCAGUAACUGAAGUUGCAGGAAACAGAACUGAAGAACCCAUAUUGCAAAUCCUGAGCUGAAAUCAAAGAAAUUCAAUUGGAACUCAAUUCAGCUCAACCGAGCGGAGCUCUCUUUUGCUUCAAUAACAAAGUGUUUUUCUUUCAUAUCAACAAAGAUUUGUCAACAUCAACAAAAUUUAACUAAGAAACUAAAAAUAAUGCGGUAUCUUUGAGUUUAAGAAUCUAACAAAGAUUUGUCGACAUCAGGGAACUGUUUCGGAGAGGUUGGCCAAGUGCAUUUUUGUUUUUUUCUUGUUUUGCCCUUUUCAUUAAUGCACAACAUUAGUCCACGUGAAGAGCACAAAAUGCUGGUGGCUUUGUCACUAACGAUAAUGGAUGGAGUGUCCAAAGCAACCAACUAAAUUUUAAAGAGAGGGAAUGAUAAGUAAUAUCUUAAUGGGGUGAUUAAUUAAUUUAUUAUCAAGCAAUUGUAUUUAUUUAUUUAAAAGAUAUCCUUAUCUUUGUACAAGGUUUGAGGAAAGACGACGAUGUUGUGUUGUCACAUAUUUUUACGUUUCUCCAUAAUUCACUGCAACAUCAACUGGGCCACCACCUCUUGCCUCUCCCGGUUCCCCUCAAUUUUCUUAUUCAAUGUCCACCGUUGAUUGUACAUUUAUUGAAAUUCUGUGGUUAUUGUUUUUUUGCAUACAUUUAAUUCCACACGGUCUAUGAAUAGAGCAGGUGCAUCGUAGUUGUGGCCUUAACUGUUAUUGGUAACUCAAUAGCUAAUUCUAAUGUUUCAUCAAGCAGUUUAGAGAUAACCUCUCUCGCUGAACUCCCCGGAGUAACGCAAUCCAGUUUUCCAGUGCAAUCAUCAGACAGUUGAACAGCUUCUGAAUUCCCUUUGCUUUUCUUGUUUUCUUUUCCAUGUAAAGGGAGCUCAGGCUUCAAUAUAUCUGGGGAUUGAGUACUAAUGAUAAAGACAACAUACGAUAGAGGACACAAAUUGUUAUUAAAGAAUGACGCACUUUUCAACUGAGUACAGUAAAGCAAGAAUGGGUAAUUAGUUUUACCUGCAACGUGAAAAUCUAGACUCCCGACGGUAACCGAUCUUUGGUGAAGCAAAUAAAGAAGAAGGCGAAGUAAAAUUCACUGAGUUGAAUGAGCAAUCAUUACGUAUGGACUUGAUUUGUUCAAUGGGUGAAAGACUGCUGAUAUAAUUAAAGACUGGAGAAUCCUGCACGUUGACAAGCAUCAUUUUUAAUAUAACAUAGAGUCUUAAAAACCUAGUCAGUGGCAAAUGAUCACGACAAGCAAACUGAAGUACAAACAGCAGAGCUCAACAAAUCAUUAAGAGAAAAUAAGACCAUUAACCAAGCAGAUAAAAGAAACGCAAAAUAACCCAUCUCAAAUCACCGCAUGCACAAUUUAAGGGGGUUGUGACAUGGGUUUAAGCAUGAUUUAACAAGUGCCACCAGUGAAUUCUCAGAGAUUGAAUUUUCAUACACAUGCAAAUUUCCAAGUCCAACGAAUUGUUGUCUUUCUGAAGAUAUUAACGUUGCAUAGCAUGCUAUAAAUAAAUCAUAUUAUUAGGGCCUUUCUUUGCUGUACACAACAUAUGUACAGAGGAACAAAUCCAUGAGCUGAAAUCAUCAUAUUCCAAAAUAUUCUACCCAAUCAACACUACAAAACCCUAACGCUAAACAGAAUUGGAGCAAUGUACGAAAGCUAUUUGUCACACAAAGCACUGGUACCUCAGAACCCAAUUUUCAAAAAAGCAACAAAAAUGAAAAAUAGCAAGUGCCCAGAUGCAAAAUCAGGAAAAAAAUGCUCAAAUCCAAACUACAACCCCAUAAGCUGAGAUUGACCUCAAACUUGGAAACGGAAGCGACAGUGAUCUGUUUCUUGUCUGAAGUGUCCAUUUCUCUCGCUCCGCCACAAAGCCUCUUCACUCUGAAGCUGAAACUCACCACGCACUUGCAAAACGAAAGCAUUUGAUUGAUUGAGAGGCGGGAAGGCGGGAAAACGAGAGAAAUUUGCUUUUGUUUUUUCUUCGUUUGGUCAUACAUCUGCAGGCCCCAGGUUGACAAGCGUUAUUACUACUACUUGCAUUAUUUGAAGGACGCGUGUCAUGCAACGAUGAUGGAAAAAGUGGUGCAAAACUUCAAUGGUCACGAAAUGACGAUAAAACAAAAAUAUAUGGUUAAUUUUUCACUUAACAUUGGAAUAUCAUAUAAUUUUAUGGUCAUUUUCUCGCUGUUACGCCACAUUCUUUUGAUAAAAUAAUAUGGUUAAACUUUUCUAUAAUCAUGAUAUUAGAACCCAAUUAACUUUAUUUCUAUAAAGUGGUUAUAGCUUAAUAAAGGUAAAAUUGUAAAAAAUAUUAUUUUGACUUAAUUAUCUUUAGUGCAAGUGAUAUAAAAAAUAAAUAUAUGAUAAUUAAUUAAUAAAUUAUGUCAAAUAUAAUAUAUGGACAAUGAUAAAAAAGAUAGACAUAAUUUCAAAAAACUAAUAUAUAUGUUUUUGUAGUGCUGGGAUUAUACAAAGUUAUCUUAAAAGUGUAAAGAGUAAAGUAUUAGAUUGGAUUGAAUUAUAUAUAGUGCUGACUUAUGUUUGGUAUGAUAUUGUAUUAGAUUAUGUUAAAUUAAAUUUACAUGAAAUUAAAUAGUAUUUACAUUAAUAUUUGAAUUUAAAUAUCAACUAUUUAUAGAUAUUUAACAAUAAAUAUUAUAAUUAAUUAAAAACAGCACUAAUAAGGGGUGUGUGUGUGUGUGUGUAUUCAUUUAGUUAUUGGGUAGUCAUAAUUAUAAUAAAGAAAUAUAAACUAUUUAAAUUAUAGGUUAUUUCAAAGAGUAAUGAGAGAUAUCAUUUCAUUAAAUAAAAUAAAUAAAACUAUUCAAAUAAUAAAUUAAUUAAUAAAUUUUAAGUAAAUCAUGAAUAAAAAAGAAAUUACUUAAUUAAAAACAAUAAAUAAAUAAAUAAUUUUUAAGUUAUAAAUAAAAUUGUGUAAUAAAUUAUGGAAGAUAUUAUAAAUACACAAAUAUUUUUUUCACAUUAUCUAGUCCCAACUAAACCCACAUAAAAAUUAGAAUUAGCAAUCCCAUGAAUUUAGGAUUAAAAUUUGAAUUUAGUCCAUUAAUCCAAUCCAAGUGAGCAUGCCAAACAUAGUAUUAAUAUUUUAUCCCAAUAAUAAGUCCAAUCCUACACUAAAUCCUACCUCCCAAACAUAACCUUAAGAAUCUAUUGACAUGUGUCAUUAAUGAAAUUAAAUGGCUAAAAUUUUGUUUUAAUUAAUUUUUACCUAAAUAGACAUCAAAACUCAUGUGUGACUCUUGUUAAUCUUUUUCUUACAAUUUCUUUUCCUCUUAAUUCUUUAUAUUUUGACACCGAUUUCUAGCAAAUUAUUAAAAAAAAGAAAAGGAGCACAAAUUGGAGAAAAGUGAUUGACAACAAGGUUUGCAUCUUAAUUUCAAAAUUUUCCUUUCUUUGUUGUUGUUUUUUUUUUUUUUGGGUUCUAUAAUUGUUGUUUUCACUCUCACUUACAAUUCAAUGAACUAAAUUAGUAUUGCUACUUAUAAACUGCUAUUACCGGGCAUAUAAUUUUAUUGCUACAAUUUUACUGCUGUUUAGCUAUUUUUCUGAGUUUUUAGUUGUUGUUCUAUUGUCUCUUUGGGGUUUGCAACUGAUGUUUGCUGUUUUUCUAUGAAACAAUUAAAUUCUUUUGCUGCUACAUUUUUUGUUGUUCUAUUAUGGCCGGGACGUAUGUGAAAGGGAAAGAAUCUACCCAAAAAAAAAAAUGACAAAGAGUCACAUGUGAGUUUAGAUGUAUUUUUAAGUAAAAAUUAAUUAAAACAAAAUCUUGGCCCAUUAAAUAACUUAAUAUAAUCAAUUUGUUCUUAAUAACUUAAUAUUAUUUAAUCUAUAGAAGCAAGAUCCUCGAAGACAAAACCUAUAAAUAAUUUAAUAUAAUGAAUUGAUUCUUAAUCUACUCCAAAUUGAGACUACAAUUUUUUACUUAAAAAUUGGCUAGCUAACUUUACCUUGAUGGGCUGACUAUCGCCCAUACAUAUUUCUUCAAAUUUAUUAAUAUUUUUGUGCAUAGCAAUUAGGGUUACGUGACAACGAAUUCUCCUUUUAGUAUAUAAAAAGUAUACUCACAAGUAGUGUAGUGUUCCCCUCCUAAAGGGCAUAGCUCACUGACUUUUAGUCUCUUUCUUCAGUUGACGACUCCAGUUAGACUCUUCAAUGAGAUUAAAGAUUGAAUAUAUCAAAAAUAUUAGCAAUAUUUGUGCUUAUAUUUAACAAAACUAGAGUAAUAUAUUGAUUAAUCUACAUAAUUUUAGGCGGGUUCUUAGGUAAUGUUACAAUUACAUAGAUUAUUUUCACAGUAUAAGCCAAAUCUUAAGAAUUAAUUACUUGAAUAAAAGGAAUAAAGGAUGAUCGAUAAAAGUAAAACAAAGAAAAUAAAUUAUGCCGUUAAAUUGGGAUAUUUGGCUGCCUUAAUCGCUAGAGAUGCUUCUCCAAAACCCGCGUGUAAACAAAACACAUAUUUUUAACAUAACAAUAGCCCAAGCACAUAAACAAGAGUGAAAGCCGAGGAAUCAAUUUCAUUACUGUUCACUAGUAUUUUCAAUUUCAUUAUUUCAUUAACUGUCAUUGAUAAAAAAAAAAAAAAAAACUCAAUUUGAGAUGUUAUACAUUACUUUUCAUUACUUCCCAUUUCAAACAUAUUUAUCAUAUAUAGUCUUAGUAGCUUGUAACCCUUUCUGGUAAGGGUAAAAUAUUUCUUACCCCUUUGAUUUCUGAGAUUGUCCUCACAAUAAUGAUGCUGGCCCCAAUUUCUAAAACUACUAUCUCUAUGAGUAAAUUCCUUAUAAAUUUUCUUUUAAUUGAAAAUAUUUAAACAAUUGAAGAUAAAUUAAUUUAUUUUUUUAUUCGAAUGAAAAUUCAAUUAAACACUUAAAUAAGCUAUUCCUUUAACAAUUCUUUUCACACCCAUCAUGUUUCGUAAUUUAUAUUUAUAUUUAUAUUUUAAAAUUUAAUUGAAAAUACUUUUUGAGAAACUUUUAAGAAUUAAGAAUCAUGGAGAAAAAAAUGAUUUAAUAUGAAGAAAAUAGUUUAAAAUCUUAAGAUUUGUAUGUUUUAUAAAUAAAAACUUGAAAAAAUACUCUUUCCGAGAAAAGAUUUAAUCAGAAAAUGAUUAAUUUUUAAUUUAUGAAUUAAUAUUUUAUAAAUUAAACUAGGGGUAUUUUAAGGAAUAUAAUUAAAAAAGAGUGUCAUAAGGAUAUUUAGGGGUGUUAGAAGCCAUACUCAUUUACAUAAGCCAUGGGAGUUAGGGUAUUGGGUUUCUUUUUGUUUUGUAUGAAUUGGGAAAAAUACAGAGACAGACAAAGGGAACAGUCAUUACAAAGCUGUGAAGCGUGUGGGAGAUACCCAUUUGUAGCUUAAACUCCUAGGGUAUUGUUUCUGUCUUUCUCUUUCUCACUUUCUCAUGCAGCAGAUGUACAUAUCAUGAAAUAGCCAUACAUAGUUGGUUAGGCCUCCAGUCCAUUAACUUAAUAAUGAAUUUUAUGAAAAUUGAUUAUCUCAUUGGAAUUACAUGGAUAUUGGAAAGCAUUACUCCAGCCCCACCAUCCCAACAAUUUACUAAGUUCAUCAGUAAAAGCUGGAUUUUCCAUUUGUUCUUGAGAUUCAAAUUAAGGCAGCAGAUUGCUCAUCCCAUACUAUCCAUGUAAUCUUGUAAAAGUGAAGGGCGUUUAGAUGUGGAAAAACCUUACUCCUGCCGCAACGCCUCAAACAGAUUGUGAUCAGACAAGACUUAGGUCAUCAUUAGUAGUAGUUGGAACUUCCAUUUGUUCUUGAGAUUCAAAGGCAGCAAGCUGCUUCCUCAGUGCUACUAAUUCUUCCCUGGCAUUGCAUAUGUACGCUGAGGCUUGUCUACCAGACAAACUUGCUCCUUCCAUGAUAUCUAUGUAAUCCUGUGAGAGUGAAACCAUUUAGGACACAUAUCUCUUUUUUUCUAUUGAUCGUGACAUAUUUGGAAUGAAACAAUUAUAAACAGUGACCUGUUUUGUAUAUGAGCCAGCAAGGAACAAGUUCUUCACUUGUGUCUUUUGAUCAGGUCUGAAGGGGUCUUUACCAGGUCCCUCAUGGUACAAAGACUGCCCGAUUUUGACAACAGAUGACCAAAUAACUUCUAAACCUUGGGACAAUGGAAAUAGAGCUAAAACCUGAUAAAAGGAACCGUGAAUGGAUAAUAUGAACAGAUGUAUAUCAUCCAGAAAGUUGCAUGACCUUUUGCAGGGCUCAAAGUCACUAAAAAAUGUGAGAUAUACAUCUAGGAUAAGAAAAACGAAAAAGCGUAACCUAAUAUGUAUUAUAUGAAUUGAAGGUGUCACUGAACACUACCAACCUGCUUUGCCACUCUCCUAAUGAUUUCAUCAUUUGGUAAGGGCAUGUAAGGAUCGCCGGGCGUUAAAACGCAUCUGAAAGAUAAUUCAGUUAUAGUAAGCAACACAGAAUACAAAGACACUUGGCAAAAGGAAGUCAACCAGAUUCCAUGACACAAAAUGAAACUAAUAAUGGCGAAACUUCUCUGUAGUAGUCUUCUGGUGAAGUGAGUGCCAGAUCUGCAAAGCAAGAGAAAUCAGCAUGUGGAGUAUACAAAAGAUCAUCUAAUCCCAGAGCUUGCCUCAAUUGCCUACAUGUUCAAAACAAGGAUCCGUUAAAAAAUGGAAAUUUGUUCAAUGCAUUAGCAAAGGGAAGUGAAGUGAAAGCUGAUUUCUUAGGCCUUUAAAGAGCUUCUUUUGAUUGAAUUCCUGUAACCUCACAAAAGAUUAGAGCAUCACCUUGACCGUUCUAGGUCUUGCAACUCAGUAACCCAACCAUUGUAUCUAAGCUGCACUGUCACAACAGGCACUCCAACUAGCUCAUAAAUAUUGUUGAAAAACUUCAUUUCCCUCCACGAUGAUGGAAGUAAUCGUUUAAUUCCAGGGACAUCACAUGCUGCCAUUAAAUAGGAAGUUGAAUAAAGGUAAAACAUUCACCUAAAUGAUUCAGGAGAACAAAAAAGCACAAGUAGGAAUAAAUAAGGAGGAUUUAACCACAAACCUGUAACAUAUGCUUCAGCUUGCACAACCUUCUUGUCAGUGGCCUGAAACAGAACCAGAACCUCUAAGACCAUAAGCAUUAAAUAAUAAACGCAAAGUAGCUGCUUCUAACAGAUGAUAUAAACAACUGAUUUACAAAUGUCUGGUCAUUGCAUUACCUCCAUCAGAGGGAUUAUCAAUAGACGAGUAAAAAAAUAAAUAACUAAACUAGCUUUUGCCGCCUAAUUAGAACCAUGUGAGAAACAAUUACCUUAGACAUGGCAAGUCCUUUGACAUAUGUUUCUCCAUUAGCAGAUUUAUCAUAAAGUAUCUCUCUGCAUCCCCACCUAAGAUGGAACCUGUUCUAGCAAAAACAGACCCCAAGGUUAGGAAAAUCAGUAGGAGAAAACAAACAAGAUUAACAAAUCACUGCAAUGAUGUGAACCUGUAAAUAGAAAUUUACCUGCCCCCUUUAUCUGUGAUAUGUUUUCGUAUGGGCGCACUCAAAUAAGCGUCUGGAGAACCCUUGAGCAUCCGCAAUAGGGCAUAAGCAACAGGAUCCCACAUUCUCUGAAUACUCGUCCGUGUCCCACCUUUGGACAAAAACCAAUCAGAGAAGCUUAUCUGUAAGAAGAAAUGAAGUUUUAGGUAAGAUAACAAUUUGUAGGAACAAGGAUUGAUAUUAAAACAAACUAGAAAAUAAGAUGUCAUUCUUACACUAUCCAAAUCUCCUACGUCCUUCAAGGCUCCAUCAGGAUCAACGAGUGCCCUUACAACAGGACUCAGAGCAAGAGCAAGAGCAUUUCUUGCUUUAUCGUAAGUCUGCACUUGAGCAAUACAUGAGGCAAAGUACAUCAAAAAAGAAUCCAAAAGAGGCAAGAAGCUUCAACAUGAAAGAAGAAAUACUGUCUUAUCAUACCGCUAACUAAUCAGAGUGCAAAAGAUUACAUCAACAUAAUCAAAAUGGAACAUAAAUCCAUAUGCACUACCUUAAGCUAAUUUGUAGACAAAAAUGCGCGAAUCCCAUGUAAGGGAGCUCCGACUGGAAACCGGAAAUCAUGUUCUGGAGUUAAAAAUCAAAAUCAUGAACUUAAUCAGAGUUAUUAUUGGACUAGACAAUCCACAAACCAAUUUCAGAGUGUCCAACCACCAAACAUAACUAUCAGUAGUCUUAAGUGAUCAAGAAAUAACCAUACCACCAAUUUCACCACCCUUAUUCACAAAUGUAUGAGUAUGAUCCUUCAUGAGUAAAUUUUUUUGUGUCCGCACUGACCUGUAGACAUCCAUGAAAAACUAUCAGAUUAUAAACACAGGGUCAAUUUAAAGAGGAGCUAUGAUUCUGAUCCAUCAUGAUAUUUGAAGAACAUUUUCAUAUUUUCCUACAACGAGUAAACUAUAACCAGUUAUCAUCACUAUAGAUGGCAUGGUCAAGAGAAAUUAUAGUUCUUGUUUCAAGAAUCUCAAAUCAUAAUUCCUUUGCAUGGCUAGUGUGCUUUUAUAAUCAUUCAAACACACUUAUCCACAACUAAGCAAGCUUUACCUUUUUCAUCAAUCGGAACAGAUUAUUGUAGCAUCCAAAGAAAAUGUGCAGGCCCAUUUCAAUAUGGUUUCCAUGUUUAUCAAUAAAUGAACCCACUUUACCACCAAUGAAAGACCUUGACUCAUAUAUAUCCACCUGGAAGGGGGGGGAAUCUUCUAAUUUCUUUCACCAUCAACAAAAUCAGUAAAACACAUACUAAUUCAAAAUGAAAUAAACUUUGUGAAUUGAAAUAAUGCCUGCUCUAAAGAAAAUGAUAACUGCUAUUCAUUUUUCCGAACUGCUGAUAAAAGCUUCUGCUAUUUACUUUGAAAAAAUUGAGUAACUUCAAAUUUUCAGUUUAGGCAAGAGGAUGAAUGGUAAAAGUGAGACAUUUUAGGGGAAAAGAAAAUACUUGAGAGGCCAAUGAAACAUUGAAAGAUUGAAAUCUAAAUGAGCAAAACCUCAUGGCCUUGAUCCAACAAUUCCCCUGCUGUUGACAUGCCUGCAAGCCCAGCUCCAAUAAUAGCCACUUUCAGCUUUGGUCCUCUAUAAUGUGCCGGUUCUGGUGGAAACAAACACUUGGGAGCUGCCAAGUAUACCAUUCAAUUAUCCACAGGGAUAUUGGAAAAACAUACAUGUUUGAAAGUACUAAACAUCAAAUGUCUCCCGAAAAAAAUACAAAGCACAAUUGCAUAAGCAUUUCAUUUCCCAAUAAAUUUCAAGAAUACAAAAUACUUGGUCUGUUCUUGAGUUCCUUCAAGAAAAUUUCCACUAGAGAGCACGCAAGCCACUCAAUAACACUCCAAAGUCAGAUUUUAAACGUUAUCUUGAUCUAUAAGUACAAUCCAUGAACCAUUCUGCCACAAAUUCAAUUAAAAAUUAUUCAAGUAAAAUGCCAAAUUCUCCAUCAAUAGCCUCAAAAAUUCAUAACUAGCAAACACUACAGAACAAAAAGAGCUCCCAGCAAUAAACACAUAAAAAUCCCACCAAGCAACAUAAAUCAAAAUACCCAGAAACCAGAAAACCCAAAAGAUCAAUACUUGGUAAACAAACAAAUCAAAUCAAAUAAAACAAAAAGAAGAGAAAUUUACCAUUAACACUCAUAUCAGAAACGUAAGUAUCCAAAGAAGCCCGUACACAGAAUCUUGGAACCUUCACUUGAACCCGAGACCAACAAACACCAGUAACUGAAGUUGCAGGAAAAAGAAGUGAAGAACCCAUAUUGAAAUAAAAGAAUCCAAACCCAAAGUCCCACAUCUAAAUAUGAUGGAUCCACUCCAUGCGGCAAUAUGAAAUUUAAGCUCUCUUUUCUUAUGUCACCCAAGGCAUUGGCAGGAUGGCCAAACACCUGAGUUCAAGUCUACAAUAGAGAAUCGAAAUUUUCCUUUGUAAAUGUUCAUAAGUAUUUACCACAGAUAUUCAAGUUAUUCUUGAUAGAUCCCCUACUAUAUAUGCUAUAAUAUUUCUCUUCUUUUAAUUUAAAAGUAAAUCAUUCAUAAUAUCGGACUUGUAAAGAAAUAAAAUUUUCGGUAAUUAACUGACAAAACAAAAAAAGAUGGAUUAUGCGAAAGAAGUUAAUAUGGAGUAAGUCGAGCACUUGACAAUCAAAGUAAUUUACUCGAGGUUGAGUAAGGAUAGUACGAUACUUUCUCAAGUUUUCUGAGGACAUUCACGUGACAUUGGACUAUUGAUUAUAGUUAGAGAGAAGUCCAAGGAUGUAAGUGAUGAUGAUAGAUUCACAAUUCUUUUGAAGAAAAUAUUUUAUAUAAACUUAAUUAUAUGGUAUAAAAUGAUUGGCCUUAAUAAAAUUAAAAAAUAAUACACGCCUGGGUCAUGUAAUAUUUUCAACCAACUAAUUUACAUGCAAAAUUAAACUUUAUGAGUACAUUUAUUUGCUAGCAGAAACUCUGCCAAAUUUUCCGAAAUGUGAAAGUGAACACUUUUAACAACGUCACAAAAUGCAUGUGAUAAUGAAACAAUGUGCCAUCCUUAAACUAAUAUUAUUAGAAACUAUAAGUGAAAGUUUUCAGAAAACAUAUGAUAAAUUUUUCUCGGAAUUUGUUUUCUCCUUUGUUUUGAUUUAUGUGAGAGAUAGUUGUAAAGCGUAAAAUUUUAAAAUCCGUAACAAAACAAAAACUUACAUGGGUUGGGCGCACCAUGUGCAUACCAAAUUAGAAUAAUUGACGAAUCGUAAUAAAAAAUUUAUAUAUAAUAAUUGAAUGAGAUCCAUGGUUCACAAUUGCAAAUUAAAGGUUGGUUUUAUAAUAAAAAUCUUUUUUUGCAUACCAAGUUAGAAAAGAUUAUAAGUAAAUUAAGAUUUUCAAAAUUUGACUAGUAUUAUAUUACGUACGUCAAUAUAAUAUAAAUUUGUUAUAUAUAUAUAUAUUUUACUCUGCAACCAAUGCUUUCAAAAACUUUUUACUUGUAUGUUUGAACAACUUUUAUCGCUUUCUAUUUAUAUACGAUCUCAUUUAUGUUUACAUAAAUUUUCAUAUGUACCCAAAUUAAGCAUUAAAUACACACACUUUGGUAAGACACAUUUCUAGUAUCAGACAAUGAUAUUAUAUUGAAUGUAAUGCUUCAAUGAAUUUUAUUACUAUAUACUAAAAUACUCAACGAUAUUCAUUAAAAAAAAAAAAGAAAUUGCAUGAUUAGAAUGAUUAAAGUUCAUUUAAUGACGAGUUUCAUCAUUGACUGUGUCGAAACACAACAGCAAUCCACAAUACACUCAACACGAGAGGCGCACACAAGCAUGCAUGAAUCUUCCACCAUUAAACCUGAAAUCAUAAAAUGAAAGAAACAAGGUGAGUGUUGUUUUACGGUCUGAAAGCCGAUUCGAAAUAAUAAUAAUAAUAGACCUUUGUUAAUAGUUACUACUAGUGGUCACUGCCUUGUCCAUCUUCCUUCUCUGUAUCAUCGUCCACUUCCAAGCCGCUGUCAUCUGACCAAACCCCAGCAACCAUCGCGGGAAAAAUCACCUAUUUGGAGUGAGAGGGAAAAAGCUGAUUGUUGAGAAAUAUAUGUAUCUUUUGUAUGGUUGUGUUAAGGUCACCCAUGCAAGCAGAACGUGCUUCAGUCCCCCAUGCUUUACUCCCCCACUGCACUUCGUGUAAUUUGGGUGUACUUAAAUUUCCUUCAGAGAAAAUCUUCAUAUCGAGGCAAUCACCCACCACUAAUCUUUCCAAAGAUGGGAACUUGAAAGCACAAUUGCCAGAGCAGAAGCUUGUCAAACUUUUUAAGUCUAAAAGCUUCAACUCCUUCAAUUCUCUGAAAGUAAUAACCUCAUCUUUUGCUACAACAUCAUCCACCAGUACUAUUUCUGUUAUCUUAUCGCAUGAUUCUAUCUCCAUAUAUCUAAGUCGCACCAGAGUCUUUGCAAUUGAGGAUGUUAAUACGAUUUUCAAUCCUUUGCAACACGAUACCACCAGAUUUGUAAGAUUCUGAAAGGACGUCGACGAUGGCACUAGAUUGACCAAACGGUCACACCCCUUUACACGUAGAAAAACCAAGUUGUUCGUAACAGAGGACUCCUCUAUCAAAAUGUGCUCCAGUUGAUAUUUUGCUUCUCUUAUUUCUACCCUCAUCCCAUUUUCAACCUGCUCUUUCGGCAACCAAGCACCAUGUCCUCCUAUUUCGAGGACUUUCAUUGUGUGAAGUCUCUGGAGGAAGUCACCAAGUGAUAAAAUUGUCCGCUCAUCAACCAACUCCACGUAAAGAUAUUUUAGUUUGCAAAGCAAGUCUUCAGAAAAUAGAUAUUUAUUUGUUACCACGUGCUUUGCAUCAACUUUCAACUUUUCCAAAUUAGGGAAUACCUGGGAGAUUGAUCAGAGCCCAAAAAAAAAAAAAAAAAAAAAAAAAAUACAAGAUGAAUCAGUUGAUGAGAAUUAUAAGUUACCACUAAUUUAUACCAUAUAUUUUAUUCAAUAAAUCUUUACCUUUAAAAAAAAUAGUAAUAAUAAUACGCCUAGCUAACAUCUAGAAUAAUUAUGAAUGAAUACUAUACACUAAUCUAUAAGAGAGUUCCGUUGCUGACAAUUUGACUUUUAGUAAGAAACCAAGCGAUAAAGGCAAAGGCAAUAUAACUCUUAAGCUUUAUGAUAUAAACUUUCACAGUACAUACAUAAGAAUUGAAAAUUUGAUUAUAAAAUUCUUGUACGUACCCUUUCCGUCAAGAUAUUAGUAGUUCUUUUGCAUCUCGCCAUGAAUUCAGGACAUCCAGAUAUCUCUAAUUCUUUCAAGGAUGGAAAUUCAAGAUUAUCAAGAUCUCCAGUACAGAAGCUUGUGAACUUUUCAAGAUCAGACAUCCUCAGAUAUUGCAACUGAGGAAACGUUACAAUAUUAUUCUUCAUUUCUUCCUGGUUGUCCACGACUAUUAACUCUUCCAAGACGCGACAUCUGACUAUCUGAAUGCGUUGGAGUCGAACCAAGCUACUAACAGUAGCAGAUGAAAAUAGACAACUUAAAUUCUCACAGACAGACAAGGUCAAGUGCGUUAAAUUCUGAAUACCACAAGACAUGACUGUAACUUGGCUCGGCCAAAUCCUCUCAACAUUUAUUGAAUCCAACGUCAACUUCUCUAACUCUGGUAACCGAUCCUGCUCGAUCAAAAAAUUAACUUGUUAAUUGCAAGUAAACGAUCAUUGAUUAUAAAAUUCUUGUACGUACCCUUUCCGUCAAGAUAUUAGUAGUUCUUUUGUAUCUCGCCAUGAAUUCAGCACAUCCAGAUAUCACUAAUUCUUUCAAGGAUGGAAAUUCAAGAAUAUCAAGAUCUCCAGUGCAGAAGCUUGUGAACUUUUCAAGAUCAGCCAUCAUCAGAUAUCGCAACUGAGGAAACAUUACAAUAUUAUUCUUCAUUUCUUCUUCGUUGUCCACGACUAUUAACUCUUCCAAGACAGGACAUUCGACUAUCUUAAUGUGUUGGAGUCGAACCAAGCUACUAACAGUAGAAGAUGAAAAUAGACAUCUUAAAUUCUCACAGACACACAAGGUCAAGUGUGUUAAAUUCUGAAUACCACAAGACAUGACUGUAACUUGGUUUUGCCAAAUCCUCUCAACAUUUAUUGACUCCAACGUCAACUCCUCUAACUCUGGUAACCGAACCUGCUCGAUCAAAAAAUUAACUCAUUAAUUACAAGCAACAAUGAUUUCUGUUGAUGGACAAAUCAAUAAAAUUACUCUUUCUCUGGUUAUAGUUCUUUUCAGUUUUUCAUACAAACAACCGUUAAUCAAGUUUUCCAAAUUAUUCCUUACUAAAUGUAUAGAUUUAGACGGCGGCUAAUAUAGUUCAUAUUGUAAAUAUUCUUUGAUUGUAACGAAUUUUGUAAUAUUAAAUUUUGGUUGAUUCGCAAUAGGACCUACUAUCCAGCGCGAGCAGUUCUCGGGGAUUUAACUACUGGCACCUCGAUUAUAUAAAAAUUUAGAAUAUUUUCAAAGGAAAUCAAAUAAUUCCCCCUUGCAAAUAGUAAUUAUCAUCAAUUGCCGGGGGUUCACAUAUAAUUCUAAGAAAUUAGGCGAGAAGAGUCUCAUCAACAAUCAAUCAGCAAAUAUCACGUUUGGCAGAUCAUCAUGAUUUCCUCAGAUGCUAGAGAAUCAACGUGAUUUCUGCUCAUGCAGGAGUGGACACAUUAUCUUAGAGCAUCCCUCACUGAGAUCUUUUAAAAAAUUUAUAUUAUAAAGUGAACAACAUAUUUAGUAUAGAUUUAGACGGCGGCUAAUAUAAUUUAUAUGUAUUCUAAUGACGUAUAUUAAAGAAAAUGACUAACCAUAAUUUCAAUCAACUUAUUAGUCUAUAUAUAUAUAUAUAUAUAUAUAUAUAUAUAUAUAUAUAAAAGUGACUACAACAUAUUUAGUAUUCCAUGACAUGAUGUUUAUAAUAAUAAUUAUUAUUAAUUCACUUUUUGUGUCAAGAACCUUUUCUUUCUCUAAGAAUGAAUUUCUUACACCCUACUAUACUACGGAUGAAAAAUUUAGAAUCAUUGUGAAAUAUGAUUAUUAAUCACUCUUUGCCAUAUUUGCUACCAAACAAGAAUGCAACAAAGAAAAAAAAAAUUAUAGAGAAUUAAUAAGACCAUUGACUUAUCAAUAACUGACCUUCUCAGCGAAAAGUGUAUUAGAAAUUUGGACAUUGUCCUCCAAAAUGAUUUCAUGUGACCGCAAAUCAUUAGCUGAUUCCUCCUGUCUCUGCUAACAUUGCAGGUGUAUUGAUUUUAGAGUGUAAGCUUAAUUGUGAGCACAACCUUAAUGCAUAGAUACAAGAUCUUUAAAAAUUAGUACAAUAAACUUAGCACUAAAUCUGAAUUUGAUAUUUUGGAUUCCAUGAUUAAGAUUUUUUUAAAAUGAAAAUUUAAUAGAGUUAAUUUAAAAAUAAAAAUUAAAUAUGAAAAAUUAGAGUUGCAAUUAUGGAUUUAAUUUUGAUAAAUAAUGAAUGUUCUCUUAAUAUUUUUUUUUUAAAGGUAAAAGAGCGUACAAAGCCCAAAUUCAUUUUUUUAGUCCCUUACUCUCCCAUAAUUCAAACUUGGGUGGUUGUAGGAGGACUGAAAAUAUAUAAGACAGUUAACUUCACUUUUUUUUUUUUCUUUUUUUUUUUUGAGAGAAAAGAGAAGAAGGAUAUUACAAAGCAUGAAGCUCGUGCAAUAUAAGGGCAAUGAUGGUUUUUUCUUUAAAUUAAAAUAGUAAGAUUUUGAAGCUAAAAGAUUAAAAUAUUAAUUAAAUUGCAAACAUUAAAGAUUUUUUUUUUUCAAAUGGUUGCUUUGAAAAUGAGAAUAAUAUAAUAUUUGAAGACUUUUCAAAAUUAAUUACUGUGAUAGAUGCACUAGAAGUUUCUAGCUCUAGUCUAAUGUAUAAAUUGACAAAACGAUAUUAGAAUCCCAGGUGAAAAGAACCCUCUCACACCAAUUAUUUAAAUUAGGAAUGAUCAUACCUCUGACUCUGCCGAACUGAGGGCGGGGUCUAAACCCACCAUAAAGAGACGCUUGAGAUGGGAAGAGCCCACUUUGACUAAUUCAUUACGAAAAUAAUCGACAUCUUGCUCUUGCAAUCCCCAUAACUCAAGGUCUUCAAUUCUCUGCAGUUGCACGAUCAGCGAAUCCUUCAAGCAAAUCUUGUUAUUUAGCUCGACUCUGAAUUCACGACACGGAAUGCUGGUGAUCCCCCAAUACUCAAGAUCUCCAAUGCGUAUGCUGUACCUUUCCAGCUUCUCCAAGAACAGGCCUCUGGGCAGAGUGCUGACGUCAUGGGUGUCUAAUUCCAAAGAGGUCAAGUUGGGCAAAUGCUUCAACUCCUCAAGGCUUGCAUUCUUAACCCCUUCCACCUCCACCUCCCAAGCAGCAAAGCUUCUAUGACUUAUAUAUAGUUCUUCUAAAUGGGAUAAUUUUGACAGUAUAUUUGGUGGAAUAACUUUUAGACACCAACAAUCCCUCAAAUCAAGCAACUUUAGCCAAGUCAAUUCACCUACUUCUACCGGCAACUUCUCAAUAUAAGAACUUCUUAAGCAAAGGAUUUCUAGUUUCUUCAAGUCUCCUACAACACUUAUAUCACGCAAGCUGCAGUCACACAAACUCAGUGUUCGAAGGUUUGACAGGAGACCAAGUGAUGAAGGCAGUGACCGUAGAUUCAUGCCAGUCAAGUUGACAACUCUGACCUGCAUCAUCCUCUCGAAAAAGUUGUUUGGAAUUGUUAAUGAUGAAAAUUCCCAACGAUCAGCACGUAUAAAAAGAAGUUCGAGCUGAGGACAUUCCAGUACUUCAGGAAGCAAAUUAUUCUUGAUAUGAUGUAAGACGAUUGAAGUGCAAUGCUUUAUUGCACUUCCGUCUAACCAUUCCCUGCAACCAUCAACCUGCUCAUUUGUAGCAGUAAACACAUUUCGUUCAGUAGAUGCAAUUAAUAUGGCGACAUCGCGAACUACAUCAUGCAUAGAAAGCAACUCUUUCUUCUGGCUUAUAUGGUCAAGCAACAAACAAGAAUCUUUGAGCUGGUGUACCAAUGUAUGUACUCGAUUUCGUGCUGCUUCCAUCUUAUUCACACCUUGAAAUAAAGUCAAUCCCAUACCAAACAUUAACAGUUCGUCAAUAGAUGCUAUGGCUGUAUAUCCUAUUAGCAAAAAGAUGUUCUUCAGCUCCUCCCCUACCAAUUUGUCGUAACUCCACUUUAUGGCUUCAUAUGCAUCUGGCUGUACAUCCUUAAAAUUCGAUGAAGAAGGCCUUCCUAGUUUUUCCAAUGCAUCCUUCCAUUCCUGUAUGCUCUUGUUCCUUAAUGCCCUUGCAACCGUCACAAUGGAAAGUGGUAGACCUGCACAUCCCUUUGCCACACCCCUUGCUACCGAUUGGAAUUCACUGCCUUCAAAAUAAUCACCUGCCAUCUUCUUGAAUAGAUUCCAAGCUUCUUCUUCGUUUAAAACACCAAUUGAGAAAUUUGGUCGAGAAUCCAUCUUCCUAGACAAUACAUCUAGACUUCUGGCCGUCAGCAAUACUUUACAACCUUUAUGACCAUCUCCAUGAGGAAUUCCGACAACCCGCAAAUCAAGAUUUUCCCAAAUGUUGUCUAAAAUUAUCAGGAUCUUCUUCUCUGCUUCUAUACGUUUAAAUAAGCUGUUUGCCCUUCCUGAUUCACUUUCCUCAUGAAACUUCAGGCCUAAUUUAUCUGCUAUUUCUCCUUGAAUCUCUCGUAUGUUUUUAUUAUGGGAUACCUCAUCUCCUUGAAUCUUUCGUAUGUUUUGAUUACGGGAUACCUCAACAAGAACUACCUGAUAAAAGAGUUCACUCUUGACUUUCCUAGCAACUUCUUCCGCCAGCUUCGUCUUUCCGAUUCCGCCCAUUCCAUAAAUCCCAAGCAUGUUGACAUUGGGAUUUUUUAAUGCAUCCAUUAUGUCAUUCAGAAUGGGCGCUCUUGAUACAAAGGCCUCGUAGUCUUUGUUAGGGAUAAGCCGAAUAUCCUCUGCAGCAGUACGGUAGGAAAUUCUAUCAAAUCUUCUAGCGUCCCGGACUUUGACAAUAGCCUCUUUCAACGUCACUGCUUCCUUGCUAAGUCGACGGCGGGUCUUCAAAUUAGGACACAACCCCUUGAAACAACGCUUAUUUGCUGCGGCUUCAACUUCUGUAAAUUUAUCUGCCUCUUCAAUGACUUUGUUGGCCCCUUCAAGCCAACUCCUAACGUUCUCUUCAAUUUCUUCCCCGUUUCGUUCAGCCUCAUCAACCUGGUGCUUUGUACUCACCCUCUGAGACUUCAGAUUGUCAACUUCAGUCUUGAGAUUCUGUAAGUUGCUCGUGUACUUACUCUCACGCAAAUAGCUAAUGCGGCGAUAUGCGGGAGGAACCAAGCACUUCACAACUUCUACAACAAUAGUAAGAAUGAAUUCAGCCAUCUUCAGUCCUUUGUCCUUGUCUCUCUAUCUCUCUUUUUCUGAAUUUUUGAAAAACAAUUGACUACUUAGGAAGCACACUGAGUGAUUGAACACAAGUGACCACAACAAGAUGGAACAAAAUAAAAAGGAAAAAAAAUACAAAGAGUGGAAGGAGAAUAAAACAGAGACAGCGGCACAGCUGGACACAACUAGAUAGAGAACAGAGCAAAACCAAAUAACAAGACUUAAGAUUACAACAAACAGAGGCCAAGUAUUAUUGUUGAGAUCAGAAGAUGGAAAAUUCAAAAGAGUUGAUGGCAGAUGCUGAAUAACAAAACAACAAUGAACGCAAUAAGCAGAAGCAAAGUGUGUUUGAAUGCAAAGAAAGACUGAUGUUGAAAAUUGAUGUCAAUAGCGAAGGAAUAAUUGAACUUUCGCUGAAUUAUUGUUUGUGGCCUUCUUUUACUUUUUAUUUGUGGGUCAUGUCUUUUGGAACUAAUCAUCUUAGGUUAUGCCUUAUAGCUUUAAGGCCGGUAAACCGGUGUCCGUUGGAUUAGCAUAUAGAAAUCCAACGGUGGAUAUAUAUACUUGGAGAAUAAAAUUCAAGAGCUAAGGGAGUGCUGGGCUGCAGUUUCUUAAGGAGAUUUAUAUAUCCUCCUCAAAAAUAAAUGUUUUAAGGUAGAUAUUUAGACUAUUUCAUCAUAAAAUAAAUGUAAUUAGUUUUCAAUAAAUAUCUUAUAUAAAUAUUUAUUUAUUUUUUUAAUUACUAAUGACCUUUGAAUAUACAUAUAUACAUAUCCCUAGUUCAAAAAAUAAAUUGUGAUUAUUUGUUCAUGUAUGCGAUUACUUGUGAUGGGAAAUAAAAUAGAUAUGGUAUAUUUUGAAGUUAAAUUAAAAAAAAAAAAAACAGAGCUUUUACCAUUACUUGCCUUAUCAUCUUUUAAAUUAGAGUUAUUAUUCUUUUAUUUUUCAAGUUGCCAACUCAUCCGCAUUUUUUUUUUAUUGAAUUUGAAGAUCAAUGAUUAUAAAUGUGUGUAAAAAUUUUAAGUCAAAACUUUAAAUAAUCUUUAAGUUAUUGGGAAAUAAUAACUUAGUAUAACAAAUAUUAUAUCCUAUACUUUAUUGCUACAAAAUUACGAAACCUUAUAUUAUAUUAUGUUUCCAUAUUUCUCCUUUAUAGUGAAGACUCAUACUUCUUCUCUAUUAAAUGCUAAAGUAUUGGCUUAAAUUUUUUAACCAGCACAGUAGACCCUUAAGCUAUAUAUACUAUAAUGUCCCUCUUCUCUCAUAGAUUAAACCAAUCUGAUCUCGGAGUGAGUUGAUACCAUGACUUUGCAUAAUUCGUGAUCAAAGGAGUAUCAUUACUAACUAAUAUAGGCUCCAUCAAUAGGCAUGAUAAUAAUUUUUUUUAUAUACAAACACUGUUUUUCAAAAUAUUAUAUCUUAAGACUUAACUAAAUAUUUUGUAACUAUGUAGAUAUAGUUUGUUUGAUCUCUUUUAAAUAGUGGAGAUUACAAACAAACAUAUGCAAAUUAGUAGUGAUGUUGAGUUUAGAAGAUUGAAGUUAAGAAAAUUAAGGGUUUCUUGAUCUAGAGAAAUUUCAAAUGAGUGAAGUGUCCUUGAAAUCGGAAGACGAAAAUAAGGAAAGGGUAAGGGUGUAUUUUCAAAGUGAUUCUAUUACGAGAUUUUGAAGUAGGGGUGGGCAAGUCGGGUUUUGGUUCGGGUUGUUCAAGUUUCGAUUUGGAUUUCAACCCAAUCGGGUUUGAGAAUUGAAUCCAAUCGGGUUGAAAACGCCAACCCAAACUAAACCGAACCGAAUUUAAUUCAGCUUGGGUUCAUAAUUCGGAUUGGUAAUUCAGGUUAAAAUUUCGGUUCGGGUUAAUUUGGGUUAGAAUAAUUCCAUCUAAAAUUUUGGGUUAGUUCGGUUUAAAACAAAUUGAAACAAUUUAAUCCAAAAAUUAUACCAACAACCACUUAAAAUCCAAAAAUCUCAAUUCCAAACAUCCUUAACAACAAAUAUCAACUACAAACUAUCCUUGAUAACAUUUCAACAAUAACAAUAACAAUAAUAACAACAACAACAACAAUAAUAAUAAUAAUAACAACAACUAUGAAUCAGCAAUUCAGCAUAUUGCCAUAUUCUAAAUUUAAAAAAACACACAAAUUAUGUAAUUAAUUAAUUAACAAUCUCCAAUUUAAUUUAUAAUAACAACAAAAAUCCUCUCCAAUUUAAUUAAUAACAAUCUCGAAUUGUUCAAUUACCAGUCAACAACAACAAACCCACUCCAAAUAAUUGAACAAUUGUUAAUUAAUUAAUUAAAAAUAUCUAAUUUAAUUAAUAACAACACCCAAGAGCAAGUCAGCAAUAAACCCACUCAAAAAUCCAAAUAUCAGUAUAAAUUAAGUGUCAAACCUUGAUCGGUGGGAAGCUACAGCGUCGGCAAAUUGUGACCGUGUGGGGCUGAGUGAGACCGUCAACCGAGGGUGUGAGAAGGGAGGAGGGAGCAGGGAGGUAACGAGGUGUGUGUGAGUUUAUAUAUAUAUAUAUAUAUAUAAUUUUUAAAACCUAAAACUUAAAAAAAAAAUUUAACCCAAUCCAAACCGCCCACCUCAUAUUACUUCCGUUAAGAGAUGGAUCCCACACUCUUGAGCCUUUGUCGUCCCAGUCAACUAUAAAAACAAAUCAUUAUUGAGUGUGAAUAGACUUAUUGAUCACCCAAUUUUCAAACUUAUCAUCCUUAUUGUAUCUGCAUUCCCUUUUGAAAAUUUUUUAAAAAAGUACAAAUAAUGAAACAAAGUUUUGUUCCUUCAACAGUUGAUAGAGUUACGCGGCUUGGACUUGCAAGUGCUGUCGGCAUUUUCAAACUUGUAAGACCCUUCAACUUGCUUUCCAAGAUAGCUAUAAUUAAUAAUGACAACAGUCUCCCUCAUAGCGACUAGUGAGCAACUGAAAUUAACGGCAUCUUCUCUCGCAUUUUUAAAAAAAUUGAAUUAUAUAACCCACCAAAACUAUAAAGAAUUGUUAGUUUUUCUUCAUUAAAAUUAAUAUAUUGCUCCUCAUAUUGAAAAAUCAAAAUUCAGAAUAAGAAUGAUUGAUACUGUUUAUUUACUAAAAUGAAAAUAAAAUAUAUGAAGCCUACAUAUUUUUGAAAUUAAAAAACAAGAACUUGAUUUUCCUUGGGGAGUGUUGGAAAUCAAGUUCUUGUUAUUUAAACUCUCAAUUGUAUCUCACCGAAAUUUCAUAAUUCUACUUUUGUCUUCAAUUAAAAUAUUAUUAUAGUUAUUAUUCUUAUUUUUGUAGUUGUUGUUGUUGAUUAUGAUAAAUGGUCAGGCAAAUGAUUCAUUUACUUAUUUUUUUCCUUUUAAAUUUUUGUUAUUAAGAAGAUUUUUGGAUAUUUAGCGUGAAGGUCUCAACUGAUCGCUAAUUUCACAGCAACUUCCUUUUUUUUUUUUUCCCUCAAUUGUUUUGAAAAAAUAUCAAGACUCAUUCAGCAAAAUAUCCGAGGCCAAAGCGCCAAAAGAUGGGACAGCCACAUGCACUUCUAAUUACAAAAUCUAAAGUUAGGGUGUCCAUAACUUACAUUUAAUAUAAUUUAUAAUUAGGUAAAAUUCAUUCAUUGACCCAGUAAUUUUAUUAUCCUAUUACUUAUAUUUUUAUAUUAAAAAAUUAGUAAGUAGGAAAAUUCUUAAAAGAUAAUGAAGAAGGAAAAGAAAAAGAAAAAGUGUAAAUGAACUGUAUUCACAUAAGUUUCAAACAUGUGAUUCAAUCUGAAUUGGCUUUUUUCAAAAGUAAAUACAAAGGAAAAUAAAAAGAAAAAAGCAAUUAAACGAGACUAAAAUCUGUGGCCUGUGUCAUUCAUAUCUUUUGACAUUUCUUUUAUAGCGGUAUAAAGGGUAGAUAUUUUGAAGUGAAAAGCAAAGCCUUUACCAUUACUUGCCUUAUCAUCUUUUAAAUUAGAGUUAUUAUCCUUUUAUUUUUAAGUAGCCAAAUUAGAGUUAUCAUCCUUUUAUUUUUAAGUAGCCAACUCAUCCGCAUUAUCUAUUAUUGAAUCUAAAGAUAAAUGAUUAUAAAUUUCUCUGAAGAUUUUAAGUCCAAACUAUAAAUUAAAAUAAUCUUAUUGAUUAAGUUAUUGUAUAAUAAUAACCUUAGCAUGACAAAUAUUAAUUCUUCUCUAGUAAAUGCUAAAGUAUUGGCUUAAGUUUUUUAACCAGCACAGUAAAUCCUUAAAGCUAUAUAUGCUAUAAUGUCCCUCUUCCCUUACAAAUUAAACCAAUUUGAAUUUAGAGUGAGUGAGUACCAUGAGUUUGCAUCAUUUGAUAUCAAAGGAGCAUCAUUACUAACUAAUACAGGCUCGAUCGAAUUCAUCAUACGAAGCAUAUUAUCGGCUGUAGGUAUGGAAAUAAAUUUUGUAUCCACAAACACUAUUUUUCAAAAUAUUUAAGACUUAACUUAUCAUUUUUUAACCAUAUAUGCAUAGGUUGUUUGACCUAUUUUAAAUAAUGGAGAUUACAACAAAUGAACAGAUGUGGAUUAGUAGUGUUGUUGAGUUCAGAAGAUUGAAGUUAAGAAAAAGGUUUCUUGAUCCAGAGAAAAUUCAAAAGAGCGAAGUGUCUUCGAGAUCAGAAAACGAAAUAAGGAAAGGGUAAGGUUAUACUUUCAAAAUGAAUUUGUUGAGAGAUCUUUGAAGAUUAUUUUCAUUAACAAUUAGAUCCCACACUUGAGUCUUUGUCGUCUCAGUCAGUCAGUUAUAAAGACAAAUUAAUUUUGAGUAUGAAAGGACUUUCAAACUUGUGACCCUUCAAGCUUUCUAUGACAGCUAUAAUGAAUAAUUACAACAGUGCUACCUAAUAGUGAGCAACUUGUUUGAUGAAAUUAACAACUUCUUUUCUCUCAUGUAUUUUUAAAAAAUUGAAUUAUCAAAGCUUUUAUUUCAAAAUUAGUGCUAUAGUUCAUUAAUUUUGAAAAAUUUUCUUUUUUCUUUCCACACAACAGAUUGAUUUGCCCUCCAAAAACUGUAUUAGAUUGUUUAAUAUUGUAACUUCAAAAAACUUAUAAUAAAUUUUUAAAGAGAUAAAUAGGGAAUGUCAGUCUCCCAUCUACUCAAAAUUAAUAUAUAUCAUUAACUCUUGAUUAUUUUUAUAACAACUAAUAACUUUCUGGGCAGCAUAAUUUUACAGUAUCAUCCUUGUUUGUAAGUAUAUUUUUAUUCACAUUUAUUAUAAAUUAAUUAAGUCAUAUCAAUGAAAAUUGAAAUAGAAAUUGAAGUACUAAAAAAAAUGUUUUGGUGUGAAUAAAAAAUUGAAAAUAAAAAUAUUUUUAUUAUAUUUUUUAUUUUUAAAUGGUUUUCUUAUAAUAAAUAUAUAUUUUAUAUUCUCAAAUUGAAUUAUUGAGUAAAUGACUCAUUUACUCACUUUUUCUUUUAAUUUUGUUAUUAGGAGGAUUUUUAGAUAUAAUGAAAAUUGUAAGGUAGUAAGUAAUAUAAAAUAAUUUUAAUAGAGAAAAAUAAAAAAUCUGUAAUUUUAAAAUAUAAGGAGAAAAAUAAUUAAUUUCAAGAUAUUUUAGAAGAUAUUUCAAUAUGCGGUGGACUAUAAACUCGAGUCUUUGUCGUCACAGUCAACUAAAAGGACAAAAUAUUGAGUGCGAAGGGCUCAACUGAUUGCUAAUUUCACAGUAAUUGCGUUUUUUCUUUCUUUUUUUUAAUUAUUGGGAAAUAAUAACUUAGUAUAACAAAUAUUAGAUCCUAUACUUUAAUGCUGCAAAAUUAUGAAACCUUAUAUUAUAUUAUGUUUCCAUAUUUCUCCUUUAUAGUGAAGACUCACACACUUCUUCUGUAGUAAAUGCUAAAGUAUUGGCCUAAACUUUUUAACCAGCACAAUAAACCCUUAAGUUAUAUAUGCUAUAAUGUACCUCUUCCCUCACAGAUUAAACCAAUCUGAUCUCAGAGUGAGUUUGCAUCGAAGGAGUAUCCUUACUAACUAAUAUAGGCUCGAUCAAUAGGGAUGACAAUAAUUUUUUUAUCUACGAACAUUAUUUUUUCAAAAUAUUAUAUCUUUAGACUUAACUAAAUAUUUUUUUAAUCAUGUAUGUAUAGUUUGUUUGAUCUCUUUUAAAUAGUGGAGAUCACAACAAAGCAAAUGCUAAUUAGUAGUGAUGUUGAGUUCAGAAGAUUGAAGUAAUGAAAAUUAAGGGUUUCUUGAUCCAGAGAAAUUUCAAAAGAGUGAAGCGAAAAGUGAAUUUAUUGAGAGAUCUUUAAAGAUUUACUUCCAUUAAGGGUUGGAUGCCACACUUUUUGAGCCUUUGUCGUCCCAAUCAUUCAAUUAUAGGAUCCCUAAGCAUAUAACUUACAAUCCUUUCACAUAAAUAAUGAGUAGUGUGAAUCCAUACAACUUACAACCUUCUCACAUAAAUAAUGAGUAGUGUGAAUCCAUACAACUUACAACCUUCUCACAUAAAUAGUGAGUAAAUCUAAACUACUCACUAUUCAUGUAAAAAAAUUAUAAAUUACAUACAUGUAACUUAGCAUUAUUCUCCACUAUAAAGACAUAUUCUUAUUGAGGGUGAAUAGGCAUAUUGAUCACUAAAUUUUCAAACUUGUGAUCCUCAUUAAAUGUGAUUCCCCUUUGAAAAAGAAAAAAAAGUGCAAAUAAUGAAACAAAAUUAUGUUCCUUAGCAGCAAGUGGCGUCGGCAUUUUCAGACUUGUAAAAGGGAAUGAGAUCCUUUCCUGAACCCGGAUCUCAUUCCCUGUGAAACAAAAAAAGGUGCAAAUAAUGAAACAAAAUUCUGUUCCUUAGCAGCAAGUGGCGUCGGCAUUUUCAGACUUGUAAAAGGGAAUGAGAUCCUUUCCUGAACCCGGAUCUCAUUCCCUGUGAAACAAAAAAAGGUGCAAAUAAUGGAACAAAAUUUUGUUCCUUAACAGCAAGUGGUGUCGGCAUUUUCAGACUUGUAACAAGGGAAUGAGAUCCUCUCCUGAACCGGGAUCUCAUUCCCUGUGACAAGACCCUUGCCACCCUUCAACUCGCUUUCCAAGAUAGCUAUAUUAAUCGUGACAACAUUACUCUCAGUGAGCAAAAGUUAACAUCAUCUUCUCCCUAUUUUUUUAAAAAAUUGUAUUAUAUAGCCCACCAAAACUAUAAAGAGUCUUUUCUUAUUAAAAUUAAUAAAUUACUCUUUAUAUUAAAAAAUUAAAAUUCAAAAUGAAAAUGAUCUGAUGUUUAUUUAUUAAAAUAUAAAUAAAAUAUAUGAAGUUCAUAUUUUUUUAAAUUAAAAAAUAAGAACCUAAUUUCAUUCCUUAAAUUCCCAAAUUUACCUCACAAAAAUUCCAUAAACUUACUUUUGUCCUUAAUUAAAAUAUUAUUAUGUUAUUAUUAUGGUUAUUAUUCUUAUUUUUGUAAUAGUUGUUGUUGUUGAUGAUGAUAAUACAUAUAAUAAAAUUAAUAAUAAUAAAAAUAAUAACUAUAAUUUUAACAACAGCAAUAAUAAUCAUUAAUAUUAUUGUUGUUGUUGUUGUUGUUGUUGUUGUUCUUCUUCUUCUUCUUCUUCUUCUUCUUCUUCUUCUUCUUCUUCUUCUUCUUCUUCUUCUUAUUAUUAUUAUUAUUAUUAUUAUUAUUAUUACUAUCCUAUUAUAAUAAUAUUAUUAAAUAAUUAUUUUGAAUAAUAAUAAUCACAAUUAUUAUAACAAACGACAAAAAUCAACUAAGGUAAUUUUAAUAACUUGUAAGAAUUCAUUUUUAUUCAUGGAUAUGUGAUUAUUUGUUAAUGUAUGCAAUUACUUGUGAUGGUAAACAAAGUAUAUAUGGUAUAUUUUCAAGUUAAAAAAGAAAAACAAAACAAAGUUUUUACCAUUUCUUGCCUUAUCAUCUUUUAAAUUAGAGUUAUUAUUCUUUUUAUUUUUCAAGUUGCCAACUCAUCCGCAUUCUCUUUUAUUGAAUUUGAAGAUCGAUGAUCAUAAAUUUGUGUGAAAAUUUUAAGUAAAAAUUUUAAAUUAAAAUAAUCUUUUAAGUUAUUGGGAAAUAAUAACUUAGUAUAACAAAUAUUAUAUCCUAUACUUUAUUGCCACAAAACUACAAAACCAUAUAUUAUAUUAUGUUUUCAUAUUUCUCCUUUAUAGUGUGAAGACUCAUACUUCUUCUCUAGUAAAUGCUAAAGUAUUGGCUUAAACUUUUUAACCAGCACAGUAGACCCUUAAGUUAUAUAUGUUAUAAUGUCCCUCUUCGCUCACAGAUUAAACCAAUCAGUAGCCUUCUCUCAUAUAGAAAAACUUUUUGUAUAAGACAAAUUAUUAUGUUAUCGGAAAAAUUACAGUAGACGUAAGCUAUAUAUGUUAUAAUGUUCAGAAGAUUGAAGUUAAGAAAAUUAAGGAAAGGGUAAGGAUGUAUUUUCAAAGUGAAUUAUUAAGAGAUCUUUGAAGAUUACUUCCGUCAAGAGUUGGGUCCCACACUUUUACCUUUUGCUCGUUCCCGUGAAAGUCAGUUUAGAAUUUUUAUCUUAUUUCACAAAGCUAAUUUUUUAUCACAAGCAGGAGAGAAACGGCAUUUCUUAGCAGUAGUUCAUCACUGUAGUAGCGAGCGAGUGAGGAACAAAAUUGCCAACAAUUAUCAAAAAAUAAUUAUAUAAAAAAGAUCACAUGCUAUAAUUAAUCAUGACAAUUGACAACAUUACUCCCACCGAGCAAAAGUUAACAGCAUCUUCUCCCACAUUUUUUAAAAAAAAUUGUAUUAUAUAACCCACCAAAAGUAUAAAGCGUCUUUCCUUAUUAAAAUUAAUAAGUUACUCUUUAUAUUGAGAAAUUAAAAUUUAAAAUGAGAGUGAUUAAUGAUGUUUAUUUAUUAAAAAUAAAAUAAAAUUUAUGAAGUCUAUAUAUUUUUUAAAUUAAAAAAUAAUAACUUAAUUUCUUAUAGGGAGUGUUGGAAAUCAAGUUUUUAUUUCUUAAAUAUCCAAUUUUACUUCACAAAAAUUUUAUAAGUUCACUUUUAUCCUUAAUUAAAAUAUUAUUAUGGUUAUUAUUCUUAUUUUUGUAGUAGCUGCUGUUGUUAUUGUUGUUGUUGUUGUUGAUGAUGAUGAUAAUAGUUGAUAAUAAAAUUAAUAAUAAUAAUGAAAAUAAUAACUAUAAUUUUAACAGCUACAAUAAUAAUCAUUAAUGUUAUCGUUGUUCUUAUUAUUAUUAUUAAAAAAUAAUUAUUUUGAAUAAUAAUAAUCACAAUUAUUAUAACAAACAACGACAAUAAUCAACUAAUGUCAUUUUUCUAACUUAUAACAAUUCAUUUUUUAUUCCAAGACAAACUAACCAUAUCAAUAAUAAUACAGGUCGUUUCGAUUCUAAUUUUUACAGGUAAAGUAAAUAAUUUAUUCUGAUUCUCAUUUUUUAUUUUGAUUUUAUUCUAUUCCGAUUCCAUUUGAUUAUGAUUCCAGCCAAUUCUAAUUAUCGAUUAGAAAAUGCAUUGUUACUACUUUAACAAUAACUAAUGAUUCUCCUCACAAUUCUUAUAGGAUUAUCCUUAUUUUAAAAUAUUUUUUAUUCGUAUUUAUUAUUAAUUAAUUAAAUUAUAUCAAUGAAAAUCAAAUAAAAAUUUAACUAAUAAAAAUGAGAAAAUAUAUGUUUCGGUUUGAAUAAAAAAUUAUAAUAAAAUAUUUUUCUUACAUACUUUAAAUAUUUUUAUUAUAAUAAAUAUUUUUUUAUUCUCAAAAUAAAUUAUCAAGUAAACGAUUCAUUAACUCAUUUUUUUCCUUUAAAUUUUUGUUAUUAAGAAGAUUUUUGGGUAUUGACCGUGAAGGGCUCAACUGAUCGCUAAUUUUGCAGCAAUUACCUUUUCUUUUUCUUUUUUUUUAAUUGUUUUGAAAAAAUAUCCAGACUCAUUCUGCAAAGUACCUGAGACUAGAGCUGGCAAAAUUUGACACGACCCGAUUACCCGACACGAACACGACAUAAAUAAAUGGGUAUGGGUCGUCAAAUUUAACACGAUUAUUAAAUGGGUCGGGUCCGGGUCAACACGAUUUUUUUCCGUGUCGGGUUUGGGUUAAAAUUCUUGACCCAUUUACCCGAUCAAUGACCCGAUUAUAUUUUCUAUUUUAAAAUAAUUUAUAUAUUCUUAUAAUUAAAACUCAAAUAUUAGAGAUGAUUUUCUUUUUUUUUUUAUUUUUUAAAAGGGUGAAUAUAAACACAGUGUUUUAUUUAUAAAAUUUUACAUACAUUUAGAGCUUCAAUAGUGUAAAUGUGUAAAAAUUGAUAGACAUGUAUAUUUUAUAAUAUUGAUAUAUAAUAUUAUAUAUAUAUAUAUAUAUAUAUAUAUAUAUAUAUAUAUAUAUAUAUAUAUAUUAAAACUUCAAUAGUAUAAAUGUAUAAUAUAUUGGUAGAUAUAUAUAUUUUAUAAUAUUGAUAAAUUAUGUAUGUAUGUAUGUAUGUAUGUAUGUAUGUAUGUAUGUAUGUAUGUAUGUAUUUAUGUACAUACGUAUGUAUGAUAGUGUGUAAAUAUUUUAUGUAACUUUUGUUCAAUAUAUAGAUAUUAAACGGGUUAUUGGGUAACCCGAUUAUUUUUCCGUGUCGGGUUUGAGUCUCAAUAUUUUGACACGAUUAUUAAAUGGGUCGGGUUUGGGUCGAUCUAAAUUUGACACGACACGAAACUGACACGAUACGAACACGAUCCGAUGACCCGUUUUGCCAGCUCUACCUGAGACCAAAGCGCCGGCCAAAGCGCCGAAAGAUAGGACACCCACAUGUGCUUUUAUUUACAAAAUCUAAAGUUAGGGUGGGUGUCCAUAACUUAAAUUUAAUAGAAUUUAUAAUUAGGUAAAAUUCUUUGAUUGACCCAUUAACUUUUAUUAUUUUAUUAUUUAUUUUUAUAUUAAAAAAUUAGUAAUGUAGAAAAAUUCUUAAAAGUUAAUGGAGAAGGAAAAGAAAAAGAAAAAGUGUAAAUGAACUGUAUUCAUUUAAGUUUCAAACAUGUGGUUCAAUCUGAAUUCGUUUUUUUUAAAAGUAAAUACAAAAGAAAAUAUAAAGAAAAAAAAUUAAACGAGACAAAAAUCAGUGGCGUGGGUCAUUCAUAUCUUUUUCCAUUUUUUUUUAAUAGAGGUACAUAGCAUAGAGUCGAUAUUUUGAAGUGAAAAGCAGAACCUUUACUGUUGCUUCCCUUAUCAUCUUUUAAAAUUAGAGUUAUUAUUCUUUUAUUUUUAAGUGGCCAACGGAUGGUAGCCAACUCAUCCGUGUUCUCUAUUAUUGAAUUUAAAGAUCAAGGAUUUAUGUUAAUAAAUAUUUUGUUAACUAUCAAAGUUUUUAUUUCAAAAUUACUCCUAUAAUUCAUUAAAUUUUCAAUUUUUCCUUUUUCUAUUCACACAACAGAUUGAUUUGCCCUCCAAAAAAAUGUAUUAGAUUGUUUAAUAUUGUAACAUCAAGAAACUUAUAAUAAAUUUUUAAAGAGAUAAAUAGAGAAUGUCAGCAUCUACUCAAAAUUAAUAAAUAUACCACUAACUUCUUAUUAUUUUUAUAAUAACUAAUAACUUUUUUACCAGUAUAAUUUUAUAGUAUUAUUCUUAUUUGUAAGUAUAUUUUUUAUUCAUAUUUAUUAUAAAUUAAUUAAAUCAUAUCAAUAAAAAUUAAAAUAACACAAUAUGUUUUGGAGUGAAUAAAAGAUUGAAAAUAAAAAUAUUUUUCUUUUAUUUUUUGUUAUUUUAAAAUUUUUUUCUUAUAAUAAAUGUAUAUUUUAUAUUCUUAAGAUGAAUUUUGAGUAAAUGACUCAUUUACUCACUUUUUCUUUAAAUUUUUGUUAGUAGGAGGAUUUUUAGAUAUAAUGAAAAUUGUAAGGUAGUAAGUAAUAAUAUAAUAAUUUUAAUAAAGAAAAAUAAUUAAUUUCAAGACAUUUCAGAAGAUAUUUCAAUAUGCGGUGGACUACAUCCUUGAGUUGAGUCUUCAUCGUCUCAGUCAACUAAAAGGACAAAAUAUUGAGUCACAAAGGACUCAACUGAUUGUUAAUUUCACACCAAUUACCUUUUUUUUCUUUUUUUUUUCUUAAUCUAUAUAUUUAUAUAAAGUUAGUACUUGAGAAUGUGAUGUAUCAUCACCAUUUUUUUUUAUUUAAUAAAUAGAGAAAUUUUCUUUUAAAUUUGACUUUUCAUUUUCUCAUAAUUAAUUUGAUUGCUAUUGCACAAUAACAAUUAUGUAAAGAUUUUAAUGAGGCAUAUUAUUUGUAAUGAACAUUUAAGAGAGAGUGUUAUUUGUAAUGAACAUCUAAGGGAGAGUGUUAUGAAUUUAUUAAAAUAAAUAUAUAUUUUCAUAAUAUAUAUCUCUUAGUCUCCCCACUAUCUCCCAUUAGCAACCUUUAGCUUCCUUAUAACUCCCACUAUUUUUAUAAAUCCACCCACCUUCAUAAAAUAAUUACAAUAAGUUCACAUUAUUUUAUAGAAUUACAAAUUAAUAAUAAGUUUGAAUAAUUAAUUAAUUAAAUCAUUCUUAUAAUUUUUUUUCUUUCUUUGUCUUUCAACAAUCUUUAAUAAUUUAAGGUUGCUUUAAGAUAAGUUUAAUUUAAUUAAUUUACCCUUAUAAUAUAAAAUAACAAAAUUACCCUAAGAAAUAUAUAUUAUUGUAACUAAUUGUUUAGGCAUUUAGUUUUAUGUUUUAUAAUCUAAUAUGCUUUAUAUAAAAUUUAAUAAUUUUCAAUACUCCAAAUGUCCUAAUUACAUCUUGUUAGUUUAGUGAAAUAUUAAUAAUUAUACUAAAAAAGCAUUACUUAUACAUCAUUAAAAUAUAAAAAAAAUUAUUAAGUUAAAGUAAACUUUUAGAUAUUUUUGUUACUUUUACCUUAUAAGGUUAGAAUAAUUAUAUUAAUUUAUGUUAAAACAACCUUAUUGAUCAAAUAUAAUUAAAAAAAUAGUCUCAUAAAAAAAUUAAUGAAUAUGGAUUUAAUUGGUUAAAUUUUUAAAUUUCUUCUUAAUUUGAAUUUUUAAAAAAUAAUGUGUACUUGUAGUAAUGAUUUUUUAAAAUUGGGGUGGGUUAUUAUUGAUGACCUUUGAACAUACAUACAUAUUAUUAAUAUAUUUAUUAAUAUAUACGAUUACUUGUGAUGGUAAACGAGGUAGAUAUGGUAUAUUUUUAAGUUAAAAAAAAAAAACAAAACUUUUACCAUUUCCUGCCUUAUCAUCUUUUAAAUUAGACUUAUUAUUAUUUUAUUUUUCAAGUUGCAACUCAUCCUCAUUCUCUUUUAUUGAAUUUGACGAUCAAUGAUUAUAAAUUUGUGUGAAAAUUUUAAAUCAAAGUUUUAAAAUAAAAUAAUCUUUAAGUUAUUGAGAAAUAAUAACUUAAUAUAACAAAUAUUAUAUCUUGUACUUUAUUGCUACAAAAUUACGAAACCUUAUAUUAUAUUAUGUUUCCAUAUUUCUCCUUUAUAGUGAAAACCCAUACUUCUUCUCUAGUAAAUGCUAAAGUAUUGGGUUAAACUUUUUAACCAGCACAGUAGACCCUUAAGCUAUAUAUGUUAUAAUGUCCCUCUUCCCUCAGGAUUAAACCAAUCUGAUCUCAGAGUGAGUUUGCAUUAUUUGUCAUCAAAGGAGCAUCAUUACUAACUAAUAUAGACUCGAUCAAUAGGUAUGACAAUAAAUUUUCUGUCUACGAACACUAUUUUUUAAAAUAUUAUAUCUUUAGACUUAACUAAAUAUUUUUUAAUCAUAUAUGUAUAGUUUGUUUGAUCUCUUUUAAAUAGUGGAGAUCACAACAAAGCAAAUUCGAAUUAGUAGUGAUGUUGAGUUCAGAAGAUUGAAGUAAAGAAAACUAAGGGUUUCUUGAUCCAGAGAAAUUUCAAAAGAGUGAAGCGAAAAGUGAAUUUAUUGAGAGAUCUUUGAAGAUUUACUUCCGUUAAGAGUUGGAUGCCACACUUUUUGAGCCUUUGUCGUCCCAAUCAUUCAAUUAUAGGAUCCUUAAGUAUAUAACUUUCAAUCUUUUCACAUAAAUAAUGAGUAGUGUGAAUUCAUACAACUUAUAACUUUCUCACAUACAAUUUACAACAUUCUCACAUAAAUAGUGAGUAAAUCUAAACUACUCACUAUUCAUGUAAAAAAAUUAUAAAUUAUAUAUAACUUAGCAUUAUUCUCCACUAUAAAGACAUAUUCUUAUUAAGUGUGAACAGACAUAUUGAUCACUAAAUUUCCAAACUUGUGAUCCUCAUUAAAUGUGAUUCCCCUUUGAAAAAGAAAAAAAAGUGCAAAUAAUGAAACAAAAUUAUGUUCCUUAGCAGCAAGUGGCGUCGGCAUUUUCAGACUUGUAAAAGGGAAUGAGAUCCUUUCCUGAACCCGGAUCUCAUUCCCUGUGAAACAAAAAAAGGUGCAAAUAAUGAAACAAAAUUCUGUUCCUUAGCAGCAAGUGGCGUCGGCAUUUUCAGACUUGUAAAAGGGAAUGAGAUCCUUUCCUGAACCCGGAUCUCAUUCCCUGUGAAACAAAAAAAGGUGCAAAUAAUGGAACAAAAUUUUGUUCCUUAACAGCAAGUGGUGUCGGCAUUUUCAGACUUGUAACAAGGGAAUGAGAUCCUCUCCUGAACCGGGAUCUCAUUCCCUGUGACAAGACCCUUGCCACCCUUCAACUCGCUUUCCAAGAUAGCUAUAUUAAUCGUGACAACAUUACUCUCAGUGAGCAAAAGUUAACAGCAUCUUCUCCCUAUUUUUUUAAAAAAUUGUAUUAUAUAGCCCACCAAAACUAUAAAGAGUCUUUUCUUAUUAAAAUUAAUAAAUUACUCUUUAUAUUAAAAAAUUAAAAUUCAAAAUGAAAAUGAUCUGAUGUUUAUUUAUUAAAAUAUAAAUAAAAUAUAUGAAGUUCAUAUUUUUUUAAAUUAAAAAAUAAGAACCUAAUUUCAUUCCUUAAAUUCCCAAAUUUACCUCACAAAAAUUCCAUAAACUUACUUUUGUCCUUAAUUAAAAUAUUAUUAUGUUAUUAUUCUUAUUUUUGUAAUAGUUGUUGUUGUUGAUGAUGAUAAUACAUAUAAUAAAAUUAAUAAUAAUAAAAAUAAUAACUAUAAUUUUAACAACAGCAAUAAUAAUCAUUAAUAUUAUUGUUGUUGUUCUUGUUGUUGUUGUUGUUGUUCUUCUUCUUAUUAUUAUUAAUAUUAUCAUCCUAUUAUAUUAUUAUUAUUAAAUAAUUAUUUUGAAUAAUAAUAAUCACAAUUAUUAUAACAAACGACAAUAAUCAACUAAGGUAAUUUUAAUAACUUGUAACGAUUAAUUUUUAUUCAAAGAUAUGUGAUUAUUUGUUAAUGUAUGCAAUUACUUGUGAUGGUAAACAAAGUAUAUAUGGUAUAUUUUCAAGUUAAAAAAGAAAAACAAAACAGAGUUUUUACUAUUUCUUGCCUUAUCAUCUUUUAAAUUAGAGUUAUUAUUCUUUUUAUUUUUCAAGUUGCCAACUCAUCCGCAUGCUCUUUUAUUGAAUUUGAAGAUCGAUGAUGAUAAAUUUGUGUGAAAAUUUUAAGUCAAAGUUUUAAAUUAAAAUAAUCUUUAAAUUAUUGGAAAAUAAUAACUUAGUUGUAAUAAAUAUUAUAUUCUAUACUUUAUUGCUACAAAAUUACGAAACCAUAUAUUAUAUUAUGUUUUCAUAUUUCUCCUCUAUAGUGAAGACUCAUACUUCAACUUUUUAACUAGUACAGUAGACCUUUAAGCUAUAAAUGUUAUAAUGUCCCUCUUCGCUCACAGAUUAAAACAAUCUGUAGCCUUCUCUCAUAUAGAAAAACUUUUUGUAUAAGACAAAUUAUUAUGUUAUAGGAAAAAUUACAGCAGACGUAAGCCAUAUAUGUUAUAAUGUUCAGAAGAUUGAAGUUAAGAAAAUUAAGGAAAGUGUAAGGAUGUAUUUUCAAAGUGAAUUAUUAAGAGAUCUUUGAAGAUUACUUCCGUCAAGAGUUGGGUCCCACACUCUUAAGCUUUUUUCGUCUCAAUCAACUAACAAGACAAAUUAUUAUUGGGUGUGAACAGUCCGGCUUAUUGAUUGUUAAAAAAAUAGCAUUAUUUUGAGCGCACAUGUUGAGUAAGUCUUAUUUAACGAAAGUGAAAAAUAAGGUUCAAAUUUUAUUUUAUUGAUAUUUUAAUAAUAUUUUUUUUUAUUUUUUUAAAAUGGUGUUUAGGUAAAUAAGAAAUUAUUUAUUAAAAUUCAUUUUUAAAGUUAAAAAUUUAAAAAGAAAUGAGGUUUAUCCCACAUGAAAAAAAGAAGCUUAAGAAUUAGUAUUUAUAUAUAAACAUUUAACCAUUCAUAAAUAAGAAUUAUAGGAAUAGAGACUCUUUUCACACAUACGUGCGUAAGGGGUACAAAUUCAAGACGAAUUUAGUUGAACUCGUGUGCACCUGCAUAUCCUGAGAACGCAAAUGUCGGUGAUAAAUUUGUUUUAAAGAUUCUACUCUGUGUAGGCCUCGGUUCCAUUUUAUUUUUUCUGUUUCGGUUUUCAUCUCUCUUCGGUUUUGCUUUCUAUUAUUUCAUUUCAAAUUUCAGUAGUUAUCUUUCGUUGCUUAGCUACUGUUUAAUUUGUUACCUCACCGUUUGUUUUAUCUAACAUUGAUCACCAAAUUUUCAAACUCGUGAUCCUGAUUGAAUCUGCGUUCCCCUUUGCAAAAGUAAUAAAAAAAAGUGCAAAUAAUGAAGACUUUCUCUUUUCACAUUUUUUACGCGUUUCUCUUUUCUCUCCCCCACGUGAACACUUUUGCCUUUUGCUCGUUCACGUGAACGUCAUUUUAGAAUUUUUAUCUUUAUUAAUCAUGACAAUUGACAACAUUACUCCCACAUUUUUUUUAAAAAAAUUGGAUUAUAUAACCCACCAAAAGUAUAAAAAGUAUUUUCUUAUUAAAAUUAAUAAAUUACUCUUUAUAUUAAAAAAUUAAAAUUUAAAAUAAAGAAUGAUUGAUGAUGUUCAUUUAUUAAAAUAAAAAUAAAUUUUAUGAAGUCUAUAUAUUUUUAAAAUUAAAAAAUAAGAACUUAAUUUCGUAUGAACUGUAUUCACUACUUAGUAUUCUUAAAAGUUAACGGAGAAGAAAAAGAAAAAAAAAAGUGUAAAUGAACUGUAUUCACCUAAGUUUCAAACAUGUGGCUCAAUCUGAAUUCGCUUUUUUCAAAAGUAAAUACAAAAGAAAAUAUAAAGAAAAAAAAUUAAACGAGACAAAAAUCUGUGGCGUGGGUCAUUCAUAUCUUUUUCCAUUUCUUUUGUAGAGGUACAUAGGGUAGAUAUUUUGAAGUGAAAAGCAGAGCCUUUACUGUUGUUUGCCUUAUCAUCUUUUAAAAUUGGAGUUAUUAUUCUUUUAUUUUUAAGGAUGGUAGCCAACUCAUCCGUGUUCUCUAUUAUUGAAUUUAAAGAUCAAUGAUUUAUGUUAAUAAAUUUUUUGUUAACUAUCAAAGUUUUUAUUUCAAAAUUACUGCUAUAAUUCAUUAAUUUUUCAAUUUUUCCUUUUUCUAUUCACACAACAGAUUGAUUUGUCCUCCAAAAAAAUGUAAUAGGUCGUUUAAUAUUGUAACAUCAAGAAACUUAUAAUAAAUUUUUAAAGAGAUAAAUAGAGAAUGUCAGUCUCGCAUCUACUCAAAAUUAAUAAAUAUACCACUAACUUCUUAUUAUUUUUAUAAUAACUAAUAACUUUUUUAGCAUUAUAAUUUUAUAGUAUUAUCCUUGUUUGUAAGUACAUUUUUUAUUCAUAUUUUUUAUAAAUUAAUUAAAUCAUAUCAAUAAAAAUUAAAAUAACACAAUAAGUUUUGGAGUGAAUAAAAGAUUGAAAAUAAAAAUAUUUUUCUUAUAUUUUUUGUUAUUUUUAAAUGUUUUUCAUAUAAUAAAUGUACAUUUUAUAUUCUUAAGAUGAAUUUUGAGUAAAUGACUCAUUUACUCAUUUUUUUUCUUUAAAUUUUUGUUACUAGGAGGAUUUUUAGAUAUAAUGAAAAUUGUAAGGUAGUAAGUAAUAUAUAAUAAUUUUAAUAGAGAAAAAUAAAAAAUCUCUUAUUUUAAAAUAUAAGGAGAAAAAUAAUUAAUUUUAAAAAAUUUUAGAAGAUAUUUCAAUAUGCUGUGGAUCACACCCUCGAAUCUUUGUCGUCUUAGUCAAUUAAAAGGACAGAAUAUUGAGUGUGAAGACUCAACUGAUUGUUAAUUUCACAGCAAUUGUCUUUUUUUUAUUCUUUCUUUGUUUUUCCUAAUUAUUUUGAAAUAGUAGGUAGCAAUUGCUUACAUCAAAAUAUCUAAACUCACUCAGCAAAGUAUCCGAGGCCAAAAUGUCAAAACGUGGGACACCCAUACAUCUAAUUACAAAGUCUAAAGUUAAUGAAAAGAAAAAAAGAAAAAGUAUAAAUGAACGGUAAUCACCUCAUUUUCAAACAUCUAAUUCAACAUGAAUUUCUUUUUACGAAAAGUAAAUUUUCUCCCGGAUUGUCCUCAUUACAUUAAACGAAUGAUGACGACGCUCUGUCCGUUUCUGACUCUCUGCUUUGCUCUCUCACAUCACGAGACACCUCGUUUCUAACUGGGGUACCACCAUCAUAUUUAACUGUCGGGUCUUCCUACUAUGCACCUAGUGUAUGCAUGAUUCUUUGUGACAUGACAUAUAGCCAAUUAAAUUCUGACAUGCUUGCAAUAAAGACUGUUAAAGUGACCGGUUAUUCCGGUUGAUUUCACAAGAUCUUUUGUUUGUGUGUUUGUGUUCCAAGUUGUGUACUCUAUGUUACGACUCCUCUGAUUUUUUUUUUUUUAAGUCUGUUAUACAGAGAUAUUACUGACAUUACAUCAAACAUUACAAUUAAUAUUUACAAUCAUACUAUAUAACUGGGACCACCACCAUACAUUGACACACUGAAGUAUAUGCCCAGAUAUUUUAAACCCUCGAAUUAUACACAGAUAUUACUGACAUUACAUCAGAUAUUACAAUUAAUAUUUACAAUCAUACUAUAUAACUGGGACCACCACCAUACAUUGACACACUGAAGUAUAUGCCCAUAUAUUUUAAACCCUCGAAUUAUACACAGAUAUUACUGACAUUACAUCAGACAUUACAAUUAAUAUUUACAAUCAUACUAUAUAACUGGGACCACCACCAUAACAUUACAAUUAAUAUUUACAAUCAUACUAUAUAACUGGGACCACCACCAUACAUUGACACACUGAAGUAUAUGCCCAGAUAUUUUAAACCCUCGAAUUAUACACAGAUAUUACUGACAUUACAUCAGAUAUUACAAUUAAUAUUUACAAUCAUACUAUAUAACUGGGACCACCACCAUACAUUGACACACUGAAGUAUAUGCCCAUAUAUUUUAAACCCUCGAAUUAUACACAGAUAUUACUGACAUUACAUCAGACAUUACAAUUAAUAUUUACAAUCAUACUAUAUAACUGGGACCACCACCAUACAUUGACACACUGAAUAUCAGACAUUACAAUUAAUAUUUACAAUCAUACUAUAUAACUAGGACCACCACCAUACAUUGACACACUGAAGUAUAUGCCCAGAUAUUUUAAACUCUCUCUAAUAUUCGAGGGGUGCCUGCUCCACUCACAUUUCGUAAGGGAGAGACUGUCUCCAUUCAAUUAAUUAAUAAUUGAGGAAGAACUGAAACUAACCUCUAUAAUGCUCUUAUGGAGGCUCGAACCCUUGCACUCAACAUUAUAAGUACAAGGCUUCUCCCAUUGGACCAAAGGCCUAUUGGUAUGAGUUCUCUGAUUAAGUCUGAUAUUAUCUGUUGCUCAAUAAUGUUACAGGUUUUAUAAUAUGACUGGUACGAUCGCUGUCACAAAUUUAGAACGAAAAGUUUCCAAUAAAAUAAGUUAUUUAAUUAAUUAAAUAAGAAUAAAAUGAAUUUGUGAAAAAAAUUUAAAUUUAAUUUUGAAUUAUUUUGACCAAAAUUUAAGUUUUUUUUAAUUUGUUUAAGAAAAUGUGUUGUAAUUGUCUUGUUUUAAUUGGAAAAUCAAUGAAAAAAUUAUGUAACAGACAAAAAAAAAAAAAAAAAAAAGCAAAACGGUUUGUUUUGUAUGGAGGCCAUAGAUUCUAAUAUUUCCUUCACGAAAACUACAAAAAAAUUAUCAAAGGCAUCAAUUUCUACACUCUCACCGAGCAAUACUCUUAACCCAGAAGAAAGUGUAUAAACCAACCCCAAUCAGUCCAUCAAUGUCGUCAACCUCAUACAGCAUAAAAAAAAAUCUGUGUCCAUUAAACCGCCAUUUAAACCGUCUUUAUUGAACCAUUAGACUAUUCGUGUCAUCUUCCCAUCUCGUUGUAGUAUUUUACCUUUCAAAUUUAGUUAUCAAUUCUGGAAAAUGGGACCAAUCUGCAAGUCUUUAAAAUAGAAAGAAACUUUAAUUGGGCACUAUGUUCACGGUAGUGGACCCAGCAGCAUUAAUAUUUAGGGUGGAGCUAUUUAUAUUUUAAACAUUCUAAUUUUAAUAAGAAUAUAUAUUACAAAUGAUCACGACAUUGGGGACCAAUCACGUUGACAAGCAUUUUUUUUAUUUAUUAAUAAAGUGCUCUGAAAAGAGCUAAGGCAAUACUAAACGGGGGUGGUCCCGUUUUUAAUCUAACAUAGAGUCUUAAAAACCUUGUCAGUGGCAAAUGAUCACGACAAGAAAUCUGAAGGAGAAACAGCAGAGCUCAACAAAUCACUAAGAGAAAAUAAGACCAAUAACCAAGCAGAUAAAAGAAAAGCAAAAUAACCCAUCUCAAAAUCACCACAUGCACUAUUUAAGGGGUUUGUGAUAUGGGUUUAAAAAUAAUUUAACAAGUGCCACCUGUGAAUUGUCAGAGAUUGUAUCUUCAUACACAUGUCAAAUUUUCAAGUCCAACAAAUUGUUAUCUUUCUAAAGAGGCUAAUAUUAUUAUUAUCUAUGCAUAGCAUGCUAUAAACAAUUCAUAUUACUAGGGCCUUUGUUUUCUGUACACAACAUAUGGACAGAGGAACAAAUCCCUGAGCUAAAAUCAUCAUAUUCCAAAAUAUUCUAUUAAAUCAACACCACAAAACGCGAACGCUAAACAGAAUUGGAGCAAUUUACCAAAGCUAUUUGUCACGCAAAGCACUAGUACCUCAGAACCCAAUUUGCAAAAAAGCACCAAAAAUGAAAAAUAACAAAUGCCCAGAUGAAAAAUCAGGAAAAAAAAAUGCUCAAAUCCAAAUUACAACCCCAUAAGCUGAGUCGUUCUAUUCGAACUGAAUUAAAAAAAAUUAAUUAGGGAGAUUGACCUCAAACUUUGGAAACAGAAGCGACAUCGAUCUGUUUCUUGUCUGGAGUGUCCAUUUCUAUAAUCUACUUUGUCCGUUUUCAGUUGCUCUGCCACAAAGCUUCUUCCCUCUGAAGCUGAAGCUCACACACACUUGCAAAACGAAAGCAUUUUUUAUUGAUUGAGAGGCGGGAAGGCGGGAAAAUGAGAGAAAUUUGCAUUUGUUUUGUCUUGGUUUGGUCAUACCUGUGCGGGCCCCAGCUUGACAAGCGGUAUUAUUACUAUUUGUAUAAUUUACAUGACGCGUGUCACGCAAUGACGAUAAAAUGUAUAUAUUGUUAAUUUUUCACUUAACAUUGAAUGAUUGAAAUAUCAUAUAAUUUUUCCAAUUUUAUGGUUAUUUUCUCGCCCUUAUGCCACAUUCUUUUGAUCAAAUAAUACAGUAAAACUUUUCUAUAAUCAUAAUAUUAGAGCCAAAUUAACUUUGUUUCUGUAAAGAGGCUAUAGCUUAAUAAAGGUAAAAUUAUAAAAAUUAUUAUUUUGACUCAGUUAUCUUUAGUGCAAGUGAUAUAAAGUACAAAUAUAUGAUAAUUAAUUAAUGAACUAUGUCAAAUACAAUAUGCUGACAAUGAUAAAAAAGAUAGACAUAAUUUCAAGAAACUAAUACAUAUAUUUAUGUAGUGCUGGGAUUAUACAAAAUUAUCUUAAAAGUGUAAAGAGUAAAGUAUUAUUCUAAUUAAUUUAAAAAAAUUAUUUUUUCUUAAUCUUUAAUGCAACAUAGCUUUUUUUUUUUUUUUCUUAGCAACAAAGCAUUGUUCCACAUAAUUAUUAUUGGAUUCAAAUCAUGUCCUAGGCAUUUUUUCUUCUAGUCGUCUUAAACUUUUAAUGAUUUAUUGGCAUGCGUCAAUCAUUAAUGAAAUUAAAUAACUAAGACUUUGUUUUAAUUAACGUUUACAUAAAUAGACAUCAAAACUCACAUGUGAUUCUUAUCAAAUUUUUUCCUGCAAAUUCUUUUCCUCUCAACUAUUCAUAUUUUGACAUUAAUUUCCAGCAAAUUAUUAAAAAAAAGAAGAAGCGUAAAAUGGAGAAAAGUGAUUGACAACAAGGUUUGCAUCUUAAUUUCAAAAAUUUCCUUUCUUUGUUAUUUUUGUGGGUUCUACAAUUGUUGUUUUCACUCUCAGCUGCAGUUCAAUGAACUCUAUUAAUAACCAUGAAGCUUAAUGUAUCAAUUCCAGUACGAGAAGUCCUUCUACGCAUGUUACAACACUUUUUUGUCAUUAUAGGUUGCAAAUGUUCCGUAAUGUACUCAUUCAUAUAACGGAAACGCUAUUAUCAAUAAUGAAAGUUGACUAAGUUUGUAAAUUCUAUUUAACGAAAAAGUAACAUAAAUUUAGUUGAACAAGAGGUAAUUAAUAUGUAAUCUAUGAAACUAGGGUGUGACUAAGUUACAUAGUAAUGUAACUUACAUGAACACAAAAAUAAUUAGUUUUUAAACUACAAGUAAUUUUGGAACUGCUCUUAAAUUGAUAUAAGUUUUAUUAUUAUGUAACUUAGCAAGGUCAGGUAUUUUAAUAAUAGCACAUCACUAUUGUUUCAUGUGAAUGAUGCAAUUGGAUUAGCCAAUACAUACCGUCAUCCCCGGGAGAUGCUAUGGCAAUAGCUUACUCUAUCGUGCCAAUGUCAUUAGUAUUAAUCUGUUGAACCUAAGACCAUAUCUAAGCUGAUCUAGAUUCCCCAAGAUCGCACACCACACAGUGAUUAAUGAAUCAAGAACAAUAAACCAUCAAAGAAUCGCAAACUUACAUGUCGGGUUACAUGUAAUAAAUGUUUUAAUUAUUAGAUGAUUCAUAAUGUUAGACCAUUUUUUGUAUGUUUUGUAAUCUACGUUUGAUAAUUGAAUUAGCUGAUAAACACUUGAAUAAUAUUAUUUUAUUAACUAUGUCAUUGAUCCCCAGGAAAAAAAAAAAAAAACCCAAUUUGGGAUGUUAUACAUUACUUUUUCAUUACUUCCCAUUUUAGAUUAAUAUUUAUCACAUAUAUUCUUAGUAACUUGUAACCCUUUUUGCUAAGGGUGAAAUGUGUUUGUUACCCCUUCUAUUUCUGAGAUUGUCCUUACAAUAAGGAUGCCGGCCCCAAUGUCAAAAACUGCUAUCUCUAGGUGUAAAUUCCUUAUAAAAUUCUUUUUUAAUUGAAAUUACUUAAAUAAUUGAAGAUAAAUUAUUUUUUAUUUCAUUCAAAUAAAAAAAUCAAUUAAACACUUAAAUAAGCUAUCCUUUUAAUUUUUUUUUUUUACACCCAUCCAGUUUCAUAAUUUAUAUUUAUAAUUUAAAUUUUAAUGGAAAAUAUUUUUUUGAAAAAUUUUAAGAAUUAAGAAUUAUGGGGAUAAAAAUUAUGUAAUAAGACCAAAAUAAUUUAAAAUUUUAAAAUUUGCAUGUAUUAUAAACAAAAACUUGAAAGAAAUACUCUUUUCAGGGUGAGAUUUAAUCAGAAAAAGAUUAAUUUUCAUUUAUGGAUCAGUAUUUUAUAAAUUAAACAGAGGUAUUUUAAGAAAUAGAAUUCAAAAGGCAUGGGAACAAGGGCAUGGCAUUGGGUUUCCUUUUGUUUUGUAUGGAUUGGGAAAAAUACACGGACAGACAAAGGGAACAGUCAUUAUAAUGAUGUGGAACUUGUCGGAGAUUCCCUGCCCAUUUGUAGCUUAGACUCCUGGGGUUUUGUUCAUGUCUUUUCUGUAUCCCACUUUCUCAUGCAGCAGAUGUACAUAUGAUGAGAUGAAAACAACAGCAAAAAUUGCUGUCUCAUAAGAGAAAUAGUCAUACAUAGUUGGUUAGGCCUCCAGUCCAUUAACUUAAUAAUCAAUUUUAUGAAAAUUGAUUAUCUCAUUGGAAUUACAUAGAUAUUGGAAAACAUUACUCCAGCCCCACCAUCCCAACCAUUUACUUAGUUCAUCAGUAAAAGCUGGAUUUACCAUUUGUUCUUGAGAUUCAAAUUAAGGCAACAAGUUGCUCAUUCUAUAUUAUCUAUGUAAUCCUGUAAAAGUGAAGGGCGUUUAGAUGUGGAAAAACCUUACCCCUGCCGCAACACCUCAAACAGAUUGUGAUCAGACAAGACUUAGUUCAUCAUUAGUAGUAGUUGGAGCUUCCAUUUGUUCUAGAGAUUUAAAGGCAGCAAGCUGCUUCCUCAGUGCUACUAAUUCUUCCCCGGCAUUGCAUAUGUAGCCUGAGGCUUGUCUACCAGACAAAGUUGCUCCUUCCAUACCAUCUAUGUAAUCCAGUGAGAGUGAAACCAUUUAGAAGACGUAUCUCUUUCUUUCCAAUAUUUAGAAUGAAACAAUUAUAUACAGUUACCUGUUUUGCAUAUGAGCCGGCGAGGAAGAAGUUCUUCACUGGUGUCAUUGGAUCACGUCUGAAGGGGUCUUUACCAGGUCCCUCACCACACAAAGAUUGCCCGAUUUUGACGAAAGAUGACCAAAUAACUUCUAAACCUUGGGAUGAUGGAAAUGGAGCUAAAACCUAAUAAAAGGAACCGUGAAUGGAUAGUAUGGACUCAUGUAUAUUAUCCAGAAAGUUGCAUGACCUUUUGUGGUACUCAGGUCACUAAAAAACGUGAGAUAAACAUCUAGGAUAAGAAAAGCAAAAAAGCAUAACCUAAUACGUAUUAUAUGAAUUGAAGGUGUCACUGAACGCUACCAACCUGCUUUGCCACUCUCCUUAUGAUUUCAUCAUUUGGUAAGGGCAUAUAAGGAUCUCCAGGCGUCAAAACGCAUCUGAAAGAUAAUAUGGUUAUAGUUAACAAAAUGGAAUACAAAGACACUUGGCAAAAGGAAGUCAAUCAGAUUCCAUGCACAAAAAAUAACUAAUAAUGACGAGGAUAAGAAAUUUUGCACACUGGUGCCUUCUCUAUAGUAGUCUUCUGGCGAAGUAAGUGCUAGAUCUGCAAAGCAAGAGAAAUCUGCAUCUGGAGUAUAUAAAAGGUUAUCUAACUCCACAGCUUGCCUCAAUUGCCUACAUGUUCAAAACAAGGAUCUAUUAAAAAAUGGAAAUUUCUUCAAUGAAUUAGUGAAGGUAAGUGAAGUGAAACCGGAUUUCUUAAGCCUUCACAGAGCAUCUUGUGUUUGAAUUCCGGUAACCUCAGAAAAGAUUAGAGCAUCACCUUGACCGUUCUAGGUCUUGCAACUCAGUAACCCAACCAUUGUAUCUAAGCUGCACUGUGACAACAUGAACUCCAACGAGCUCAUAAAUAUUGUUGAAAAAUUUCAUUUCCCUCCAGCCUCCACAAUGAUGAAAGCAAUCUUUUAAUUCCAGGGACAUCACAUGCUGCCAUUAAAUAAGAAGUUGAAUAAAGAAAAAUCGUUCAACUAAAUGAUUCAGGAGUUAAAACAAAAUGUAGAAGUAGAAAUAAAUAACGAAGAUUUAACCAUAAACCUGCAACAUUUGCAUCAGCUUGCACAACCUUCUUGUCAGUGGCCUGAAAUAGAAUGAGAACUUGAAAGACAGUAAGCAUAAAAGAAUAAACUCAAAGAAGCUGCUUCUUACAGAUGAUAUAAACAACAAAUUUACAAAUGUCAGGUCAUUGCAUUAGCUCCAUGCCUCCAUCAGAGGGAAUAUUAAUAGAUGCAUAAAAAAAUAAUUAGAGCCACAUGUGAAACAAUUUACCUUAGACAUGGCAAGUGCUUUAACAAAUGUUUCCCCGUUAGCAGAUUUAUCAUAAAGUAUCUCUCUGCAUCCCCACCUAAGAUGGAACCUGUUCUCACAAGAACAGAUCCCAAGGUUGGGAAAAUCAGUUCAUCAUAGGAGAAAACAAAUAUGAUUAACAAAUCGCUACAAUGGUGUGAACCCGUAAAUACAAACGUACCUGCCCCCUUUAUCUGUGAUAUAUUUUCUUAUGGGCCCACUCAAAUAUACAUCCGGAGAACCCUUGAGCAUCAGCAAUAGGGAAGCCUCGGUCUUAGUCGCAAAUAGUGCAAGUAUAGUAAGCAUACAAUGAGCACUGAUGUUAUCACAAUCAAUAAACCCAAGGGCAUACGCAACAGGAUCCCACAUUCUUUGGAUACUUGUCCGUGUACCACCCUUGGACAAAAACCAAUCAGAGAAGCUUAUGUGUAAGAAGAAAUGAAGUUUUAGGUAAAAUAACAAUUUGUAGGAACAGGGAUUGAAAUUCAACAAACAAGAAAAUAUGAUGUCAUUCUUACACUAUCCAAAUCUCAUAUGUCCUUCAAGGCUCCAUCAGGAUCAACAAGUGCCUUUACAACAGGACUCAGAGCAAGAGCAAGAGCAUUUCUUGCUUUAUCAUAAGUCUGCACUUGAGCAAUAUACCAGGCAAAGUACAUCAAAAGAGAAUCCAAAAGAGGCAAGAAGCUUCAACAUGAAAAAAGGAGUACUGCCUCAUCAUACUGCUUUGCAAUCACAGUGCAAAAGAUAACAUCAACAAAUCAAAAUCAAGCAAAAAUCCAUAUGCACUACCUUAAGCUGAUUUGUAGACAAAAGUGUGCGAAUCCCAUGUAACGGAGCUUCAAUCGGAAACCGGAAAUCAAGUUCUGGAGUUGAAAAUCAAAAUCAUGAACCAAAUCAGAGUUAUUAUUGAAUUUGACAAUCCAUAAACCAAUAGAAGGUGAUGUCAAACCAUCAAGCAUAACUACCCACCAAGCAUAACUAUUAGUAGUUUUAAGUGAUCAAGAAAUAACCAUACCACCAAUUUCACUACCCUUAUUUACAAAUGUAUGAGUAUGAUCCUUCAUGAGUAAGUUUUUGUCCGCACCUACCUGUCGAAAUGCUUGAAAAACUAUCAGAUCAUAAACACAGGCUCCAGUUAAAGAGGAUCUAUGACUCUGAUCCAUCAUGUUAUUUGAACAACAUUUUCGAAUUUUGGUACAACCCUAAGCUAUAAUCAGUUAUCAUCACUACAAAUGAUAUGGUCAAGAGGAAUGAUAGUUCUUGUUUCAAGUAUCUCAAAUCGUAAUUCUUUUGCAUGGCUUGUGUGCUUUUAUAAUCAUUCAAACACGCAUAUCCACAACUAAGCAAGCUUUACCAUUUUCAUCAAUCGGAAGAGAUUAUUGUAGCAUCCAAAGAAAAUGUGCAGACCCAUUUCAAUAUGGUUUUCAAGUUUAUCGACAAAUGAACCCACUUUACCACCAAUAAAAGACCUCGACUCAUAUAUAUCCACCUGGAAGAAAGGAAAAGUUAAAAAAAAAAAGUGUUGAGAAUUAUGUUUGAUUAAACUUAAUUCUUUCCCCAAGAAAUCUCCACACACUGAUCUUAUUGAAACAAGAAUGAAUACCCAAGAUAGUAAUCAGAAAUAAAGCAAGAGUGUUUAGACAGAAAUAGAGAUUAAAAGCAUAGAAUAAACUGGACACAAGGAGAAUUCUAGAGGUUCGGCUGGGUAGCCUACAUCCUCUUGAGAAACAGAAGCCGUAGCUUUUCUUUGAUGCUUAACAGAUUACAAGACUUAGAGAGUUUGUUACAAAGAACGUUGGUUAUCUAAACUUGGCCUUGGGGCCCUUAUAUACAGCUCUCGAAGGAUCCAGAUAAGUGUGCUGCUUGCCAGCUCUUGUUCUGGGUUUGUUGAAACAAACCCAGAAAGUUCCCGCCAAGGCUAACCAUUGAUAACAGCCUUUUAAUUAGAAACGACACUUGCUGCUGCCGUUUAACUAAAGCUUGAAUCCGUAGAUGCUCGAGCAAUUCACGUGCAUUACUUAAGCUAUUCGUGUGACAGGAUAUGGUUGUCAUAUGCGCAGCAUUAUCUGUCUGAUUGCUUUGUCGUUUCUUGAUUAAUACUAGACACGACAAAGUCAUCUUCUCCGUAAGCUCUUAAUUCAGGCUCACAAUUAACAAAAAGGAAAAAAAAUUCUUCUAAUUUCUUUCACCAUCAACAAAAUCAGAAAAACACAUACUAGUUCAAAAUAAAAUAAAGUUUGUGAAUUGAAAUAAUGCCAACUCCUAAGAAAAAUUAUGACUGCUGAUAUUUUUUCCGAAAUGCUGAUAAAAGCCUCUGCUAUUUACUUUGAAAAAAUUGAGGUUAGAAGCCAAUUUACUUGAAAUUUUGAGUUUAGGCAAGAGGAUGAAUGGUAAAAGUGAAACAUAUUAGGGAAAAAUGUACUUCAGAGGCCAAUGAAAGCAUUCAGAAGAUUGAAAACUAAAUGAGCAAAACCUCGUGGCCAUGAUCCAACAAUUCCACUGCUGUUGACAUGCCUGCAAGCCCAGCUCCAAUAAUAGCCACUUUCAGCUUUGGUCCUCUAUAAUGUUCCAGUUCUGGUGGAAACAAACCCUUGGGAGCUGCCAAGUAUACCAUCCAAUUAUCCACAGCGAUAAUGGAAAUAUAUAUGUGUUUGAAAGUACUAAAUUCCUAAACAGGAAAUGUAUCCAAAAAGAGACACAAAGCAGAAUUUCGUAAGCAUUUCAAUUCCCAAUAAAUUUCGAGAAUACAAAAUACUCGGUCUGUUCUUCAAUUCCUUUAAUAAAAUUUCCACUAGAGGCUACGCAAGCCACUCAAUAACACGCCAAAGCCAGAUUUUAAACGUUAUCUUUAUCUUUAACUCCAAUCCACAAACAAUUCUGCCAGAAAUUCAAUCCAAAAUUGUUCAAGUGCACCGCCAAUUCUCCAUCAAUUCCCUCAAAAAUUCAUAAUUGGCAAACAAUACAAACCAAAAAGAGCUUCCGGCAAUAAACGCAUAAAAAUCCACCAAGCAACAUAAAACAAAAUACCCAGAAACCAGAAAAGCCAAAAGAUCAAUGCUUGUGCAAACAAGCAAAUCAAAUAAAACAAAAAAAAGAGGAAUUUACCCUUAACGCUCAUAUCAGAAAUAUUAGUAUCCAAAGAAGCCCGUACACGGAAUCUUGGACCCUUCACUUGAACCCGAGACCAUGUAACGCCAGUAACUGAAGUUGCAGGAAACAGAACUGAAGAACCCAUAUUGCAAAUCCUGAGCUGAAAUCAAGAAUUUCAAUUGGAACUCAAUUCAGCUCAACCCAGCUGAGCUCUCUUUUGCUUCAAUAACAAAGUGUUUUUCUUUUAUAUCAACAAAGAUUUGUCAACAUCAACAAAAUUUAACUAAGAAACUAGAAUAAUAAAAGAGGGCACCUUUGAGUUUAAGAAUCUAACAGGAUGCUAAGGAAGAGAGUUUUGUCAGGGAACUGUUUCGGAGAGGUUGGCCAAGUGCUUUUUUGUUUUUUAUUUUUAUUUUUUUCUCAUUUUGGCCUUUUUCAUUAAUACACAACAUCAGUACUCGCGAAGAGCACAAAAUGUUGGUGACUUUGUCACUAACGAUAGUGGAUGGAGCGACCAAAGCAACCAACUAAAUUUUAAAGAGAGGGAAUGACAAGCAAUAUUUUAAUUGGGUGAUUAAUUAAUGUAUUAUCAAGCAAUUGCAUUUAUUUAUUUAAACGAUGUCCUUAUCUUUGGACAAGGUUGAGGAAAGACCGCGAUGUUGUGUUGUCACGUAUUUUUGGGCCGACCGUUUCCAGUUUCGGCUUAAAUGAGGCUUUUGUAUUUUUGUGCCGUUUUUUUACUGAGUAUUUUGUCCUAAAUUACACAAAGAAAAUGUGUAUUUGUUAAAAAAUCUGUUGAAACUCAGAACCUCUUAUGUGGACUUUAGAAUGCGACAGUAUUGAUAUCUAAGUUCGUAAUAUCAAGAGUGAUAAAACGGAUAAAUGAAUAGAAAUGUAAAUAAAUUUGGUUAAAAUUUAAUGGAUUCGAAUUCGGUAUGUUAUCAAACAAAUCAUAAUCUUAGGAUUUGGAUUCAAUUCAUUUAUUAAUUGGAUACCUAUUUAAUUUGUUUAUUAUACAAAAUUAAAUGAAUUGAAUUGAAUUGAAUUUAGAUUCAUUUACAAUUUGUUUAAUUUAUUUAUGUAAAAUUAAUAAAAAAUCAAUCAAAUGUGGAUUUGUUUAAAAAAUAAUAAUAAUUAAUAGCAAAAAUCAAGCAAAGUAAAAUAGAAAAAAAAUCAUAAAAUUAACAACCUACAAAAUAAAAACGAAUUAGUGACCGCAAACUUGAAUUCAAUUCAUUUAUUUAACGAAUUGAAUUGAAUUCACUUAUUUGUUAAUGAAUCAAUUUUUUUUAAAAUUCAGACCUAUUUAACUUGAAUCAAAUAAACACAUCCUAAUCUAAAUUGUCACCUCUAAAUAUGAUGGACCUAUUUAAAAUAUAUGAAUACCAAAAUGUGUGGGCUAAAAAGUGGUUUACCAUGCAACAAUACGAAGUUUAAGCUCUCUUUUCUUAUGUCAUCCAAGGCAUUGCCUGGAUCGCCAAACACUAGAGUUCAAGUCUACAAUAAAGAAUCGAAAUUUUUCUUUGUAAAUGUUCGUAAGUAUUUAGCAUAGAUUUUUAAGUUAUACUUGAUAGAUCCCCUACCAUAUUUGCUAUAAUAUUUCUCUUCUUUUAAUUUAAAAGUAAAUCAUAAUAACGGAUUUGUAAAGAAAUUAAAUUUCCAGUAAUUAACUGAAAAAAUAAAAAAGAUGGAUUAAGCGAAAGAAGUUAAUAUAGAGUAAAGUCGAGUACUUGACAAUUAAAGUAAUUUUACUCGAGGUUGAGUAAGGAUAGUAUGAUACUUUCCCAGGUUUUCCGAGGACAUUCAUGUAACAUUGGACUAUUGACUAUAGUUAGAGAGAAGUCCAAGGAUGUAAGUGAUGAUGAUAGAUUCACAAUUCUUUUGAAGAAAAUAUUUUAUAUAAACUUAAUUAUAUGGUAUAAAAUGAUUGGCCUUAAUAAAAUUAAAAAAUAAUAAAAAUAAUACACGCCUGGGUCAUGCAAUAUUUUCAACCAACUAAUUUACACGCAAAAUUAAACCUUAUGAGUGAGAACAUUAUGGUACAUUUAUAUGCUAGCAAAAACUCCGCAAAAAUUUUCCGAAAUGUGAAAAUGAACACUUUUAACAAUGACACAAAAUUCCCACCCCCCAUGAUUAAUUCUCUUAUCUGGAAUAUUAGGGGGAUUGGAAAAGCCCCUGCGGAAAUUAGUUCGAUUACAUCGAUUGUCUUUGAUUUGUGUGUUGGAGCCAUUUAUUUCCAUUGAUCGUUUAGAGGCUCUUCGGGUGCGGCUUGGGAUGGAUCAUGCUUUAUCUUCCCAAUCUGGGAAGAUUUGUGUUUCUGGUCCGCACCUUUCUCGGUGGAGCUUCUGCAUGACAUGGGCAAGGUGAUUCAUUGUCGGGUUAGUCACUCUUUUUUUCCUGAUCCUGUGUAAGUUUCAUAUGUGUACGCUAGUUGUUAUAUGGAUGUGCGAGAGAAUUUAUGGGAUGCUCUUAAGACCUUUGCGGAUAGUCAUGAUCUACCUUGGAUCGUGGGGGGAGAUUUUAAUAUGAUUCAGGCGGUCUCGGAGAUUUCUGGCGGGCAUCCACAUACUCGGGGAGCUAUUGAUGCCUUUAAUUUAGCGUUGCUUGAUUGUGGUUAGGAGGAUGCUGGCUUUGUUGGCAGUCCUUUUACUUGGACUAAUGGGCGCCCAUGGAGGCAGCUUGAUAGGGUGGUCUGCAACGCUCACUAGUAUGCUUUCUUCUCAGUAUUUCGGGUCUCUCAUCUGAAUCGUACUGCCUCAGAUCAUUCUCCUUUGCUUUUUCUUGGUGAUCGGGGCGCUGUUAGAGGACCUUCACGGUUUAAAUUUCUUCAUGUGUGGCUCAAGCAUCCAGGUUUUCUUGAUACUAUGCGGCAGUCUUGGGGUGCUCCGGUGGUUGGUUCUGGAAUGAGAGCCUUUCAACAGAAACUCACUCGGUUAAAGUUCUGCCUAAAAGCUUGGAACAAAGAUGUCUUUGGUAACGUUUUUUCUCAGGUCCAACAAGCAGAGGAGGACAUGGCUCAGAAGGAAAGAUUGUAUGAUAUUUCUGGCUCCGUCGAUUACAGAGCUAAUUUUUCCGAGGCCAGGGCCUGGUUGCAGCAUGCUUUGCUUCGUGAGGAGAUUUUUUUUACGUCAGCAGUCCAGUGUUCGAUGGGUUCGAGAGGGCGAUGCUAAUACCUGUUUUUUCCAUGCGAUGAUUCGGAAAAAGUGCCAGUUGUUUCAUAUUCACAGGAUUCGGGUUGAUUGUUUCUUAGAGUGGAUUUCUGAGCCCUCCGCCAUUGUAGAUUAUGAUGUCGAUUAUUUUCAAGAUUUAUUAACGGGAGAUGCCAGUCAGUUUCAGCAGACGGACUUCGAAGUUAUUCCAUCUCUUGUGUCUGUAGAGGAUGAUGUAGAGUUAUGUAGAGAGCCGGAUAUGGAUGAGAUUAGACAUGCGGUAUUUUCUAUUGAUCCAGAUAGUGCUCCUGGACCGGAUGGUUUUUGUAGCAGAUUCUAUCAGUCGUGUUGGGACAUCAUUUGCCGUGACUUGUUAAAUGUUGUCCUCGAUUAUUUUAGAGGUUCGGCAUGCCCAGAGGUUUCCAAAGUACUUUAUUGGUCUUUCUGCCUAAGAAGGCUUCUCCGGCUUCUUGGGCUGAUUUCCGUCCGAUUAGUCUUUGUAAUGUGAGCAACAAGGUCCUUACUAAGUUGCUUGUCCCAUCUCCUGCCUCACAUUAUUUCUCAUACUUAGAGUGGUUUUGUUCCUGGUCGAGUGAUUCAUGAUAACGUGCUCCUGGUUCAGGAGUUCGUUCACGAUCUCAAUCGCCAUAGUCGAGGGAACAAUGUGGUGCUGAAAUUAGAUAUGGCCAAGGCAUACGACGUAUGUCAUGGCCUUUUAUUAUUCAGAUGAUUCACUGUUUUGGGUUCUCGAAGCGUUGGAUUUCUUUGAUUCGGCGAGCGAUUUACGGUCCUUAGUUUUCAGUGCUUAUGAACGGGGUCAGUAACAUAUAUUUCUAGUCCCAGAGUGGUCUUUGGCAGGGUGAUCCCCUUUCCCCUUGCUUAUUUAUUAUUGCUGCAGAAUUUUUAUCUCGAGGCUUGGAUCAUUUGUAUUCUCAGUAUCCCUCUGUUCGGUAUUGUUAUACUGCACCUACUUCUAUCUCCCACUUGAGUUUUGCGGAUGGUAUUGUUAUUUUUGCAAAUGAGAGCCGAUCUAGCUUACAGUGGCUUGUGGAUUUCUUACACCAUUAUAAGGUGAUCUCAGGGCAGUUGAUUAGCGAGGACAAGAGUAACUUCUACAUUAGGAAGUCAGCUUCGACCUCCCGCUAGGCCAUUGUUCACUCUGUGACUAGCUUUCAGUGACGUCAGCUUCCGUUUACUAAUCUUGGGUGCCUGAUCUUUACAGGGUACCUCAAGAUCUCCUAUUUUGAUGACAUGGUCCGGAAGGUCAAGGAUAAGAUUUCUGGCUGGGCUAACCGUCUGCUUUCCUUUGGUGGGAACCUCGUCCUCAUUCGCCAUGUGUUAUCCUCUAUGGCCCUGCACUUAUUUCACGUCCUCCGCCCUUUUAUAACGGUAGUUUAACGCCUAGAGCGAUUGUUCACCCGAUUCCUAUGGGGUGAUUUUGAGGGAAGACACCAGAUCCACUAGUGUAGAUGGCCAAAGGUUUAUUAUCCAGUUGACGAGGGUGGCCUCGAUAUACGAUCUUUUGAUGAUAUGGCGGAGGCUUUUGAGAUUAAACUUUGGUGGCGGUUUUGUCAGCAGAGUUCCUAUAUGAAGUCUAAGUAUUGCAGAUCUACGCAACCAAGCCUUAUCCAGUUUCGCUAUCUUGCCUCUCCUUUAUGGAGACACCUUUAUAAGAUUCGUUGCACGGCUAAACCUCAUGUGCGUUGGCUCGUUGGGAGUGGAGAUUGUAGCUUCUGAUAUGAUUGUUGGCUGAGUUCUUGCCCUUUAUUUUUUUAUAACCCUACAGCGGCUUUGUCGGUGCCGGUCUAGUUCUUUGGCAGGGUACAAUCUGGGACAGAGGCAAACUAAGGGACGUCUUGCCUUCAUCUAUUGUUGAGCAGAUCCUAUUAGUGCCUAUUUCUAGUGGGAAUCCAGACCUGAUUCGUUAGGACCUUGCCCCCGACGACACGUUUAACUUGCGGACUGCUUGGGAGCUUGUACAGUGCUCUAGGUCGAGGGAUGAGCUUUUCUCGAUGAUUUAGUAGAGGCAUAUCCUGUCACGAGUUUCCUUUUUUCUCUGGCAGCUACUUCACGGAUUCCUAGCUACUGAUGAUGCCUUAUACUUGAGGGGUUUCUAUAUGGUUUCUCGAUGUAUUUGUGGGCGGGUUGCUGAGACUUCUCGGCAACUUUUUAUGGAUUGCCCGCGGGCCCGUCAUAUUUGGGUUCAUUGCCAGCGGAUCAUGGGGAUGCGUGAGCUUUAUUUUCUGUCUCCCCGUGCUUUGCUUUUAUUUUGGAGACAUUGUGCCCCUUCUCGGAAUCAUCAUCGGGUCCUUCUGCCUUACUUCAUUUUGUGGCAAAUUUGGAAGGCCCUAAAUGCUUUCCAGUUUCAUUCACAGUCUUUCUCCACUGAUGCGGUUAUCUUUCAGGUCGACUCUGAUCUCAGGCUCGCUAGUUCUGCUUUUGGAUUCAAGCCUCCCCAACUGAGGGGAGUCUUGGGUUCUCGUAUUGCGGAGGGCUUGCGAGUUAUGGCUCCCCCUAGGAGGUCGAUUCGUCUAGUUGCUUGGAUGAGGCCAACUUCAGGGGUGGCUAAGCUGACUGUGGAUGGUUGCUCUGGGGUCAACCUUGGGAUGGCUGCUUCCAGGGGUAUUCUUCGGGAUCACCGGGGCAUGGUUUUAGCGGCUUUUGGAUCCUUUUUGGGUUACAAGCCGAUCUUAUAUGCUGAGCUCAUGGCGGUGUGCGAGGGUUUGGAGCUUGCCAUUCAGCUUGGGUACUCAGUGCUCGAGGUUGAGUCAGACUCGGCUAUGGUGAUGUCAUGGAUUCACACCUCAGGGUCCUGUUCGAUGGGAAUGUUCUUAUUCUCUACGCCGGGUGUGCCGUCUGGUAACGUCAUUCCCCAUUCAGGUGAGACAUGUUCUUCGCGAGGCUACUUAUGCUGCUGAUUUUCUAGCCAACUGGGCGCGCACUCAUCGGACUAGCCGGUGUUUCUUAUCUCCUCGAGAGCUUCCCAAAGGCUUAUCUGGUAUUCUUUACUUAGAUCCCCACGCAAUCCCCCAUGUCAGAUGUUAGGAUUUUAUCUUUUUCUUAUAUCUCAUUUUCUCUAGGAGGUUUUGGCUUAUAUCCCCCUCCUUUAUAUCUAAUUCAUUUUCAGAUUUAUAUUAUAGGUAAGGGUUCCGCCUAGCUCCCACCACUCUGGUGGUUUUAAAAAAAAAAAAAAACAAUGGCAUAAAAUGCCUGUGAUAAUGAAACAAUGUGCCAUCCUUAAACUAAUAUCAUUACAAACUACAAGUGAAAGUUUUUGGAAAACAUUGAGAAGUUUUUCUCGGAAUUUGUUUUCUUCUUUGCUUUGAUUUAAGCGUAAAUUUUUAAAAUCCGUAACAAAACAAAAAUUUACAUGGGUUGGGCGCACCUUGUGGUUCGUGCAUGCUUUCGUCUAAUAGUAUUUGAUACAUACAAAUUCAUUUUAAAAUUGACGAAUCGUAAUAAAAAAAUUUAUAUAUAAUAAUUGAGUGAGAUCCAUGGUUCACAAUUGCAAAUUAAUGGUUGGUUUUAUAAUAAAAAUCUUUAUGUACAUACCAAAUUAGAAAAGGUUAUAAGUGAAUUAAGAUUUUCAAAAUUUGACUCGUAUUAUAUUAUGUACGUCAAUAUAAUAUAAAUUUGUUAUAUAUAUAUAUAUAUAUAUCCAAUGCUUUCAAAAACUUUAUACUUGUUUGAACAGAUUUUUUGCUUUCUAUUUGUAUACACAAACACUUUUUUAGGACACAUGUAUAAUUAAUCUUAAUAAUUCUUAUACAAUCCUCUAUUUAAGACCAGCAACGUCACCCAUUAUAAUUUAUCACUAAAUAUUGUAAAACUAUUGGUUUUCACGAAUAACUAAUAAAAAUUAUUUUUUUUGUAAGAAAAAUACUGCGAUUCCUUUCACUGUUGUAGUAGUAUAGUUAUCGUGGACGAUGAAUUUCUAGUAUUGUACAAUGAUAUUUAUGUUGAAUGUUUAGGGAAUGAAAUAGGGUGACCAAGAUAAAGGGGUUUGCUCAUACAUUAUCGUGCUCUCCUCAAAGCAAAAGUGAGCAAAUGGUUGAGCAGAUCAUCUCGACCAGAAUAAUAUGUGGUGACCUCGAGUACAGCACCUCGACCAGGAUGUUAUUGGUCACCUCGACCAGGAUGUUAUUGGUCACCUCGACUAGGAUGUUAUUGGUCACCUCGACCAGGAAGUCACCAGGAAGCACGUCAUCCGCGAGGCCAAUUUCCUGUAAGAAGCAUAAAGCCAUUCCUGCUGCAUUCUUGCUAAGGGUUGAUUCGAGGAGACCCGGUCAACGACAGUUGGCGAGGCAUGCUCUCCAGCCCGAGAAUCUAGGCACGAAGGCCACGCAACCACCCAUGACUACGGAAAUGGGGAAUCCACAUUCGAGAGGUGGGAGGACAACGGACAUAGACUGCGGAAAACUGGGAUUCAGAGGAAGCCUAUAAAAAGGUAGCCAACGAAGGUAAAAGGGUUAGCAAUUUUGAGAUUAGAAGAGAGCUAAAGAAAUUCUAAAGAAGAGAAAACUAUGAAAAAGCCAUAAGAUCUGUGGCAAGCGUUCCCCGAACCUUCAUAUCUGACUUGAGCGUCGGAGGGUUUGCGCCGGGAAAACAACCGGCGUACUCUGACUUGUCUGUGUGCGCAGGAACCUCUGGAGAAGAAGCCUUACGAGGAGACCUUCUGGUCGUGGUGAAGUUGAUCGAGCAGAGAUCCUGGUCGUAUAACGAGGAGAACCAGAAUCUCGCAUCAACAUUUUGGCGCUGUCUGUGGGGAAUGGUACAAAAAGCCAGCUUGUUAUCUUUAUCAAUCUUCAUCUGGCCGAAGUGAAGGCAGAAUAUUGCGGUGCAUAAAUGGAUGAGCUUGCUUAAACAAGGAAGCAAAAACCUUAAAGGAGAGCACAUUGAAAGCACACGUUUGUAAAAAUCAGAACAGGUCAGAAGUUAAAUUCUUAUUUACAAGCAAUUUUUUCAUGAAAAUUUAAUUAUUUCUCUAAAUCCUGCUAUGUGAGAUGAGGAGCCCUUAUAUUCAUUAAAUUGAUUGUGCUCAUAUUAAGGCUGACUGUAUAACUUAGUUAACUUGAUUUCUUGAAAGCUAUUCAAUAUGAGAAUGAUUUAAGAAAAUAGAGCUAGGCUAGCGUUGAGAAACCAAUCAAAGCUUACUAAUAAGGCAUGCAAAGGCUCCAAAGUCUCAAAGCCUGUCUUAUGGCGAGACAGAAGCCAAGCGUGCCAGGAUCUGCUCGACCACGAGAAGGCGAGUAGAAUCCCAAUCCUUGAAGAAUUUGAAGGCAUGCAAAGGCUCACCAAGUCUCAAAGCAUGUCUUAUGGCGAGACAGAAGCCAAGCGUGCCAGGAUCUGCUCGACCACGAGAAGGCGAGCAGAAUCUCAAUCCUUGAAGAAUUAAAGGCACGCAAAGGCUCAUCAAAGUCUCAAAGCCUGUCUUAUGGCGAGACCAGAAGCCAAGCGUGCUAGGAUCUGCUCAACCAAGCGAAGGCAAGCAGACUCCCAAAUGUUGUAAAAAUUCCUAAGGCAUGCAAAGGCUCACCAAAGUCUCAAAGUCUGUUUAUGGCGAGACCAGAAGCCAAGCGUGCCAGGAUCUGCUCAACUAAGCGAAGACGAGCAGACCACCAAACUUUCAAAAAAUUCCUAGGGCGUGCAAAGGCUCCAAAGUCUCAAAGCCUGUUUUAUGGCGAGACAGAAAGCCAAGCAUACCAGGAUCUGCUCAACCAAGCGAAGACGAGCAGACCACUAAAGUUUCCAGUCUUGAUUCGUUUCACUCUCAAUACUAGAAACUGGGGGACUGGUGUUUAGGGAAUGAAAUAGGGUGACCAAGAUAAAUGGGUUUGCUCAUACAUUAUCGUGCUCUCCUCAAAGUAAAAGUGAGCAAAUGGUUGAGCAGAUCAUCUCGACCAGAAUAAUAUGUGGUGACCUCGAGUACAGCACCUCGACCAGGAUGUUAUUGGUCACCUCGACCAGGAAGUCACCAGGAAGCACGUCAUCCGCGAGGCCAAUUUCCUGUAAGAAGCAUAAAGCCAUUCCUGCUGCAUUCUUGCUAAGGGUUGAUUCGAGGAGACCCGGUCAACGACAGUUGGCGAGGCAUGCUCUCCAGCCCGAGAAUCUAGGCACGAAGGCCACGCAACCACCCACGACUACGGAAAUGGGGAAUCCACGUUCGAGAGGUGGGAGGACAACGGACAUAGACUGCGGAAAACUGGGAUUCAGAGGAAGCCUAUAAAAAGGUAGCCAACGAAGGUAAAAGGGUUAGCAAUUUUGAGAUUAGAAGAGAGCUAAAGAAAUUCUAAAGAAGAGAAAACUACGAAAAAGCCAUAAGAUCUGUGGCAAGCGUUCCCCGAACCUUCAUAUCUGACUUGAGCGUCGGAGGGUUUGCGCCGGGAAAACAACCGGCGUACUCUGACUUGUCUGUGUGCGCAAGAACCUCUGGAGAAGAAGCCUUACGAGGAGACCUUCUGGUCGUGGUGAAGUUGAUCGAGCAGAGAUACUGGUCGUAUAACGAGGAGAACCAGAAUCUCGCAUCAACAUUGAAUAUAACGCUUCAAUGAAUUUUAUUACUAUAUACUAAAAUACUCAACGAUCUUCAUUAAAAAAAAAAAAAUUGCAUGAUUAGAAUGAUUAAAGUUCAUCUAAUGACUAGUUUCAUCAUUGACUCUGUCGAAACACAGCAGCAAUCCAGAAUACAUUUAACACGAGAGGCGCAGACAAACAUGCAUGAUGAAUCUUCCACCAUUAAACCUGAAAUCAUAAAAUGAAAGAAACCAGAUGAGUGUUGUUUGUCUGAAAGCCGAUUCGAGAAAAAUAAUAAUAAUAAUAGACCUUUGUUAAUAAUUAAUACUAGUUGUCACUACCUUGUGCAUCUUCCUCCUCUGUAUCAUCGUCCUCUUCCAAUCACACCGCAAGACCAGUAUAUCUCGAGAAUCUUUACUGCCUUCUCACAGAUCCCAUUGCUGUCAUGUCUUUUUAGAUCUUCAAUCAUUUUGAAUCCCUCAGCCGCCUCCACCAACCGUGCAUAAUGAUUAAAAUAUCUAUUGGCGGUACCCGUAUUCAUUUCAGCUUCCCCGACCUUCAAAAUGUUCUCUAAUCCUUUUAAGCAAAUAGUGACGAUCUCUGGAUCAGCGUAUAGAAGGAGAUCACACAAUGGUUUUAUACACCCCUUUCUCACGAGGUACUUGAUUUGCUCAUGAGUACCACCUGAGAUGGCAUUUGAAAUUGCCCGAGCGGCCUCCUUCUUUGUAAAAAAUUCAGCAUUUUGAAGCAGAUCGACAAGGGGACCAAUUACGCCAGCAUCAAUUACCACCUGAAUCUGUUCCCUGUUACCAGCUGUAAUAUUUGAAAUAGUCCUGCAUGCCUCUUUCGCAAUGCCUGUACACUGAGUCAGGAAACCAUCUCCCUUCACAAUAUAUCUGACAGUCCACAGGGGAGGAGUGAGCCCGAAGGGGAAGGGUAAUGGAUGAAGAAGGAGCUUAACAAGUCGUGGACAGACAUCUGCCUCGAUCACAGCUUGAAUUUUGUCAUUCGUACCAUCAGAUAGACAGGAUAGUGCCUCGCAGGCAUAUCUCAAGACAUCGUUGUCAUUUGAAUGAACAAGUUGUGCAAGCGCAGGAAGAGCUGGCCUCACCUGAUCAAAUGGUGGCUCUGGCUUGCCCUGGCAAAAACGAGACAAUGUCUUUGUGGCAUUUCUUAGCAUUGAAGGCUUAGCAUGCUUAUUUAACUGUGCCAGCAACGGAAUCAAAGCUUUUUCACUGAGCACAAGAUCACGGUCUCUAGGUGAGCUACGAGCAAUAUUUCCCAGUGCCCAAACAGCCUUCUCUCGGACAUCAUCACUUGGAGAAGAAAGUAGCUUCACAAAUAUUGGAACAGCACCGCCGUCGAUCACCACAUUAGUAUUCUCAGAAGCAAUGUUUGUAAGAGCCCGAGCAGCUUCCAACUGAAGCUGCGGAUUGUCUUCCCUAGUAAGAAACUCAACAAAGCGCGCGACAACGCCAGAUUGUAUGACUUUCUCACUUGGUGGUAGGAGCAGUUUUCGGAACCAAGUAGUUGCUUCCAGCUGCAAGCCACUGUCAUCUGACCAAACCCCAGCAAGCAUCCCGGGUAAACUCACCAACUUAUUUUAGGAGCAGGAGCAGGAGGAGGAAAUUAAGUUAGGGAUUUAGAGUGAGAGUGAAGGUGGAGAAAAAGCAAGAGAGGGAAAAAGCUUAUUGUUGAGAAAUAUGUACCUUUUGUAUGGUUGUGUUAAGGUCGUCCUUCCAAGCCCAACAUGCUUCACCAUGCCGCUCCACUUUGUGUAAUUUGGGUGUACUUAAUUUUCCUUCAGAGAAAAUCUUCAUAUCGGGGCAAUCAUCCACCACUAAUCUUUCUAAAGAUGGGAACUUGAAAGCACAAUUGCCAGAGCAGAAGCUUGUCAGGCUUUCUAAGUCUACAAGCUUCAACUCCUUCAAUUCUCUGAAAGUAAUAACCUCAUCUUUUGCUACAACAUCAUCCCCCAGUACUAUUUCUGUUAUCCUAUCGCAUGAUUUUAUCUUCAUAUAUCUAAGUUGCACCAGAGUCUUUGCAAUUAAGGAUGUUAAUACGAUUUUCAAGUUGUUGCAACGCGAUACCACCAUAUUUGUAAGAUUCUGAAAGGAUGUCGACGGUGGCACUAGAUUGACUAAAUGGUCACACCCCUUUACACGUAGAAUAACCAAGUUGUUCGUAACAGAGGACUCCCUUAUCAAAAUGUGCUCCAGAUGAAAUGCUUCUCUUAUUUCUACCCACAUCCCAUUUUCAACCUUCUCAUACGGCAACGAGGCACUAUAUCCUCCUAUUUGGAGGACUUUCAUUGUGUGAAGUCUCUGGAGGAAGUCACCAAGUGAUAAAAUAGUCCGCUCAUCACCCAACGCCACAAAAAGAUAUUUUAGUUUGCAAAGCAAGCCUUCAGAAAAUAGAUAUUUAUUUGUUACUGUGUACUUUGCACGAACUAUCAACUUUUCCAAAUUAGGGAAUACCUGGGAGAACGAUCAGAACCCCAAAAAAAAGAAAAAAAAGAAAUACAAGAUGAAUCAAUUGAUAAGAAAUAUAAGUUGCCACUAAUUUAUACAAUAUAUUUUAUUCAAUAAAUCUUAACCUUUAAAAAAAAAUAGUAAUAAUAGUAUGCCUAACAUCUAGAAUAAUUAUGAAUGAAUACUAUACACUAAUCUGUAAGAGAGUUACGUUGCUGACAAUUUGAGUUUUAGUAAGAAACCAAGCGAUGAAGGCAAAGGCAAUAUAACUCUAAACUCUAUGAUAUAAACUCUCACAGUACAUACAUAAGAAUUGAAAAAUUGAUUAUAAAAUUCUUGUACGUACCCUUUCCGUGAAGAUACUAGUAGUUCUCACCAUGAAUUCAGGACAUUUAGAUAUCCGUAAUUCUUUCAAGGAUGGAAAUUCAAGAAUAUCAAGAUCUCCAGUGCAGAAGCUUGUGAACUUUUCAAGAUCAGACAUCUUCAGAUAUUGCAACUGAGGAAACAUUACAAUAUUUUUCUUCCUUUCUUCUUGGUUGUCCAUAACUAUUAACUCUUCCAAGACAGGACAUCCGACUAUCUCAAUGCAUUGGAGUUGAACAAAGCUACUAACGGUAGAAGAUGAAAAUAGACAUCUUAAAUUCAUACAGCAGGACAGGGUCAAGCGCGUUAAAUUCUGAAUACCACAAGACAUGACUGCAACUUGGUUUUGCCAAAUCCUUUCAACAUUUAUUGAAAGCAAAUGCAACUUCUCUAACUCUGGUAACCGAACCUGCUCGAUCAAAAAAUUAACUCGUUAAUUACAAGCAACAAUGAUUUCUGUUGAUGGACAAAUCAAUAAAAUUACUCUUUCUCUGGUUAUAGUUCUUUUCAGUUUUUCAUACAAACAACCGUUAAUCAAGUUUUCCAAAUUAUUCCUUACUAAAUGUAUAGAUUUAGACGGCGGCUAAUAUAAUUCAUAUUGCAAAUAUUCUUUGAUUGUAACGAAUUUUGUAAUAUUAAAUUUUGGCUGAUUCGCAAUAGGACCUACUAUCCAGCGCGAGCAGUUCUCGUGGAUUUAACUACUGGCACCUCGAUUAUAUAAAAAUUUGGAAUAUUUUCAAAGGAAAUCACAUAAUUUCCCCUUGCAAAUAGUAAUUAUCAUUAAUUGCCGCGGGUUGACAUAUAAUUCUAAGAAAUUAGGCGAGAAGAGUCUCAUCAACAAUCAAUCAGCAGAUAUCACGUUUGGCAGAUCAUCAUGAUUUCCUCAUAUGCUAGAGAAUCAACGUGAUUUCCGCUCAUGCAGGAGCAGGAGUGGACACAUUAUCUUAGAGCAUCCCUCACUGAGAUCUUUUAAAAAAUUUAUAUUAUAAAGUGAACAACAUAUUAAGUAUAGAUUUAGACGGCGGCUAAUAUAAGUUAUAUGUAUUCUAAUGACGUAUAUUAAAGAAAAUGACUAACCAUAAUUUCAAUCAACUUAUUAGUCUAUAUAUAUAUAUAUAUAUAUAUAUAUAUAUAUAAUAUAAUAUAUUCAGUGAUUACAACAUAUUUAGUAUUCCAUAACAUGAAGUUUAUAAUAAUAAUUAUUAUUAAUUCACUUAUUGUGUCAAGAACAUUUUCUUUCUCUAAGAAUGAAUUUGUUACACCCUACUAUACUACGGAUGAAAAAUUUAGAAUCAUUAUGAAAUAUAAUUAUUAAUCACUCUUUGCCAUAUUUGCGACCAAAGAAGAAUAUAACAAAGAAAAGAAACAAAAAUUAUAGAGAAUUAAUGAGACCAUUGACGUAUUAAUAACUGACCUUCCCAGUGAAACGCGUAUUAGAAAUUUGGAUAUUGUCCUCCAAAAUGAUUUGAUGUGACUGCAAAUCAUUAGCUGAUUCCUGUUGUCUCUGUUGACAUUGAGUGUAAACUUAAUUGUGAGCACAAUCUUAAUGCAUAGAUACAAGAUCUUUAAAAAUUAGUAUAAUAAACUUAGCACAAAAUCCAAAUUUGAUAUUUCGGAUUCCAUGAUUAAGAUUUUUUAAAUAAAAAUUUAAUAGAGUUAAUUUAAAAAUAAAAAUUAAAUAUGAAAAAUUAGAUUUGCAAUUAUGGAUUUAAUUUUGAUAAAUAAUGAAUGUUCUCUUUAUAUUUUUUUUUAAAGGUAAAACAGCGUACAAAGCCCAAAUUCAUUUUUUUAGUCCCUUACUCUCCCAUGAUUCAAACUUGGGUGGUUGUAGGGGGACUGAAAAUAUAUAAGACAGUUAACUUCACUUUUUUUUUUUUUUUUUUGAGAGAAAAGAGAAGAAGGAUAUUACAAAGCACGAAGCUCGUGCAAUAUAAGGGCAAUUAUGGUUUUUUCUUUAAAUUAAAAUGGUAAGAUUCUGAAGCUAAAAGAUUAAAAUAUUAAUUAAAUUGCAAACAUUAAAGAUUUUUUUUCCAAAAUUGGUUGCUUUGAAAAUGAGAAUAAUAUAAUGUUUGAAGACUUUUCAAAAUUAAUUACUGUGAUGCACUAGAAAUUUCUAGCUUUAGUCUAAUGUAUAAAUUGACAAAACGUAUUAGAAUCCCAGGUGAAAAGAACCCUCUCACACCAAUUAUUUAAAUUAGGAAUGAUCAUACCUGUGGCUCUGCCGAACUGAGGGCGAGGCCUGAACCCCUCAUCUCGAGACGCUUGAGAUGGGAAGAGCCCACUUUGACUAAUUCAUUACGAAAAUAAUCGACAUCUUGCUCUUGCAAUCCACAUAACUCUAGGUCUUCAAUUCUCUGCAGUUGCACGACUAGCGAAUCCUUCAAGCGAAUCUGGUCAUAUAGCUCGAGUCUGAAUUCACGACCCCAAAUGCCGGUGCUCCCCCAAAACCGACCUCCAAUGCUUAUUCUGUACCUUUCCAGCUUCUCCAAGAACAGGCCUCUGGGCAGAGUGCUGACGUCAUGGGUGUCUAAUUCCAAAGAGGUCAAGUUGGGCAAAUGCUUCAACUCCUCAAGGCUUGCAUUCUUAACCCCUUCCACCUCCACCUCCCAAUUAUGAAAGCUUUUAGGACCUAUAUAUAGUUCUUCUAAAUGGGAUAAUUUUGACAGUAUAUUUG